rnacentral:lncRNA from 1 species
AGAAAGAAGAAAAUACAAUUAAUUCAUCCAACAAAACAAUGCCGAGAUGUCCGGGGCUACGAUGUCUGGGCGGCCGGGGACCGCUCCUCCUCGGAGGUGGUCGCCCGAGCGCUCUCCUCCGUCGUGGUCUGCCCGUGGCCGGCCCCGAUCUCCUCGAUCAUCCUGACAACGUCCGGCGCGUCCGGGCGCGCGUCGGGCACGGUGGCCACGCAGGCCAUGGCCACCUGCAGCAGCGCCACCAUCUCCUCCUCGGCGCUGGCGCCCAGCCGCACGAGCUCGACGUCGAACACCUCGGCGGUCCACUCCUCGCGCACCACCGACUGCACCCACCGCGGCAGGUCGAGCGUGCCGCCGUCGCCCUCCUGCAGGGACGCGUGCGUCGGGGACUUGCCGGUGAGGAGCUCCAGCAGGAGCACGCCGAGGGAGUAGACGUCCGCUUCCAGCGUGGGCCGCCGCGUGUCCACCACCUCCGGGGCGCGGUAGCCGUUGGAGCCCGCGCGGACAGACGACGGCGCGUAGAUCGGGUGGAGGCAGAAGUCGGAAAGCGCGGCGGCGUCGUGGUCCGGCCGGAGGAGGACGUUGGUGGACUUGACGUUGCCGUGCGCGAGCUUGUGCGCCGAGUGCAGGUGCGCGAGCCCGCGGGCGGUCGACAGCGCCGACCGCAUGCGCGCGUCCCAGUCCAUGGGCGUCCGGCCGGAGCCCCGGCUCCCUGCAUUCGAAUUCAAAUUCCAUUCCGGUGAGGAAAUCCUUUGACGAUCAACAGUCUGACAUUAGCAAACUUGCAAUGUGAUGUGCUUCUACAGUACGACUGAUUAAAUGAAUGGGACUUGAUCUGACAACUUGAAUGAAUGCUCAAAUAGUCUGCUGGUAAUCUAAAGACACCCACCACAAUCAUGCAAGACUAAAGAGAGGAACGAAAUCAGUCAUCGUGAUUGAUCAUCUGGUCCACAAUUAAAGAAGACAAGUGAGCAACAUUUUAAGAAAAGAAAAAUGUGGUAGCUCGUACGAGUACUAUGCAAUACAAUGGUUUGGAUCUUUACAAGAGGGCAGUGCAGCACAUCAUGCACUGUUGCAACAACCACCGAAGCAAUCAAUCAGCUCCCGUAGUAGGUUAAUGAAGCAGGACCCAAACCUAAGAUAGAUCCUCGUUGAAACAGAGCAGACAUAUUGGGGCAAUAGGUAUGAUCUGCUAGACAUUCCACACCAUCAAAUACGGACGGAACAGUAGGUCAAAAACAGCGGUGCUAAUCAUACUCGCCCAAAAAUGUACUACCAGCUUCAUCAUUGAAAAAAACACAAACGAGCACUAGCAUCAAAACACAAGAGGAACUUCAACCGUACGACCCAAACGGACGUGUAUUUUAUCUGUAUUCUAUUCGUUUGGGUCAUCCGUCUGCUCGUCCGUGUCCGGUUUUUUCAAUGGGUUGAUCGGUGCGUCCAACGAAGGCGGAUGCAUUUUUUGACAUGUCCGCUUCGACAUUUCGUCAAACACCUGAUGGGCGAGUCUUUCCUUGAACUGCCAGCUCUGUGCCGUCGUCCUACUCGCGGACAAGGCCAGCGCCCGGCCGCCCCGAGCUUCCGCAUCCUGCGCCAUGUGCUUGCCCUGUCUCUGCGCAAUGUGCUUGCUUGCUCCAGCCUCGUGCUCCAACGAAGGAGCAGCAGCACACUAGCAACAACAGCGAAAUGGCCGCCUCGUGCUUCAGCAUAUGAAGCAGCAACAAAGUAGCAACAAUAACAAAGAGGAAGGCGCCCCAAUGCAUAACCACCCCGAACUCCCACAUCACCCGCCCUGCUCUGCGCCCGCCCGUGCUCCGCCCCGCGGCGCGUGCUCGUUGAGCCAACUGUUGGUGCACAUGAUCACAUCUUCUACUUCGGCCUAGCAACCGACAAGCAUGCCAUUGACUCCGAUGAAGCUCUCGGUUCUCCCAUGCUGGAGUUCCCAGGCACCCCGAACAUACAGGUGGUCCUUUAUAGCCCUAACAAGCCAUUUGAGCAUGUCUUUGUGGUCGAUAGAAAGAGGAAGAGGAGUGGCCUGAUUGAGGAGGAGAUCAGUAUUUUACCAACAUGACUGAGGCCGUGUAGGAGGUGGUAACUACUAUUAGGGAGAGCAACUCCCUCGACGUCCACCCUGACCUGUACAACGCCGUCAUGGAGCAAGGUGGCUUUAUCGAUUAGGCUCUCAUGGCAGCUCUUAGGCACCUGCUGGACAACAAGUUCCAGGGUGUUAGGUUUGUUGCCAUGGCAGAUGUUCAUAGGGUGCUCUCUCACAGGAGCUGGCUGGACAAGCACUACUACUAGAGCUUAUUGCUGGUUAUCGCAUGCAUGAUCCUGGACGGCGAUGGCGAUGACGACAUAGAUUUUGUAUAGCUAGGGCUUGAAACUAUUUGAUGGUCUUCAUAUUUUGUUGAGGUGCAAUAUACUAACCCCUCAUGAUGCUCGUAAACUUGUGAUGGUAGGAUGAUACCCUCUUUCAAAUGUGGUGAUAGGAUGAUACCAUAGUAGUGCUACGUUGAACUUGCUAUACCAUAUGAUCAUUACAUGCUUACUACUUCCGCUCCGUUGCUUGCUGCUUGAUUGCUCCAUUGCUUCUUGCUGCUUCAACUGUUGCUCUUGUGCACUGCCAGGACAAAUGGCAUGUGGUGUUGAUCGGGAGGGCAUCGGGUGUUUACAGUUCAACAACAGCCGCCGCAGAGGAUUUAAGACUAGUCAGGCGGUCAGAAAAUGCUUACACCAAGUAUGCACAAAAACAUGCUUUAUUGUUGAAGUUGGUGUGGUAGAUGUGAUCAUGUGUAAGAUAAGAAGACCCCGCACUUUGGGGGUGAAGAACUUUAUCAUCAUAAUGUAGUUUGUCGUCAUUGCAUUGUUGUGACGUUGAUGUGAUAGAUGUGAUCAUGUGUAAGAUAACCUCGCAUAGUAGAACACAUGGUUCGCACCUAUACAACCAAAUUACGUACCUAUAAACUAAUGCGAUGCAGCAAGUACGAUGUGGCAUGCGUACGUAGAUAUAUACUGCUAGCUACCUUCAUUGUGAGCAGGGUUAUUAUUGACCGUGGGACCCGGCACAUGGCGACUCUUUACGCCCUCCCACCAGUGCACACGGGCAUUUCCCUCUCACUGAGGAUUAUCAAAUGUGCUACAGUAGUGACAUCACGGUACUGUAUGCCCAUAUGAUAACGACGGAUAUGGCGCCAAGGGUGCAGAAACGCCACACUACCCUUUCACUGGCGCUACUUGGCUAUUCAGUCCAGUGAGUGAGUGAGUCCCUUGUGUGGAAUGUAAAGAGAAGAGGGCCAUGGCCAUCGUCGUGGUCGCUUUACAGGCCAAAUACCUCGCGGCCAGCGCACGCACACCAUUAUCUGUCUCUCUGUCUCUCUCGGCCAAGUGUCGCGUCGCCCCCACCAUGAGCAUUUCCAGCACCGACCCCAUCAUCUCCUCCUUUGAUCCCAUGCACAUGCCAGGAUUUUCACCUCACUCCAUCGGGCAUCAAAGCCACGACCAAAGAGAAAAAGAUCGAGAAAACAAUGAUGAAACAAAAGAAAAAGACACGGAGCAGAGCAGGGCGAAAAGCGCGCCAAACAACCGCCGGCCGUCGACUCCACAUGCCGUCACGUCGAAUUGUUUGACUGAAUUCCGGCGGCGGUGCUAUGCAAUGGCACUGCGAUGCGGUUUUGGUUUCUGAAAAAAGAGGAGGAAGAUUAUGGCUGACCGUGGAGCAUGGCGGAGAGGCUGCCGGCGGGGAGGUAGUCGUAGACGAGCAGCUUCUCGUCCUUGGAGAAGUAGUAUGCGCGGACGGGGAGAAGGUUGGGGUGCUCCACGCCGCCGACCACCGUCUCCAUGUGCGCCUCGAACUCGCGCCGGGACACCGACACCUCCUUGAGCCGCUUCACCACCACCGUCGUCCCCUCCUCCAGCACCGCCUUGUACGACGUCCCCGCGCUCCCCUUCCCCAGCACCUCCGCCGACGCGCGCAGCAGGUCCUCUAGGUCGAAGCUGUACCCCGCGCCCUUCCCCACGAACACCAGCCGGCUCGCCUCCCCCGUCCCGCCUCCCGCCGCGGCCACAGACCCGGAGGUUCCGGCGUCGUCCUUUGGCGAGGACGCCGUGCCCGUGCCGUCGCCGGACGACGCCGGCGGUCUUGUUGUGCCUGUCGCCGCGGCCGCCGUGCCCUUUGCGCCGUCCGUGCGCGCGCCUCGCCGGGACCUCUUGCAGCAGAACAGGAUGGCCAGAACUAGCAGCAGCGCGACGACCACGGCGGCCACGAUGAUGCCGACGAUCGCAGCGGUGGAUACCUUCUUCUUUUUCGGUGGCUUGCCGUCGCUCGGGCCCAUCCCUGGCGCCGGCGACGGGGAUGGGAAGAAGGGGCUGCAGGGGGGCAGCGGCGUGCCGCACAGCUGGAGGUUCCCGGCGAAGGCGUCGGCGGGGAACCGCGCGAGCGCCCGCGGGAUGGACCCGUUGAGACGGUUGUUGGAGACGUUGAACACCUUGAGCUCGGGGUUGGCGAUGCUGGGGAUCUUGCCGGACAGCCGGUUGCCGUCGAGCCUGAGCGCGCGGAGCGCGGCGAGGCCGCCAAGCGCGAAGGGGAUGGGGCCCGACAGGUUGUUGUGGGAGAGCACUAGCCGCUCGAGCGCCGCGAGCCCGGAGACCCCCGGCGGGAUGGCGCCGGAGAUGGCGUUGUCCUGCAGGAAGACAGAGCGGAGGGCGGAGAGCCGGAGGAUGUCGUCGGGGAUGGCCCCGGACACGCGGUUGGCGCGGAGGGACAGCACCUGGAGGUUGGUGAGGCGGCCUAUGGUGGACGGCGGGAUGGGGCCGACGAGCCCGACGCCGGGUAGGCGCAGCUUGAUGACGGUGGAGUUGGCGGCGUCGCAGGUGACCCCGACCCACGCGCAGGCCGGCGUGGACGCGCUCCACCCAAGCUUGCGCUCGUGGGGCGUCGCCGCGAGGAACGCCAGCAGCGCCGACUGCUCGCUCGCCGGCGGGUCCGCGAGUGCCAGGCAUGCCAGCAAGGCGACUACGGCGGCCGCCAGCAGCAGCGCCGCCGCGGACGCCAUUGCGAGUUGAGACGGGCGCGUCGGCUACGAGCUAGGCGGCAUUGCUGGGGCUAGAGCAGAGCUGGAGCUGAAGCUUGGUUUGGGCGAGGAAGAAGCGGGAGGAGGGGAUCUGAUGCGAGAGUGAGGGAGAAGAGCAGCAUGGACAUGGUGGUUCAGGCAGGACAAGCGCGGUUUUGGUGGGGAAGAGAUUGGGGACGGUUGGGCCUCGUUUUUUCGCACUGGACCGGGCCCACAUCAGCCUAUGGCAAUACGACGAUGGGGCCUUAAUAUUCUCAUGGAUAAAAAAAACAGAAUUAGAUAAUGGAAGAAUGUUGUCGACUGAAAAACAGUGGAGCGUCCAGCUUAGCUUAGCUAGCGACCAAAGGAGAAAGAGAGGGAUCUUGAUGUGGCUUGGGGACGAGGCAAAGCGCGAAAAUCCUGCCCGCGCUGUCCGAAGAGCAUUCGCUCGACACGGAGAGUGGUGCCGAGCGAGCCUUCUUCUUGCGUGCGUACGCCGUCGCCGGUCGCCGUCCGAGAGCUCCAACAACCGGGGGCACGUUAACGACCGGCCCACUGGCCCGGCGCUUCAUACUCAUGCUGGAGACGAGACUUGCCGCAUGCAUACAUAGUUUGUUCGUUGUAAAAUCGUUCGUCGUGGUGUCAUACCCAUUUCUGUGUUUCUUUUGUUUCUCAACUGAUUGAUGACGGCUUGUGUCCUGAUUGAUGACGGCUUCUGUCCUGACAUACCCUAGCACGGCGAGCGCUCGCGAAGCCGCCGCCGGCGCCGGAGCUCCGUCGAUCGUCGGCCUCGCGCGCAGCCUUUUCUUGCCGCCGCGGAUGACCACGCCGACGGGUGGCGUCGCGCCGGCGCCGUCCCAUGCCGUCGCCGCACCGUCGAAGCUCCCCAAUGCGGCGGGGUCGGAGAAAGGAAAAACAUUCGCGAAGAAGAAGGCGGCGGACGGCUCCGGCAGCUCGAAGGCGAAGAAGAAGCUUGUUUGUGUUAAAUUCCACAUGUUCAUUGCAUUUUGAUGAAUGUUUCAAACUUAUUUUGUGUCCAAAUGCUAUAUAUUUGCGCGCUCCUGGAGCAGCGCGCUCUGCAUUUUUGCGCGCUGGAGCGGUGCGCGCGUUGCAUUUUAGCGCGGCUGCUGGAGCCAGCGCUGCGUGACGCGUCAAACUAGGCGAUGGGCGCGCGGCAAACAUGUUUUUUGAACGCGGCGCGAAGCGCGGCUGUUGGAGAUGCUCUUAGAACAACUUCAACAGAUACGCUACGGUGCGACGCGCUAUAUUUUUUUGCAGCAUGGAAUUGGCCUUUUUUAACGCGCGGUGGCGCUUUUGCUCUAGCAAGUAUAGUAAAAUGAGGCGCCACACUGCCGCUCCAACAGAAGCUGUAAAAUACAAGCGUGCUAUAUUUAAAGCGUUCGCGUCUAGUCCAAACAACAUUUCUUUCACUACAAUAUAAUAGAUCUAUAAUAAAUAGUUUAACUACAAUUACAACUCAAACAAAUAGUUUAUUUUUCAAUACAACAGAUAGUUUAAUAAUAUAACAUGAAACAUAAAAAAAAACUAAUUUUGACGGUCAUGUCAUGCCCACCACUCCUUGAUUAGAUGCUUUCGAAGAUCAUCGUGCGUUUCGGCACGUCAAAUGACAUGAUAAAAGGCAACACAUCGGGCUAACCUCGUAGCCAUCCUCCGCACUUGCACGGGAUGUCCUAACUAUUCAUACUGAGAAUAGUCUAAAUCUUAUCCACGGUCAUUUUCGAUGAUCAUGUUAUGCAUGAUCACGCAAGCGUUCAUGAUAUACCAAUGGAUCUUUUGAUUCCAAAACCUAGCCGGUCCUCUUACAAUAGCAAAUUAGGUUUGCAAAAUCUUCAAAGCUCUCUUCACAUCUUUCCUAACCGCGGGCUGAGCAUUGUGGACACUCGCGGAGGCCCCCAAUGGGCAAGAUAUGGCAGCCGCCAUACCUUAAUUCUAAAUAAUAAAAAUUGCAUACUUCGUCCAUUCUUAAAUAUAAAUGUUUGUAAAUAUUUUACUAUUAACUACACAUGGAUAUAUAUAUAUAUAUAUGUUAGAGUAUAAAUUCAUUCAUUUUGCUUCAUAUUUAGUCCAUAGUAAAAUCUCUAAGAAACUUGUAUUUAGGAACGAAGGUAGUUCAUAUGCAUAUAUCGAUCUAUCUGUUGUCUCGUUCAAACACAUUCAAAAACUGAUGAAAGAAAAAGGCCGCUGGCCUCAUGGGUCGACCCAUCCAGUUGUUGUGCCAGGAACCGGUCGAGCUCUAUUCGAUCGAGCUCCCAUGCACAACCACGACCAAACUCCACCCGCACACACACAAGCGACUCAACCCUAAGCAGCUAGCACAUCGAUGACGGUUGUCCAGGUCACGAGGACACAGACGAACGACUGACGACAUGGUAGCCUAUGAAGGCCCCAAACUGAGGGCUAAGAGCAUUUACAAACGGGCCUCUUAAACUUGAGCAGGCCGUCCGGAUACUAACCAAUCACAAAAAGUGGUUCACACGGGCAACGGAUUUGACACUAAUUAGUACGGAUCCGUCGACUGGAGUGUCAUCCCAUGUGGGUUGGAGGAGACAAUGAUCGUCCGCACUGCACUUCGUCGCUCUGACAUCCGGCCAACGGUAGAAUCUGUCCAACGCAAUUCAUAGCUUUCAUCCUCCAAUGAUCUGCGACGCACUUCGCCACACCUUACAUUUUUUGUCCUCCGCCUCUGAUUGUGGAAAUCAAGAUUUUUCUUACCUUACGGUGUCUUCAACGGCUUCACAAAUGUUUGCCACCUGGGGUAGAUGACAUCCGUAAGAUAGUAGCCAUAGUUGUAUGUAUGGACAUUUGCUACAAACUCCACCGGUGUGGUUUCACCAUUUGCAAUUUUAUUCAUAAGUGGUGACCGAUUAAGAACGUUGAUGUCAUUCAAAGAUCCAGGCAUUUCAAAAAAACAUGCCAAAUUCAGGUCUCCUAAUAGGCCACUACUUCAAGGAUUAUAGUUAAAUCUUUGUUUUGGCCGUGGAAUUAACCAUGUCAUGCCUUACGAUAAUUCUUCCAACUUCGAUACAUGCAAUCUAUUAAGCCAAGCAUACCUGGGAGCAAGCGUUGCUCAUCUCCAAAAUCCUUGUGGUGUCUUCAACAUUGGAAGCUCUCAAAUAUUCUGUAACAAACACUUGCACAAUUCCGACUGCGAAGCGCUUGACACACAUGAUGGCUUGACUCUCACCCAUGGCCAAGUGGUCAUCAACGAGAUCCGCCAGAAUACCGUAUGCCAACAUACGCAAAGCGGCAGUAACCUUUUGAAAUGUGCUAUGCUCGAGUUCUCCGGCGACAUUCCUCAUUUGCUGAAAAAACCGAUCGUGGCUCGCUUGUUUCUGUGCAAUGCGUUUGAACAGCUCAAUGCUCAUCCUGAAACGGCGUCGAAAGUAGGACUCAUGGUAUGGGGCAUUAUCCGCAAAAUAGUUCCUUAUCAAUCUGUUGUGGGUAUCGAUCUUAUCCCUUCACAAUUUCUGCGACCCAUAACCGAACCACCAUGCCUUGAUUUUUAUUGACGUGCAUAGCUACGGUUAUUGCGAGGUCCUCCUCCUCUUGCAUAUCAAAUUCUUCAUCGAAAGAAUCGUAGGAUGAGCUCAUCUACAAUAUUCAAACUAGUUUAAAACCAUGAAAAAUGCAUCAAAGUCGUCUACAAAAUAUAAAGUUGGAAUAUACAUACCUUGCAAGCGUUUCGUCGAACACCUUGUGAGCGUCAAGCUCCAAACGACCGCCAGACGAUGUUUGUCGGAAGGAUGGUGCGCUCGAGCGGCGGCAACGAGUGAGGGAGGUGGAGAAAGCAGUGACGAUGCACGGGGAAGGGCGGGGAAAGCGGUGGCGACGCGCCGGAGCAAGGGAGGAAGAAUCCGCGCGACGACGCGUGUGCCUUGAAGGACCCGGCGGUUGGUGGAAAGGGCAGGGAGAGUCACGCACGCAGAGUAAACCAUGCAUAACACGCGUGCUAGUUUUCAACGUCUGCUGAAACGCUCAUGUCCGCUCUGCGUGCGUUAAAAAUGAUCUUUUUCUAGCACGCCGCUUAUAUAGCGUGCUCUGUUCCCUAUUUGUGCUACUGAGCCGGAGGACACCUUCCAUGCUCUUUGUAGAUGCCCCCAGACAGUGGCGUUAUGGAAAGUGAUGACGCAGCAGUGGGGUAUCCCGGAUAUACGGCAGGUGCAACACACAGGGCCGGAGUGGCUCCUCCAUAUUCUGCUAGAUCUAUCUGAAGAGCAUCGCAUGUGUACACUAAUGACGAUUUGGCGUUGUUGAAUGACCCACAUGCUGAUCAUGUCAAAGGGAAGAUGGUGUUGGAAAUAUGCCCUAGAGGCAAUGAUAAAUAGUUGUUAUUAUAUUUCCUGUUUAAAUAUAAUCGUUUAUUAUCCAUGCUAUAAUUGUAUUGAAUAAAAACAUAGAUACAUGUGUGGAUACAUAGACAAAACAAUGUUCCUAGCAAGCCUCUAGUUGGCUAGCCAGUUGAUCAAUGAUAGUCAAGAUUUUCUGACUAUAUGCAAGUGUUGUCAGUUGAUAACUGGAUCACAUCAUUAGAGGAAUCAUGUGAUGGACUAGACCCAAACUAUGAACGUAGCAUAUUGAUCGUGUCGUUUUAUUGCUAUUGUUUUCCGCGUGUCAAGUAUUUGUUCCUAUGACCAUGAGAUCAUAUAACUCACUGGCACCGGAGGAAUACCUUGUGUACAUCAAACGCCGCAACAUAACUGAGUGACUAUAAAUGUGUUCUACAGGUAUAUCUGAAGGUGUCCGUUGAGUUAGUAUGGUUCAAGACUGGGAUUUGUCAUUCCUUGUGACAGAGAGGUAUCUCGGGGUCCGCUCGGUAAUACAACAUCACACACAAGCCUUGCAAGCAAUGUGACUAAGUGUAAGUCAUGGGAUCUUGUAUUACGAAACAAGUAAAGAAACUUGCCGGUAACGAGAUUGAAAUAGGUAUGCGGAUACCAACGAUCGAAUCUCGGGCAAGUAACAUACCGAAGGACAAAGGGAAUGACAUACGGGAUUAUAUGAAUCCUUGACACUGAGGUUCAACCGAUAAGAUCUUCGAGAAUAUGUAGGAUCCAAUAUGGGCAUCCAGAUCCCGCUUUUGGAUAUUGACCGAGGAGUGCCUCGGGUCAUGUCUACAUAGUUCUCGAACCCGCAGUGUCUACACACUUAAGGUUCGGCGAUGUUUAGUAUAGUUGAGUUAUAUGUGUGAUUACCGAAUGUUGUUCGGAGUCCUGGAUGAGACCACAGACGUCACAAGGGUUCCGGAAUGGUCCGGAAACGAAGAUUGAUAUAUAGGAUGGUUUCCUUUGGUCACCGAAAAGUUUCGGGCAAUUCUGGUAGUGUGCCGGGAGUGACGAAUGGGCUCCGGGAGUUCACCGGGAGGGGCCCACCCACCCGAGAGUGAGCCCAAGGCCCUAGGGUGGCGCCACAAGUCCUUAGCGGGCUGGUGGAGUCAGCCCAAGGAGCCCAUGAUGCCACAUAAAGAAAAUACCAAAAGAAAAGAAAAGGAAAAAGGAAAGAGGGAGGUGGGAAGGAAGAGGAGGACUCCUCCUUCCCAAACCGAAUUGGAGGAGUCCUCCUCCUCCUCCCUGGUGGCCGGAGCACCCUUGAGGCCUUGUACCUCAAGGCUAGCCCCUCCCCCUCCCUCUUAUAUAUAGUGGUGGUUUAGGGCUUUUUGAGACACAACUUUGCCACGUACAACUCUAGCCUAAACUACACAGUUCCACCUCUAGACCGGAUUCCUGCGGAGCUCGAGCGAAGCCCUGCAGGAGUAGAUCAUCACCAUCACCGGCGCGGCGUCACGCUGUUGGAGAACUCAUCUACUUCUCCGUCUCUCUUGCUGGAUCAAGAAGAACGAAAUCGUCAUCGAGCUGUACGUGUGCUGAACGCGGAGGUGCCGUCCGUUCGGCGCUAGAUCGGAACGGAUCGUGGGACAGAUCGCGGGACGGUUCGAGGGACGUGAAGACGUUCCACUACAUCAGCCGCGUUUUUAACGCUUCCUGUUGUGCGAUCUAUAAGGAUACGUAGAUCUAAAUCUCCACUCGUAGAUGGACAUCACCAUGAUAGGUCUUCGUGUGUGUAGGAAAAUUAUUGUUUUCCAUGCAACGUUCCCCAACAGAUGGUCGCUAGUCCUCUGCUCAAAUUACGUACUGUACCACAUAUGGUGCACCGUGAGGCUCAACCAGCCCGGUGGGAGGCGCCCCCGGCAGGCUGGGCAACGCUAAACAUUGAUCGGUCAUUUUCAGCUCAAGAUGGUAUAGGCGGAGCCGGUAUGGUACUCAGGAAUGAAACCGGUGCAGUCAUCUAUUCAUCCUGUCGUGAGCUUAGACAUUGUGUGUCUGCACUUGAGUCUGAAAUUGCUGCAUGUAUGGAAGGGAUUUCCCUUGCAACCCAGUGGACUACCAUGCCGGUCGUCAUCCAAACGGAUUGUUUGGAUGUUGUCAAAUUGAUUACGGGUACUGAUGAUGACAGAUCAGCUAAUAUAAUGAUGGUGCAAGAGAUUAGAUCAUACCUCUUGCACAAAGGUAGGGACUUUUUAAUCAAGCAUGUUAGGCGGGAACAAAACUCAAUUAGCUAUUUUUUUAGCAAAUAUUGGUAGAAUAAAGAAGCGCACUGUCGCGUGACUUCGGUCAAAACCAGAUGAGGUGCCUCAUCUUUGUAAGACAGACUUGGCCGUCGCUUGAUUAAUACAUUCUCUUUCACACAAAAAAAAGAAGAAGUUGCUCUUACAUGAGGAAUCUGAGAGCAGCUCCGUACCAGCUUCCACCAUCAUGGCAAUCGUUCCUAUGUACUUCAUCUGUCCUAAAAUAAGUGGCGCAAAUUUUAUAUUAAAUUAUUAUAAAUUUUAUACUAAACAGUGAUAUUUAUUUUGGAACGCGGUCGAAAUGGAAGAAUGGCGUCGAGAGAGAGAGAAACAACGGCUAGCUAGCAAGCAAGGAAGACCAGAAUCCUGAGUGGCUUGUGGCAGCAGUAAAGUGGAAAAUUCCGUCCGAGUUGUCCGACUCCGACCUGACCACACAAACAGAUGUAAGGAUCGACGAACUGCAUGCGACGGCCAAAGGUCCUCCGCGUGUCGCCUGCAAAUCAUCCUGCAAAUCGUCGUGCUCUGUAUUAAAGGAUAUUCAUGAUUCACCAGAAUCUGAAUACAUAAGUUCAAAUAAUACAGCUCCCCUAAAAGAAGUAGUGAUCUUUAAAAAAUCAUAUGAGAAAAUCGAUAAUUCAACUCUGCUUCGAGGCUCAGCUGCUCACGCUCACGAAACAAAUCAAAAGAAAUACUAGAAUAGUUAAAAAGAAUCCAAUUUUUUUGGAUGAUAGAUAAUUUGAUGCGUGAGGUCCACUCCAAAUUUCAUAUUGUUUGGACAUCUGAAAAACUCUCAGCAAAAAAAAAAAUCGGGUCAGAAAAGUUCAUGAACAGUUAACCUUUUUUACAUAUCUAGAUUUUUCUUUGUUGCUAAGAGCCUCUCAGAUGUCAAAAUAAGUUAAAAUUUAAAUCGGACCUCACACAUUAAAUUAUCUGCCACCCAUUUUUUUUUUGAUUUUCUUUGAAUUUUUCUAGUAUUUCCUUUGAUUUUUUUUCCCGUGAGCGGGGAUGCAGAUGAGCCCGGAAGGAGAAACAUCACUCCCUUAGAAAAGCCGAUACUCUAUGCCAGUUAGACGACACAGGCGUCUGGCCGGUCACCUACUCAUAGCAGGGGCGAAUCUAGCCCAACGGGCCGCCCCGGACCCCUUUGUACACCAUACAGAUUGCUACAGUAUUUCGCUACACUAUACACAUGAUUUGAGCCUCAUGCCUCGGGCCCGGGCCCUCGGCUUGGGGCCUAGAUCCGCUACUGGGUCAUAGGAUCACACAAUAUUGAGCUCGUCGUCUUGUUUCACCCUCACCCUCCCUAUGCGCAGCUUGUGCCUCGCAACAAAGAAAAGUUCCACGCACAUCACCGUCCGCUCUCCUACUUUUGCCUCCACCCAUUCUUCUCGUUGUUGUCCUCCCGCGCCAGUGCGGGCGGCUACCACGUCCCGAAAAUCAUGGACAAGCAUCGGGUGGCAUUUUCUCUAGGACGAAUCAACAUGGCGGUUUAUAUAAAUUUCAAACUAUGUCACAUGGCAUUUAUUAUUAAGAGAAGGCUUUUUGAUUUAUUAAAGAGAUGACAUUUUUUAUUAAGAUAUGACAUUUUUAUUUAUUUAAGAGAGGAGUUUUUUAUUAAAAGAAAUCGUUUUUUGCUAUUAAGAGAAGGCAAUUUUAUGUUAAGAGAUGGCAUUUGUUUAUUAAAAGAUGACAUUUUUGUUUAUUAAGAGAUGACAUUUUUUAUCACGGCAUUUUCUUUCUUUUGUGUUCACAUGGCAACUCAAAUUAUGGGACCACAGCAAGUUCAAAUAUAUAUUUAACAUCCACGUUUCAUAAAUUCAGAACAUGUCAUUUUCAAGUUUUAGAGUUACUUUGUGUUUUUAUACGGAUGUAGCGUUGAUGGGCUGUUACAAGGCAAUGGCGAUUCCAUGUGUAAGCUGUGGGGUCAGCUGACCCCACAACCUUUGGAUUGCAAGCCUACUUUUGUUCAUAUUUGUACCAAAAAUUAAAGGAAAAUGCUUGCCAUCCUCCAGCGGAUCUUAGCGGACGCGUCUGUCACCUUUUUUGCGUGACACGCGUCGAAAUAAGGUCGCCCACACCAUGUUUUGUCGAACAUAUUUAUGCAACAGAAGCUAUGUUUCGGAAACAUAUGCGAUGUUGCGAUGGUCCACGACAUAUUUAUAUCUUCCAACAAAACAUUUUUUGGAUAUUAUUUCUACAACAAGAUAUGAGUUGGAAAAAAUGCCACAAAAUCUCAGUUGCAAAUUUUUGCUACAAACAUCUGUUGCAAACAUUUCAGCAACAAGACGUAUGUUUCAAAAAUAAUUCCGCAACAAGACGUGUGUUGCAGAAAUAAUUUUGCAACAAUGCCUAUGUUGCAAUAAUGGAGACGCGUCCGAUCGUUCGAUGCUACAGAUCUAACGGCUUGUGACCCGGAUGAUCCUUUUAAAAGAUCAGUUGGAGGAUGCGUAGCACUCCCCCAAAUUAAAAUAUUUUAGAGAGAUUAGUGCAUGUGAACCCACAACUCUUCAGUACUGGCACCGCCGCUGUUACAAGGAGACCCCCGGCAUGACGUCCGCGUAUCGAAAAUCACUAAUUAAGGAUCACUUCUUAUAAAGGUCGCUCCAACCUUGCGAUAUUGCGAUAAAUGGGGCAUUCCAUGUGUAUCAUUUGUCACAAUAUUAGAGUUUUUUUUCGUACAUUCAUUUAUUCAACACGGUUUAUCUCUUAAAUCGUACGCCUAAUUUUUGAUUCGUUUUCAUCAUUUGAUAUUUUGCAUUGAGAUAUUCAAAACUAAACCCGAUGUUGAUAAGUUUUGAUGAACUUUUUUCAAAAAAAAACAGAAUGAAAAAAAUCCAUACCAGUUGAGGGAAAAAGCUGCGUUUUUCUUCGUUUCGAAGAGGCACAACCAUACCUAUCAUGAACGCAAACUCAUACUUUUCACGGAAUAGGAAAAAGGAAAACUUGUUUUCUUAUUUCCGAGAGCACGGCAGCAAACUCGUACCUCUCAUGAAAGUAAAAAAGAAUACAUUUUUUCAUUUUUAAGAAGCACGGCCAUGCCUCUCGUAAAUAAUAAAUAAAUAAAAUACAUUUUUUUUCCUUUUUGAAAGGCACACUCACGGAAAUAAAAAGAAAAGAAAGAACACAUUUUUUUUCUGGAAGCAAAUCAGUUCCUCUCACGAAAACAAACCCAUGGCUCUUCUGGAAGUAAAAAAAAGUGUUUUCAUUCCAUUUUUUGAGAGGCACGAUAGUGGCACUUACGAACGCAAACCCGUACCUCUUGCGAAAGUUAAAAAAACAUAUAAUUUGUUUGUUUUCAAGAGAAGCAACAAUGUCAUUCGCGGAAGCAAACCCGUACCUCUCGUGGAAGUAAAAAAACACUUUUUUUAUUUGUAACGCAUGGCGCGAAAAAAAGCCUUUUUCUUGUAAUUUUUUUGUCUAAAAGCUAAGAAAGACAAAUGAGAAAUCAAAAACAGAAAAAUCUUUAAAAAGCUAAAAACAUGUGCGAAAAUAAAAAAUAAUAAUAAUAAAAAAGUCUAAAACUCCUUCCUUAAUUGCUCCUGUGCGUGCCACAAAUGGAGGGACCUUCGUCCACUCUCCAUGCGGCUGAUUUUUUUUAUUUUUUUGCUCCUGGUUUUUAGGCGGGUUUAUUGUAGUGUCAGGUUAUUUCUACUAGUACAAAUGCCCGUGCGUUGUAACGGGCAAAAAAUGACGUAAAACCUGCUUGUGAUAGUACAUGCCAUAAAAGUUUGAUAAACAACAAUAAUAAUCUUAUACUGAUAUCGAUUUACAAAGUAUGAAGUGUCAUUACUUAUAUACAAUUUUGAUAAACAUCGAUAAUAAUUUUAUAAUGUUGUCGAGUGUGGACGCAAAGAAACCAACCUAAUAUUCUUCAUCUGAUGGAAGAGUAGUGGUGCAUGGAAUAGUCUAGUAAUCGGUUUUAUAUUUUGUUUUUCCAAAAAACACAAAUAUUUCAAUAUUUCAAAAUAGUUAAACAAAAUUGAAAUUUUUAAUCUUAUUAUUAGAAUUGCACUAAAUACUACAGAUCUUCCUCUGUAGAUGCUGAGAGCCAGAGAUCCACUGCGCGUCAUUGUUGGCCUGGUUGACAAAAAUGACGUUAUGAUGCAAUACAUGAAGGUACAUGGCUAAUGAUGCUUCUUCUUCUUGGUACAACUUUGGCUUAUAUAGUUCCGAGCGUGUGGUUUGCCAGCUCUUGCAUGCCUGAUUAAUCAGAAGAUGAUGAUCCAGUUUAUUAAGAUUUCACAUCUUCUCGAAGGGAAAAAGAAAGAAGAAAGGUGGUGGAGUAUAUUCCUGUAAUUGUUGUGGUAGAUGACAAUAUCUCUGUUCCCUUGGCCGUCUGUUGGUAGCAUUUCUGUUGUUUGGUAGCACAGCAAUAUCUUGGUAAAUUGAAGCUUUCUCAUCUCAUUUCCUGUGAAAGAGAAAAUAGGUAGUACCAAUAUCUAGAUAAACAUUUGUUUUAAUCAUUUAUACUACCAAUAUACAUCAAUCUGUAUUCAGCCUUCACUACUGGCUAAUGUGGGGAAAUUCUCAAUUUCUUUUGAUAUUUCUUCGGUGAACGAACAAACCCCAGACAACAACACAUUGAGCAAUAUGGAAAACCAUUCCUGAAUAGUAGAUAACGGAACAAGCGUUGGCCUACUGUUACAUGCUCAUAUUUGCAACUAUCAAGAGAAAAAUAAAUUGACUUGCAGUCAGCUGAUCCUUUCGUGGGGUUCAGUGACUAAGGGAGGCAGUCAUGUACAAUGGCACCAAAGUGGGAUCGAUGCGCCUUCUGGCUUCCGCUUCUCCCGGGUGACUGCUUCUUGAAUCAUCGGCAACUUCUGAUGAAUCUUCUUCCAUAUAUGGUUCAUAGCACCAUUUUCUGGGGCGGAGUCCCAGCUAUCGUGCUGACUGUUUUCGUACUCAAAGAUGUGCCGGACUCGGGCAAGGUUUCUUCUCAAAUCAUCCUUCUGCUGCUUGGAGAUAUUCCUUAGGUAGUUUGUUAGCCAUUUGGGUCUCAUUGCGUUACCGACUGACACAAAAAUGGAGAACUCUGUGUAGUCAAUCAUCCCUUUGAAAGGAAGCUCAAUGUCAUCGCUGACAAUGACUGGUAUGCAAAGACUUGCAACAGCGUCAAAUAGACGACAUGAACUUGGGGUGUCACCAGCUGGGUGCAAGCAGAGUUCUGAUGUCCGCAUCCCUUUUAUUGACUGUUCACUUCCUAUGGCAUUAGGAAAACCUUCCUCCAUGACAACAUCAGGCUCAUUAUCCAUCAAGUCCCACAAAUUUUCACGCACCAAACCACCCUGAAAACAAAUAAGCGGAUUGAUCAGAUAGAUGGUUUUAUUAUAAUUAUUAUUUUAGAAGCAGUAUAAGCUAGGCUGAAGUUUGUUAUUUCACUUAGAUAUACAAAUCAAAGGAACAACCUAGUUUUAGCUUAAUCAUGUGAUUCUGUUAUCAUUAUUGAUCUUCACAAAGAACCUCAGGAGUUGUACUACAAAUGUACACUGCAUAAGCGAUAAAAUCAUGUUGAAAGUAAAAUGAUUUUCAGUGUUUUUAGAUACAACACCUCAAAUGAUACUUCCUGGAACAAAUAUAGACAUAGAGAGAGAGCCAAACAUUUAUAUUUGAAAGAGCUAGCCUCACACAUAACAGAGACCUAGAAGAUGUUGUUUCUUCUUUUUAUUUAGAGAGCUAGUUUCAGAUAUUACAUAGGUUACAUAUAAAAACGAUGUAACCCAGGCUCAAGAAGUAAAUUACAAAUACUAUAUGUACAUGUUUGGACACCUUUUAUGAAAAUAAUGAUGAAAUGCAAGUGAAUAGUCAAGUACACGAUGGGAUCCAGAUAGCAGAUAAACCUUUCCAAAUAUAAUGCAUAAAUCAGGAGCUUGGCUUUAUGAUAAAUAAUACGAACCCGAUGCCUGUGUUUGGCUCCCUUGAAGUACAGAAGAGUGGGGCGAUCCAUAUUUUCUGACAGGUGCAGGGUAGGGAGCAAAUGUGUGUAAGGCACAAUGACAUCUUUGAGCAAUGACACUUGAGUGUGCUGUAUCAUAUGAGAAGAGUUGCUGCCUCCAGAUUUUGAAUCCAGUUUGUACCACCCACCAAAAUCAACCACCAGUAGAAUUGCAGGAGCAAUCUCCGCCCGGACAUGCCACAUUGCCAUAGGGUCUGUCAAAGAAUGCCUCAGUAUUUAACAUGACCUGGUCAUCCAAAAGAAAAAUAAGCUGUUAGGCAAAUCAAUCUUCACCAAGACAUAACUGCUAAUCAAAUCAAUCUUCACCAAGAAAUAAGCAAUACGCCAAACUUCGGCACCAAUUGCAUAAACACAUAGUAUUCUCAAUCCAAUGCCCAAGAGCGCUAAUAUGUACACACACACUUGGAAGAUCUACAAUAAGUUUCUUUACUGGUAUAUUUCAGGUAAGCCACUACAUGGGUGCGAAAACCUACAAAACCAAUAAGUUAUGCUUACAUCAAUUGAAAUUAUGCAAAAGGUACUAUGAUUUUUUUAGUAGCCUAACAUAUUUUUUCCCAUCUGCUAUACUUUGUUUUGUGAAUGAUUCCGAGAAAACUACCUUUGGCAAGAAGGUAUGGCAAACAUUCACAAGAAAACAUAUCACACCGAUAUAUGAAAACAUCACCCGGAAUGGGCUCCUCUCCACAAAGACAUCAUGAAUAUUAACUCCACUCUCGCACUGGUGCGUGUAUAUGUACAUGCCACUCGAAAUCCCUUGCGUUUUACGCUUCAUGGUGUCAGCGCAUCAAACAAUCUUAAGGUUCUCGUACAGGGUAACAGUCACUUGGCCUAUGGAACAUUGGCAUCAAGUAUCAGCAACUUAAUUAGGCUACAUUCCGAAUAGACCACAACAAUUGCAAACGGGCACAGUGAUACAAUACAGAUGAUCUAGAAAAGGGAAACAUACCACUUGAACAGGUGCACAGUGCAGAACAAACAUACGUAAUUCAUCUCAACUAUUCACGGGUGAAAGAUUCAUGCAGAGUCUGCUAUGUCGAAGGUGUUGGAAUUAUGCCCUAGAGGCAAUAAUAAAUAUAGUUAUUAUUAUAAUUCCUGUAUCAAGAUAAUCGUUUAUUAUCCAUGCUAUAAUUGUAUUGAAUAAAGACUUAUAUACAUGUGUGGAUACAUAGANNNNNNNNNNNNNNNNNNNNNNNNNNNNNNNNNNNNNNNNNNNNNNNNNNNNNNNNNNNNNNNNNNNNNNNNNNNNNNNNNNNNNNNNNNNNNNNNNNNNNNNNNNNNNNNNNNNNNNNNNNNNNNNNNNNNNNNNNNNNNNNNNNNNNNNNNNNNNNNNNNNNNNNNNNNNNNNNNNNNNNNNNNNNNNNNNNNNNNNNNNNNNNNNNNNNNNNNNNNNNNNNNNNNNNNNNNNNNNNNNNNNNNNNNNNNNNNNNNNNNNNNNNNNNNNNNNNNNNNNNNNNNNNNNNNNNNNNNNNNNNNNNNNNNNNNNNNNNNNNNNNNNNNNNNNNNNNNNNNNNNNNNNNNNNNNNNNNNNNNNNNNNNNNNNNNNNNNNNNNNNNNNNNNNNNNNNNNNNNNNNNNNNNNNNNNNNNNNNNNNNNNNNNNNNNNNNNNNNNNNNNNNNNNNNNNNNNNNNNNNNNNNNNNNNNNNNNNNNNNNNNNNNNNNNNNNNNNNNNNNNNNNNNNNNNNNNNNNNNNNNNNNNNNNNNNNNNNNNNNNNNNNNNNNNNNNNNNNNNNNNNNNNNNNNNNNNNNNNNNNNNNNNNNNNNNNNNNNNNNNNNNNNNNNNNNNNNNNNNNNNNNNNNNNNNNNNNNNNNNNNNNNNNNNNNNNNNNNNNNNNNNNNNNNNNNNNNNNNNNNNNNNNNNNNNNNNNNNNNNNNNNNNNNNNNNNNNNNNNNNNNNNNNNNNNNNNNNNNNNNNNNNNNNNNNNNNNNNNNNNNNNNNNNNNNNNNNNNNNNNNNNNNNNNNNNNNNNNNNNNNNNNNNNNNNNNNNNNNNNNNNNNNNNNNNNNNNNNNNNNNNNNNNNNNNNNNNNNNNNNNNNNNNNNNNNNNNNNNNNNNNNNNNNNNNNNNNNNNNNNNNNNNNNNNNNNNNNNNNNNNNNNNNNNNNNNNNNNNNNNNNNNNNNNNNNNNNNNNNNNNNNNNNNNNNNNNNNNNNNNNNNNNNNNNNNNNNNNNNNNNNNNNNNNNNNNNNNNNNNNNNNNNNNNNNNNNNNNNNNNNNNNNNNNNNNNNNNNNNNNNNNNNNNNNNNNNNNNNNNNNNNNNNNNNNNNNNNNNNNNNNNNNNNNNNNNNNNNNNNNNNNNNNNNNNNNNNNNNNNNNNNNNNNNNNNNNNNNNNNNNNNNNNNNNNNNNNNNNNNNNNNNNNNNNNNNNNNNNNNNNNNNNNNNNNNNNNNNNNNNNNNNNNNNNNNNNNNNNNNNNNNNNNNNNNNNNNNNNNNNNNNNNNNNNNNNNNNNNNNNNNNNNNNNNNNNNNNNNNNNNNNNNNNNNNNNNNNNNNNNNNNNNNNNNNNNNNNNNNNNNNNNNNNNNNNNNNNNNNNNNNNNNNNNNNNNNNNNNNNNNNNNNNNNNNNNNNNNNNNNNNNNNNNNNNNNNNNNNNNNNNNNNNNNNNNNNNNNNNNNNNNNNNNNNNNNNNNNNNNNNNNNNNNNNNNNNNNNNNNNNNNNNNNNNNNNNNNNNNNNNNNNNNNNNNNNNNNNNNNNNNNNNNNNNNNNNNNNNNNNNNNNNNNNNNNNNNNNNNNNNNNNNNNNNNNNNNNNNNNNNNNNNNNNNNNNNNNNNNNNNNNNNNNNNNNNNNNNNNNNNNNNNNNNNNNNNNNNNNNNNNNNNNNNNNNNNNNNNNNNNNNNNNNNNNNNNNNNNNNNNNNNNNNNNNNNNNNNNNNNNNNNNNNNNNNNNNNNNNNNNNNNNNNNNNNNNNNNNNNNNNNNNNNNNNNNNNNNNNNNNNNNNNNNNNNNNNNNNNNNNNNNNNNNNNNNNNNNNNNNNNNNNNNNNNNNNNNNNNNNNNNNNNNNNNNNNNNNNNNNNNNNNNNNNNNNNNNNNNNNNNNNNNNNNNNNNNNNNNNNNNNNNNNNNNNNNNNNNNNNNNNNNNNNNNNNNNNNNNNNNNNNNNNNNNNNNNNNNNNNNNNNNNNNNNNNNNNNNNNNNNNNNNNNNNNNNNNNNNNNNNNNNNNNNNNNNNNNNNNNNNNNNNNNNNNNNNNNNNNNNNNNNNNNNNNNNNNNNNNNNNNNNNGGGGGGGGGGGGGGGGGGGGGGGGGGAACCCACCCCGGGGAAGCCCAUAGGCUUUGGGGAGACACACCAACCCUUAGUGGGCUGGUGGGACAGCCCCAAGAGGGCCUAUGCGCCAAGAGAAGGAAAUCAAAGGAAAAGAAAAAAAAGAGGGAGGAAGUGGGAAGGGAGGGGGACUCCUCCCACCAAACCAAGUCCAACUCGGUUUGGGGGGGGAGUCCUCCCCCCUUUGGCUCGGCCGACCCCUUGGGAGUCCCUUGGACCCCAAGGCAAGGCCCCCCACCCUCCUCCUAUAUAUAUGGGGCUUUUAGGGCAGAUUUGAGACGACUUUCUCACGGCUGCCCGACCACAUACCUCCAUAGUUUUUCCUCUAGAUCGCGUUUCUGCGGAGCUUGGGCGGAGCCCUGCUGAGACGAGAUCAUCACCAACCUCCGGAGCACCGUCAUGAUGCCGGAGAACUCUUCUACCUCUCCGUCUCUCUUGCUGGAUCAAGAAGGCCGAGAUCAUCGUCGAGCUGUACGUGUGCUGAACGCGGAGGUGCCGUCCGUUCGGUACUAGAUCGUGGGACUGAUCGCGGGAUUGUUCGCGGGGCGGAUCGAGGGACGUGAGGACGUUCCACUACAUCAACCGCGUUCUCUAACGCUUCUGCUGUACGAUCUACAAGGGUACGUAGCUCACUCAUCCCCUCUCGUAGAUGGACAUCACCAUGAUAGGUCUUCGUACGCGUAGGAAAUUUUUUGUUUCCCAUGCGACGUUCCCCAACACUCAUUUGAUUACCGGAAGGUUUUCGGAGUUACCGGGAAUGUACCGGGAAUGACGAAUGGGUUCCGGGAGUUCACCGGGGGGGGGGGGGACACCCCCCCGGGGAACCCCCACGGGUUUGGGGGACAAACGGUUUUACCUCUAGAUCGCGUUUCUGCGGAGCUCGGGCGGAGCCCUGCCGAGAUCAGAUCACCACCAACCUCCGAAGCGCCGUCACGCUGCCGGAGAACUCAUCUACCUCUCCGUCUCUCUUGCUGGAUCAAGAAGGCCGAGAUCAUCGUCGAGCUGCACGUGUGCUGAGCGCGGAGGUGCCGUCCGUUCGGCACUAGAUCAUGGGACGGAUCGCGGGACGGUUCGUGGGACGGUUCGCGGGGCGGAUCGAGGGACAUGAGGACGUUCCACUACAUCAACCGCGUUCACUAACGCUUCUGCUGUGCGAUCUACAAGGGUACGUAGAUCGGAAAUCCCCUCUCGUAGAUGAACAUCACCAUGAUAGGUCUUCGUGCGCGUAGGAAAAAAAUUGUUUCCCAUGCGACGUUCCCCAACAGUGGCAUCAUGAGCUAGGUUCAUGCGUAGAUGUCUUCUCGAGUAGAACAUAAAUUUUUUUGUGGGCGGUGAUGUGCGUUUUGCUGCCCUCCUUAGUCUUUUCUUGAUUCCGCGGUAUUGUUGGAUUGAAGCGGCUUGGACCGACAUUACUCGUACGCUUACGAGAGACUGGUUUCAUCGUUACGAGUAACUCCGUUGCUCAAAGAUGACUGGCAAGUGUCGGUUUCUCCAACUUUAGUUGAAUCGGAUUUGACCGAGGAGGUCCUUGUAUAAGGUUAAACAGCAAUUCAUGUAUCUCCGUUGUGGUGUUUGCGUAAGUAAGAUGCGAUCCUACUAAAUACCCAUGGUCACUACGUAAAACAUGCAACAACAAAAUUAGAGGACGUCUAACUUGUUUUUGCAGGGUAUGCUUGUGAUGUGAUAUGGCCAACGAUGUGAUGUGAUAUAUUGGAUGUAUGAGAUGAUCAUGUUGUAAUAGAUAAUAUCGACUUGCACGUCGAUGGUACGGCAACCGGCACGAGCCAUAGGGUUGUCUUUAAACUAACGUUUGUGCUUGCAGAUGCGUUUACUAUUUUGUUAGGAUGUAGCUUUAGUAGUAAUAGCAUGAGUAGCACGACAACCCCGAUGGCGACACGUUGAUGGAGAUCAUGGUGUGGCGCCGGUGACAAGAAGAUCGUGCCGGUGCUUUGGUGAUGGAGAUCAAGGAGCACGUGAUGAUGGCCAUAUCAUGUCACUUAUGAAUUGCAUGUGAUGUUAAUCCUUUUAUGCACCUUAUUUUUCUUAGAACGACGGUAGCAUUAUGAGGUGAUCUCUCACUAAAAUUUCAAGACGAAAUUGUGUUCUCCCCGACUGUGCACCAUUGCUACAGUUCGUCGUUUCGAGACACCACGUGAUGAUCGGGUGUGAUAGACUCAAUGUUCACAUACAACGGGUGCAAAAUAGUUGCACACGCAGAACACUCGGGUUAAGCUUGACGAGCCUAGCAUGUGCACACAUGGCCUCGGAACACAUGAGACCGAAAGGUCGAUCAUGAAUCAUAUAGUUGAUAUGAUUAGCAUAGGGAUGCUUACCACUGAAACUAUACUCAACUCACGUGAUGAUCGGACUUGAGCUAGUGUAAGUGGGUCAUGAACCACUCAAAUGACUAGAGAGAUGUACUUUUUGAGUGGGACUUUAGCAAGUAAUUUGAUUAAGUUAAACUCUAAUUAUCUUGAACAUAGUCUAAGUCCACUUUGAAUAUAUUUGUGUUGUAGAUCAUGGCUCACACGACAGUCACCCUGAAUAUUAAUACGUUCCUAGAGAAAGCUAAGUUGAAAGAUGAUGGAAGCAACUUUGUAGACUCGGCUCGUAAUCUUAAGCUGAUCCUACAAGCUGGGAAGAAGGAUUAUGUCCUUAAUGCUGCGCUAGGAGAUGAACCACCCGCUACGGCUGACCAGGAUGCUUAGAACUCUUGGUUAACACGUAAGGAGGACUACUCAGUAGUUCAAUGUGCAGUCUUGUAUGGCUUAGAACUGGGACUUCAAUGUCGCUUUGAGCGUCUUGGAGCAUAUGAGAUGUUCCAGGAGUUGAAGUUUAUCUUUCACAAGAACGCCCGGAUCGAGAGGUAUGAGACCUCCGAUAAAUUCUAUGCUUGCAAGAUGGAGGAGAAUUCGUCUGUCAGUGAACAUGUGCUCAAAAUGUCUGGAUACUCAAACCGUCUAGCUGAGCUGGGGAUUGAACUCCCGCAAGAGGCUAUCACUGACAGAAUUCUUCAAUCACUGCCGCCAAGCUAUAAAGGCUUUGUGUUGAACUACAACAUGCAAGGGAUGAACAAGUCACCCGGCGAGUUGUUUGCGAUGCUGAAAGUCGCAGAGUCUGAACUCCGUAAAGAGCAUCAAGUGUUGAUGGUGAAUAAGACCACUAGUUUCAAGAGAAACGGCAAAGGCAAGAAGGGUAAUUCAAAGAAGAGCGGCAAGCCUGUUGCCAAUCCGACGAAGAAACCCAAAGCUGGACCUAAGCCUGAAACAAAGUGCUACUAUUGCAAGGGUAUGGGUCACUGGAAGCGCAAGUGCCCCAAGUAUCUGGCUGAUAAGAAGGCGGCCAAAGAAAAAUCAGGUAUAUUUGGUAUACAUGUUAUUGAUGUGUACUUAACCGGCUCUCGUAGUAGUGCCUGGGUAUUCGAUACCGGUUCUGUUGCUCAUAUUUGCAACUCGAAACAGGAACUGCGGAAUAGGCGAAGGCUGGCAAAAGAUGAAGUGACGAUGCGCGUAGGAAAUGGUUCCAAGGCUGAUGCAAUCGCCGUCGGCACAGUUUCACUUCAGUUACCAUCAGGAUUAGUUAUGAACUUGAAUAAUUGUUAUUUAGUGCCUGCGUUGAGCAUGAACAUUAUAUCUUGAUCUUGUUUAUUGCGAGACGGUUACUCUUUUAAGUCAGAGAAUAAUGGUUGUUCUAUUUCUAUGAGUAACAUCUUUUAUGGUCAUGCACCCAAUGUGAGAGGAUUGUUCAUAUUGAAUCUUGAUAGUGGUACACAUAUACAUAACAUUGAGACCAAAAGAGUUAGAGUUAACAAUGAUAGCGCCAUGUUUUUGUGGCACUGCCGCUUAGGUCAUAUUGGUGUAAAGCGCAUGAAGAAACUCCAUACCGAUGGACUUUUGGAGUCACUUGACUUUGAUUCACUUGACACGUGCGAACCAUGCCUCAUGGGCAAGAUGACUAAAACUCCGUUCUCUGGAACAAUGGAGCGUGCCACUGACUUGUUGGAAAUCAUACAUACCGAUGUGUGCGGUCCGAUGAGCGUGGAGGCACGCGGCGGAUAUCGUUAUUUUCUCACCUUCACUGACGAUUUGAGUAGAUAUGGUUAUGUCUACUUAAUGAAGCACAAGUCUGAAACAUUUGAAAAUUUCAAGCAAUUUCAGAGUGAAGUUGAAAAUCAUCGUAACAAGAAGAUCAAGUUCCUACGGUCUGAUCGUGGGGGUGAAUAUCUGAGUUUCGAGUUUGGUGCUCACUUAAGACAAUGUGGAAUUGUUUCACAGUUGACACCGCCUGGAACACCACAGCGUAAUGGUGUGUCCGAACGUCGUAAUCGUACUUUAUUAGAGAUGGUCGAUCUAUGAUGUCUCUUACCGAUUUGCCGUUAUCGUUUUGGGGUUAUGCAUUAGACACAGCUGCAUUCACUUUAAAUAGGGCACCAUCAAAAUCCGUUGAGACGACACCAUACGAACUGUGGUAUGGCAAAAGGCCAAAGUUGUCAUUUCUUAAAGUUUGGGGAUGUGAUGCUUAUGUCAAAAAGCUUCAGCCUGAAAAGCUGGAACCCAAAGCGGAAAAGUGCAUCUCCAUAGGUUACCCAAAAGAGACAGUUGGGUACACCUUCUAUCUCAAAUCCGAGGGCAAAGUGUUUGUUGCUAAAAACAUAGCUUUUCUCGAGAAGGAGUUUCUCUCGAGAGAAUUGAGUGGGAGGAAGAUAGAACUUGAUGAGGUUGUCGAACCUCUCAUCCCUCUGGAUGGUGGCGCAGGGCAGGGGGAAACCUCUGUCGUUGCGACGCCGGUUGAGGAGGAAGUUAAUGAUGAUGAUCAUGAAACUCCAGUUCAAGUUUCUGUUGAACCACGCAGGUCGACGAGAUCACGCGCUGCUCCAGAGUGGUACGGUAAUCCCGUCUUAUCAAUCAUGUUGUUAGACAACAAUGAACCUGCAAAUUAUGAAGAAGCAAUGGUGGGCCCAGAUUCCAACAAAUGGCUAGAAGCCAUGAAAUCCGAGAUAGGAUCCAUGUAUGAGAACAAAGUGUGGACUUUGGAGAUACUACCUGAGGGCCGCAAGGCUAUUCAGAACAAAUGGAUCUUUAAGAAGAAGACGGACGCUCACGGUAAUGUGACCGUUUAUAAAGCUCAACUUGUGGCAAAGGGUUUUUCACAAGUUCCAGGAGUUGACUACGAUGAGACCUUCUCUCCCGUAGCGAUGCUUAAGUCCGUCAGAAUCAUGUUAGCAAUAGCUGCAUUUUUCGAUUAUGAAAUCUGGCAGAUGGAUGUCAAAACGGCGUUCCUUAACGGUUUCCUUAAGGAAGAGUUGUAUAUGAUGCAACCCGAAGGUUUUGUCGAUCCUAAGAAUGCUAACAAGGUGUGCAAGCUCCAGCGAUCCAUUUAUGGACUGGUGCAAGCAUCUCGGAGUUGGAACAAACGCUUUGAUGAGGUGAUCAAAGCAUUUGGGUUUAUACAAGUGGUUGGAGAAUCUUGUAUUUACAAGAAAGUGAGUGGGAGCUCUGUGGCGUUUAUAAUAUUAUAUGUGGAUGACAUAUUGCUGAUUGGAAACAACGUAGAGUUUUUGGAGAGCAUAAAGGAUUACUUGAAUAAAAGUUUCUCUAUGAAGGACCUAGGAGAAGCUGCUUACAUUCUAGGCAUUAAGAUCUACAAGGAUAGAUCGAAACGCCUGAUAGGACUUUCACAAAGCACAUACCUUGAUAAAGUUUUGAAAAGGUUCAAAAUGAAACAGUCCAAGAAAGGGUUCUUGCCAGUUUUACAUGGUACGAGAUUGAGUAAGACUCAGUGCCCAGCAACUGAUAAAGAUAGAGAGCAUAUGAGUACCGUCCCCUAUGCUUCAGCCAUAGGAUCUAUCAUGUAUGCAAUGCUGUGCACUAGACCGGACGUCAGCCUGGCCAUAAGUAUGGCAGGCAGGUUCCAGAGUAAUCCAGGAGUGGAUCACUGGACGGCGCCAAGAAUAUCCUGAAGUACCUGAAAAGGACUAAGGAGAUGUUUCUCGUGUAUGGAGGUGACGAAGAGCUCGCCGUAAAGGGUUACGUCGAUGCAAGCUUUGACACAGAUCCGGACGACUCUAAGUCGCAGACCGGAUACGUAUUUAUUCUUAAUGGGGGUGCAGUAAGCUGGUGCAGUUCCAAGCAAAGCGUCGUAGCUGAUUCUACAUGUGAAGCAGAGUACAUGGCUGCCUCGGAGGCGGCUAAGGAGGGUGUCUGGAUGAAGCAGUUCAUGACGGAUCUUGGAGUGGUGCCAAGCGCACUGAAUCCAAUAACCUUGUUCUGUGACAACACGGGUGCCAUUGCCUUAGCAAAGGAACCACGGUUUCACAAGAAGACUAGACACAUCAAACGACGCUUCAACCUCAUCCGCGACUACGCCGAAGGGGAGGACGUAAAUAUAUGCAAAGUGCACACGGAUCUGAAUAUAGCAGACCCGCUGACUAAACCUCUUCCACGGGCAAAGCAUGAUCAACACCAGAACUGUACGGGUGUUAGAUUUAUUACAAUGUAAUUCGCAUGAUGAUGUGAGGGCUAGAUUAUUGACUCUAGUGCAAGUGGGAGACUAUUGGAAUUAUGCCCUAGAGGCAAUAAUAAAUAUAAUUAUUAUUAUAAUUCCUGUAUCAAGAUAAUCGUUUAUUAUCCAUCCUAUAAUUGUAUUGAAUAAAGACUUAUAUACAUGUGUGGAUACAUAGACCAAACAUUGUCCCUAGCAAGCCUCUAGUUGGCUAGCCAGUUGAUCAAAGAUAGUCAGGAUCUUCUGAUUAUAUAGAAGGUGUUGUUGCUUGAUAACUGGAUCACGUCAUUAGGAGAAUCACGUGAUGGACUAGACCCAAACUAAUAGACGUAGCAUGUUGAUCGUGUCAUUUUGUUGCUACUGUUUUCUGCGUGUCAAGUAUUUGUUCCUAUGACCAUGAGAUCAUAUAACUCACUGACACCGGAGGAAUGCUUUGUGUGCAUCAAACGUCGCAACGUAACUGGGUGACUAUAAAGAUGCUCUACAGGUAUCUCCGAAGGUGUUCGUUGAGUUAGUAUGGAUCGAGACUGGGAUUUGUCACUCCGUGUGACGGAGAGGUAUCUCGGGGCCCACUUGGUAAUACAACAUCACACACAAGCCUUGCAAGCAAUGUGACUUAGUGUAAGUUGCGGGAUCUUGUAUUACGGAACGAGUAAAGAGACUUGCCGGUAAACGAGAUUGAAAUAGGUAUGCGGAUACUNNNNNNNNNNNNNNNNNNNNNNNNNNNNNNNNNNNNNNNNNNNNNNNNNNNNNNNNNNNNNNNNNNNNNNNNNNNNNNNNNNNNNNNNNNNNNNNNNNNNNNNNNNNNNNNNNNNNNNNNNNNNNNNNNNNNNNNNNNNNNNNNNNNNNNNNNNNNNNNNNNNNNNNNNNNNNNNNNNNNNNNNNNNNNNNNNNNNNNNNNNNNNNNNNNNNNNNNNNNNNNNNNNNNNNNNNNNNNNNNNNNNNNNNNNNNNNNNNNNNNNNNNNNNNNNNNNNNNNNNNNNNNNNNNNNNNNNNNNNNNNNNNNNNNNNNNNNNNNNNNNNNNNNNNNNNNNNNNNNNNNNNNNNNNNNNNNNNNNNNNAGCCCAAGAGGGCUCUAUGCGCCAAGGAUAGAAAAUCAAAGAGAAAAGAAAAAAAAGGAGGUGGGAAAGGAGAGAAGGACUCCACUUUCCAAUCCUAGUUGGACUAGGAUUGGAGGAGGACUCCUCCUCCCCUUGGUGCGCAGCCCUUGGGGCUACUUGAGCCUCAAGGCAAGCCUCCCCUCCCUCCUCCUAUAUAUAUGGAGCAAUUAGGGCUGAUUUGAGACAACUUUUUAAAGGCAGCCCGACCACAUACCUCCACGGUUUUACCUCUAGAUCGCGUUUCUGCGGAGCUCGGGCGGAGCCCUGCCGAGAUCAGAUCACCACCAACCUCCGGAGCGCCUUCACGCUGCCGGAGAACUCAUCUACCUCUCCGUCUCUCUUGCUGGAUCAAGAAGGCCGAGAUCAUCGUCGAGCUGCACGUGUGCUGAACGCGGAGGUGCCGUCCGUUCGGCACUAGAUCGUGGGACGGAUCGCAGGACGGUUCGCGGGGCGGAUCGAGGGACGUGAGGACGUUCCACUACAUCAACCGCGUUCACUAACGCUUCUGGUGUGCGAUCUACAAGGGUACGUAGAUCGGAAAUCCCCUCUCGUAGAUGAACAUCACCAUGAUAGGUCUUCGUGCGCGUAGGAAAAAAAUUGUUUCCCAUGCGACGUUCCCCAACAGAAGGAACAAUUAGUUACGCAGCCAAGGGUACUACUCCUGCUGGUAAUGCACUGGGAGCAGGGAUAGUUGGUGAAUGGAUUUUGCACAAGGAAUCAAGCGCACCAUCAGUUAGGAUUGACCCACAAAAUCUUAGGGGGGGUCAAUGAUGGCAGAUGUUGAGGCGGUGGAAGGAGAAUAUAAUCUUGGGGAUUGGGUGGAGCGAGAGGUGAGAGCACGUACCACCGGGAGAGCAUCGAUGAAGUUGCUUUAGAUGGUGUCGAGCGGCCGCGUGUUGUAGUCCGCCGGUGUGCAGAUCGCCGCCAGGUUUAUCGUCUGCGCGGAGCAAGGGCAGAUCCAACCGGCCAGCCACAGAGACGCAAGAACAAGACCGUCAGCGGCUUUCCAGAAUCUCAGGGGACGAACGCCGAUAUUAUUAUUUUUCGAGCGACGAACGCGCGACUGGCAACUGAAUCAAGAAACUGAAUCCGAAGAAAAUCGUUCCAUUUUUUCGCGGGCCAAUCCGCCAUUGGAGGCACCACGAGAGGAAGGGGGAGGGAGGGAGGGGAAGUACUAGAUCGGCCAUCUUGACGAGGCCAUCGAGGCGGGGGUCGUUCUUGAUGUUGAGGCGGUGGAAGGAGAUGCGUCCGGCGAGGUGGGGAGGCGGCGGGUCGACGAGGUCGCGGAUCUUGUGGGAGUAGAUGUUGACGGCGAGGACGACGUGCGGGGUCUCGGCCAUGAGCUUCUCGCAGAGGUGGGAGCCGAUGAAGCCGUCAGCGCCGAUCAUGCAGAUGGUGAGCGGCACCACGGCGCCGCCGUCCAGAUCCACCCUGCCCCCGCUCGCCAUGCUCUCGCUCCCUCGCUCCCCCGGCGGUGGAUGGAAGGAAGGAAUGGGGUGGGGGCGCCGCGAGCGGGACGGGGGAGAUUUCUUCGCUGGCGCUCACGCUGACGGCCGCUGCGGGCAGGACGGGAAAGAUGCGGGACAGGGAAGAUGACUAAAAACAGGACUGCGGGUUGAUUCCGAAAAAAUAGAAGGAUUUUUAUGUAAAAGUGGCGUGACGAACGGCAGAAGCACUGCGUGCUUUAUUAUUAGGGAGAGAUAUGUACAUACUGUAGCAUCUGGGUUAAAGUAUCUCUAGAAGACCCCGCAAAAGUUGAUACUUAAAAAUGCAUAUAAUAGUCAUUAUAAAUCGUUUUUAUGACGCGAAAUUUCUUCGAACAGAGCAGACGUCGUAAAUGAAACUGUAUCCCACUGUAGUACAUUUUUUACCUUUUUCCUCCCAUCCCGACGAGCCGUCUCUCUGGCCCCGACGUGCCUCACCCUCGCACCCUGGCUCGCCCUGAUGCCACCCGCCUCGUCCCAGCAUCGCCCAUUCCGGGCCACGCAUGCAGUGAGGAGCCAUGCGCCGCCCGCCCUGACCGCACGCUCCCUGGCGCGUCCGCCCAUCCCUGGCGCGCCCGCCCGUCCCUGAUUUGAGCCCGGCACUGCCCGCCGCUGCACGCGUGUUCACCGACGUGGCCGCGCGAGCUCCCUCACCCGUGCCUCGCUCUUCUCCGGUGUCGCCCCGUCCUGAUUCGGGCCGUUGUUGGCCUGCUCCGCCCUGCCUGUGGACGGCCUUGCCUCGGCAGUGGAGGUCGAGCUGGCCGCAAUUUGGACCGCCGACGAUAAAUUCAGGCGUGCGGCGGCUUCAUUCGACAUACGGUGACGAAUUCCGAUGAGUUCCACGUACAUUGUGGCUAGUUCCGCGGCGGCGCGUUUGCUCCGACGAGGUUUGACCAGUUUACAUGUUGAACUGUAUACUGCCUCCAAAACUACACAUAUAAGGUUUUCGCGGAUGGAUUUACCGUGCCCCCUAAAAAGUUUACGGAUCGAACAAGUUUUAUGAGAUCUGCUCCACGCCGUUUUUUCGACCGAUACUGUAAACACAUCAUUUUUUUAUGGAUUUAAUCAUUAUACGGGUCUGUUAGGGACGUUCUCGCUGCAAAUGGGCGUACUGUGGCCGAGCCAUUACUGACUGGCAUCUUUGCUCCAAAUAUGCGCUGUAGCAUCCGUUUUACUAUAUCCCACCCUUUUUGGCCGGCUUCUAUUUUUGACACAGUGGAAGAUACACAUUGAACAUUGUAUAAUAUCCGUUGAACAUUUCUAAUAUACAAUGAACAUUUUAAAAAUACAUGAUGAACUUUUUGUAUUAUAUGAUGUUAUUGUCUUAUUGAUGAUCAUUUUUUAAUAAUACAUGAACAUAUACGUUGAAAGUUUUUCAAAUAUGCAUUGAACAUUUUUUUAAUAUACGUUGAUCAAUUUUUUAAUAUACGUUGAGCAACUUUCUAAUACAUAUUGAAAAUUUGUGUAAUAUAAGCUAAACAAAUUAAAAAAAUAUAGUGAACAUUUUUAUAUUGGUUGAGUAAUUUGUAAUAUAUGAUGAACAUUUUUGUAAUCCAUGAUGAACUUUGUAUAGUAUAGGGUGAACAUUUUCUUAAUAUACAAUGAACAUUUUCAUAAGACAAUAUGAACUUUGUAUAAUGAAACAGAAAAAAUAAACAAUGAAGGAAGACCUUAACUAGUUAACAUGCAUCUAGUGAUAAUAAAAAUGAUAAAGAUAAUGAUGAUGUUCACGUAGAUGCUCAACCAGAUAGUAAUAAAGAACCUGAUAAUUGAUAGUCUCCAGCAUAUCGAUAAUUAAUAUCUUGAGAAGAGUCGGCUGAUCCAAAGAGCAAGCUGCAUAGUGCUUCCUCAAACAACUAACUCCUCUGUUCGCUCCCCCUUCCCACGCGAGGGCGAACCCUAGCCCCCUUCUCCUCCAGCCCAACUCACUACCCUCCUCCCUUGCCGAUGUCGACAUGCGCCGUCGAGCUCUUGCCCGCGUGUUGUUGUCAGUGGUGGGAUGAUCUUUCCGUGAGCACGCGACGGGGGCACGGAGGCUCCUCCUGGCGACGGUGUUGCUUGGCCGACGACGGGGUGGUUCAUGCGGGCCUCGGGUGCCUUAGGCGCGGCGGCGCGGUCGUUGGCUGCAGGGUGGUGCAGUGGUGUCGGAGCUCAUCCGACGACGUUCGCUAGGCCCAGAUCUGCUCCCUUUGGGCCCAUUUGGGUUCGGGCAGGCCGGUGGCUCUCUACACGGCGGCGAGACUCCCUGGAAGUGGAGGUGGGGCGGCGAUCUUCUGUGGGUGGCAGCGGCAUUGGCAACCGGCGUGCUGCAGUGUGGUUGUCGGCUUUGGUCCCGUCCGUGCUAACUCCAACGAGUACUUUCCGCGGAGACGUACACGUAAGCAGCAACUCGUAGCUAACCAGGCACACAACUAGCUGGAUGGAUUUGCAGAGGUGGCCAGCUAGCUUCGUAUCGCGUCACCAGUAGGCAAAACACGAGAACAAGAGACGCUGGGUUUUGGAUGGCUAAACCAGGGCCUUGUCGGUCAUGUUGAUCUAUUGCUUUGUAUUGAUCUGAUCUGGUUACAAGGGGUAGCUUACACGAGUAUAUAAAGAACUAAAGCUAGCCUAAUACACUUCGAGUCGGUUUGAUUGUUCCGGUCCAACCCGGACACGGACAGCGUGGUUAUUUCCAACAAUCACCCCCCUAAACACGAUGUCCUCACUUCACAGCUUGGACGCCGAUCCUUCUCCGCAUCUCUGUAAACUUCUGUCGUCCCAAAGACUUGGUCAGGAUAUCUGCAAGCUGAUCAUCGGUGCAAACGUAGUUGACUUUAAUCUUGCCUUCUUCCACGCACUGCCGUAUGUAGUGAUACCUCAUAUCAAUGUGCUUGCUCCUGUCAUGAUGCACUGGAUUCUUACAUAGAGCAAUCGCAGACUUGUUGUCAACAUAGAGCACCAUUCCUUUCGGUUCUUUGUGUGUGAGGUCACCGAGUAGCCUUUCUAAAAACACACCUUGACACGCCGCGGUUGCAGCUGCAAUAUACUCCGCUUCACAGGAUGAUAAUGCGACCACCUUCUGCUUUUGUGAUAGCCAACUCACUAUGCUCCCGCCCAAGAAAUAUGCCACUCCCGAGGUACUUUUAUGGUCGUCCACAUCUCCUGCCAGGUCACUAUCACUAUAGCCAAGUAGCUCCACCAUCUCCUUCUUAUUCCCUCUCAAAUAGACACAACCGAAGUUUGUUGUCCCUUUGAUGUAUCUGAGUAUAUGUUUCACAGCUGUCCAAUGUUCCUUCGUGGGUGCUUCCAUGAAGCGACUCACUAUGCCAACGGAAUAGGCCAAGUCUGGUCGUGUAUUCACAAGAUACCUUAGACUUCCGACCACACUCCUAUACUCCGUUGCAUCAACCACGGGUGCUUUGCUUCUCUUGCUAAGUUUAAGACGAGGCUCCAUCGGAACAAAAGUUGGUUUGCAGUCCUCCAUGCCACAACUUUCAAGAAUCUUCUUUGCAUAUGCCUCCUGGCAUAGUGUGAUCCCCUCAGGCUUUUGUUGUACCUCAAUCCCGAGAUAGUAACUCAAGAGCCCUAGAUCACUCAUCUUGAAUAGCUCCUUCAUUUAUAGCUUGAAUCUAGCAAUCUCCUCUUCAUCUGCUCCGGUUAUCAAAAGAUCGUCGACAUAGAUGCUCACUAAGAGACGAUCCUUGCCUUUGCCUCGCUUAUACAUAGCAUGCUCGAGUGGACUUUUCUCAAAACCAAGAGAAACCGGUGUACGGUCAAGCUUGAUGUUCCAUGCCCGAGGAGCUUGACAUAGCCCGUACAAUGCCUUGUGUAGUUUCAGCACCUUGUGUUCCUCUCCUUCUUUGAUGUACCCCGGUGGUUGCUUGACAUAAACUUCUUCUUCCAACUCCCCGUUCAAAAACGCGGAUUUUACAUCCAUGUGAUGUAGCCUCCAAGAUUCUUGAGCCGCAAGAGCUAUAACUAGCCUCACCGAUUCCAUCCUUGUAACUGGAGCAAACACUUCUUCCAAAUCCACACCUUGCUCUUGCACGUAUCCCUUAGCUACGAGCCUUGCUUUGUAUUUCACAAGAUUUCCAUCGGCAUCCUUUUUGACCUUGCACACCCACUUGAGCCCUAUAAUUUUAUGGCCGCUGGGAGGAUCCACGAGCUCCCAUGUUUUGUUGUCUCGGAUCGACCCCAACUCCUCAUCCAUAGCACGACGCCAACACUCCUCCGCGUUUGCUUCUUCAAACUUUGUCGGUUCCUCGACACUAAGCAAACAUUGUCGUCCUCUUCUCUUAAUUUUCACCGGAUUUAUAGUUUGAAAUGUUUCCUUCGGAUAUAAAUCCACCACUGAUCGCAGACGUACUGGUGUUGGCGGACGUUCCCUCGUCUCCUCUUUCGUCGAAGACAAAGAAUUUUCUGCUGAAGUUGCCACACUUCCGAUUUCUGGCGAUUGGAGCACCCCUGUACUGGCUACACAUCCACGAGGUGAACCAGGUGAAACUGGUGCACGUACAAGAGAACCAUCAGCCCCAUGCACGUGGCUUGGUGUACUCUGGGUCAUACCACCAUCACGUGAACCUCCAGGAGAGGUGCCACAGCCUGGGCUACCAGCGCUACGGGGAACGCUGUCAGGCGUGCUGCAGGCUGCAGCUUGUAUGGCUCCCUUGCCUCAGUGGCUGCAUGUAGACCCAGCAGCGCUAGAGGACGUGCUGAUCGCGGGCUCAAGCGACACGGCCGACCUAGCUGGCGUGUUUUCAGUAGCACCUGCGUUCGAAGGAUCGCUCUGUCCCGACGACCUCUUCAGUUGAUCGUCAGCUUCUGUAUGUUCAGGUUCGUCGUAAACGACAUUAAAAAUGUCAUCUGAUGACGGGUAUACUUGCUCGGUGGAGUUCCAAUUCCAUGACCUCGCUUCUUCAAAGACCACAUCACGCGUCACAACCACCUUGUUGUUCGAGGGGUUGCACGCACGGUACGCCUUUGUGCCCGCUUCAUAGCCAACCAAUAUCAUUGGAGUACUCCGAUCCGCCAAUUUGCUAGUAUGCCCCGCCACUGUCUUCACAUGCGCCACGCACCCGAAAGUACGAAGAUGAUCAACCGCGGGCUUGUGUCCGUACCAUGCUUCGUACGGCGUCAUUCCAACCACACUCUUGGUUGGAGCCCGGUUCANNNNNNNNNNNNNNNNNNNNNNNNNNNUUCAGCAAAUAAACGGCCGUAUUGACCGCCUCACCCCAAUACUUCCCUGGCAUGCCUUUACUCUUUAACAUGCUCCGUGCCAUCGCCACCACAGUUUGGUUCCUCCGCUCCACAACACCAUUUUGCUGUGGUAAAUAUGGAGCCGUAAGAUACCGCUUGAUCCCGUGUGUUUCGCAGAAUCUUGUGAAUUCACGAGACUUGAACUCACCCCCCCCCCCCGAUCGGUACGGAGGGCCUUCAUCUUGGCUUCGGAUUCCACUUCGGCCGCCAUCUUUACUAUCCUGAAGGCUUCCAAAGCUUGAUCCUUCGUCUUCAACAACACAAUCCACAUGUAUCUGCUGAAGUCGUCGGCGAUGAGCAGGAAAUAUCUAUUUCCGGCAGGGGUGGCCGGUGUAAUCGGCCCGCACAAAUUUCCGUGGACCAACUCAAGAACUUUACUCGCUCUAAAGUUUCCCUCUCUUGGGAACGGGGCCCUCCUUUGUUUCCCAAUAAGACAACCGUCGCACACUUGGUCGACAUGUUCGAUGCACGAUAGACCACGUACCAUCUCUUUUUGUCCAAGUUGCCGAAGAGCCUGGAAAUUUAGAUGUCCGUAGCGUGCGUGCCACUUCCAUGCCGAGUCAUCCAUGCUCGACAAGAGUCAUACUGGAUCCACACGAGACAAGUUGAGGAUGUAAAGUCUGUUCGGUGACCUCUGCACCUUCAUAAUUAGCAUCCUCUGGCGAUCAUACCCCCAUAGAUAGCCAUCUUCGAGCACAAUCUUGCAACCACGCUCCUCGAGCUGGCCAAGACUUAUGAUGCUACUCUUUAGCUUGGGAAUAUAGUAAACAUCCGUGAGUACCUUGUGGCCGCCAUUCUUCAACUCAAACAGGACAGUACCUCGCCCUGCGAUGUCAACGGUCCGUCCAUCGCCGAACCGAACCGUGCCUCCCACCGAAAGUCUGAGCUCAGAAAACUGGUCCUUGUCGCCGGUCAUGUGGUUGCUAGCUCCCGUGUCGAGGUACCACACGUGCCUCGCCGAGUUCAUCCUCUUCUUGUCAUGAAGAAAAACUGCCUCCUCUAUGAGCGUAACAACCUCCGUAGCUGGCACCUUAGGAGUUGGACUAUCCUCGUCCAUUAGCUCGCAUACUUCGACCAUGAGCAUCAUGUCGCCAUCAUCGCCUUCCUUGGCCAUGAAAGCUUUCUCCUUCGGUGGUUUCUUGCACUCCGACUUGAAGUGCCCCAUUAUGCCACAGUUGUGACACUUGAUCUUGCGCUUGUCGAACUUCUUUUUCUUCUUCGGAGCGCCGUCACUGGCGUUCUUCUGAAUUUGUUUGUUUGGCGCACGACCUUGGCGAGUGUUUUUGCUUGAGCCCUUGCCACUGAGCCCGCGUGAGCAUGACAUGCUCAUCAUUCUUCCCGUCCCCGAGACUAUACCACAUACGCUCGUCGUGAGCCUUGUAGCGUCCGACGAGAUCAUCAAUGGAGAGUGUCGCGAGAUCGACGCACUGCUCGAUCGCCGUGACAAUUUGCAGGUACCGGGGAGGAGCCGCGCGCAAGAACCGACGGACAACCGAGGCCUCCGUGAGGUUUUCUCCAAGUGCGCGGAUCCGAUUGACGAGAGUAGCAACGCGUGAAGCGAACGCGUCCACGGACUCAUUGUCGCCCAUGACCAAAGUCUCAUAGUUCCUUAAGAGAGUUUGGAGAUUGGCUUGCUUGACGCGGUCGUGUCCCUCGAACAUGAGCUUCAAGGUAUCCCACACCUCCUUCGCCGUUUCUUUGGCGAUCAGGUGUUGGAGGACAUCCAUCGACAUCACCGAGUAAAUCGCCGAUGCCGCCUGCCGAUCCUUCCAGUGCUCGGCUCCCCCCUUCUUGAAAGCGUCGCCUCCUGGAUCGACUGCGUCCCACAACACGUUGGCGCGGAGACCACGCUCCAUCAGUGCCUUCCAGACCCCGAAGUUCUCGCGGUCAAAUCGUGGGUACGACGAACUCGCUGGAGCAGCAAAUACUCUAGCUGCACCGGAGUACGCCGCGAGCUGCUUGUCCUUGUCGUCCUUCGACAUGAUCUUCCGUUACUAGAAGAUCAACCUUGCUCUAGAUACCAAUUGUCGGCUUUGGUCCCGUCCGUGCUAACUCCAACGAGUACUUUCCGCGGAGACGUACACGUAAGCAGCAACUCGUAGCUAACCAGGCACACAACUAGCUGGAUGGAUUUGCAGAGGUGGCCAGCUAGCUUCGUAUCGCGUCACCAGUAGGCAAAACACGAGAACAAGAGACGCUGGGUUUUGGAUGGCUAAACCAGGGCCUUGUCGGUCAUGUUGAUCUAUUGCUUUGUAUUGAUCUGAUCUGGUUACAAGGGGUAGCUUACACGAGUAUAUAAAGAACUAAAGCUAGCCUAAUACACUUCGAGUCGGUUUGAUUGUUCCGGUCCAACCCGGACACGGACAGCGUGGUUAUUUCCAACAGUGGUGAGGGGACUUUGCGGGUCCUGGGCUAGUGGUGGCUUGGGCUCGGCCGAGCUGGUGGUGGCCUGGUUUUUUCCUGUGUCCACGUCCAGUCGGCUUCCGCGCCGGCGAUGAAGGUAGUGCCCUCCCGCUUGGCUGCGUUGUUGGUGUCUCCGGGUCCGUUGUCCCCCUUCUUCCUUCCUCUUCGGCUCGUGCCAAUGGUCUCAGUUUGGCGAUGAAGUGAGCUCCAAGACCAUGGUGGUGCAUCUCCGGAGGGAGCAGCGGUUGUCGGUGGUCUUCUUCGUUUCGUCAAGCUGCCGGUCGGCAUUUAUUUCUACUUAUUUUUCUUGUUUCUUUCUUUGGGUUUGAUGUGCUGCGGCCCCAUCAUGCUUGUCAUAUUGUUUGAGUGCUUUAUAAAAUAAAGGAGGACCUUCAUCGUCAUUAAUAUCUUCAGAACGUAUGAAGACCCCCUCCCCUUGCAAAAAAAUUGCAUGUGAAGACUUUGGUUUUUAGUUUCACUUUUUCUUAUUGAGUCAUAGGGCGGCAGGAAACUUCCAUGCGGCGGUUGGGAGUUCAGGCGCGGCUGAUUCUAAUUUUGCAGCAGCCGCACAGGUACUGCAAAUAGGGCAUUUUGUGCUAAAAUUUGAGGCUGCCCAAAGAAAAUCAUCACCAUUUUGCAUAUAAGGCAUCCCUUGGAGCUGCGUUUUUGUAUUAUAAGUUUUUUCGGCACGACAUAUUUUUUCCAUGUCCCAUGUUAGAGAUGCUCUAAUAAGCAGCAUUGAAUGGAAAUUGAAUGAAGCUACUAUGUUUGGAAACAUGAAUAUUCUUUUGGGAGUGUGUGUUAUGAAAAGAAUGGAAAAAUGUUUUCGACUGAGAGAGAAACAACGGCUGGCUACCAACCAAGGAAGACGGGAAUCUUUAGUGGCUUUGGGCCGCAGUAACGUGGAAAAUUCCGUCUGUCCAAGCUGUCUGACCACACAUCCACACAGAGGGAGAAAAAAUAAAUAAGAAACUGAUGGAUCGACCGCAUGCGACAGCCGGCCGGCUUGCUGAUCAUGCAUGAUCCGCCGCCACCUGCGCGCGGUUGCUAUACUAGCACACGGACGUACAAACUACGUACAGGUCAGAGGGAAGUAAAGUAUUCUAUCCAUAAACAAACGUGAUCUAAUAAUAAUUUAGAAAAGCAUCAUUAGGAUGGAUGGAGUUGCGAACAAGGAUGACUAUGUUCGGUUUGGCGUGGAUCCAGAAAAGAAGGGAACGAUGAUAACGCUGAAAAUAUCACCACUGGAAGGAUCAAAACUACGUUACCUGAGACAUGACGUUCCUUCUUAUGAAAGAGUCAUAACGUGAGCCAGAAGUAUUCAAGCAAGAUUAAAAAGACCUAAACCUUCGUUGAGAGGAUUGUGAAACAACGUCGUACUUGAUUUGUGUACUUCAUGUUGAAAUUUGGAGGUGGGCAUUAGGCCCAUUAGAGAAUUUCAGAAAAAUCUCCAAGGGCCCAUGUAGGUGGUGGCAUGACAAGGUGGUGGGAGUUUAGUCCCACCCCGCUAGUGGAGGAGAGUUUGGACCCCUUUAUAAGGGUCUCUCUUCCACAUGCUAUUGGAGAGUGAGAAGAGAAGGUGCCCUCGCGCACUCCUCCGCCGCCCGCCUUGCCACGCCACGCCUCGUCACCACGUGCCGUGGGUUGCGGGAAUGUAAUGCUUUUGCUGCUGCACUGAAACCGGAUAAGUUUACCGGUAUUUUUUUCAAGCGUUGGCAAACGAGAACCACCUUAUGGCUCACAGUAUGAACGUGUUCUGGGUAGCCGGUGUCACUCCUACGGAAACUAUCANNNNNNNNNNNNNNNNNNNNNNNNNNNNNNNNNNNNNNNNNNNNNNNNNNNNNNNNNNNNNNNNNNNNNNNNNNNNNNNNNNNNNNNNNNNNNNNNNNNNUUUUGCCGAGAGCUGCUCCGAUGUUCAAAUGAUAUAUAAAUUGGAGCGGACUGCAUGCACGGAAUUAUCUAUCACCCAAUUUUGUUUUGGAUUGUUUUGAUUUUUUUAGUAUUUAUUUUGAUUUGUUUACUGAACGGGUGCACAUCAGACUGGGCUAUUUUUUUUGGUGUUAUAAAGUUCAUUUGUGAAAGCUGGACUAUUUUUCUGUUGGGACAUGCAAGUAUUAUGCUUGUAGAACAUGCUGGUUACUUAAUAGUUGGUAUACUUUAUCGUGCUCUUACACUUUUCCUCCAUGCAGCCACUUGACCCUGUGUUGUUGGCAAAGAAAAACUUUUUGCUGCAGUAAUCGAUGAUCAACCCUACCAAGUUGUGUGCAUAAGCAAUCCAUGGACGGACUCCAGAGUUGAUCCAUCCAUCCGCCCAUCCCUAAGAGGAAUAAGCGAGAAGAAUCAAAGAAGAUGGUGAUCCUCAUGGGUUCAUCAGAGGAAAAGAAGGACCUCUUCUCUUCAUCAACACGAAGAGCAACCACAGACGCAUCACUCAUGCACAGGUACCCCCUGAUACAUCCCCACCAAAUCUUAAUAUAUUUGUAUUGUUAUCCUAGGACUCGGAAGGACUGUGUGAAUUUUGGCUCAAUUUCCACAUCCCAUGUUGCCUGAUCAGUUGCUCCUUGGUGUCUUUCUUCAAAAAGGCUGGAUAUUGUCCCUAGGACUGGGAAGGACUGUGUGAAUUUUGGCUCAAUUUCCACAUCCCAUGCUGUCUGAUCAGUUGCUCCUUGGUGUCUUUCUUCAAAAAGGCUGGAUAUUGUCAAAUGGUAACACAUUUUUAGUUAUUCUACUACACUGAUCACACUUGUACUCCCUCCGCUUCUAAAUAUAAAACCUUUUAGAGAUUCCACUAUGAACUACAUACGAAUCAUAUUUUAGAAUGUUGAUUCACUCAUUUUGCUCUGUAUCUAGUCUAUAGUGAAAUCUCUAAAAGGUCUUAUAUUUAGGAACGUAGGGAGUAGAUAGUAUUAGAUACUAUACUCCACACACAUGGCCAUUGCAUAAUCUGGAUUGUUGCCUUGAUGUUUUUCUUUAACAAGGCAAAGAGCAUAUUGUUGUUACAUUUCAAUAUGUUCCUCCUUAUUCUAUAUUACUGAAGGCCUUUAUAGAUGCGAUAAUCUUGGCAUGGAAGGUGCUCCAUUAAUCCAUUCAUCAUCUUCUUUUCUAGUUCCUUGUUGAUGCGCUUUUGUUUGGUUUUUUGUCGGGAUGGGAACCGGACACCUGGUUCCUGUUCAAGACGUAUGGAGAAUUUGUGGUUUGGCAUUUUGGUUGUGCAAUGGGCAUUGUGAACUUGUAGAAAUGAAGUGAUCUCAGAUUGCAAAUCCAUCAAGCAUCGUACUAACCUUUGUCAAUGUUUCUACUGUAGCAAUAGAGCGUCAGCAGCUUUUUGAAGCCCUCCCUACCAACUGUCUAACAAGACAUAUAUGAAAGCCCCUGGUCGGUAUCGUAGCAGUUUUGCGGUUUCUUUUGUGUAGCUUAGUUUUCUUUUGGCAAUAAUGAUCCUCUACUCUUUGCAAACCUUCCUCCUCUAGUCUUGGUGUUGCGUUUGGUUAAUUUGUUAGCCUAUGCUUGUAGGCGUAGACUGUUUUUCUGUUCUAUGAAAUGCUAGCUUAGAUUGAGUUAUUAUUAUUUUGUUAAUUUGAUGUUGGUGUAGACUUUGUUUCUAUAUAGGCAUGUAAACCACAGCCGUAACCCAAAUUGAGGCUUCUUUUAUAUUUGAUGUCCUCCUUAGCUUACAGCUUGGCCCAUUGUUUGUUGUAGGUGGCAUGGAGCUUGGCCCAUUGUUUGUUGUAGGUGCCCAUUGUUUGUUAAAGUGAAGACUUGCAUUGGAAGCGCUAGAGAAAAUGGAAACUUGUGACUUGUUUAUUGAUAUGCCUGGCUGGUGACAAUAUCUCUAGUUGGUUUGUGGCUUGUGCUUUGUUUCUUGGCAGGUGGUGGUGCGGAACUGUUGGAGGCUGGGAUUGAAGUCAAUGAGCUUGUCGGUGUUGCCAUGUGACUUUGGUGGAGAGGAAUUCGAGACAUGUGGUGCUUUUUCCCUGUUUGGUUUGAAGUGUUGUACAGCUAGCUAGUGUUGGAAUGAAAACAGCAAGUUGAAAACAUUUUUGCUUGCUAAUUGAUAUUUUUUCGAAAAGGACGCAUCACCCCGGCCUUUGCAUCGAGUGAUGCAUGCAGCCAUAUUAUUAAUAAAAAUGAGGUAGUCUGAGUGAAUUACAAAGUAGUCCAAGAAACCAAAGAAAGAAGAAAACAAGAAAAAGAGUUACACGGCGAUCAACGCCAAUACCGACGAUAUCCAUCAGCAAACAAGUACUAUGGUCCAAUCCUAUUAGCAUGCCGCCAUCCAUAUCGGUUGAAUAUAACCUGAGCUACCAUCUCCCAUCGGACACACCCAGUAACCAAGGGCUCCCUGGUUUCCACAGGAGUGAGUAAGGACCACAUGCGGAUCAAGGCGGUAGCCCUGAAGAUAAUUUGCAAAAAGUUAAUAUAAUUCAUUCUGUUAAAAACUAGAUCAUUUGUGCAGUUCCAUAUAGCCCACAGAAUAGCACAAGUUCCAACUCGAAUUAGUUUGGCGUAAAGUACAUUAACCCCAUCCAGCCACGUCCCAAAUAACAUGUGAAUGCUAGUAGGCGGGGUAAUAUUGAAAGUAAUUUGGAUUGAACGCCAUAAUAAUGUAGCCAUAUAUUUUUGCUUUCUUGGCCGAGUCAUAAGGAAUGAGAUUGUUGUAGAGGUGGUGUAGGUAAACGGUUGGCUUGCUAGCAUAUAGUAGGUACUUUCCUUUUUCUUGGCUGAGCCGUGAGCCAUCCAUGGGUUAUUCUUGGCUGGCUGAUGACCGUGGUGCAAAUGGUGUAAAUGAUCCAGAAUCUCAUUCGUCGUGUUGAUAUGGGUUUACACUUCACAUAUAGCGAGCACAUACUGUUUUAUCAUAUCCUGAGCAAUUAUGGGGAGUAAGUUGUUUGUGCCUUGUGUAGCUUGCUGUGAAAUCAAAGUUUUUUUUUUGCACAAAGGUUGAGAAAUUGAAGUUGUUGUGGUGAAGUUGUUGUCUUUGUUUAUUUAUGUCUCAAAUGAAUUGUUGAGACAGGAACGAGAGUGAUAUGCUAAAGAACUGAAUUUCUUUUCUUUUUUGGGGGAGACAUAUUCAUGCAUGGGGUUCGAUAAUGAAUGAUUUAUGUUAUAUGUGUUUGUUUCCUUGUUUAUCAUUACCCAUUCUAUGUAGUGAAGGAGAUGUAUGUAUGUUCUAAGGUUCUAGGUAUGCAAUUGUGAAUGCAGACGGAUCAUGAUAAAAUUAUUCACUUUGGGAUGUAUUGUUGCCAGUAGCAGCCCAAAAUUAUGCGCUAAAGAAAGUAGUAGAAACAAGUGGCUUGCUAGCUCGGUAGCAAGUCAACACACACAGCCAUACUUGUCGAUCGUCCUGUCUGAUGCCGAUCGAUGCCAUUAUAUUUUUGCGACCAUUUCGUCCUCCUCCUGCUUUGCCAAGAAACACAAACGAGAGCCAUGACAAUGUCAAACCAAACCAUUCGGUAGUGAGACAGAACACACACAAUCAUAUUCGUCAGUCGGUCGUCUUGUCAUACCGAUUGAUGCCAUUAUAUUGUUGCGCCCAGUCUCUGCUCCUCUUACACGAACGUGUGUGUUCCAGGAAGAAGAGGAAAAUACUAAUAGUUGGGCCAAAGUAGUACGCGUAGUGUGUACAUAGAUAUCCGUCUAUGAAAAAAAGAAACAGAAAAAAAGAUGGGUAGAUACUACUCUUAGAAAGAGAUGCAAAGGUUUCUACUUCCGCUUUACCUGUUCCGAUUCCAGUUAAAGGACAGGUGGAUGCUAGGGAAUCCAUGUGCACCUCUGACUUGAUCCAUAUCCUGCUAGUUAUGUGAGAGAGAAAAUAAAACAAUAAAGUAUAGGUGGAUGCUAUGGAAUCAAUACGUAGCGAUUUACUCCUUUCCUCGAAACCAAGCGCCCUCUCCUCCUCCCGUGUUGCAUGCCAUCCAUCGUCUUAUUGCAUGCCUCACGCGGAUUGACCUCCCAUCCGACGGCUCCCCGUUUUCCUUCUUCCUCUAUAAAUAUGGAUCCAAUCCCUCCUUGCCGCACCCCCCUUCUCUCCAUCUGCUCCUCUCCUCGCUUUAUCUAUGACGCAUGCAUACAUGGAGUUCCAAAUCCGAGCCACGCCGUUCCUUCCGGUGAUGUGUUGUCCACAAGAGAGCACACCUACCGGCCCUAUUGAUCUCGUGGUCUUUUCAAUCUUGUCCUGAAAACGUCCCUCUCGUCCUACUCGGUGACCUCCGUUCCAUCCAAUCCCUCCCCCUCUUUCCUUCUUUUGAAACUGAUUUGGAUAGAACUGUUCUCUAAACUUAUUUGAAGGAUUUAUUUUGGGCGAUGCAUAUGUCGGGCAUGGCUGCAUGGUGAGUAGCCGCAUCACUGUGCGCAUUGCAGAGGAGGUCUUGCAUCUGCGCGCUUUGAACAGCGGACGAUGGAGGGCGGCCAGAGGAGGAGCAACAACUUCGGUACAAUUUUUCUCAGUUUGCCUUGUGACUUUUACCGAUUUGUAGGCUUGGCAAGAGAUUGAUUAGGUGCUAGUGUCCGGUGUGCAUUUGCUUCCUAGUUUACAUACAAUUGGAGACUCUUUUUCAUUUCCUGCUUUUUGUAAAGUUUGAUGUUAUGUCUUGCCUCCGAUAUAUAAGUACAAUACUGUACUGCAAUUGUGUUUCACUGAAGAGCUGUAUGAGGGUGCAGAUUCAGUUAGAUUCUUCCAUUAGGAAAAAAAUACUACUCGUACUAAACUACGGUUGUUGUUGAAAUCUCUAAAAGGUCUUAUAUUUAGGAACGUAGGGAGUAGAUAGUAUUAGAUACUAUACUCCACACACAUGGCCAUUGCAUAAUCUGGAUUGUUGCCUUGAUGUUUUUCUUUAACAAGGCAAAGAGCAUAUUGUUGUUACAUUUCAAUAUGUUCCUCCUUAUUCUAUAUUACUGAAGGCCUUUAUAGAUGCGAUAAUCUUGGCAUGGAAGGUGCUCCAUUAAUCCAUUCAUCAUCUUCUUUUCUAGUUCCUUGUUGAUGCGCUUUUGUUUGGUUUUUUGUCGGGAUGGGAACCGGACACCUGGUUCCUGUUCAAGACGUAUGGAGAAUUUGUGGUUUGGCAUUUUGGUUGUGCAAUGGGCAUUGUGAACUUGUAGAAAUGAAGUGAUCUCAGAUUGCAAAUCCAUCAAGCAUCGUACUAACCUUUGUCAAUGUUUCUACUGUAGCAAUAGAGCGUCAGCAGCUUUUUGAAGCCCUCCCUACCAACUGUCUAACAAGACAUAUAUGAAAGCCCCUGGUCGGUAUCGUAGCAGUUUUGCGGUUUCUUUUGUGUAGCUUAGUUUUCUUUUGGCAAUAAUGAUCCUCUACUCUUUGCAAACCUUCCUCCUCUAGUCUUGGUGUUGCGUUUGGUUAAUUUGUUAGCCUAUGCUUGUAGGCGUAGACUGUUUUUCUGUUCUAUGAAAUGCUAGCUUAGAUUGAGUUAUUAUUAUUUUGUUAAUUUGAUGUUGGUGUAGACUUUGUUUCUAUAUAGGCAUGUAAACCACAGCCGUAACCCAAAUUGAGGCUUCUUUUAUAUUUGAUGUCCUCCUUAGCUUACAGCUUGGCCCAUUGUUUGUUGUAGGUGGCAUGGAGCUUGGCCCAUUGUUUGUUGUAGGUGCCCAUUGUUUGUUAAAGUGAAGACUUGCAUUGGAAGCGCUAGAGAAAAUGGAAACUUGUGACUUGUUUAUUGAUAUGCCUGGCUGGUGACAAUAUCUCUAGUUGGUUUGUGGCUUGUGCUUUGUUUCUUGGCAGGUGGUGGUGCGGAACUGUUGGAGGCUGGGAUUGAAGUCAAUGAGCUUGCCGGUGUUGCCAUGUGACUUUGGUGGAGAGGAAUUCGAGACCUGUGGUGCUUUUUCCCUGUUUGGUUUGAAGUGUUGUACAGCUAGCUAGUGUUGGAAUGAAAACAGCAAGUUGAAAACAUUUUUGCUUGCUAAUUGAUAUUUUUUCGAAAAGGAGGCAUCACCCCGGCCUUUGCAUCGAGUGAUGCAUGCAGCCAUAUUAUUAAUAAAAAUGAGGUAGUCUGAGUGAAUUACAAAGUAGUCCAAGAAACCAAGGAAAGAAGAAAACAAGAAAAAGAGUUACACGGCGAUCAACACCAAUACCGACGAUAUCCAUCAGCAAACAAGUACUAUGGUCCAAUCCUAUUAGCAUGCCGCCAUCCAUAUCGGUUGAAGAUAACCUGAGCUACCAUCUCCCAUUGGACACACCCAGUAACCAAGGGCUCCCUGGUUUCCACAGGAGUGAGUAAGGACCACAUGCGGAUCAAGGCGGUAGCCCUGAAGAUAAUUUGCAAAAAGUUAAUAUAAUUCAUUCUGUUAAAAACUAGAUCAUUUGUGCAGUUCCAUAUAGCCCACAGAAUAGCACAAGUUCCAACUCGAAUUAGUUUGGCGUAAAGUACAUUAACCCCAUCCAGCCACGUCCCAAAUAACAUGUGAAUGCUAGUAGGCGGGGUAAUAUUGAAAGUAAUUUGGAUUGAACGCCAUAAUAAUGUAGCCAUAUAUUUUUGCUUUCUUGGCCGAGUCAUAAGGAAUGAGAUUGUUGUAGAGGUGGUGUAGGUAAACGGUUGGCUUGCUAGCAUAUAGUAGGUACUUUCCUUUUUCUUGGCUGAGCCGUGAGCCAUCCAUGGGUUAUUCUUGGCUGGCUGAUGACCGUGGUGCAAAUGGUGUAAAUGAUCCAGAAUCUCAUUCGUCGUGUUGAUAUGGGUUUACACUUCACAUAUAGCGAGCACAUACUGUUUUAUCAUAUCCUGAGCAAUUAUGGGGAGUAAGUUGUUUGUGCCUUGUGUAGCUUGCUGUGAAAUCAAAGUUUUUUUUUUGCACAAAGGUUGAGAAAUUGAAGUUGUUGUGGUGAAGUUGUUGUCUUUGUUUAUUUAUGUCUCAAAUGAAUUGUUGAGACAGGAACGAGAGUGAUAUGCUAAAGAACUGAAUUUCUUUUCUUUUUUGGGGGAGACAUAUUCAUGCAUGGGGUUCGAUAAUGAAUGAUUUAUGUUAUAUGUGUUUGUUUCCUUGUUUAUCAUUACCCAUUCUAUGUAGUGAAGGAGAUGUAUGUAUGUUCUAAGGUUCUAGGUAUGCAAUUGUGAAUGCAGACGGAUCAUGAUAAAAUUAUUCACUUUGGGAUGUAUUGUUGCCAGUAGGAGCCCAAAAUUAUGCGCUAAAGAAAGUAGUAGAAACAAGUGGCUUGCUAGCUCGGUAGCAAGUCAACACACACAGCCAUACUUGUCGAUCGUCCUGUCUGAUGCCGAUCGAUGCCAUUAUAUUUUUGCGACCAUUUCGUCCUCCUCCUGCUUUGCCAAGAAACACAAACGAGAGCCAUGACAAUGUCAAACCAAACCAUUGGUAGUGAGACAGAACACACACAAUCAUAUUCGUCAGUCGGUCGUCUUGUCAUACCGAUUGAUGCCAUUAUAUUGUUGCGCCCAGUCUCUGCUCCUCUUACACGAAAGUAGUGAGCAGAACACACACAAUCAUAUUCGUCAGUCGGUCGUCUUGUCAUACCGGUUGAUGCCAUUAUAUUGUUGCGCCCAGUCUCUGCUCCUCUUACACGAACGUGUGUGUUCCAGGAAGAAGAGGAAAAUACUAAUAGUUGGGCCAAAGUAGUACGCGUAGUGUGUACAUAGAUAUCCGUCUAUGAAAAAAAGAAACAGAAAAAAAGAUGGGUAGAUACUACUCUUAGAAAGAGAUGCAAAGGUUUCUACUUCCGCUUUACCUGUUCCGAUUCCAGUUAAAGGACAGGUGGAUGCUAGGGAAUCCAUGUGCACCUCUGACUUGAUCCAUAUCCUGCUAGUUACGUGAGAGAGAAAAUAAAAUAAUAAAGUAUAGGUGGAUGCUAUGGAAUCAAUACGUAGCGAUUUACUCCUUUCCUCGAAACCAAGCGCCCUCUCCUCCUCCCGUGUUGCAUGCCAUCCAUCGUCUUAUUGCAUGCCUCACGCGGAUUGACCUCCCAUCCGACGGCUCCCCAUGUUCCUUCUUCCUCUAUAAAUAUGGAUCCAAUCCCUCCUUGCCGCACCCCCCUUCUCUCCAUCUGCUCCUCUCCUCGCUUUAUCUAUGACGCAUGCAUACAUGGAGUUCCAAAUCCGAGCCACGCCGUUCCUUCCGGUGAUGUGUUGUCCACAAGAGAGCACACCUACCGGCCCUAUUGAUCUCGUGGUCUUUUCAAUCUUGUCCUGAAAACGUCCCUCUCGUCCUACUCGGUGACCUCCGUUCCAUCCAAUCCCUCCCCCUCUUUCCUUCUUUUGAAACUGAUUUGGAUAGAACUGUUCUCUAAACUUAUUUGAAGGAUUUAUUUUGGGCGAUGCAUAUGUCGGGCAUGGCUGCAUGGUGAGUAGCCGCAUCACUGUGCGCAUUGCAGAGGAGGUCUUGCAUCUGCGCGCUUUGAACAGCGGACGAUGGAGGGCGGCCAGAGGAGGAGCAACAACUUCGGUACAAUUUUUCUCAGUUUGCCUUGUGACUUUUACCGAUUUGUAGGCUUGGCAAGAGAUUGAUUAGGUGCUAGUGUCCGGUGUGCAUUUGCUUCCUAGUUUACAUACAAUUGGAGACUCUUUUUCAUUUCCUGCUUUUUGUAAAGUUUGAUGUUAUGUCUUGCCUCCGAUAUAUAAGUACAAUACUGUACUGCAAUUGUGUUUCACUGAAGAGCUGUAUGAGGGUGCAGAUUCAGUUAGAUUCUUCCAUUAGGAAAAAAAUACUACUCGUACUAAACUACGGUUGUUGUUGUUGUUUGACUUUACACUACAUUUAGUGUCUGCUGCUAUUUUUUGGCUGAAAAAUCUUUUCAGUCGACAGUAAAUUAGAGACUCCGAUAAGAAAGGAUUCUCACUUGAUGUUAGAUAAGCGUGCUAGCUUAUAAAUAAACUGUUAUUAUCCAACUGUCCAAUUCAUUAUUUCAGAAUAGGAUAUGAUGUUUCAUGAUAACAGAUGUGGCAAGGUAUAGAUAUUUGGGUUUGCCAACAUUUGGAUUUUUCAAAAGAAAUUUUGCUUGCUGCUAGAAAAAGAACUUUAUUAAUUUAGUUAUUUAUAGGAACUUGGAUUGUGUUUGUGGGGGUGUUUCAUUUCUGUCAGCCAGCAAAAUUGUUAAUGUGCAUACUGGUAAAACUUCAAUUAACCGAAUCGUGGGAACAUCAUGCAUGCUGCGCUCUGACGGCUAAAUAAGCAAGCCAUGUUGAUGCUACAAGAAAGUUGUCAUACUAAGCUUGUAAUGUGCAUACUCCUAAUGGCUCAAUCAACUGAAUCGAGUGACCCUCCUGCUCCACUCUGCACUUAUAUAAUUCAGCAAGCCAUCCUAAUGAUCAAAACAAGCUAUUAUACUAAUUUGUUAAAUAUGAACUAGUAUAACUCAGGCGACGAACUUAUUUCGGUCGAUCCGUGGCAUGGUAGUAAAUCAAGGCAAGAUGACAAGCGAAUGGCCUUUAGUUUCACAGUCUUGUGCUGGUUAGACUAUCGACAUUUAUGUCUUUCUUUCUUGUGCAAAACAGAACACUCAACAUUCACCAAAGAUUGUUGUAAUGGCACAUGUGCAACACGGAACCUUCAAGAUCCACCAAAUAAAGAUUGAGAUAUAUGUGUAGGAGGAAACGCCAGUAGUUUAGGUCUGUUCUCUCUCUCCCUCUCUACAGUUAUUAGUCGUCAAGUAAUAUGAAUAAAGUAGUUGUUGUGGCAUGCAUUGUUUCCCUCCCGCUUCGAUGUGAAAUGAACAAAAUACAAGAAGACAUUUUAUUCUUCCCGACCCGUUAUGCUGCCGAAAUUUCUAACGAAAAUUUUAAGACUUUGUCAAAAUUUUGGCCUUAUUUGUAAGGAAAUGAAAACUUUAGGGUGCCGGUUGCAAAAUGUUUGGCCUUGUUUGUAAGAAAAAAGGUUAUGCAAAUAAUGCAGAAAGAAAUGUUUGGCCUUGUGAGCGUGUCUCUCGAAAUGAAAAACAACGCGUUUUUGUGCGAGAAACACGGUUUUGCUUCCGUGAGAGACACUUUUGCAUUUGUUAGAGGCACCGCCACGCCUCUCGGACAGAAUCAAAUCCAUUUUUUGGCUUUGUUUUGAGUUUUAAAUUUAGUUUUGCCCAAAAGGUAAGAAAGUCCGGUGAAAAACCAAAAAAGCCAAAGAAACAAGCUAAAAACGCGUGCGAAAAAAUAAUCCAAAGGAAGCGACCUGAAUUUUAUAAUGAAAAUACUAUUAUUAUUAUUAUUAUUGUAUAGAUUUGAACUAAAUACAGGAUGUUUAUUUUCGGACGAGCGAUCAGAGUACAAUGUUUUAUUUGUAGUUUCUUCUCCCGGGUACAAUACGCGAAUCGAAUCGAAGAACAGGUGCAAUGAGUAUGGAUUUUGUUUGAAGAAUUUUCUCAUGUCUCAUGGUUAUGUUAAGAACUUUGUAUAAGCGUUAUGUAGUUUCAAUUCUAGUCGAGACCUGAUCCGCUAAUAGUUGCACUAUAUUUGAUUCUUUUUUUAAAAGACUGUAUAUCCACUCAUGGUAAUCAACAAUUUUUGUCAAGAACAAUACAAUAUUAAUACAUGGUUUUCAUGUGUCUAUUGCAGGAUAGACCAAAUGCAUGGCUAUGAGAUCGUUAAUUUGUCUGUGCAUUUAUAUCACAUCUCUUGCACUUGAGCAGGAUCAUAUCCUCAAGCUUCAUGGUAAUGAUUUCGUUGUGCGAUUGAGGUUCUUUGUCUUCAUAGAACAAUGGCUUUAACUUGGAGUAGCUAGGUUGACGAAGAUGACUUCAUUGAUGAAGAUAACUUGGACUAGUAAACAUGUAGAUGCAACUGUAAACCUCUCGCCCUCUCUAGAAACUGCCUACAGUAGAGCGCAUGGCGAGUUCUAGGUGUUCCUCUUUUCUCGUUGGCAAGACCAAUGGUAUCCUGCGCUUCCGAUGGACAUUAUGCCUGCCGGAGGGGCGGGAGAUCCUGGAUCUGGUGCCUGGCGGUGUAUAUAGUCCUAGAUUUACUAGGUUUUGUGUUUUUUUGCAUUGGUGUCACGGCGAAGGAUGCCUUGGUGUGUUGAAUAAAGUGGCCCGGACUCCUUUGCCUACCUGUUGUCGUUCUUGGCGCUGGCGAGAAGCUGGGGUCCUUUUGGUCUCGCUUGUCUGCUUUCUCUUCUUCGUGUCAUACUUUUAAUGCCAUUGCAAUUUCUAGUAUCCUAGGUUGUGCUUCUCCUGAUGGUGAUGAUUCUGGUAUACUAGUUACUGGAUUUAGCCCUCAAGUUUAGACCUGUGAGUUUUUCUGCUACAUUGUUUUGUUUACAUAUAUGUGCCAGUGUAGUAUUGUUGUAGGAUAUGCUGCUAUGGGGAGUAGGGAUCAUUUUGUGGUUUGGUUCAUCCUAGCUUNNNNNNNNNNNNNNNNNNNNNNNNNNNNNNNNNNNNNNNNNNNNNNNNNNNNNNNNNNNNNNNNNNNNNNNNNNNNNNNNNNNNNNNNNNNNNNNNNNNNGGAGGUAUGUGGUCGGGCUGCCUUUAAAAAGUUGUCUCAAAUCAGCCCUAAUUGCUCCAUAUAUAUAGGAGGAGGGAGGGGAGGCUUGCCUUGAGGCUCAAGUAGCCCCAAGGGCUGCGCACCAAGGGGAGGAGGAGUCCUCCUCCAAUCCUAGUCCAACUAGGAUUGGAAAGUGGAGUCCUUCUCUCCUUUCCCACCUCCUUUUUUUUCUUUUCUCUUUGAUUUUCUAUCCUUGGCGCAUAGAGCCCUCUUGGGCUGUCCCACCAGCCCACCAAGGGCUGGUGCGCCACCCCAAGGCCUAUGGGCUUCCCCGGGGUGGGUUGCCCCCCCCCCCCGGGGAACAACCGGAACCCAUUCUUCAUUCCCGGUACAUUCCCGGUAACUCCGAAAACCUUCCGGUAAUCAAAUGAGUGUUGGGGAACGUCGCAUGGGAAACAAAAAAUUUCCUACGCGUACGAAGACCUAUCAUGGUGAUGUCCAUCUACGAGAGGGGAUGAGUGAGCUACGUACCCUUGUAGAUCGUACAGCAGAAGCGUUAGAGAACGCGGUUGAUGUAGUGGAACGUCCUCACGUCCCUCGAUCCGCCCCGCGAACCGUCCCACGAACCGUCCCGCGAUCCGUCCCAUGAUCUAGUGCCGAACGGACGGCACCUCCGCGCUCAGCACACGUGCAGCUCGACGAUGAUCUCGGCCUUCUUGAUCCAGCAAGAGAGACGGAGAGGUAGAUGAGUUCUCCGGCAGCGUGACGGCGCUUCGGAGGUUGGUGGUGAUUCAUGACGGUGCUCCGGAGGUUGGUGAUGAUCUCGUCUCAGCAGGGCUCCGCCCAAGCUCCGCAGAAACGCGAUCUAGAGGAAAAACUAUGGAGGUAUGUGGUCGGGCAGCCGUGAGAAAGUCGUCUCAAAUCUGCCCUAAAAGCCCCAUAUAUAUAGGAGGAGGGUGGGGGGCCUUGCCUUGGGGUCCAAGGGACUCCCAAGGGGUCGGCCGAGCCAAAGGGGGGAGGACUCCCCCCCCAAACCGAGUUGGACUUGGUUUGGUGGGAGGAGUCCCCCUCCCUUCCCACUUCCUCCCUCUUUUUUUUCUUUUCCUUUGAUUUCCUUCUCUUGGCGCAUAGGCCCUCUUGGGGCUGUCCCACCAGCCCACUAAGGGUUGGUGUGUCUCCCCAAAGCCUAUGGGCUUCCCCGGGGUGGGUUCCCCCCCCCCCCCCCCACACCUUCGGAGAUACCUGUAGAGCAUCUUUAUAGUCACCCAGUUACGUUGCGACGUUUGAUACACACAAAGCAUUCCUCCGGUGUCAGUGAGUUAUAUGAUCUCAUGGUCAUAGGAAUAAAUACUUGACACGCAGAAAACAGUAGCAACAAAAUGACACGAUCAACAUGCUACGUCUAUUAGUUUGGGUCUAGUCCAUCACGUGAUUCUCCCAAUGACGUGAUCCAGUUAUCAAGCAACAACACCUUGUUCAUAAUCAGAAGACACUGACUAUCAUCGAUCAACUCUCUAGCCAACUAGAGGCAUGCUAGGGACGGUGUUUUGUCUAUGUAUCCACACAUGUAAAUGAGUCUUCAUUCAAUACAAUUAUAGCAUGGAUAAUAAACUAUUAUCUUGAUACAGGAAUUAUAAUAAUAACUAUACAUUUAUUAUUGCCUCUAGGGCAUAAUUCCAACAAUGAGGUCAUCCUAUAUAUCAAUCUUCGUUUCCGGACCAUUCCGGAAACCCUCGUGACGUCCGUGAUCUCAUCCGGGACUCCGAACAACAUUCGGUAACCAACCAUAUAACUCAAAUACGCAUAAAACAACGUCGAACCUUAAGUGUGCAGACCCUGCGGGUUCAAGAACUAUGUAGACAUGACCCGAGUGACUCCUCGGUCAAUAUCCAAUAGCGGUACCUGGAUGCCCAUAUUGGAUCCCACAUAUUGUACGAAGAUCUUACCGUUUGAACCUCAGUGCCAAGGAUUCAUAUAAUCCCGUAUGUCAUUCCCUUUGUCCUUCGGUAUGUUACUUGCCCGAGAUUCGAUCGUCAGUAUCCGCAUACCUAUUUCAAUCUCGUUACCGGCAAGUUUCUUUACUUGUUUCGUAAUACAAGAUCCCAUGACUUACACUUAGUCACAUUGCUUGCAAGGCUUGUGUGUGAUGUUGUAUUACCGAGCGGACCCCGAGAUACCUCUCUGUCACAAGGAAUGACAAAUCCCAGUCUUGAACCGCCGAGAUACCUCUUCGUCACACGGAGUGACAAAUCCCAGUCUCGAUCCAUACUAACUCAACGAACACCUUCGGAGAUACCUAUAGAGCAUCUUUAUAGUCACCCAGUUACGUUGCGACGUUUGAUACACACAAAGCAUUCCUCCGGUGUCAGUGGGUUAUAUGAUCUCAUGGUCAUAGGAACAAAUACUUGACACGCAGAAAACAAUAGCAACAAAAUGACACGAUCAACAUGCUACGUCUAUUAGUUUGGGUCUAGUCCAUCACGUGAUUCUCCUAAUGACGUGAUCCAGUUAUCAAGCAACAACACCUUGUAUAUAAUCAGAAGACCCUGACUAUCUUUGAUCAACUGGCUAGCCAACUAGAGGCUUGCUAGGGACAGUGUUUUGNNNNNNNNNNNNNNNNNNNNNNNNNNNNNNNNNNNNNNNNNNNNNNNNNNNNNNNNNNNNNNNNNNNNNNNNNNNNNNNNNNNNNNNNNNNNNNNNNNNNUCUACGCAUGAACCUAGCUCAUGAUGCCACUGUUGGGGAACGUCGCAAGGGAAACAAAAAUUUUCCUACGCGCACGAAGACCUAUCAUGGUGAUGUCCAUCUACGAGAGGGGAUGAGUGAUCUACGUACCCUUGUAGAUCGUACAGCAGAAGCGUUAGUGAACGCGGUUGAUGUAGUGGAACGUCCUCACGUCCCUCGAUCCGCCCCGCGAACAAUCCCGCGAUCAGUCCCACGAUCUAGUACCGAACGGACGGCACCUCCGCGUUCAGCACACGUACAGCUCGACGAUGAUCUCGGCCUUCUUGAUCCAGCAAGAGAGACGGAGAGGUAGAAGAGUUCUCCGGCAGCGUGACGGCGCUCCGGAGGUUGGUGAUGAUCUUGUCUCAGCAGGGCUCCGCCCGAGCUCCGCAGAAACACGAUCUAGAGGAAAAACUAUGGAGGUAUGUGGUCGGGCAGCCGUGAGAAAGUCGUCUCAAAUCUGCCCUAAAAGCCCCAUAUAUAUAGGAGGAGGGAGGGGGACCUUGCCUUGGGGUCCAAGGGAUCCCCAAGGGGUCGGCCGAGCCAGGGGGGAGGACUCUCCCCCCCCCCCAAACCGAGUCCUACUUGGUUUGGUGGGAGGGAGUCCUUCCCCUUUCCCACUUCUUCCUUUUUUUUUUCUUUCCUUUGAUUUUUUUCUCUCUUGGCGCAUAGGGGAUUGGUGGGCUGUCCCACCAGCCCACUAAGGGCUGGUGUGACCCCCCCAAAUGCCUAUGGGCUUCCCCGGAGUGGGUUGCCCCCCUCCGGUGAACUCCCGGAACCCAUUCGUCAUUCCCGGUACAUUCCCGGUAACUCCGAAAACCUUCCGGUAAUCAAAUGAGGUCAUCCUAUAUAUCAAUCUUCGUUUCCGGACCAUUCCGAAAACCCUCGUGACGUCCGUGAUCUCAUCCGGGACUCCGAACAACAUUCGGUAACCAACCAUAUAACUCAAAUACGCAUAAAACAACGUCGAACCUUAAGUGUGCAGACCCUGCGGGUUCGAGAACUAUGUAGACAUGACCCGAGAGACUCCUCGGUCAAUAUCCAACAGCGGGACCUGGAUGCCCAUAUUGGAUCCUACAUAUUCUACGAAGAUCUUAUCGUUUGAACCUCAGUGCCAAGGAUUCGUAUAAUCCCGUAUGUCAUUCCCUUUGUCCUUCGGUAUGUUACUUGCCCGAGAUUCGAUCGGCAGUAUCCGUAUACCUAUUUCAACCUCGUUUACCGGCAAGUCUCUUUACUCGUUCCGUAAUACAAGAUCCCGCAACUUACACUAAGUCACAUUGCUUGCAAGGCUUGUGUGUGAUNNNNNNNNNNNNNNNNNNNNNNNNNNNNNNNNNNNNNNNNNNNNNNNNNNNNNNNNNNNNNNNNNNNNNNNNNNNNNNNNNNNNNNNNNNNNNNNNNNNNACUCGCACAUACAAUGGCAGCAGUAAUAGGAUAGACAUAGACUCCAUUCUUUUAAGAUAACAUGUGAGUAUUCUGUCGAGCCACCGAUAUACAACUAUGUUCUUAGCUAUUUCAUGGAAGUAAUUCAUUUCAACGUAAGUAUUAUGUUCACGAAUAUCUAGUUUUGUUCUCAACCAAGACUCUGGUAGCCAUCAAGGCAAUCUACUCAAUCCUGAACACACAACUAAUGUCCAAAAGAAAUUAUAUAUAGGAAUAACCAGUAAUGGAAGUGUACUGAUAUGAGAAAUCAGUUCAAACAAGAGUCGAAGGACAUCGUAUGUCGUGGUCGCAUUUUGGUUCUAUGGCCUGCAUGUGGACGAAUUCAGCAUAUAUCAAUAUAAAUAUGAAUCGACAUGGUAAAAACAUACCGCUUGAGCAGUGAGUGUGACAGCUAGUGUGUCACGCCCAAGAUGCGACUCUAUCCUCAAUUUGGCACGAAGGCCUCAUUAGGGAUAGAAGCGCAUCUCGUCGUGUCGCAAGAAUGGAUAUCGUUACAAGUAGAUGUACUGAAAAGAAGUGAUAUAUAUAGAAUUGGCGUUACAAGUAGAUGUACUGAAAAGAAGUGAUAUAUAUAGAUUUGGCAUACUCUCGCCACAACCUACAUCAGAGUCACAUCAGUACAUUACAUAAUCAUCAAGAGUAAGAGCAGGGUCCGACUACGGACAAACGACAAAAGAAGAACGACGUCCAUCCUUGCUAUCCCACGCUGUCGGCCUGGAACCCAUCCUAGAUCUAUGAAGAAGAAGAAGAAGAAGAAGAAGAAGAAGCAACUCCAAAUGAACAAUCAAUGCGCUCGCGUCAAGUAACCUUUACCUAUACCUGCAACUGGUGUUGUAGUAAUCUGUGAGCCACAGGGGGCUCAGCAAUCUCAUUUCCAAAGGUAUCAAGACUAGCAAAGCUUAAUAGGUGAGGCAAGGUUAAGUGGUGAGGUUGCAGCAGCGGCUAAGCAUAUAUUUGGUGGGCAAGGUUAAGUGGUGAGGUUGCAGCAGCGGCUAAGCAUUUAUUUGGUGGCUAAACUUACGAGUACAAGAAAUAAGAGGGGGAGUUCUACCCAUCCCGAACGUGACUACUGAUGAUCAAAUGAAUGAUCCUGAACACCUACCUACGUCAGACAUAACCCCACCGUGUCCUCGAUCGGAGAAGGAACUCACGAAAGAGACAGUCACGGUUACGCACACAGUUGGCAUAUUUUAAUUAAGUUAACGUCAAGUUAUCUAGAACCAAUGUUAAACAAAAUUUCCACNNNNNNNNNNNNNNNNNNNNNNNNNNNNNNNNNNNNNNNNNNNNNNNNNNNNNNNNNNNNNNNNNNNNNNNNNNNNNNNNNNNNNNNNNNNNNNNNNNNNCGAAAAACGACACGUCGCAGCCCCACCUAAGACUAAUCAGAGAGGCCAGCCCGCCGGUCUAACUCCUAAGCACAAAGGGUUCGUGGGCCCAGUUCCCCUUCACGCUCCUGCACGUGGCGUGGGCGGCCGACGUCAGUCCUAGCAUCCCUUAAUCACAAGCGCGAUGCAUCUCGGGACCACUCGGGCGCGCGCCGCUACAUUGCUGACAUCUGAAAAGCUUCGACUGAUACUGCGACGCCGAGUACCCAUAAUUCUUCCCGCGUAGCCGGUUAGUGCGAAAAGCUCUCCAACCAACCCAGAUCAAAUACCCAAAUCCAUUAUUAUUUGAAUUAGGCCAUCGACACAAUCUCGCGGGAAUCCACCCGUCUAACAUCUAAUCACCAAUGAUCCCAGUAACAUGGUCGAGUAACUGUGUGGUUGUAACAUCGGGGGGAAUCCGAGUUAUCACCCUCGUUGGAUUCCGAACGAUGUACCCGUCAAGGUGGGCUUAGAGGAAUCACCCUCGGGGGUCCCACACUUGAGGGUUUGUACGACAAAGGCAUCGUCGGGGAUGGUGAAAGAGGAAUCAACCUCGAUAACUAUGACCGACUAGCUAUACUACAUAGAUAUCAUCAGGAGUACUUAGCGAGGUGUCACCCUCAGUACUCGAUAGUAUCUCUAUAGCAUCGUACAACUAAGAGGGGUGUAUGUGCUGUGUCGGGUCCGGCUCGUCGAUCAGGGAUCGAGAUUUGAAAGCAAAGCGGGGCAACUGAACUACGGGGUCAGAGGGGAUGACUGCUCCACCUAUACUAAGCAUAUUUAAAGUACAUGACUGAAAGUAACAGUUCAUCAAAAGUAGGCUAUGCAUCAGAUAUGGGAGCUAACUACAACAGUAGCAAAAUACUAAUGCAAGCAGUAGGAAGAAAGACAUAGGCAAUAUAGGAAUGAUCAAGGGGGUUUGCUUGCCUUGUUGCUCUGCAGCAAANNNNNNNNNNNNNNNNNNNNNNNNNNNNNNNNNNNNNNNNNNNNNNNNNNNNNNNNNNNAGGGUCGUAGAUUUCCCCGACAGCAGCGUCAGUCUCGGGGUCUACCGGGAAGAAGAGGGGGAAGAAACAAUAAAUAAUAGCAACGGUGCAACACAAAGCAUGACAUGGCAAGAUGCGCGCUAGACAUGAACUAACGCAGCAACAUCCGUCAUAGACGGGUCGGAAGAAUAUCUGACGAUAUUUUUCCGGGUCUCGGGCUACUACCGGAUAUACCGGAAACGAUGGAAAGUUCCAUGUUUGCUAUGCUAGGGACGCGUGACACACGAAUGGACCGUGUACCCGGGUUCGUCUCGUUCUGCUCAUCAACUUUCAUGUUGAAAANNNNNNNNNNNNNNNNNNNNNNNNNNNNNNNNNNNNNNNNNNNNNNNNNNNNNNNNNNNNNNNNNNNNNNNNNNNNNNNNNNNNNNNNNNNNNNNNNNNNUAGCUCCCAGAAUAUAGAUUUCUUCUUCCACAUGGCUGCGUGCCCGUCAGCUCCCUUCGGAACUGAUUGUCCGCCAGGACCCUUUCCAAAGAUGACUUUCAAAUCCUUGACCAUAUCAAAUAACUCAGCACCAGUGCGUUCCGCAGGCUUCGGCCGGUGAUCUGCCUUGCCGUUGUAAUGCUUGCCUUUCUUUCUUANNNNNNNNNNNNNNNNNNNNNNNNNNNNNNNNNNNACACAUUCUUCCUACAUUUGUCCAGAUAUAUACUCUCUGUCUGAUCCAAACAGUGCGUGCAUGCAUUGUAUCCCUUGUUUGACUGUCCUGUAAUGUUACUAAGAGCAGGCCAAUCAUUGAUGGUUACGAAAAGCAACGCUCGAAGGUCAAAUUCCUCUUGUUUGUGCUCGUCCCACACACGUACACCUGGUUCGGCCCACAGCUGUAAAAGUUCAUCAACUAAUGGCCUUAGGCGGACACCAGGUCUGCCCCACAGCUGUAAAAGUUCAUCAACUAAUGGCCUUAGGUACACAUCGAUGUCGUUGCCGGGUUGCUUCGGACCUUGGAUGAGCACUGGCAUCAUAAUGAACUUCCGCUUCAUGCACAACCAAGGAGGAAGGUUGUAGAUACAUAGAGUAACGGGCCAGGUGCUGUGACUGCAACUCUGCUCCCCAAAAGGAUUCAUGCCAUCUGUACUCAGACCAAACCAUAAGUUCCUUGCGUCAGCUGCAAAUCUCGGGAACUCUCUCUCGAUUUUUCUCCACUGCCGACCAUCAGCGGUGUGCCUCAACUUAUCGUCUUUCAUACGAUCUUCCAUGUGCCAUCGCAACAACUUCACAUGAUCUUUAUUUCUGAACAGACGUUUCAACCGUGGUAUUAUAGGAGCAUACCACAUCACCUUGGCAGGAACCCUCUUCCUGGGUGUCUCGCCCUCAAUAUCACCAGUGUCAUCUUUUCUGAUCUUAUACCACAAUGCAGUGCAUACCGGACAUUUAUCCAUAUUCUCGUACUUAUCACCGCGGUAGAGGAUGCAGUCAUUAGGGCAUGCAUGUAUCUUCUGCACGUCUAAUCCUAGAGGGCAGACAAGCUUCUUUGCUUCGUACGUGCUGGCGGGCAAUUCGUUCUUUCUUGGAAGCAUCUUCUUCAUCAGUACGAGCAACUUUUCGAAUGACGAGUCAGUCACACUGGUCUCUGCCUUCCACUUCAGCAAUUCCAGUGUGCUACCUAGCUUCUUCUGGCCAUCUUCACAAGUUGGGUACAACAAUUUGUUGUGGUCCUGUAACAUCUGCUCGAACUGCAACCUCUCCUUUUCUGUGUCGCAACCUCGCCGUGCAUCAGAAAUGACCCGACCAAGAUCAUCAGCGGGCUCAUCUCGUUCCCGUUCUUCAUCCUGAUCUUCUUCUUCAUUGUCUUCCAUUGCGGUAUCAGCGUACUCAGGGAACAUAGAUCGGUAGUUGUCAUCAUCAUUCUCUUCUUCUUCAUCGUCGUCUUCCAUCAUAACCCCUCUUUCUCCGUGCUUGGUCCAAACAUUAUAGCCCGAUAUAAAACCGGACCGAAGCAGGUGGCUCUGAAUGACUCUUGAGGAAGUGUAAUCCUUCUCAUUCUGACAUUCAACACAUGGACAAAACAUAUAGCCACCACCAUGCUUGUUCGCAUCGGCUGCAUCUCGAAAAGAAUGCACUCCUUCUCUGUAAGAGGCUGUGCGUCGAUCACCUUACAUCCAUGGAUGGCUCAUCUGCGUUAUACGACAGUAUAUCAAAUACAAUCACGAUCCUAAAAAUUAGUACCACACGGUCUAAACGAGGAAAUAUAGUUGCUAACCUUUUAGAAUAAGUAGAAAUAAAGAGGAAGAGGUUUAAGCGUGGCUCAGGCAUCUCAUAUCGUAGUUGUGUUCGGUGAACUGAAGCGGCAUCGCUCUAACACACAUUUCAACAAACACCUCUAGUGCAUCCAAAAAAAUGGAGAGCUAGCACACACCCACACUCUUCCAUCCAAGAAAAAUGCAAGGAAGAGGGGAGAGGAGGGUUGUGGCCAAUAUAUAUACGCAGAGGACUUUAGUCCCGGUUUGAGACACAAACCGGGACUAAAGGUGGCGCACAUGCGGGAUGCACACCGCGUAGCCCUUUAGUCCCGGUUUGAGACACAAACCAGGACUAAAGGCUCCUUAUGGUCCGGGACGAAAGCCUCGUGGGCGGCAUUGCGAUUUGGGGCGACGUGGCCGGGCCUUUAGUCCCACCCAGAGGGAGGCCGGGACUAAAGGGUCCAGGCCAAAGGCCCGUUUUCCACUAGUGCAUGAUUCCUCCCAUGUAAAUUGGGUACCUUUCUUUCUACAUGAUAUAUUUUAGAUGGAAUCCGAUAUGAUAUUAGUGUAAUCUGCCAUAUCUCUUCCAUGUAAAUAGACCCCCAUGUUGUCGUAAAGAGGAGCGGCACUGCCCAACCUCCCAAUUAGUCGUUGUUUUGAGUUAAUUGCCCUUGAGGUCCAUGCCUGCCAUUCAUUUUGAUUUCAUCAUUAUUCCUUUUUUUAAAUCCACAAGAUAGUUCUUCCUCAUGGAGAUGUGUUGCAUGAAUUGUUUAAGAGACAGGGAACGUGUCAAGUUUGUGCUUUGUAAAUGGGACACUAUGUUGUGUUCUAGAUUUAAUAUUUGUGAUAUCCAAUUACACUCCUCUGCAUUGUAUGUGUUUGUAAGAUGCUCACUAACUACAUUAAUUCACAUUGGAAACAAUAGCUGAUUUGGUUUUCGGCUUUAGGUAAUACCUGAUUGUAUGUGGUGAUUUUAGUUCCGAAAUGCUUGAGAAAAUUGUCUCUUUAGAACCUGAUUGACACCAUGGUUCAGAAAAAGGUCUCUCUGUUUUAAGUUGUUUUGUUUAAAAAGUUUGUACACCUAUACGACAAUAAAAGAUGGAAUAUAAUGUGUAUUACUUAUGACACUCGGAUACAAGCCAGCGUUUAAUUGCAUCUUCCACGCGAGAAUUAUCAAAGGAUGUGAAAUUAUGGAUCAUGCAAGGAUAUUUAUUUUGUGAAUUUCAACAGGAUUCACUUAAGAUUGNNNNNNNNNNNNNNNNNNNNNNNNNNNNNNNNNNNNNNNNNNNNNNNNNNNNNNNNNNNNNNNNNNNNNNNNNNNNNNNNNNNNNNNNNNNNNNNNNNNNAGGCCUCCUUUUAAUAGAGAACGGGAACAAAUCAUUAGCACUUAGUGAAUACAUGAACUCAUCAAACUACGGUAAUCAUUGGAAAGAAUCACAGUUAUUGUCACCCUGGGGGAUGCGGAUCAUAACUCGUAGUAGGUGUCUACAACUUGAAAGAUAGGAUCGAGAACACACAUAUAUUCAUGAAAACAUAAUAGGUUCACAUCUGAAAUCAUGGCACUCGGGCCCUGGUGACAAGCAUUAAGCAUAGCAAAGUCAUAGCAAUAUCAAUCUUAGAACAUAGUGGAUACUAGGGAUCAAACCCUAACAAAACUAACUCGACUACAUGAUAUAUCUCAUCCAACCCAUCACCGCCCAGCAAGCAUAUGAUGGAAUUACUCAUGAACGGUGGAGAGCAUCAUAAAAUUGGUGAUGAAGGAUGGUUGGUGAUGAUGACGGCGUCGAUUUCCCCUCUCUGGAGCCCAAAUCAGAAUCCAGAUCUGCCGUCCCGAGGAAGAACACGAGGUGGCAGCGGUUCCGUAUCAUAAAACACAAUGAAAUCUUCUGUGUGAUUUUUUUCUCCCUGAAUAGGAAUAUAUAGAAGUGGAAACGAGGUCGGAGGAGCCACAGGGGCCCCACAAGCCAGGGGCGCGCCCUGCAGGCUUGUGGGCUGGUGGUGUGAUAGCCCAAGACCGACGUUUNNNNNNNNNNNNNNNNNNNNNNNNNNNNNNNNNNNNNNNNNNNNNNNNNNNNNNNNNNNNNNNNNNNNNNNNNNNNNNNNNNNNNNNNNNNNNNNNNNNNNNNNNNNNNNNNNNNNNNNNNNNNNNNNNNCAUCGCAUCCGCAUCCCGUUGCCAUCAGUUUUCAAACUUGCCUCCUUUGUUAGUUGCCGAUUCUCGUCGUUGUCCGUUCGGAGCCCGACCGCACUCGCACGCGCCCUUGGCAUCAUCAAAAUCUUGUUUUAAAAGUGUGUGUAGAACCUUCUCUGAUUGGGUUGGANNNNNNNNNNNNNNNNNNNNNNNNNNNNNNNNNNNNNNNNNNNNNNNNNNNNNNNNNNNNNNNNNNNNNNNNNNNNNNNNNNNNNNNNNNNNNNNNNNNNNNNNNNNNNNNNNNNNNNNNNNNNNNNNNNNNNNNNNNNNUAGCGGCACCGUCUCCGGUCUAUCGUCGGACGAUUUUCGGUAUUUUAAUUCGCGUUGCCACGGGCCGCAUCAUUGCCCUCUCAUCCCUACAUAGUACAACUACACAACCCACUUGACCCAUCUAGCUACUUCCUUCGUUCGUGGUCGUCGGAUCGCGAUCGGACGGACGAGGUCCACCCCACCAUAGCCCAACCCUAUAUAAGCACCACCCCAUGGAGAGACCUCUCUCACUCCACUAGGGUUUCCCCUAGCCAUUUUUNNNNNNNNNNNNNNNNNNNNNNNNNNNNNNNNNNNNNNNNNNNNNNNNNNNNNNNNNNNNNNNNNNNNNNNNNNNNNNNNNNNNNNNNNNNNNNNNNNNNNNNNNNNNNNNNNNNNNNNNNNNNNNNNNNNNNNNNNNNNNNNNNNNNNNNNNNNNNNNNNNNNNNNNNNNNNNNNNNNNNNNNNNNNNNNNNNNNNNNNNNNNNNNNNNNNNNNNNNNNNNNNNNNNNNNNNNNNNNNNCCAUCCCGAGCAGCAGCCGUAGCCGCAGCCCCAUGGCGCUCGCUGCCCGUGGGCUGUCGCCGCCGGUGCCGGUCAGCGCCGCGCAUGCAUCUCCGGCCGAAGCCCCGGGUCUCCGGAGUGCCUCCCCUUGCCGGAGCGCCACCGGCCAACUCCCGAGCUGCCUGCCCCUNNNNNNNNNNNNNNNNNNNNNNNNNNNNNNNNNNNNNNNNNNNNNNNNNNNNNNNNNNNNNNNNNNNNNNNNNNNNNNNNNNNNNNNNNNNNNNNNNNNNGAAUGGCACUUAGAACCUUUGGCUAAAGUGAAAGUUGGGAUUAAAUUCAGUUUUGCUAGCCGCGACAUAACACCGAAACUUAUGUGACAAAGACGUGAAUGCCAAACUUCAGAUUCAUUAACACUCGAAUGAAUAUUGUUCACGACUUUAUUACAAAAAUCUGCUAGAGAAAGGCGGAACAGACCUCCGCAUUCGUAUCCUUUUCCAACGAAAAGUCCAUAUUUCGUAACUACUACUUUAUUAGACUCGAACACCAACUUAAACCCUUCUCUACACAGAAGGGAGCCACUAACGAGAUUCUUCUUGAUGGCGGGGACAUGCUGCAUGUUCUUCAGCUGCAUGAUCCUUCCCGAAGUAAACUUCAGAUCGACCGUGCCAACACCAAGAACAGAAGCACUCGCGCCAUUCCCCAUCAAUACGGACCCGCGACCGGUGGCCUUAUAAGAAGAGAACAAUGAUAAGUCAGCACACACAUGAAUAUUUGCACCCGUGUCCACCCACCAAUCGGUGGACUGACAAACUGUAAAUACAGUAAGUAAAUUACCGUACCCAGAUGCACCACUUUCAUUGUUGCCCACAAUCAUGUUGGCAGACUUGGAGUCCUGCGCCGGCUUCUUGUACUUGUUUGGGCAUUUGUUCGCCCAAUGUUCCUCUGAACCACAAGUAUAGCAGCCAUCUCCCUUCUUAUUCUUCUUGAAGGGCUUCUUUCCCUUCUUCUUGAAGUCGGUAUUCUGUUGGACAGAAUUCUUUCCCUUGGGCUUGUGAGAAUUGAAGUUCCUCUGAUGUACCAUAUUGGCAGCAGAAGAGCUUUCCACCGCUUUUCCAUUGGAGUCCUUUGCUCUCGAGUUCUGCUCAACACUCAGAUGGCCGAUGAUGUCCUGUACUGAGAACUCACGCCUCUGAUGUUCCAAAGUAGUAGCAAAGUUCCUCCAGGAAUUAGGGAGCUUAGCAAUUAUACAGCCCGCGACAAACUUGCCCGGCAAAUUGCACUUAAGAACCUCAAGUUCCUUAGCUAUGCAUAUUAUCUCAUGAGCUUGUUCCAAUACAGAACGGUUGUCAACCAUCUUGUAAUCGUGGAACUGCUCCAUAACAUACAUCUCACUCCCAGCAUCGGUGGCCCCGAAUUUAGAUUCGAGCGCCUCCCACAAGUCCUUGGCAACAUGCAUAUGUAAGUAUGCAUCAACCAGCUUAUCUUCGAUCACGCUAAUGACUGCUCCAAGGAAUAGGACGGUGGCCUCCUUAAACAUCUUCUCCUGUUCAGGAGUGAUAGUUUCCGUAGGAGUGACACCGGCUACCCAGAACACGUUCAUANNNNNNNNNNNNNNNNNNNNNNNNNNNNNNNNNNNNNNNNNNNNNNNNNNNNNNNNNNNNNNNNNNNNNNNNNNNNNNNNNNNNNNNNNNNNNNNNNNNNCCACUGUGCUGGAAAGCAAGAGGCAAAGCCCUUCAACUAAGACACUCUUUAUUAUAUGGCUCACGAGCUCGAAUACAUCGGGGGUGACACAAAGGAAAGCUCAAAACUAAAACACUAAGACUUUUAAACUAUUAGAGAAAAAGAAAACUGAAAAGGAAAACUAAAACAAAGGUAAAGGCAAAAGAUGUGAUGGUGAUAUGAUACCGGGACAACUCCCCCAAGCUUGGCACAAGCCAAGGGGAUUGCCCAUACCAAUGCUCAGUUGUCUUCCUUUGGUGGUGAUGGUGGUGGAGUUGUUGCAAUCUUUGACUCCAAGAGGGCCAUUAAUCUUUGAUUUAUACCUUGGAGAUUUGCGACAUGUUUUUCCAGCAAAACAACUUCACGAGUUGGACAAGUAUUGCGAGCACGAGUUGUUUCAAAAAACCUCAAGAGUUCAAUCAAGGAUGGAGACAGUAGGUGGAGGUAGGGUUGGAGGAAAUCCACUCCUUCAACUUCUUCCUUGUUGAGCAGAGAUUGCACUUCAUCCCAUGCCUGAUCCUUCUCCUUAGCUUUGCCCUUGGUUUCUUUAGGUAGCCUUUCCUUAGCCUCCAUGACCUCCAUCCUUUUCAGAUCUACAUGAACUUCUCCAUAGAUUUGACAGAGGUUGUUCUCCCCACAGAUUCCUGGGACGACAUCUUGACCUAGAUCUGCGGCAGAAAACAGGCUCGAAACGAAAAACAAAGGAAAUCUGCAUGAUGCAGGGGUCAGACCAGAAGGAGUACCCUGCACGAAAACAGAGUCUGGGAGGCGCACGAGGUGGCCACAAGCCCUCACGGCGCGGCUAGGGGGCGGGCCCGCACCGUGCAGGCUUUUCGGACUACUUCGAAUUUUUGUAUUUUUCAAAUAUUCCAAAACGGAGAAAAAUUCCUACUGGAAAAGUUUUGCACUCCGUUUUCUUACCGAAUCGCAUGCCUCUUCGUUUUCGGAGUCUGAAACAGGCUGAUAAACAUCCCUUAGGUAUUCUUCCAUAGUUAUGGUAUUGAUGAUAUUGCUUUCAACAUUUAUGGGAGUACCUGAGAUAUAAUGCUUGAUUCUCUGCCCAUUUACCACUCUCGGACAAUUACCUUCUAUGUUGUUGCUCUUGAUAGCACCGGAAUGAUAUACUUUCUCAACAACAUAGGAACCUUCCCAUUUAGAGAGAAGCUUGCGUGCAAAGAAUCUUAAAUGAGAGUUAUAUAGCAAGACAUAAUCACCUACAUUGAACUCACGCUUUUGUAUCCUCUUAUCAUGCCACCUCUUAACCUUCUCUUUGAACAGCUUGGCAUUCUCAUAUGUCUGAAUUCUCCACUCAUCAAGCGAGCUAAUAUCAUAUAACCUCUUCUCAUCGGCAAGUUUGAAAUCAAAGUUGAGCUCUUUGAUUGCCCAAUAAGCUUUAUGCUCUAGCUAAAGAGGUAAGUGACAUGCUUUCCCAUACACCAUUUUGUACGGAGACAUGCCCAUGGGAUUCUUAUAGGCAGUUCUAUAAGCCCACAGUGCAUCAUCGAGCUUCUUAGACCAAUUCUUUCUAGACCUGUUGACAGUCUUUUGCAAAAUUAGUUUAAUCUCUCUAUUACUUAGCUCUACUUGACCACUGGAUUGAGGGUGGUAGGGAGAUGCAAUUCUAUGGUUGACAUCGUACUUAGCAAGCGUUUUACGGAAAGCACCAUGAAUGAAGCGUGAACCACCGUCGGUUAUUAGAUAUCUAGGGACUCCAAAUCUAGGGAAGAUAACUUCUUUCAACAUCUUGAUAGAGGUGUUGUGAUCAGCACUACUAGUGGGGAUAGCUUCUACCCACUUAGUCACGUAAUCAACAGCAACUAGGAUGUGAGUAUACCCAUCGGAUUUUGUAAAAGGUCCCAUAUAAUCAAAGCCCCAAACAUCAAAUGGUUCAAUGACAAGUGAAUAGUUCAUAGGCAUUUCCUAAUGUUUGCUAAUAUUACCUAUUCUUUGACAUUCGUCACAAGACAAGACAAACUUACGCGCAUCCUUGAAGAGAGUGGGCGGGCCAAUAGAAACCUGAUUGCAAUACCUUGUGUGCAGUUCUAUCUCCCGCAUGGUGUCCUCCGUAGGCCUCGGAGUGACACUUAUGUAGGAUCUGUCCCUGUUGAUGUUCAGGUACACAACGUCUAAUAACACCAUCUACUCCUUCCUUAUAAAGGUGAGGAUCAUCCCAAAAGUAGUGUCUCAAGUCAAAGAAGAAUCUUUUUCUUUUUCUGGUACGUGAAACUAGGUGGUAUAUAUUUGCCAGCAAUAUAGUUUGCAUAAUCAGCAUACCACGGUGCACUACGUGAAGCAUUGAUGACAUUCAAUUGCUCAUCGGGAAAGAUAUCAUCAAUAGGUUGUGGGUCAUCAAGAACGUUCUCCAACCUAGACAAGUUAUCUGCUAUUGGGUAUCAGCACCCUUUCCGUCGACAACGUGCAAAUCAAAUUCUUGUAGCAAGAGAACCCAUCUGAUAAGUGUAGGUUUAGCGUCCUUCUUCUCCAUGAGGUACUUAAUAGCAGCAUGAUCAGUGUGAAUAGUGACUUUGGAAUCAACUAUGUAAGACCUGGACUUUUCACAUGCAAACACGACUCCAAAAAAUUCCUUCUCCGUAGUCGCAUAGUUUCUCUGGGCACUCUCUAGAGUUUUACUAGCAUAGUGAAUAACAUUCAACUUCUUAUCGACUCUUUGCCCUAGAACAACACCAACGGCAUAAUCACUAGCAUCACACAUUAUUUCAAAAGGCAAGUUCCAAUCAGGUUGUUGAACAAUAGGUGCACUUAUCAAAGCCCUCUUAAAUAUUUCGAAGGCUUCCUCACAAUCAUCGUCAAAAACAAAAGGAAUAUCCUUUUGCAAGAGAUUGGUAAGAGGCCUAGAAAUCUUAGAGAAGUCUUUAAUGAACCUUCUAUAGAAACCAGCCUGACCAAGGAAACUUCUUAUACCCUUGAUAUCUGUGGGGUAUGGCAUUUUCUCGAUUGCAUCAACCUUAGCCUUACCGACUUCAAUACCUCUUUCAGAAAUUUUAUGACCUAAGACGAUGCCUUCAUUAACCAUAAAGUGGCACUUCUCCCAAUUCAAGACAAGAUUGGUGUCUUUACAUCUCUGCAAGACUCAAUCAAGGUUGCUCAGGCAAUCAUCAAAGGAAGACCCGUAAACGGAGAAGUCAUCCAUGAAAACCUCGACAAUCUUUUCACAAAAGUCAGAGAAUAUAGCCAUCAUACAUCUUUGAAAGGUGGCAGGUGAAUUACAUAAGCCAAAAGGCAUAUGUCUAUAAGCAAAUGUACCGAAAGGGCAGGUGAAAGUCGUUUUCUCCUGAUCAGAUUGUGCAACUGGUAUUAGGGAGAAACCAGAAUAACCGUCUAGAAAGCAGAAGUGUGUGUGUUUAGACAGCCUUUCUAGCAUUUGGUCGAUAAAAGGCAAAGUGUAAUGAUCUUGACUAGUGGCUUUAUUCAAUUUCCUAAAAUCGAUCACCAUCCUAUAGCAAGUAAUAAUCCUUUGUGGGAUCAAUUCAUCCUUAUCAUUAGGGACAACGGUAAUGCCUCCCUUCUUAUGGACGCAAUGCACCGGACUCACCCAAUUGCUAUGAGCAACAUGAUAGAUAAUACCCGCUUCCAGGAGCUUUAGUAUUUCUUUUCUUACUACUUCUUUCAUCUUAGGAUUUAAUCUCGUGUGAUGAUCAACAACUGGUUUGAAGUCAGGAUCAGUUUUAAUCUUGUGCUGGCAUAGAGUGGGACUAAUGCCCUUAAGAUCAUCAAGAGUAUAUCCAAUAGCAGCACGUUGCUUCCUUAGAGUUUUUAGCAACUUCUUUUCUUCAUGCUCUGAGAGGCUAGCACUAAUUAUAAUAGGAUAUAUCUCUUUUUCAUCAAGAUAAGCAUACUUAAGAGUAUCAGGCAACUGGUUAAGCUCGAACACAGGAUCACCCUUUGGUGGGGGUGGAUCCCCAUGCAGUUCAACAGGAAGAUUAUUCUUAAGGAUAGGAUAUUGUUCUAAGACAACUCUAUCUAUCUCAUCCCUUUCAUCCAUAUGCAUAUCAUUUUCAUGCUCAAGCAAAUAUUGCUCUAAGGGAUCAGUAGGAGGCACGGCAAUAGAGGCUAAGGCAAUAGUUUCAUCCCUACUAGGAAACUCCUUUUCAUGAGGUUGUCUACCAACCUUAGAGAAAUUGAACUCAUGUGACACAAUCAAUAUGAGCAUUGACAGUAUUGAGGAAGGGUCUGCCAAAUAUGAUGGGACAAAAGCUAUCUUGUGCAGUAGCAAGAACGAGGAAAUCAGCAGGAUACUUCGUUUUACCACACAAGACUUCAACAUCCCUAACAAUUCCCACUGGGCAGAUAGUAUCUCUAUUGGCAAGCUGAAUAGGGACAUCAAUAGGUUCUAUCUCAACAGGUGCAAUCUCGUCUUUGAUUUCAUCGUAUAAGGAUUGAGGUAUUGCACUAACACUAGCACCCACGUAACAUAAACCAUGAUAACAAUGAUCUCCUAUCUUAACAGAAACCACAUGCAUGCCAACAACAGGCCUAUGUUUGUCUCUAGCGUGAGGUUUAGCAAUUCUAGCAGCAUUUUCACAAAAGUGAAUAUUAUGUCCCUCAACUUCUUCAGACAGAAGAUCUUUGAUUAUAGCAAUGCUAGGUUCAACUCUAAUUUGCUCAGGGGGUGUAGGUGUUCUAAUAUAGCCUCUACGUAUCACAUUUGAAGCUUUAGAAUGAUACUUUAUCCUAACAGGGAAAGGUGGUUUCUCAAUGUAAGCACUGCGAACAACAGGAUCAUUAUAGGCAAUAACUUUCUCUUCAACUGGAAUGGGUUUAACUACAUUGACUUCUAAAGGAGGAUGAUAUUUAAACCACUUCUCUUUGGGGAGAUCAAUAUGAGAAGCAAAGGAUUCACACAAUGAAGCUACUAUCUCAGAGUCAAGUCCAAACUUAGCGCUAAAAUCACUAAACGUAUUUGUCUCAACAAAGGAUUUAACGCAAUCAAACGUGAAAUUCAUAUGUGACUCCUUACCUUCUUCAAGCUCCCAAUCUUCAGAGUUGUGUUUAAUUCUCUCAAAUAAAUUCCAUUUGAAGUCAAUAUCUCUCAUCAUAAAAGAACCGGUACAAGAAGUGUCAAGCAUGGUGCGAUCAUCAUGGGAAAGCCGAGCAUAGAAGUUCUGAAUGAUAAUUUCUCUCGAGAGCUCAUGGUUGGGGCAUGAAUAUAGCAUUGAUUUAAGCCUCCCCCCAGCUUGAGCGAUGCUUUCUCUGUCACGAGACCAAAAAUUUUAAAUAUAAUUCCGGUCACGAUGUACUAAAUGCAUAGGAUGAAACUUUUGAUGAAAUUCCAAUUUCAACCGAUUGUAGUCCCAUGAUCCAGUAUCAUCACAUAGCCUAUACCAUGUCAACACCUUAUCCUUCAAAGAUAAAGGAAAGAUCUUCUUCUUUACCUCAUCCUCGGGCACACCUGCAAGCUUAAAUAAACCACAAACUUCAUCUACAUAGAUCAGACGCAAGUCUGGAUGUGAUGUUCCAUCUCGUGUAAAAGGAUUAGCCAGCAGUUUCUCAUGCAUACCCGAAGGAAAUUCAAAGAAAAUACUUUAAGUAGGUGCAGCAGGUUGAGGAGCAACUAUUUGUGCUUCCGUUCGAGGUGAAGAUACCCAGAACAAGCCCCUCAAAGGAUUAGUAUCCAUAGUGACAAGUGACAAUAAACUUCAGCACACUAUAUGAAUGUUUCCUUACCAAGUUCCACUUACCAAAGGCGCUUCACUCCCCGGCAAUGGCGCCAGAAAAGAGUCUUGAUGACCCACAAGUAUAGGGGAUCAAUCGUAGUCCUUUCGAUAAGUAAGAGUGUCGAACCCAACGAGGAGCAAAAGGAUCUGACAAGUGGUUUUCAGCAAGGUAAAAUCUGCAGGCACUGAAAUUGUCGGUAACAAGUGAUUGUGUGGUGAGAUGAUUUGUAGCGAGCAACAAGUAACAAAAGUAGCAACGGUGCAGCAAAGUGUCCCAAUCCCUUUUGUAGCAAGGGACAAGCCUGGACAAAGUCUUAUAGGAGGAAAAACGCUCCCGAGGACACACGGGAAUUUCUGUCAUGCUAGUUUCAUCAUGUUCAUAUGAUUUGCGUUUGUUACUUUGAUAGUUUGAUAUGUGGGUGGGCCGACGCUUGGCUACUACCCUUACUUGGACAAGCAUCCCACUUAUUAUUAACCCCUCUCGCAAGCAUCCGAAACUACGAAAUAAGAAUUAAGACAAAGUCUAAGCAUAGCAUUAAACUAGUGGAUCCAAAUCAGCCCCUUACGAAGCAACGCAUAAACUAGGGUUUAAGCUUCUAUUACUCUACCAACCCACAAUCUACUUACUACUUCCCAAUGCCUUCCUCUAGGCCCAAAUAAUGGUGAAGUGUUAUGUAGUCGACGUUCACAUAACACCACUAGAGGAAAAACAACAUACAACACAUCAAAUUACCGAACAAAUACCAAAUUCACAUGACUACUAUUAGCAUGACUUAUCCCAUGUCCUCAGGAAUAAAAGUAACUACUCACAAAGCAUAAUCAUAUUCACGACCAAAGAGGUAAUGAGUAGCAUCAAGUAUCUGAACAUAAACUCUUGCACCAAAUAAUCCAACUAGCAUCAACUACAAAGAGUAAUCAACACUACUAGCAAUCUUACAAGUACCAAUCGGAGUCGCAAGACGGAGAUUAGUUACAAGUGAUGAACUAGGGUUUGGAGAUGACAUGGUGCUGAUAAAGAUGUUGAUGGUGACGAGUCCCCUCUGAUGAGAGGAAUGUUGAUGGUGAUCGUAACGAGUCCCCUCCGAUGAGAGGAGUGUUGAUGGUGACGAGUCCCCUCCGAUGAAAGGCAUCAGAAUUGUACCGUGAAGUGAAAUAACAGCCAAAGAAGCGAUAAAUAUCAACAUGAAAACAUGAUGCAAAAUGGACGUGUCAAUCACUAACACUCCUCUCAUCGGAGGGGACUCGUCACCAUCACCAUCUUCAUCAGCACCAUCUCAUCUCCAAACCCUAGUUCAUCUCUUGUAACCAAUCUCCGUCUCGGGACUCCGAUUGGUACUUGUAAGGUUGCUAGUAGUGUUAAUUACUCUUUGUAGUUGAUGCUAGUUGGAUUACUUGGUGGAAGAUUAUAUGUUCAGAUCUUUGAUGGUACUCAUUUCCUCUCUGGUCAUGAAUAUGAUUAUGCUUUGUGAGUAGUUACUUUUGUUCCUGAGGACAUGGGAUAAGUCAUGCUAUAAGUAGUCAUGUGAAUUUGGUAUUCGUUCGAUAUUUGAUGUGUUGUAUGUUGCCUCUCCUCUAGUGGUGUUAUGUGAACGUCGACUACAUAACACUUCACCAUUAUUUAGGCCUAGAGGAAGGCAAUGGGAAGUAGUAAGUAGAUGAUGGGUUGCUAGAGUGAGAGAAGCUUAAACCCUAGUUUAUGCGUUGCUUCGUAAGGGGCUGAUUUGGAUCCACUAGUUUAAUGCUAUGGUUAGACUUUGUCUUAAUUCUUCUUUCGUAGUUGUGGAUUUGCUAGAGGGGUUAAUCAUAAGUGGGAUGCUAGUCCAAGUAAGGGCAGUACCCAAGCGACGGUCCACCCACAUAUCAAACUAUCAAAGUAGCGAACGUGAAUCAUAUGAACAUGAUGAAAACUAGCUUGACAGAAAUUCCCAUGUGUCCUCGAGAGCGUUUUACCUCCUUUGAGACUUUGUCCAGGCUUGUCCCUUGCUACAAAAGGGAUUGGGUCACUUUGCUGCACCGUUGUUACUUUUGUUACUUGCUACUUGCUACGAAUCAUCUUGUCACACAACUACUUGUUACAGAUAAUUUCAGUGCUUGGAGAGAUCACCUUGUUGAAAACCACUUAUCAGAUCCUUUUGGUCCUCGUUGGGUUCGACACUCUUACUUAUCGAAAGGACUAUGAUAGAUCCCCUAUACUUGUGGGUCAUCAGUGAUCGGGUGUGAUAGACUCUAUGUUCACAUACAAUAGGUGCAAGAUAGUUUUGCACAUGCGGAACACUCAGGUUAUACUUCACAAAGCCUAGCAUGUACAAACAUGGUCUCAGAACACUAGAGAUGGAAAGGUCGAACAUGAGUCAUAUAGUUGAUAUGAUCAACAUGUAGAUGUUCACCAUUGAAACAAGCUCAUCUCACGUGAUGAUCGGACUUGGGUUGGUCGAUUUGGAUCAUGGGUCACUCGAAUGACUAGAGGGAUGUCAAUUUGAGUGAGAGUUUUUAAUAUGAUUAACUAAACUCAUAUCUUGAAUAGUAGUCUAAGUAAUCUUUGCAAAUUUAUGUUGUAGAUCAAUGGCUCGCGCAGUAGCAGUCCUGAAUUUUAAUGAGUUCCUAGAGAAUGCCAAGCUGAAAGACGAUGGGAGCAAAUUUGUAGACUCGGCCCGUAAUCUGAGAUUUGUCCUCUCGGUUUCCCAAAAGAGUUAUGUCCUUGAUGCACCACUUGGUGAUGCGCCCCCUUCCCGGCAGCUGAAUACGUUAUGAACGUCUAGCAGUCACGUCUGGAUGAUUACUCAGUAGUUCAGUGUGCAAUUUUGUAUGGCUUAGAACUGAGAGUUCAAAGACGUUUUGAACGUCAUGGAGCAUAUGAGAUGUUCCAGGAAUUGAAGUUUAUCCCUCAAAAGAAUGCUCGGAUCAAGAGGUAUGAGACCUCCGAUAAGUUUUAUGGUUGCAAGAUGGAGGAGAACGGGUCUGCCAGUGAGCAUGUACUCGGAAUGUUUGGGUAUGCUAACCGUCUGGCUAAGUUGGGAAUUGUUCUCCCGCAACAGGCGGUCAAUGAUAGAGUUCUUCGAUCACUGCCACCUAGCUAGAAAAGCUUUGUGAUGAACUACAACAUGCAAGGGUUGAAUAAAUCACUCGUUGAGCUGUUAGCGAUGCUGAAAGUCAAUGAGUCAAAAAUCCAGAAGGAACAUCAUGUGUUGAUGGUCAAUAAAACCACCACUUCAAGAAAAAUGGCAAGGGAAAGAAAGGUAACUUCAAGAAGAGUGGCAAAGUUGUUGCCCCUCCUGUGAAGAAAACCAAGGCUAGACCCAAGCCAGAAACUGAGUGCUAUCAUUGCAAGGGGACUAGUCACUGGAAGCGGAACUGCCCCAAGUAUUUGGCCAACAAGAAGGCGGCUAACGCCAAACAAGGUAUAUAUGAUAUACAUGUUAUUGAUGUGUGCCUCACAAACUCUCGUUGUAGUGUCUGGGUAUUUGAUACUAGUUCGGUUGCUCACAUUUGCAACUCAAAGUUGGAAGUACGGAAUAGUCGGAGGUUAGCGAAGGGCGAAGAGACGACGUGCGUGGAAAAUGGUUCCAAGCUUGAUACAAUCGCCGUGGGCACGCUCUCACUUUAAUUACUAUCAGGAUUAGUGAGGAACCUGAAUAAUUGUUAUUUAGUGCAUGCGUUAAGCAUGAACAUUAUAUCUGGAUCUUGUUUACUGCGAGACGGUUACUCAUUUAAAUCAGAGAAUAAUGUUCUAUUUAUAUGAGUAAUAUCUUUGAUGGUCAUGUUGUGAGGAGUUUAUUCUUAUUGAAUCUCGAUAGUAAUGACACACAUGUUCAUAACAUUGAUGCCAAAAUAUGUAGAGUUGAUAAUGAUAGUACCACUUUCUUGUGGCACUGUCACUUAGGUCAUAUUGGUGUAACGUGCAUGAAGAAACUCCAUGUCGAUGGACUUUUGGAGUCACUUAAUUUUGAAUCACUUGACACAUGUGAACCAUGCCUCAUGGGAAAGAUGACCAAAACUCCGUUCUCCGGAACGAUAAAGCCAGCAAGUGACUUAUUAGAAAUCAUACAUACUGAUGUGUGCGGUCCGAUGAGCAUUGAGACGUGUCGUGGAUAUUGUUAUUUUCUCACCUUCACCAAUGCCUUAAGUAGAUAUGGUUAUAUUUACUUAAUGAAACACAAGUGAGAAACGUUUGAAAAGCUCAAGCAAUUUCAGAGUGAAGUGGAGAAUCAUCAUAACAAGAAGAUCAAAUUCCUAUGAUAUGAUGGAGGAGGAGAAUAUCUAAGUUAUGAGUUUGGCACUCACUUAAGACAAUGUGGAAUUGUUUCAUAGUUGACACCGCCUGGAACACCACAACGUAAUGGUGUGUCCGAACGUCGUAAUCAUACUGUAUUGGAUAUGGUGUGUUCUAUGAUGUCUCUUGCUGAUUUGCCGUUAUCAUUUUAGGGUUAUGCAUUAGAGACACAUGCAUUCACUUUGAAUAGUGCACCAUCAAAGUUUAUUGAGACGACACCAUAUGAACUAUGGUUUGGUAAGAAACCAAAGUUGUCAUUUCUUAAAGUUUGGGGAUGUGAUGCUUAUGUCAAAAAGCUUCAGCCAGAAAAGCUGGAACCCAAAGCGGAGAAAUGUGUCUUCAUAGGAUACCCAAAAGAGACAGUUGGGUAAACCUUCUAUCUCAGAUCCAAAGGCAAAGUGUUUGUCGCUAAAAACGGAACAUUUCUUGAGAAAGGGUUUCUCUCGAAAGAAUUGAGUGGGAGGAACAUAGAACUUGAUGAGGUUAUUGAAUCUUAACUUCAACUGGAGAGUAGCACAACACAGAAAGUUGUUUUUGUGGAGCCUUCGUCAAUUGAAAAGGAAGCUAAUGAUGAUGAUCAUGAAGAUUCGGAUCAAGUUGCUAUCGAACCACGUAGGUCGACAAGGGAACACACUGCUCGUGAGUGGUAUAGUAACCCUGUCUUAUCAAUCAUGUUGUUGGACAACGAUGAACCUACGAACUAUGGAGAAGUGAUGGUGGGCUCGUAUUCCAACAAAUGGUUAGAAGCCAUGAAAUCUGAGAUAGGAUUCAUGUAUGAAAACAUAGUGUGGACUUUGGAAGUAUUACUUGAAGGGCAAAAGGCCAUUCAGAUUAAAUGGAUCUUUAUGGAGAAUACUGACGCAGAUGGAAAUGUCACCGUCUAUAAAGCUCGACUUGUGGCAAAGGGUUUCUCACAAGUUCAAGGAGUGGGCUACCAUGAGACUUUCUCAUCGGUAGCGAUGCUUAAGUCUGCCAGAGUCAUGUUAGCAAUAGCUACAUUUUUCGAUUAUGAAAUUUGGCAGAUGGAUGUCACAACAACAUUACUUAACGGUUUCCUUAAGGAAGAGUUGCAUAGGAUGCAACCGGAAGGUUUGUCGAUCGGGAGAAUGCUAACAAAGUGUGCAAGCUCCAGCAAUCCAUUUAAGGACUAGUGUGUGACAUCCUCGACUUUUGCUACAGUGAUGAUUGUAAUUAAGCGACAGUGAUCCCACGCUAAUGAUGCCACGUCACCGUUAAUUAUAUCAAUGAUCUCAUGUUAGUUGAAACCGAAUCAAAAUUCGAAACUUAAAAUUAAAGUCGAACGAGAAAGGUUUUAUGUUGUUAAAAUAAGAACGUCGGGGAGUUAUUAAAAUUUUCUAAUAAAUUAUAAAUGUGAAUCGGGAAUUAUUGAAAUCAUUUAUAAUCCCCAUAUAUUUAAAAUGAAAGNNNNNNNNNNNNNNNNNNNNNNNNNNNNNNNNNNNNNNNNNNNNNNNNNNNNNNNNNNNNNNNNNNNNNNNNNNNNNNNNNNNNNNNNNNNNNNNNNNNNNNNNNNNNNNNNNNNNNNNNNNNNNNNNNNNNNNNNNNNNNNNNNNNNNNNNNNNNNNNNNNNNNNNNNNNNNNNNNNNNNNNNNNNNNNNNNNNNNNNNNNNNNNNNNNNNNNNNNNNNNNNNNNNNNNNNNNNNNNNNNNNNNNNNNNNNNNNNNNNNNNNNNNNNNNNNNNNNNNNNNNNNNNNNNNNNNNNNNNNNNNNNNNNNNNNNNNNNNNNNNNNNNNNNNNNNNNNNNNNNNNNNNNNNNNNNNNNNNNNNNNNNNNNNNNNNNNNNNNNNNNNNNNNNNNNNNNNNNNNNNNNNNNNNNNNNNNNNNNNNNNNNNNNNNNNNNNNNNNNNNNNNNNNNNNNNNNNNNNNNNNNNNNNNNNNNNNNNNNNNNNNNNNNNNNNNNNNNNNNNNNNNNNNNNNNNNNNNNNNNNNNNNNNNNNNNNNNNNNNNNNNNNNNNNNNNNNNNNNNNNNNNNNNNNNNNNNNNNNNNNNNNNNNNNNNNNNNNNNNNNNNNNNNNNNNNNNNNNNNNNNNNNNNNNNNNNNNNNNNNNNNNNNNNNNNNNNNNNNNNNNNNNNNNNNNNNNNNNNNNNNNNNNNNNNNNNNNNNNNNNNNNNNNNNNNNNNNNNNNNNNNNNNNNNNNNNNNNNNNNNNNNNNNNNNNNNNNNNNNNNNNNNNNNNNNNNNNNNNNNNNNNNNNNNNNNNNNNNNNNNNNNNNNNNNNNNNNNNNNNNNNNNNNNNNNNNNNNNNNNNNNNNNNNNNNNNNNNNNNNNNNNNNNNNNNNNNNNNNNNNNNNNNNNNNNNNNNNNNNNNNNNNNNNNNNNNNNNNNNNNNNNNNNNNNNNNNNNNNNNNNNNNNNNNNNNNNNNNNNNNNNNNNNNNNNNNNNNNNNNNNNNNNNNNNNNNNNNNNNNNNNNNNNNNNNNNNNNNNNNNNNNNNNNNNNNNNNNNNNNNNNNNNNNNNNNNNNNNNNNNNNNNNNNNNNNNNNNNNNNNNNNNNNNNNNNNNNNNNNNNNNNNNNNNNNNNNNNNNNNNNNNNNNNNNNNNNNNNNNNNNNNNNNNNNNNNNNNNNNNNNNNNNNNNNNNNNNNNNNNNNNNNNNNNNNNNNNNNNNNNNNNNNNNNNNNNNNNNNNNNNNNNNNNNNNNNNNNNNNNNNNNNNNNNNNNNNNNNNNNNNNNNNNNNNNNNNNNNNNNNNNNNNNNNNNNNNNNNNNNNNNNNNNNNNNNNNNNNNNNNNNNNNNNNNNNNNNNNNNNNNNNNNNNNNNNNNNNNNNNNNNNNNNNNNNNNNNNNNNNNNNNNNNNNNNNNNNNNNNNNNNNNNNNNNNNNNNNNNNNNNNNNNNCACGUGGGUCCCCCACUAAAUUAAUUUGAUUAAUUACUAUUUAAUCUUAAUUAAAAACUUGUGUCUAUGACGCUUGGGACCCACUGGUCAGUUGACCAGUCAACUGCUGAUGCGAGCGUGGCAUCAUGCUAAUGUCAUAAUAGCAUUUAAUUAAAUUAAUUAAAUCUGUUUUUAAUCCCUAAAUAAUUAAUAAAACUAUAGAAAUUAAUAUAAAAUAAUCCGUAAGUCAGAUCAUAAUAUUUUCAACAUGAAAGUUGAUCAGCAAAAUGAGACGAACCCGGAUACACGGUCCAUUUGUCUGUCACGCGUCCCUAGCGUAGCAAACAUGGAACUUUUCCAUUGUUUCUCGUCCGACCGGUAGGCCCCGAGACUGACGCUGUUGCCGGUUACAUCUACGACCCUGCUGAUCAGUCCUUUGCUGCACAGCAGCAAGGCAAGCAAACCCCCUUGAUCAUUCCUAUAUCGCCUAUGUCUUUCUCCCUCAUGCUUGCAUUAGUAUUUUGCUAUACUUGUAGUUAGCUUCUAUAUCUGAUGCAUAGCCUAUUUUUGAUGAACUGCUACUUUCAGUAUUGUACCUUUAAAUCUGCUUAGUAUAGGUGGAGCAGUCAUCCCUUCUGACCCCGUAGUCCAGUUGCCCCGCUUUGCUUUCAAAUCUCGAUCCCUGAUCGACGAGCCGGACCCGACACAGCACAUACACCCCUCUUAGUUGUACGAUGCUAUAGAGAUACUAUCGAGUACUGAGGGUGACACCUCGCUAAGUACUCCUGAUGAUAUCUAUGUAGUAUAGCUAGUCGGUCAUAGUUAUCGAGGUUGAUUCCUCUUUCACCAUCCCCGACGAUGCCUUUGUCGUGCAAACCCUCAAGUGUGGGACCCCCGAGGGUGAUUCCUCUAAGCCCACCUUGACGGAUACAUCGUUCGGAAUCGAAUGAGAGUGAUACCUCGGAUUCCCCCCGAUGUUACAACCACACAGUUACUCAACCAUGUUACUGGGAUCAUUGGUGAUUAGAUGUUAGACGGGUGGAUUCCCGCGAGAUUGUGUCGAUGGCCUAAUUCAAAUAAUAAUGGAUUUGGGUAUUUGAUCUGGGUUGGUUGGAGAGCUUUUCGCACUAACCGGCUACGCGGGAAGAAUUAUGGGUACUCGGCGUCGCAGUAUCAGUCGAAGCUUUUCAGAUGUCAGCAAUGUAGCGGCGCGCGCCCGAGUGGUCCCGAGAUGCAUCGCGCUUGUGAUUAAGGGAUGCUAGGACUGGCGUCGGUCGCCCACGCAUCAUGCAGGAGCACGAAGGGGAACUGGGCCCACGAACCCUUUGUGCUUAGGAAUUAGACCGGCGGGCUGGCCUCUCUAUUGAGUCUUAGGUGGGGCUGCGACGUGUCGAUAUUCUGAGCUCGGGCAUGACCCAGAAAAGUGUGUCCGGCCAGAGUGUUAUCGAGCGUGACGGGACAUGUGGUGCACCCCUGCAGGGAUGAAAAUUAACUAUUCAGAUAGCCGUGUCCAUGGUUACAGGAGGACUUGGAGUUGUGCCCUGAUCUUAUAGAACUACAAUUGUUACUUAACUGGAAUUAGUUGCCUCAGGAUUGCUUCCUCGCAGGGAGUCGAGCGAGGAUCUCUGGGCAUGACCUCUUUUUAAUAUUGCUGCAACAAUAUGACUAUUUAAUUGUGGUACACCUGUUCUACUCUCGUCUAUUGCUGCAAGACCCUGAAGAUGCUAGUCUUCGAUAGGACUAGGCCUUCUCUCUCUUUUCUCGCAUUGCUGCAGUCAGUCCACAUAUAACCCCCUUCUUUGAUACUAAUGCAUACUUAGCUUAGUUCUGAUGUAAAACUUGCGAGUACUUUGGAUGAGUACUCACCGUUGCUUUGCUCCCCCUUUGUCCCCUUGAUCCGUUGGUGCGACCAGAUGAUGGAGCCCAGGAUAUGGUGGUUCCCGCCGACGACGACUGCUACCCCGACGGUGCCUACUACUACGUGGAGGCCUCUGAAGACCAGGAGUAGUUAGGAGGUUCCCAGGCAGGAGGCCUCGCCUCGUUCAAUCGUUGUAUCUUUUGUGCUAGCCUUCUCGAAGGCACCCCAUGUUUUAUGUUCAUACUCAGAUAUUUUUUGCUUCCGCUGACUUGUGUGUUUAUCGAGCUUUCGUAUUCUAGCCCUCGAGGCCCCUGGCUUGUAAUAUGAAGCUGAUAUUGUUUUAUUUGUGUCUAGAGUUGUGUUGUGAUAUCUUCCCGUGAGUCCUUGAGUUUGAUCGUACACAUUUGCGUGUAUGAUUAGCGUACGAUUAAAUCGAGGGUGUCACAUAGUGCAAGCAUCUCGGAGUUGGAAUCAGCGUUUUGAUGAGGUGGUCGAAGCGUUUGGGUUUAUACAAGUUUAUGGAGAAGCAUGUAUUUACAAGAAAGUGAGUGGGAGCUCCAUAGUGUUUCUAAUAUUAUAUGUGGAUGACAUAUUGCUGAUUGGAAACAAUAUAUAUUUUUUGAGAAGCAUAAAGGAUUAUAUGAAUAAUACUUUUUCAAUGAAGGACCUAGGAGAAGCUGCUUACAUAUUAGGCAUCAAGAUCUAUAGAGAUAGAUCAAGAUGCUUAAUAGGACUUUCACAGAGCACAUACCUUGACAAAGUUUUGAAGAAGUUAAAAAUGGAUCAGUCCAAGAAAGGGUUCUUGCGUGUAUUACAAGGUGUGAAGUUGAGUAAGACUCAAUGCCCAGUGACUCCAGAACAUAGAGAAAUGAUGAGUGUCGCCCCCUAUGCAUCAGCCAUAGGCUCUAUCAUGUAUGCAAUGUUGUGCACAAGACGUGAUGUCAGCCUUGCCAUAAGAAUGGCGGGAAGGUUUCAGAGUCAUCCAUGAAUGGAGCACUAGACAACGGUCAAGAAUAUUCUAAAGUACCUAAAAAGGUCUAAGUAAAUGUUUCUCGUGUAUGGAGGUGAUCAAGAGCUCAUCAUAAAGGGUUAUGUCGAUGCAAGCUUUGACAUUGAUCCAGAUGACUCUAAGUCACAAACGGGAUAGAUAUAUAUAUUAUCAAUGUAGGUGGUAAGUUGGUGCAGUUCGAAGCAAAGUGUGGUAGCUGAUUCUACAUGCGAAGAGGAGUACAUAGCUGCCUUGGAGGCGGCUAAAGAAGGUGUCUGGAUGAAGGAGUUCAUGACAGAUCUUGGAGUUGUGCCUAGUUCCCUGGAUCCAAUGACUCUGAUCUAUGACAACACUGAUGCCAUUGCUGUGGCCAAGGAACCAAGGUUUCACAAGAGGACCAGACACGUAAUGUAACGCUUCAUUUCCAUCUGCAAUUACAUCAAGGAGGAGUACAUAAAUAUUUGCAAAGUGCACGCGGAUCUGAAUAUUGCAGACCCGUUGACUAAGCCUCUUCCACGAGCGAAACAUUAUCAACACUAGAACUGUAUGGGUGUUAGAUUCAUUACAAUGUAAAUCACAGAGUGAUGUGAGCGAGAUUAUUGACUCUAGUGCAAGUGGAGGAAUAUUGGAAAUAUGUCAUAGAGGCAAUAAUAAAAUAGUUAUUAUUAUAUUUCCUUAUUCAAGAUUAUCAUUUAUUAUCCAUGCUAGAAUUGUAUUGAUUGUAAACUCAAAUACAUGUGUGGAUACAUAGACAACACACUAUCCCUAGUGAGCCUCUAAUGGACUAGUUCGUUGAUAAAAGAUGGUCAAGAUUUCCUGGCCAUAGACCUGAGUUGUCAUUUGAUAUCAGGAUCACAUCAUUAGGAGAAUGAUGUGAUGGACAAGACCCAAACUAUGAACGUAGCAUAUAAUUGUGUCAGUUUAUUGCUAUUGCUUUCUACAUGUCAGUUAUUUGUUCUUAUGACCAUGAGAUCAUGCAACUGCCGCACACCGGAGGAAUACCUUGUGUGUAUCAAAUAUCACAAUGUAACUAGGUGAAUAUAAAGGUGCUCUACACGUAUUUCCGAGGGUGUCUGUUGGGUUGGCAUGGAUCGAGAGUGGGAUUUGUCACUCCGUAUGACGGAGAGGUAUCUCUAGGGCCCACUCGAUAAUACAACAUCACAAGAAGCUUGCAAGCAAUGUGAGUAAGGAUUUAGUCGCAAUAUCUUGUAUUACAGAACGAGUGAAGAUACUUGCCGAUAAUGAAACUGAACUAGGUAUGGAGAUACCGACGAUCGAGUCUCAGGGAAGUAACAUACCGAUGGACAGAGGGAACAUCAUACGAGAUUAACUGAAUCCUAGACAUAGAGGUUCAACCGACAGAGAUCUUCAUAGAAUAUGUGGGAACCAAUAUGGGUAUCCAAGUCUCGCUAUUGGUUAUUGACCGGAGAGUGUAUCGAUCAUGUCUAGAUAGUUCUCGAACCCGCAGGGUCUGCACACUUAAGGUCUGAUGAUGUUUCGGUAUUGUUGAAUUAUGUAUGUUGGUGACCGAAGGUUAUUCGGAGUCCCGGAUGUGAUCCUGGACGUCAUGAGGAGUUCUAGAGUGGUCUGGAGAUAAAUAUUGAUAUAAUGGAAAGAGGUAUACACGUUUCGGAAAGGCUUCGGGCACUACCGGCAGUGAUGAAUGGGUUCCGGGGUUCACCGGAGGGGCCACCCACCCCGGAGGCACAUAGGCCUAAGAGGUGGCGCACCAGUCCCUGGUGGGCUCAACGACCAGCCCCUAUGGGCCUAUGCACCGUAGUGUUAGGAGGGGGGAGUCAGAAUUGGAGGAGGACUCCUUCUUGAGCCUCCACCUCCCCAGUUGGAGGAGGAGUCCUCCUCUUGGGCCACUGACCAACUCUAGGGAUUUUCCCUAGGGCGCCACCCCUUCCCUCCCUACUAUAUAUAUUGGAGAGGAGAGAGGGGAGCCGCACCCAAGCCACGGCGCAACUCUCUCUCCCUCCUCUAGUUCGUUCCACCUCUAGAUCGAUUCGGUAGCACACGAUGCAUCCCUGCUGGAUCUUCUCCACCAACACCGGAGCCACGUCAUUGCGUUGCCGGAGAAUUCAUCUACCUCUCCAUUCCCUCUUGCUGAAUCAAGAAGGCGGAUAUCGUCAUCGAGAUGUACGUUUGGUGAACACGGAGGUUCCAUCCAUUCGGCGCUAGAUCGUGAUUGGAUCGCGGGACAGCUUGCGAAUUGGAUAACGAAGACGUUCGACUACAUCCACUGCGUUUCUUAACGCUUCCCACUUAGUGAUCUACAAGCGUAUGUGGAUCUGAUCUCUACUCUCGUAGAUGAUCAUCACCAUGGAUAGAUCUUGUAUGUGCGUAGGAAAAAUUGUUUUUCCCAUGCAACGUUCCCCAACAUGAGCAUGGAUCCUAGAUCAUAUGAUGCAGGCGGAGGAGUUAAUCUAUCCCUCUUCAGAUUCAGUGGAGCAGGGUUUGGCGGGAGAGUUGGGGCUUCAGGCAGAAGGCGAAGAAGUUGUACUUGACUGUGGGUUGGGGUCCACCCGCAUAACCCUCCGUCGCUUGACAGGAGAAAUUUGGGGUGGGAAAGGCGGGGGAUUGACGACGUGCACCCUAACGUCCUCUUCCCUUAGAAGUUGUAUUCUUCAUCUUCAGAGGAGCCUACGAAGGUGCGGGAGCUGCCGCUUACCGGCCGACGCGCCGGCGAGGGUGCCGCCCUGGUUCUGGAGCUUGGGGCCCGUUUUGAGUCCCUUUUCCUUCACCACCGGUUCUUUUGUCUUCCCAGCCUCGCCCUCAGUCUGGGGAGCUCCAGUCCCGGCAGACUCCAACCCGACAACUUCUUCCGGGGGAAGAUUCUCGUCUUCCUCUCCGGAAAAGUCGCUUUCUCCGGAUUCCUCUUCUCCUUCGUUCUAGGAAGCCGCUCCCAUGGCGGCCCUGACCUGUCUAUCCUCCGCGAUCUGGGCAUCAAUGAAAGCCCUCUCUGCAUCCUUGGUGCGUGCAGUCAGGUUGUCUUCUUGUUUGGAGGCCCUUUCCUCCAAGCUGGAGAGCCAUGCCAUCUGGUCUUCUAGGGAGGGCAGGGCCCAAUUGGGCCUGACCCUGGAAGCGUCUCAAUCUGGCAUCUAUUGCAGAAUCUAGUUCCUGGCAGAGUUAAUGUUAAGGGGGACGACCCCUACCGGCAGAUGGAACGGCCCCAUGGCACCAUACAACUGAUUGCACAACCAUCCAUGGAAGUAGAUCAUCAGGUUGUUGCUUGCGCCUGGGUAGAGCCGCAUCCAGUCGGCAGGACUAUUUAACUCCCAAGCAAACAUGUCCCUCUUCUGAAGUGGUGUGAUGCGGCGCCGAAGGAAAUCGUCCCCUACAUACUUAAUGGUAAGCCUGACAGCUUUGAGGUGGGUGACCCUGUUCAGUGCAGGGUGAAGCUUGUCAUUGGAAAGGCCCAAGCUGCUCUAGUCGCUGUCGCGCGAGACACAACUAGUCAGUGUAGAACAAAACUCGGGGGCUUCAGCAUCCUUGAUCUAGCACCAAUUGCCCCUCCACUUUUCCCACUUCCCGUGACAUUGGCCAGGGCGUUAUCCCCAAUCAUCCUUCUUGCCCUAGGGAAUCCAGCUAAUGUUCCCCGAGCGGUGCUUUUUGUCCUCUAUCUGUAGGAUGAAGAAGUGCCUGGACAAAUCUAAGUUGGGGGCAACUCUGACAAAGUUCUCGCACAGGUGGGCAAAGAUCUCCAUGCACGCCAUUGCAUUGGGUGUGAAAUCCAGGAGGUGAAAUCCAUAUCUCACCAUUAUGGCGUUGACUCGCAAGAAACCCAUGAUGUGGAAAAAGGCAAUAAUGAAGCAUGACACAAUACUAGUAACAAGUUUUUGCGGAAAGCAAGUUUUUCCCUGAAUGCAGUAACAUGAUAAAAUGCAUGUAUGGAUAUGCAUCAUAAGGUAAGUGGUAACCAUGUGAAGAGGUUACAUAUAUCAAUAUCAUCUGAGGGAUGAACAUCCCAUGUUCACCCUCCAUGCCAAGUCUCUGACUUGACCCAGGUACAUCUUUCUCACACCAUCAUCUUUUUCACACACGCACACUUAGUUUAUGUGAAAACGUAUGGACGUAGUUUAAGAAGGAUUACCCAACUGUCCUUGACCAUGGAAAUGACUAUUCGAAUAAUUUUACACUCUGUAGAGGUUGCGUGUUGUACCCACAAGACUCGGGGAACUUCUGUGUCAUCCACGACUUGUGGUAUAUAACAUACCCGAGGUAAGCACCCGAACAAUGCCUUUCCCCUGACGGCACUAAACAAAGAGUCCACUUGAUUGGUACCUAGCCCACAAGAUGUACAUCUUACGAGCCUCGCUCUAGAUCAUAUCAUCCAUGCACGGACCAACGGUGUGCCCGGAACCUGUAAAAACAGCAUGGUCGCCAUACCCGGCACGACCCCGUCACGAGAGUGACCACACCACUACCGCCACUAGUAUUGCAAGCUCUCUGCUCACGUCGACCAAGGUAAUCAACAAAGCCCCGUCCCAUAAGGGGUAUCGUGGUCGCACAUGUAAGGUUGGCACGGUCGAGACAUCGUAAAUCUCUCCUUGUUUUCAAAACCACACACACACAAAACCUUUUUCCGGUACACCACUUGUUUAUCAAGUGGUCACCAUCUCAACACCAUCACCCUCGGGCAUUAUUGGCACCCGACGGGGUUUCCGAAAAUCCUUUUAAAUCACCUCCAUGUUACGAACUUACCAUCACCAUGCAUAUACUCAUCCUAUGUGUAGCACUACUAGCAACAUAUCAACGUUUUUAUGUGUGUAACCCUCAUAGGUGGUAGGGUCAUGCUCAAAUGCAAGUGUUAUCGAGGAACCAUCGGAAACAACAUACCGAGGGGUUUACGGAUUCAAUCAUGAUCACAUGCAUCGAAAUCAAAUAAUAAACAUGGCAUGCAUGAAAGUAUUUUCUCAGACAUGGUUAAAGGGAUGUUUGCCUUGCUCUAUAGGUCUCCGGGUCUUCGAGUUCUUCCGAUUCAACUCCGAGUACUCCGUUUAUUUCACCAACUAUCAUCGGAACAACAAUUAUAAGUCACACAACAAGAAGAAACACAAAGUGCUCUAUAAAUAGAAGUUUUAUCACUCUUGGACACCUAUGGCGAGAAGAAAAAGCCUAGAGUUGUUCUAAGGGAUUUGGAUCACCGGAGCUUUUUGAAUGGUAGAAAUGGAGGCAUCACUCGCCCCGCAAAAAUCUAUAGAAAAUAUUCUGUUAAAAAUGAGUGGAGGCACUCAUUUAAUAGGGUAUGUUUUUAGAAACAUUAAGAAGUGAUUUCACUGGAUUUGGAGUUGGUAUGAAUAUUCUAGGGGUUUUACAAUAUGGAAUAAAUAGGAAUAGGUGCUAUUUAUUUGAUGCAACACAAAUAUGGUAGAUAAAAAUGUUGACUAAGGCUAGAACAAUAGUGCAUGAUAUUUGGGGUACCUAUAAAUUGGAAUCACUCCAUUUGGAGUUGAUCUGAGUUCUCUAGGAUUUUUACAAGGAGGAUUUGAAACAUUCAAAUUUGGAUUUGAAUAUUAACGCCACUAAAGGAUUCUUUGGAAAAAUGUGAAUGCACAUAUUUGGGAAGGCAAGGAUUUUUGGAGUAUGUAGGAACUUGAAUCAUUAAAUUAGGAGUUCAUAAUAAGUAAUUAUGGAUUUUAGAAGUUCCUGUUAAAAGAAAUGGGGGGAAACUUUUUACCAGGGGAGCUAAACUGCGCCUAGUGGCGCUCGGAGGAGGUGGGCCGGCUGAGUGCCUCUGUCUGGCGGGCAGCAGGUGGCGCAGGAAGCGCCUUCCUGGCAAUGUGCCUUUUGUGCGGGGAAGUGGCCAGGAGGCUCCCAUCUCCACUUACCAUGCAUGGGCCUGGCACGUCGGUCAUCGACACGCGGGACUCGUCGGUCAUCGACACGCGGGACUCGUCGGUCAGGACCGUUUUCUAACUCCCACUCGAUGGGGAGAGACAGAGGAGGCGGGGCAGGGCAGCACCUAGCGCUUGGCCCUGUAGCCCCCAGUCGUCCGUGACAUCACCCCGACCCCAGAUGCGUGCGGGGCUAGGAGGCACGCUCGCCUGGGUGGUCUGCUCCCGCCAGGGACCACCGAGGCAUGCAGGAUAUUAGCCGCGGUGGAGCAGUCAUUGGUGACCGCGGGGGAAUGGCACACCGAGAACUGGAGGGAGAAAACUGCAUGAGGGAAGGGCCACCACAAACCUUGGGAGGCCAUGGCAAGCUCGAGAGGAGAGAAGGGGCUCGGGGACGGUCGAAUUCGAGCGAGGUCAAAACAUGGCAAUGGAGGCCACAGAAAGGCCUCUCGAGCUCGGGAGCUCCAAUGGCUCAGGCACGCGACACUUGGAAGAGGGGGAGUGCCCUAGGGGGAGUCAGGGAGCUCGGGGGAAAAGAAUUUAGCAAGGGGCGACGAGUGUGAGCUUGGGUCCGCUUAGGAGCGCUCUAGCACGGCUACCACACUCGUCGUAGCAACUUUGGAAGUUAGCUUGGAACGCACAGGGGCAUGGGCGGUCAAAGGGAGGUCUUAUGGCACGCUGGGAACCGCUGCCACAGCCGGACCUAAGCUGCAGCAAGAGAAAUAGGUGUAGAGCACCAUUAUUGCAUGCAGACAGCGUGGUCACCAUGCCAAAGUAUGUCCGCGCCCACCCUUUGGCCAGGCCAAGGUGUCCAGUGAUACGUCUCCAACGUAUCUAUAAUUUUUUAUGGUUUCAUGUUAUUAUCUUCUCAAACUUUAGAUGUUUUGUAUGCCUUUUAUAUAUUUUUUGGGACUAACCUAUUAACUCAGUGCCAAGUGCCAGUUCCUAUUUUUUCGUGUUUUUGACCCUUUUCAGAGGAAAUUUUAAACGGAGUCCAAACGGAAUAAAACAUCCGAAAAGAUUUUUUCCAAAACAGAAGACGAUUGGGAGACUUGAGAACCAAGGCAGAGGGUCUCCAGGGACCCCACAAGCCCUCAUGGCGCGACUGGGGGGCCCGCGCCUCCCAGGCUUGUGGGGUCCGUGGGCCUCCUCUGCCCUAGCUCCUUCGCCUAUAUAUUCCCUAAAAUCCCAAAAAAAUCACGAGAGCCACGAAAAUACUUUUUCGCUGCCGCAAGCUUCUGUCUCCGCAAGAUCCCAUAUGGGGCACGUUCUGGUGCCCUGCCGGAGGGGGGAUUCGGAUACAGAGGGCUUCCUCAUCAACACCAUGACCUCUACAAUGAUGCAUGAGUAGUUCACCAUAGACUUACAGGUCCAUAGCUAGUAGCUAGAUGGCUUCUUUUCUCUUUUGGAUCUUCAAUACAAAGUUCUUCAUGAUCUUCAUGGAGAUCUAUCCGAUGUAAUCUUCUUUUGCGGUGUGUUUGUCGAGAUCCGAUGAGUUGUGGAUUUAUGAUCAGAUUAUAUAUGAAUCUUAUUUGAGUUUCUUCUGAUCUCUUGUAUCCAUGAUUUUAUAUCCUUGUAAUUCUCUUCGAGUUGUGGGUUUUGUUUUGCCAGCUUGAUCUAUGAUUCUUCCAAUGGGAGAAGUGCUUGGUUUUGGGUUCAUACCGUGCGGUGACCUCACCCAGUGACCGAAGGGGUAGCGAGGCACGCAUCGUGUUGUUGCCAUCAAGGGUAAAAAGAUGGGGUUUUCAUCAUUGGUUUGAGUUUAUCCCUCUACAUCAUGUCAUCUUGCUUAAGGCGUUACUCUGUUCAUCAUGAACUCAAUACACUAGAUGCAUGCUGGAUAGCGGUCGAUGUGUGGAGUAAUAGUAGUAGAUGCAGAAAGUAUCGGUCUACUUGUCUCGGAUGUGAUGCCUAUAUGUAUGAUCAUUGCCUUAGAUAUCAUCAUGACUUUGCGUGGUUCUAUCAAUUGCUCGACAGUAAUUUGUUCACCCACCGUAAUGUUUGCUAUUUUUGAGAGAAGGCUCUAGUGAACACUAUGGCCCCCGGGUCUACUUCACAUCAUAUUUUCAGCCUUACACUUUUACUUCGUUGCACUUUCCGCCUCCAGAUCUCACUUUGCAAUCAAUCUUGAAGGGAUUGACAACCCCUUUAUAACGUUGGGUGCAAGCUCUUUUGUGUUUGCGCAGGUACUCCGGACUUGACGCGAUUCUCCUACUCGAUUGAUACCUUGGUUCUCAAACUGAGGGAAAUACUUACUGCUCCUGUGUUGCAUCACCCUUUCCUCUUCAAGGGAAAAACCAGCGCAAGCCAAGUCUCCGUCAAUGUGCCAAUUUCUGGCGCUGUUGUCUAUUGCCGUAGCAUCCAGCAUGCAAGGCAUGCGUGCCAGAGGGCACUUGUGCAAUUUGGACCUGAAUGGAGCAGGUUAGGUUGGGUUUUCAGUGGAGGUAAGUUUGCAACAACAAACUUUGGGCUAUCAUAAAAUGUUUUUACUGGGAGGAUUUUGAAAUAAAACCUUGUCUGGUAGUCUUAGGCAUGGGAGGACUAGAAGACUAUCGAGUUUUAGAUCAAGGAGAGGAGUGUAGCAAGCACUUGCAGUUCAAGGUCACAUUUUUGCCAAAAUCAAAUUUCAGAAGGGCUGCUCAUAUUUGCCACAUGAGCAUGACAUAUCUUUGCUUGAAAUUGUGCAUAGUCAUACUAGAGAUGCUCUGGAAGGAGUUGGGGCAUUGGCUUGAAAAAAAUUAUUAGAAAAUAGUAAAAGAGGGGUUGCCAUCAUAAAAAGAAGAGGUAAAGAGAGAGAGAGUCACCCACCACUAAUUGACCAGAUGCCAUGGCAAAGUUACUCGAGUUGGUAUAAGGAUAGAUGACACUGUGGUAAAAGUUUGAGCUCAAGGAGAUUAGUAGAAGGGGUCAAAGAAGCAAGUUUGGUAAGUGAGCAGAAGGUGUUUGAUGGGUGUUUGGGCUAGCAAAUGGAUUCCAAUUGCUAUGAAACUUAACAGGAUCAUAAGAUAGGUCAAAAUGAGCUUGUACACCAAAUUGGAGAUUUGGUGGAGAAAAUUUCCAAUGUAGACUUGAAAAACGCUGGAAAUAGGCAGGAAUGACUUUCUAGAGAUAAUCCCAUGUAAUUUAAUUUCCACAAAUGCACCACUUGGUUUGGUGACAUUAUUUGAGUAUCAAGGCGUGCCCAAAAAGUUUGGGAUCAAUUGGAGAAACUUCACAAUGUAAAGUUUCCCAAUUCUAGAAAUCAACAAAGAAGGUUUUGAAGGGUUUUGGACAAGUUAAUCUAUUCUUCUUAAUGAACCACUUGGUGGGGAUACAUUAUAGGAGCAUCAAAACAUGUCCACAAAAUAUGAGCACAAUUCGAGACACAUGGAAACGUAGAGUUGCUCAAAUUUGGAUCUGGACAGACACGGUUUUGGAAUAUUUAGAUGAAUCAAAUCAACUUGGAUUGAGAUGAAACUUGGCAAGAUCAUCACAUACCUCAUGUGUGAAUUUCUAGAAUUUUACUGGAAUUUAUUGAGAAUACUUCCUAUGGAAAUAUACCAAAAGCUUGAAAUAGGCAGAAGGGUUUUGAAGGGUUUUGUCCAAUAUUUUGAACAUGACCAUGUGUUGAAACUCUUAUAUAUGGAAUAUAUAUAUCCAGUGGCUUCCCUAAAUUUUCUCAAAUAUUUUGAAAGCAAGCAAAAUAAUCUCUCUUUGUAAAAGACCAUUUCUGGCCUCGGAUAAAGGUAUUUAAAUAACAUAGGAAAAUAACUUUUAAAAUAAUAAUUUUUAGCUUUUGGGAAGUUUUUUUGAUAAUGGGAUCCAAAUAAAAUAUUUGGGGCAACACAACUUUCCUACUUUGAGGACUUGUAGUACAAAUCCAAACCUAGGGGUUUUUGAAAGCUUAAAUCAAAUAAAUGCUUUUUGGUCAAAAUAAUAUUUGGUAAAAAUAUUUUCUGGUCCUAUAGAUAUGGUAUGGUCAUUGGACAAAGGUCUGGGUUAAGGAGGUGGGUCUAGAGAAUAGUAGGAACCUAGUGAUCUAAAACACAAGCAAACAAGCAGCAAAGAACAAUCACAUCAAGCAUCACAAGCAUUCACAAAAACUUUAAUUGGUCCUAAUUUUUGAGUUGUGUUAGUUUAAACAAGAGAGUUAAAACACAUGGUGUGACAGACCUUACCCCCUUAAAAAAUCUCGUCCUCUAGAUUUCUAGGCUAGGCGUUGGAGAGAUACAGAACUUUGGGUCGAGGGCAGUCUUCACGUCCCCAUGUUGCUCCCUAUUUGAUGGGGUUUCCGUGUGGGUCUUGAAGUGCUUGUUGAUAUAGCUUCGAAUUCCCCGCUCAUCUUGACGUGGCCAUGAACGAGGUUUUGGCAAUAAGUUAGGCUUGACUAAGGGUCAGGGGCUUGGUGAACUAAGUUCUCGCAAGCGUCUGGCUUGCAGGUGUACUCCAAAGUCAGAAUAUGUGGCAAGGUAGCCUGUCUGGGUGCUGGUCCUGGGGCUGCACACGUUGGUUAGCCACACGUGGAUGUCUCGGGUUAGAAUAGAAAGGUUCAUCGUAAGAUUUUUCGUCGAGUUCUUCUACUUGAGUAAGUUGUUCGUUUAUGUGCUUCAUUCUUCUCUGGCCAUUUGUCGUUGCCGUCAUGAACGCAUGCUUCCGGUGCAUCUUCAGAUUUUUCCUCUCUAGCCUCUUCGAAGCUUCUCGUGAAAAGGUCUGGGUUGGGUUUCGCCCAUAAGACUAAUCUUAAGUACAUGGUGUUAGAAUGGGUCCUAUUACCUAGGAAGGUUCUUGAGGGCUCCUAGAUGAGCUGGCUUCCCACAAGUAUUAGACUUGUCAUCCAAUCCCUACGGUAUGUGGCUUGGAAAGCGGGGUGAACUUCCCCUCGAUAGGGGCUUCACCAUGGUCCAGUUAGGUCUCACAUCCCCUUUNNNNNNNNNNNNNNNNNNNNNNNNNNNNNNNNNNNNNNNNNNNNNNNNNNNNNNNNNNNNNNNNNNNNNNNNNNNNNNNNNNNNNNNNNNNNNNNNNNNNGGCCCUAGUGACAAGCAUUAAGCAUGGCAAAGUAGUAGCAACAUCAAUCUCAGAACAUAGUGGAUACUAGGGAUCAAUCCCCGUCAAAACUAACUCGAUUACAUGAUAGAUCUCAUCCAACCCAUCACCGUCCAGCAAGCCUACGAUGAGAUUGCUCACGAACGGUGAAGAGCAUCAUGGAAUUGGUGAUGAAGGAAGGUUGGUGAUGACGAUGGCGACGAUCUCGCCUCUCCGGAGCCCAGAACGGACUCCAGAUCUGCCCUCCAGAGGAAGAACAGGAGGUGGCGGCGCCUCCGUAUCGUAAAACGCGAUGAACUCUUCUCCCUGAUUUUUUUUUCCGGACGAAUGGACUAAAUAGAGCUGGAAUUGAAGGCGGUGGAGCUCCGUGGGCCCAUGUCAUGGAGUCAAAUGUUUUUUUGAUGUCGAACUUGAAAAGUAGCGUCGGGGUUUUCUUGCGGUGGAGUCGACGCGCAAGGUUGUGCACAUACAUGAAAUUAUCAUGCAUGCACCUUCUUUUAAUGAAUGUGCUUUUAGCUUGCGAGAAAAGAGCGUUCAUGUGAGGGGCAAGUCGGUUGGACAUCAAUUUGGCAAUGAUCUUAGCAACAACAUGAAUAAGACUAAUGGGGUGGAAGUCGGUGAUGUCCUCGUCACCAUCUUUCUUCGGGAUAAGGGCAACAUUCGCGGAGUUCAACCAGUGGAAAUGGGAUGCAUGGAGAUUCGCAAAAAAAUAGUUGAUGGCCAUCAUGAUGUCACCUUUGACAAUGUUCCAGCAAGCUUUAAAGAAAGCCCCAGUGAAUCCAUCCGACCCCGGAGCUUUGUCUCCCAGUAAAUUGAGCACGACAUCCUUCAGUUCAUCCUUUUAGAAGGGCUCAUCGAGAUCAUGAAGGUCGCAAUCUGAAGUAGGGAGGAUCUCCCAGUUGAUGUCAAUGUUGAGCGAUGGCCCUUUUUUUAGAAAUGUUUGUAAAGUGUUGAUGCACAAUAUUCGCCUUCUUUGCAUGAUCGGUAACCCAAUCAUUGUUGUGUUUGAGGCGGUGGAUAAAGUUUUUCCUCCUACAAUAAUUGACCCGAAGGUGGAAGUAACGAGUGUUGGCAUCCCCUGCUCAGCCAAAUUAUUUCUUGACCCUUGUUUUUCACAUAGCCCUAGUGCCCUACUUAUAUUAAGCACUAGCCUAAUUUACUACUAACAAUACAAUCAAGAGCUCAUCUCAUAUUAGCAAAAUUGAUCCAUUGCCGCAGCAAGAACGCUCAACGGAUACUGAGGUGGAUGCAUAUCACAAAUUAUGAUAUAAAUACCCAUGUAUACUUGACAAGACACGAACGUUCCAACACAAAAUUAGUAAACUGGCACUGCAGCAAAUAGACACACAUACACUGCAAGAUCAAGGAACGCAACUAAAAAUUCAAAUAUGAAACAGAGUGCUUUACAUGCGCACAUUGAUCAUUGUGUAUUUUCUUUCCUUGUUAAUUCCUUGAUGUAAUUGCUGUCGGCUUCGUAAUUCAAAGUUGGACUCGCCUCGAGCCUAUUCUACAUUCGACCAAGUCACCUUCACUGAGAUAGACGCAAGCUCGAGCAUGAUUUGUUGAUAAUCAUACCCAUGUUUUUUUGCUUUGAAGGAACAAUGCCGAUCAAGAUCACCAUCAUUUUUACAACUUCUCUGACCUACCUUGAACUUCAAAUGCAUCCAAGUAUUCUCCUUUACAGCAAUCACAUGUCUUCUUAAGCUACACGACCCACCAAUACUGCCACGAAAGAGCUGAAUCUCAUGUAACCCAUCCAUAUUAAGAACAAACGAACUGAGAGAUAAAUCGAAUCCACACUGCACUUUUGAUUUGAUAACAUCUAUUGUGGCCUCAAAUGCCCAACGAACAAGGGCUAAAGUGAUGUCAACCGCGCCACAAUCUCCAUUAAUACGACAAGUGAAUGGGUAUUCAGAUGUGCGUAGACCGCCGUACUCGUCUGCACCAUCUAUUAGUUGUAGAUCAUCCUCUUCUUGCUCUCCUUUCUUGAUCCUCAUGUCAAGCUCGAGAAGUACAGGGGAUAGCAUUGCGAUGUAUCGCUUAGGGCCAGUCAUCUCAAUAAGAGAACCCUGCAAAACUAUUAUUAUUUAGUAGCUCCUCAUGUAAAGUAAUAGGAAAUAUUAAAGCAUAUACUUUUCUUUCUAGUCGAUUGACAACAAAUCUCAAAUAAAUGAUAGCAUACAAUCCAAACCAUCGAAAGCAAAACAAUUUUAGAUAUUUUAUCAACAAACAUAACUCAGUUGCAUAUAUAACACAACAACAACAACAACAACAAAGCCUUUAGUCCCAAACAAGUUGGGGUAGGCUAGAGGUGAAACCCAUAAGAUGUCACAACCGACUCAUGGUUCCGGCACAUGGAUAGCAAGCUUCCACGCACCCUUGUCCAUGGCUAGUUCUUUGGUGAUGCUCCAAUUCAUUAGAUCUCUCUUUACGGACUCUUCCCAUGUCAAGUUCGGUCUACUCCGGCCUCUCUUGACAUUAUCAACAAGCUUUAGCCGUCCGCUAUGCACUGGGGCUUCUAGAGACCUGCGCUGAAUAUACCCAAACCAUCUCAAACGAUGUUGGACAAGCUUCUCUUCAAUUGGCGCUACCCCAACUCUAUCUCGUAUAUCAUCAUUCCGGAUUCGAUCCUUCCUUGUGUGGCCACACAUCCAUCUCAACAUGCACAUCUCCGCCACACCUAGCUGUUGCACAUGUCGCCUUUUAGUCGGUCAACACUCAACGCCAUACAACACUGCGGGUCGAACCGUCGCCCUAUAGAACUUGCAUUUUAGCUUUUGUGGCACCCCUUGUCACGCAGAAUGCCAGAAGCUUGGCGCCACUUCAUCCAUCCGAUUUUAAUUCGAUGGUUCACAUCUUCAUCGAUAUCCCCAUUCUUCUGCAACAUUGACCCCAAAUAUCGAAAGGUGUCCUUCUGAGGCACCACCUGCCCAUUAAGGCUAACACCCCCCUCCUUCUCAUGCCUAGUAGUACCGAAAGUGCACCUCAUGUACUCGGUCUUAGUCCUGCUAAGUCUAAAACCUUUCGAUUCCAAGGUUUGCCUCCAUAACUCCAACUUCCUGUUGAUCCCCGUCCGACUAUCAUCGACUAGCACCACAUCGUCCGUAAAGAGCAUACACCAUGGGAUAUCUCCUUGUAUAUCCCUUGUGACCUCAUCCAUCACCAAGGAGAAAAGAUAAGGGCUCAAAGCUAACCCCUGAUGCAGUCCUAUCUUAAUCGGAAAGUCAUCAGUGUCGCCAUCACUUGUUCAAACACUUGUCACAAUAUUAUCGUACAUGUCCUUGGUGAGGGUAAUAUAACACAACUUAGAUAAAUCAUGCCGAGAUAAUUACCCACAAACUUGCGUAAUAUAUGCAAGGUUAAACCCAUCGUUGCAUAACAUCUUCCAAAGCACAUGAAUUUGCAUAUAUAAAUCCAUAAAAUGAUACAAAUGAGAUCAUCAAGUGGAGCCACCAUCACCAAGACCUCAAAUGUUUGACCUCUAUGAUUGCAGGAUUACCGAAACGUGGUAACACCAAAGCACAAGAUUAAAGUGUUGUGCCAUCUUGAGUAUAAGAGGACUGAAAGACUGUUUGAUUGUGAACAGGAAAAAGCAUAGGCUUUUCCUAAAAGGUUGGAGUAGAUAGAAUUUCAAUAAACUAGUGCAAAUAAAUCCUAACAUGAAAAAAUCCUAUGAUUUGCAACCCUGAGGUAGGAAAAAUUCACGCGGACUAGAAUUCUCCAAAAAUAAAUUGGAAAUCCUUUGUAUCAAGGAGGCCCUAUAAAAGUGAAGAUACCAUUUCACUUAUGACAACAGUCAGAGAGAAAUUUGGUGUGUUUGGAUAAUUCGUGGUAUGAACCCUCGUAUGCAUUGUACUAAGAAAUUACAGUGUCUUACAUGAAGUAAGCCUCCAGAAUUAUUCUGGUUGAUUUUACUUAAGUACCUAUUACUCACUAAUAGAUCACUAAAAUAAAUUAUAAUCCACAAGCAGCAUGAAUGUCGUUCAUGUCUACGUCAGGUAAAGGUAAGGAAAGUGAGGGUUCGACAGCAAAGAAAAUACUAUUGAUCUUCCUUGGCUGCCCAAUGGGACCAAACCUUAGUGUUCUCGAGCAGUUGGAUGAGUUAUAGCUACCGAACACAUGUGUGUCUAAGUCUGCGCCAAGGAGAGAGCGCUAGCAUAUGCUAUGCAUGUUGUUGGGAGUUGGGACCGAUGGGGAUGAAUAGUGUCUAAGAAGGCAUAACAUGCAAUGCUGGCAAUGUAGUAGGGCAAACCUGAGGAUCUGCAAGCACCAUGCAUUCAGCGCAAACAAGCGGAUAUGGUCGCCAAGCGUGCCACGUUGUCUGCAGACUAGGUGGCAAGGGAUGCAUCCGAUGCGGUAAGGGGUACACAAUGUUGGGCGGCGAAAAAGAGUAGAAACGUUGCUAGAUGCAGCCCAAGCACACUCAUAGGCAGAGGGUGUCAACAAAACAAUCAUUGUUCUGGCCAGGUCGCACCACUUGCCAAGGGUGAGGUUAGCAACACCUAGGAGAUGACUUGAGAUGGGAGUCUAUGUGGUUGCAUCGGAGAGGCUACCCUUCAACGGAUGAACUUAGGCCCACUUUUAUUCAACCCGGCAAUGGCCUAUUUUUUUAAGACAAACCCAUGGGCUAAUUUUGAGCCACUCCAGUUAAAGGGCAAGACUAGUCGAGGGUAAUCAACAACUAGUCCAUAAGUCAUUUGAUGUGCCAACCAGUCGAGUCGAGAUAUGAAGUCAACAACCAAACUUAUGACUCACUAGUCUUUGACUCUUAAACAUUGAUUACAUGGUUAUAGUAUGACAUUCAACUAUUUAUAUCUUGAUCCGUUAGCUUUAUGCAUAUGAUGCCGAGAUUGAGCUCUAUUAUUAAAAGAAUUCAAUGCUAAAUUUAAUUGCAUACAUGUAAAUAUGUGCACCUGUUCCACAAUGAUGGGAUCAUCUCUGCUGCGGUUGACAACAUAAUUAAGCAAUGAAUCAUGAAAAUCCCGCACUGCUAUAUAUCCAUAUAUCUGUACCAAGCCGUCGUUGGUACUAUUUUUAGCCAAUUUUAAUGAGAAAAUCUGCAACAUAUGAGUUGCAUAAUGUAUUUCACAUUUUUCCCGAUCCGGGGAGCAAUUCAUGGGCUGCGAGGACAUCAUUGGCUCUAGUUGUGCUUCAUAAAAAACAUUUACGAAUAUUAUAUUUCAACAAAUAGUGAAUUAAACAAUAUCUCUCACAAGUAGAAUUAAAAUUACGAUCUGCCAACACAUAUUUGUGUUAGAUUAGAGAAAAUAAUUAAAAUAAGCAUAAUGUAUUUCAACUUUAUGAGUCAGAGCUUGUUCGUUUAUGAGUAAAACUGGCAGAUAUUUAUGUAAUAAAAAUAGAUUUGAUUUGUUAACUAGUGUUAAGACCUUAACCAUGCAUGAUAUAUCAACAAAUUUCUGUUCAGAAAUUUUAGAUAAACAUUCAACUUGAAAAUACUUUCUUUUUUGCUAAUUCAUAUAUUAGUGAGCUAAACGAUCUUGUAUUUCUUCACAGAGAGGGAGUAUUUUGCAGUUUUUAAUAAUAAACAUGAUAAUGCAUUUUCAAUCAAAUCAACCAAAGCACAUUAUAGAUUAUGAUAGGGAAGAGAUUAGGAUGACUUACUCUCAUCACGUCAGGUAAUAAGUGGCCAUAGACGUAGAAAAACAGAGUGCCUCUUGUAAAUAGAACCGUCCCGAUGGGUGCUGUUGCGAGGAAUGUGGGAUGUAUAUACACAAUAAGAGGUUUGGCCCUUCAUCUCUGCUAUAUCCAUUGCUUGGGUGAUGGCAGAUUGCUCGCCGUUGGCGUAGGUGGAGGUGCAGAAAUAGUUACUGGAACAAGGGAAACAGCAGAGCUGCUUGCCCCAUCUGUUCUUGCCUUUUACUGCAAUGUUCCUUGCCAUGAUGACCAAGGACGCAUAAGCAGAUCUGCACCGAAAGGGCAAUAAUGUUAGAACCCGGUCAGUAAUCCAUGUUAGUCUCAAUCCAGAGACCAGAGAUCUCCAGUCCAGCAGCAUGGUUAAUUAUUUUAUUUUCGAUUUAAGGAGCUCAGCCCCCGAUUUCAACCAGACAUUUAACAAACUAGUAGGAACUCGUACGAAGAGCAGACCGGCCGGCUAACACACAUACAUACAGAGUUACAGACAUACAUACACCCAAAUAUCACAAACAAAAUACCAGACAAACUACGUACAGCAAUGAUUGACACUUAGAAAGACAGAACAAGAAUGGUCUCUGUGUGUUGAACCAGCGGCAUGCAUCGCAGGGUUCUGUAGAGAAGAAAGAAUCUACACAAGGCCAGAACGCACCGUGAAACGCGGCCCAGAUGGGGCAUCCCGUAGCGAAAGUUCCGGACGCCCGGAGAGGGGGGGCACCAAAUCGGGGGACGAGGCGCAGCGACUGGGCGGACCCUAGAUUAGGGUUCACGAGAUUUGGGGAUCUCUCGCUAUGUGACGAGGAGAUCGGCCGCACGGCGAGAGGAAGGGGACGAGGAGAGGAGCAGGGUAGGUGAGACAGAGAGAAAACAGGACGAGGCUGGCGUGGGCCUCAUCGUAUUGCAAUAGGCUGGCGUGGGCCCGAUCCAUUGGGGGUAAAACAACGAGGCCCAACCGUCCCAAUCUCUUCCCCACCAAAACCGCGCUUGUCCUGCCUGAACCACCACGUCCAUGUCCAUGUCCAUGCUGCUCUCCUUCCUCACUCUCCCGUCACAUCCCCUCCUCCCGCUUCUUCCUCGCCCAAAUCAAGCUUCAGCUCCAGCUCUGCUCUAGCCCCCAGCAAUGCCGCCUAGCUCGUAGCCGACGCGCCCGUCCGUACGUCGCAAUGGCGUCCGCGGCGGCGCUGCUGCUGGCGGCUGCCGUAGUCGCCUUGCUGGCAUGCCUGGCACUCGCGGACCCGCCGGCGAGCGAGCAGUCGGCGCUGCUGGCGUUCCUCGCGGCCACCCCGCACGAGCGCAAGCUCGGGUGGAGCGCCUCCACGCCGGCCUGCGCCUGGGUCGGGGUCACCUGCGACGCCGCCAACUCCACCGUCAUCAAGCUGCGCCUACCCGGCGUCGGGCUCGUCGGCCCCAUCCCGCCGUCCACCAUCGGCCGCCUCACCAACCUCCAGGUGCUGUCCCUCCGCGCCAACCGCGUGUCCGGGGCCAUCCCCGACGACAUCCUCCGGCUCUCCGCCCUCCGCUCCGUCUUCCUGCACGACAACGCCAUCUCCGGCGCCAUCCCGCCGGGGGUCUCCGGGCUCGCGGCGCUCGAGCGGCUCGUGCUGUCCCACAACAACCUGUCUGGCCCCAUCCCGUUCGCGCUCGGCGGCCUGGCCGCGCUCCGCGCGCUCAGGCUCGACGGCAACCGCCUAUCCGGCAAGAUCCCCAGCAUCGCCAACCCGGGGCUCAAGGUGUUCAACGUCUCCGACAACCGGCUCAACGGGUCCAUCCCGCGGGCGCUCGCGCGGUUCCCCGCCGACGCCUUCGCCGGGAACCUCCAGCUGUGCGGCACGCCCCUGCCCCCCUGCAGCCCCUUCUUCCCGUCCCCGUCGCCAGGGACGGGCCCGAGCGACGGCAAGCCACCGAAGAAGAAGAAGAAGGUAUCCACCGCGGCGAUCGUCGGCAUCAUCGUGGCCGCCGUGGUCGCCGCGCUGCUGCUGCUUCUGGCCAUCCUGUUCUGCUGCAAGAGGUCCCAGCGAGGCGUGUCUUCAAUCCAGAUAUCAAGUGUGACUAUAUCACUAAUAAUGUAGCAGAGGUUUUUAACAACUGGAUCCGAGACAUUAAGGAUUUACCUGUUGCUGAACUAGCUGAUAAGAUUAGAGAGAUGAUCAUGCUUUUGUGGAGGAAGAGGAGAAGGAUUGGAGAAAGGCUACCACCUGGAAGGAUACUACCGGCAGUUAUGGUUCAGCUGAGAGCAAAUACUAGAGGUUUGGGGCACUUGAAGGUUGUGGAAUCUGCUAAUUGGAGUGCAGAGGUGUGGGAUAAUAGCAAGAACUGUGAAAGGCAUGUCGUGAAGCUAAAUCAACAAACGUGUACUUGUCUUGAAUGGCAGCACACUGGUAAGCCAUGUCAACAUGUCUUGGCCUUUGUGACAUCCCAAAAGAGAGUAAACCUUGAACAAUUUGUGCAUGAGUACUACUCUGUGGGUAGAUUCAAGGCUGCUUAUGGGAGAGAGAUUGAGCCAAUGACAGAUAAAUCACAAUGGCCACGUGUGGAUCUACCUUUUGUUGUGGGGGCACCACUUGCAAAAAGAAAUAAAGGAAGACAAAGGAAACUGAGGAUCAAAGGAUGUCUUGAAGGUGGACACAAGAAGAAAGGUGUCAAUGACACUUCCAAGGAUGAUAGUACUGCUACCACCAAUUCUAAGGGGGAAGAAAAUGAUUAGAGGGCCAGUGACUUGCAAGAAAUGUGGUGAAAAGGGUCAUAGGCAAGCUAGUUACAAGUGUCCACUCAAUGGAACCAAAAAAAGGCAAGUGUUUUUAUUUUAUUCAAACCUUAAAUUAUCACAUCAUUCCAAAAAAAUUAAAAAAAUUUGAAUUACAGGAAGAGGAAGCCUAGAAAGAACAGUACAAAGGUUAGACCAGCUGAACCUAGCAGCCCACUAAGACCUACUAGAGAACAAAUACUACAUGAUAGUCCAAGCAUGGUCACUAGAAGGUAAGCUACAAUGACCAAUAUCUCUAUGUUCAGCAAUGUCCAACUGGGAGAAAAAUAUUUUAUCUAAAUGUGAUAGCAUAUAUGUGUGCAGCCGCCUUGCUAUCUUGUUGGGGGAGGGUACUUCUUCACAAACCACUAGAACUACUCCAGAGAGGAUGGCAACUACAGCUCCACCAAAGAAGAUGACCCCAAGGAGGAUGCCGACAGCAGCUCCACCAAAGAAGAUGACUCCAAAGAGGAAGCUACUGGUUGGAUGAAUUAUCUGUUUGAAAUAUGCUUGUUAUGGGAGAAAUGAACUCACUAGUAGUUUUAUUCACUCUGAGAUGUGAACUCAUAAUUUCCAUGAGCUUGGAACUGAAAACUUAAGCUAGUUUUGUAAACUAUCAGUCCAUAACAGCACAAAAUGUUUCUGUCUACACUGCCUUGCCAGUUUACCACUUCUGAGUUCUGAUAGUCACCAAAUUACCGUUGAGCAGGUAUCUCGCAGUCUGAUAAAAUCAAGUUUCUGGCAUUCACACACAGUCACACAUAUUGCUGAACUAGCUGAACUAGGCUAUUAACUUGGCACCCCCUAAUUGGGAUAUCAAUAUUUUCUAUCUCGUACUAGCAAUAUCUCAGCAAUCAUGCAACAUCGAGGCAUGUGAAAUUUGACCAUUAAUCCUAUGAUUAAAUUAGAAACCAUACAUCAUGAGAAUACCUCCUUAUUUUUUUCCCCAUUAGCUGAAGGAGAAGCUGAAGCUAGCAAAAGCUGAACCUCCUCAUCCUCCUGGGACGCUCCUUCCUGCCCCUCAUCCCAGUCGAGUGGUCAGGCGACCGGGACGAGCGACGCGAGCACACUUGCGGGCGGCGACGGCGGUGGAGCGGAGGUAGCGACGGCGGUGGUCGGGUGGAGCGAGCGGCAAACGACGGUGGUCGGGCGGGGCGAGCGACCACGGCGGUGGUCGGGUGGAGCGAGCGGUAAACGACGAUGGUCGGGCGGGGCGAGCGACCACGGCGGUGGUCGGGUGGCGCGAGCGGCAAACGACGGUGGUCGGGCGGGGCGAGCGACCACGGCGGUGGUCGGGUGGCGCGAGCGGCAAACGACGGUGGUCGGGCGGGGCGAGCGACCACGGCGGUGGUCGGGCGGGCCGAGCGGCAACGAUGGUGGUCGGGCGGGGCGAGCGACCACAGCGGUCGAGCGGAGGUAGCGACGGCGGUGGUCGGGCGGGGCGAGCGGCAACGAUGGUGGCCGGGCGGGGCGAGCGACCACGGCGGUGGAGCGGAGGUAGCGACGGCAGCUUGUGCGAGCGGAUAAGCCAUACAGAUAAGAUGUGAGUGUGAGUAUAUACAGUCAGGGGCAGUUUGGUCUUUUCUUGUGCUUACAAAUGUAAAAAGAAAAAGAAAAUCACUAAAAGGAGAAAAGUGGUAUGGUAAUCAACAAGCCAACGAACAGAGUGACAAUUUUGCAAAACCAACGUUGAAAGUGGCAAUUUUGAGAAGCCAGGUAUUGAAAGUGACAAAAAUCCAAUUUUCUCCACCAAAUCGGGGGACGAGGCGCAGCGACUGGGCGGACCCUAGAUUAGGGUUCACGAGAUUUGGAGAUCUCUCGUUAUGUGACGAGGAGAUCGGCCGCACGGCGAGAGGAAGGGGACGAGGAGAGGAGCAGGGUAGGCGAGACAGAGAAAAAACGGGACGAGAACGGGAAUUCCAAAUCUUAUCCCUGUUUUGUCAAAAAAAAAAAAACGGACAGCAGAGAGACAGAUGUGUCCGAACAGGUAUCCAACGCGAGCUUUUUUUUUUUUUUGGCGGACAACGCGAGCUUUUUACUGUAGGUGUUUGAAUUUGUAUUCGGAGAGGACAAGACAACUUUUACAAAAGAAUUUUUUACUGUAGGUCUUUGAAUUUGUCGUGGUUAUUUUAAUCCACAUCGUUAAAAAUAUUCGAAAUACGACCACAGAACUUGUCCUGGGGUUCAUUGUCACGGUUCUUUUAGUCCACGUAGUUAAAAAUAUUUUAAAUAUGACCACAAAACUUAUCCUGAUUUCACAUAUGUUCAUUAUAUGAUUUUAUGUACGCACACGCUGAUUUGACGGUUAACUGAACUGUCCACGCUGAUUUGGUAUGGAUUUCAGGGAUUUAAAGGUAAAGGUUCAUCUACGUCGGUCCCUACAAUCUCAGGGUUUAUUUUAGACAUACGUGUGACGAGGAGAUCAUCCGCUAUGUGACGAGGAGAUCACCCGCACGGCGAGAGGAAGGGGACGAGGAGAGGAGCAGGGUAGGUGAGACAGAGAAAAAACGGGACGAGAGGAAUUCUAAAUCUUAUCCCCGUUUUGUCAAAAAAAAAACGGACAGCAGAGAGACAUACGUGUCCGAACAUGUAUCUAACGCGAGCUUCGAUAUGUAUUCCGAGAGCACAAGACAGCAGAGCUGAUUUAACCGCGAAUAAUUUUUCGCGGUUAUUUUAAUCCAUCUCCCCUAAUAAUAAAGCGCGCAGCGUUUUUGCUGUACGUCGCCAGCUUGUUUGCAGAAAAGACCCUGCGUUUUAUAGAAAUCAACCCGCGGUCCUUCAGUAAAUAGGAAAAAAACGUGUCGUUCUUUUGUAAAAAAAACCCUGGGUAGAGUCGCUCCCCUCCCGUCACCAAGCUCCGCCGACACGCUGCGCACCGCGCUCGCCAUGGGCGCCGACCGCGCCGUCCACGUCCUCCACGACCCCGACCCGGCCCGCCCGCUCCUCCCGCUCGCCGUCGCCGCCGACACGCUGCGCACCUCGCUCGCCAUGAGCGCCGACCGCGUCCUCCACGACCCCGACCCGGCCCGCCCGCUCCUCUCGCUCGUCGUCGCCAAGCUCCGCCAACACACUGCGCAUCGCGCUCGCCAUGGGCGCCGACCGCGUCCUCCACGACCCCGACCCGGCCCCUUUCCUCCACCGGUCCAGGGAUGGGGUGGAUCCGAUCUGGCGGAGGAGGAGGUCUGUCCGUCGACGGCGGCUUCGGCCCCGGCGAGCGUCGCGGCGGUGGUCAGAGGUGGAGGCGAGGCUGAGGGGCCCUCCUCUCCGAUGGCUAUCCAUUCUAAUAUCACCAUCGCCCUGCCCUUGAUUCCCCUACCCUACACACUGGUCGAGAGCGGCUUGAGCAAGAGCCUGUGCCCCGAGGUCGCCACCGUCGCCGCGGCGGCAGAGGUGACCGCCUUCAACCGCCACCAGCCCCGAGUCAGUCUGCGAGAGGGACUACAGGUCAGGACGACCCUGAGGCGCCAGAGAGCCUUAGUUACACGCUCAACUCUCACAUUUGCGUUGUGGACGAGAUUAGGGUGCGGCCUUACCAAGGUGUGUUAUUAUUGAUUGAUUGAUUUAGCAUGUGUGGUAUUGCAAUUUGCUUGAGCUCUUUCAUAGUGCGCACCGUUGAUUGAUUGCUUUAUUGAUUAGGCUAAAUGCCCCUAAAUUAGCUGAGGAUGCCUAGGCACUGCAAAUUUCUGUCUUGGUUAGAUUUGUCUGAUUGAUCCAUAGUAUUUAUAUGCCCUUUGUUUCGAAAAUUGUCGGCUUUUUUCAGGAUGAUGACCCUAUAUACUCUUCAAAGACGGCGCGAUUUCGGAUGGGCCAUUACAAACUUCCGCGAGAAUCACAGUCGUUUGUAAUUGAUGAUGAUGGAAAUAGGAUGGGAAAUGCUGAUGAAAAGUACAUGUGGACUUACACUUCGCCAGAGUUUCCUAUGUUACACGUGAGUUGGUGCAUCCUUUUAUUGUUUAUGUAUAUCUACAGAUCGAUGGGAAAAAUUCUACCAUGAGACUUUGCAUAGUUACUUUUUUCAGUCAAAGAACUCUUAUACUCCACUUCCACUUAGCCAGAAAUUCUCAUGUUUAGGAGCAAUAACGAGUUAGUAGUUUCUGAUUACAUUAUCCACUAAUGAUGUAAUCCUUUUAGUUCUCCUAGCCAUGGUCCAACAAAUUAUGCACCGGAGAUGGCCAGAGGAAGGAGGCUCGAUGGUCUCGAGCAUGGCGUCGUUGCGCUCGUCGGAGGGUCGGCCCUGUGGGGGCGCGAUCCACUUGGGCACCAGCCAUCCGGGACCGAGACCAAGACCGCACACUGCCCCGCCAUGUCCGCUGUCGUGCCGCCGCCGCCAUGCCGCCGUCCGUCUGCACGGUCUCCAUCCCCUUCGCCGACCUCAAGGUGAGCAGCCGCGUCCGGAGCCCUCGCUUCCCUCGCCACGCGCGGUGGUUAUUUUCGCCCUUCCUCUGGUUCGAUAACAUCAUAUCAUUUGAGAGUGUGGAUUAGCUUACUUGAGUUUAUCUUGCCAAUAAUGUUUCCACAACAACAUAUCCAUCUUAUGAUAUCAGCCUAAACCAUGCUUAAAGAGUUCCUCCUUACAAGAACAAAACUUAGAUGACUGUCAAUUAUGUGCACAAGAUGUUCUUUUUUCUGUGGUGAUGGAUUAGCUUUUUCGCUGUUUGUAUUCUUUUCGGUUACGCUCAUUUUGAAAAUGUUUGAUCCUUUUAACAUCUUAUAAUUUUGUAUCAUGAGUUUUCUCAUAGAUUUGACUAAUAAUUGACAUAUGCUGAAACCACUGACAGGAGAUUGUUGCUGAUACUUGUGUGUACAAAAGGGUUCUUCGUAAAUCUGCUGAUGAACCUAAGGACACCCUAAAAGAUGGCUGAUCCUUCUCUGUCAUGCACCAAAAGUGUUAAAUGCUACAACUGUGGUUAUCCAGAAGCUGCUUAUUUCCAGGUCUGUAAAUGAGCGUUGCUCACCUAUGUUUAUCUCUGCAGUUGUUUGUAAGAGCAUCUCCAACAGCCACGUUAUACUAGCGCCGCGCGGCAAAAAAGGCUAGUAUAGCGCGCGCGCAACGCGGCGGACAGAUCCAGCGGGCGCGCUAAAACCGCGCGCGCGCUAAAACGAUUUGGGCGUGCUGGUCAUAGCCCCAUCCCGCGCUGCGUAUUUCGGGCGUUCACUUCGGCGCGCGGCAGACUCGAGCGCGCGCGCGAACUCUCCCUUUCUUCCUCCUUUCUCCCACGCGCGCCGGCGCCAGCGCCCCUGCCACCAUGGACGCGCACACCGCCGCCCCGCUGACCCCGUUGUACAGCCACGACCCCCCCCCCCCCCCCCCCCCCCCCCCCCCCCCCCCCCCCCNNNNNNNNNNNNNNNNNNNNNNNNNNNNNNNNNNNNNNNNNNUGCCUCCGUCGAAAACCCUAGCGCGGCCGCCGUUGGCGCUGGCGCCGCCGCCGCCGCCGGAGCUCUGCCGACCGUCGGCCUCGCGCGCAGCCUCUUCUUGCCGCCGCGGAUGACCACGCCGACGGGUGGCGUCGCGCCGGCGCCGUCCCUUGCCGCCGCCGCACCGUUGGAGCGGAAGAAAGGAAAAACAUCCGCGAAGAAGAAGACGACGGACGGCUCCGGCAGCUCGAAGCCGAAGAAGAAGGUUGCAGUGCGCCGGCCGGGCGCGGCGUCUACCGAAGCGCCAGCGAGCUCACUCGUUGAGCCGGCGGCGGACGCGCACCACGUGUUCGAUGAAAUGCCCCCAAGGUGAAAAAAUUCCAACUUUUAUUUUCUUGUUUUUUUUUCAAUGCAUCAUGAUAUAGAUAGCUUAUUUGCAUUGUCACAAAACUUUGUAGUCUCAACGAUGAUGCAUACAUGUCAACUAUGGGUGUUGGGUCCAACAAUUCGCAUUGGUCUCAAACCAAUGACAUCCAUUUGGACGACCAUGAGUUUGAGGUGGACGAGGAGGGUGAGGGCAUUAUCGAGGCGCCGAAAGGAAGAGAGGGCAAUUACACCACCAACGAUGACAAGUUACUAUGCAAUACUUGGUUGCAAGUGUCGAGGGAUCCAUCCGUUGGAGGUGAUCAAAGUAGAGAUGCUUAUUGGGGGUGAAUGAAAGAACACUUUGAUGCUCAGAACGUGAGUGGAAUUGACCGCUUCGAGAGAUCACUUCGGUCCCGAUGGUCGACAAUCAACUCGGAUUGUCAAAAGUGGGCGGCCGCACAAAAGGCAGUUGACAAGCUUAACCCAAGUGGCACAAAUGAGGAUGAUAGAGUAAGUGGUAUCUCAUACAUGUUCACCAUACUUGUUUUUGGUGUGAGAAGUGCUAACUUGUUUUGUUUUUCUUGUAGUACAACAUUGCCCAAAACUUGUUCAAAGAAGAGACGAGGACAACCAAGAAGGGGAAGAUCAAGAAAGGAAAAAUCUUUACCUUGCCUCAUUGCUACGAAGUGUUGAAGGAUGAUGAGAAAUGGAACAAGCGUGAAGAUUUGGAUGAUUUGCAUUUGAGCAACAAACGCAAGCGUACAAUUGAGUUGAACGAUGAUGAGGAGGAGGAUGAUGCAUCAACUGAUGACGGCAAGAGAAGCCCCACACCCAACUCGGUUUCGUACUCGAAACCAAAACGACCGGAUGGGUGCAAGAAGGACAAAACCGAAAAGAAGAAGAGGAAAGGAGAUGAUGAGCUCACAAAUGCUAUGGAAGCUAUUGUGAAGGCAAGAAAAGAAGCCAACGAGGUGAGGAAAAUGGCAAGGAACCAAGAUGCCGCGGUCGAGGAGAGGAGGUUGGUGGCCGAGGAGAGGAGGGUGGCCGCCGAGGAGAGGAAAAGUGGCAUUGGAGGAGAGGAAGGUGGGCAUGGAGGAGCGAGCUAAGUUGUUGGAAUGGGAAAAACACUUGUUCUUCUUGGACACAUCUUUGUUCAAUGAUGCGCAAAAGGAAUAUGUCAACCUUGCCCGUGAAGAAGUGCUGAUUCAAAAAAGAGCUAUGAUCCGCACAAUGGGUGGCGGUGGCCUUGGCGGCAUGGGUGGCGGUGGCCUUGGCGGCAUGGGUGGCGGUGGGCUCGGCGCCAUGGGAUGCAUGGGCCUCGGCGCCAUGGGAGCCAUGGGUGGCGGUGUCCUUGGCGGCAUGGGUGGCGGUGGCUUCGGCGCCAUGGGUGGCUUUGGAGCACCCUCCAACGCUAUGGGAGGCAUGGGUGGCAUGAGUUUUGCUUCUCUCAUGGGCGACAUGGGUGCACCUCCGGCCAUGGGUGGAAUGUCUUUCGAUGUGCCUCACACACAUACCCAUGAAAAUACCGUUAAAGAUCUUGUCAAGACCGCCGGAGCUACACGUGAUGCGGUGCGUGAUGAGGUUAGGGAGGAAGAUUCAUCUUCGAAGGCGGAAGAAUCGUCUUCGGAAGAAGAGGAAGACGACGAGGAAGAUGAUUGAUGUGUUAUAUGUCUUCAACUUUGUUGGAUGAACUUGUAUUUUGAACUUGGUUUGCAUUUUAAACUUGGUUGGAUGAACUUGUGGGGAUGACUUUUAUUCAUCUACUUGUUUGUGUUAAAUUUCGCAUGUUAUUGCAUUUUGAUGAAUGUUUCACAUUGCAUUUUGGGCGCUGCUGCAGCGGCGCGCGCGCUGCAUUUUUGCGCGCUGCUGGAGCGGAGCGCGCGCUGCAUUUUAUAGCUACUGCUGGAGCCAGCGCUGCGCGAUGCGCAAAACCAGGCGACCAGCGCGCGGCAAACUCGUUUAUUAGGCGCGGCACAAAGCGCGCCUGUUGGAGAUGCUCUAAGGGUUACAAGCACCAUCUGUACAGUACUAAUACCAAACCAUGAUGAUCAUAUGUUGUUUUCCUGCAUCCUUUUCUAUUGAUGUACAUUUCGAUUUACCUCGCUUCCUUGGUCUGUAGGCCCCAACGAAGGGAGAGCGUGGCCUGACGUUAUACUUCAUCUGCUGCAGCCCUACCUGUGGUCAUAGGUGGAGGGACUGACUGACUGGCUGACAAGGGGGGCCCCCUCCGCAGAACGGAGUGUUAGUUCCUGGCAUUGAAACUUGACUGGCCCUGUGUUGCUUAUGACUUGUGUUUGCCUUAUCUUGUUAGCUUGUGGUAUCUAUGUUCCAAAGUUUAGGGCAACUUCGUCACUGUGAGCGUACUGCUUUUGAGCUUGUUCUCUUCAAUCUAUAUAUAUAUAUAUACAUAUGUUGGUUUGACCUUGAAGAGUGAUUAGGCUGUGUUUGGUUCAACUUUUUUUUAUCAACUUCUGCUUUGAAAAGCUAAAAGCUAACCAAAGGGGUAAAUGUUCAAAACAGUUUUUGAGAAAUAGUAUGAAUGUACUUUUCCCAACAUUGUAUUUUGUUUUAUAGGAACCAAGUCACACACAAAAGGGACAGAUUUUCUAGCACAUAGUCCAUGAUUUGUAAGUAACCGCCUGUAAAUCUUAAUUUAGUUGCUAUUGGAAAAGACAGUUGAUUUCGAACCUUCCAUGUCGAGAAACUAGAAAUAGUAUGAAUGUGUCUUUACCUGGCUCCCACAUGAGACUGUUGCUCUAAUUUUUAUUCCAGGUUGAGAAUGGCAAGAAGACGCUUAUUCUCCAUCGUACGAAGACUAGCAUAGUUUUGAACUCCAUGUUGUCACAUCUUUUACACCCGAAGCGUGAUCAUUUUGUGAAGUACACCAAAAUAACGAUAACAUCAGAUCAUUUGAGAGUGGGGGUUAAAAUUCCCCGGAGUUCUUCUCCCUUAAAUCUUACUACAGACUUUUAUUCACAUUUACCAUUCUGUAGUUGCCGACAACGAGGAAUUGUUAUCUGCUUGAGAAAAUAGAGAUUAAAUCGGUGACACUCUCAAAAGUAAAAUGACUUUUUGAGCUAGAUAGCGACUUUGUGAGCACCAAUAUAAACUUAUAAACGUUUUUCAUGUUUGCUAUAUUGAUCUUUUCAUUUUUUUUUCUUCAUCUGUUACUUUUUAUGUGUUUGCAGUAGGAUUGUAUGGUUCUCACUCAAAGUAGAGGCCAACAAACUCCUUUUGGAAGGACUUACGACCACCACAUAUAUGAUCUUAUUGAAGUAGGAGUCAAAAACUACAAAUCAUCUAUUCCUAGAAUGGAGCUGGCUGAAGUUGAGCUUUCAAUAGAGCGGGUAGUUCAGGGGCGCUGACAUCAAGUUGAAAGUUUACACAAAGUUUAUAGGAGGGUUAGUAAAGAAAAUCUGUUCACGAGGAAAUGCACCAGCAAAAAUUUAAUAAAAGUUAGUCCACAAUGUAGCUUGAUGUGUAUCUUUGACACCAUUCACUUUGUGCCACCAGAUAAUAGAAGUUGUUCGAUUGGUAAAUUAUUUUUCAGGUUUCCAAAUACACGCUUAUUUGUUUUGUAUUCCGUGUAACACAUGGCCUUUCUUGCUUUUACAAAAUAUCAAAGCACUAGGUCUAAACUUUGUAUGCCCCGUUGCAACGCACGGGUCUUGUGCUAGUAUAGUUAAAAAUAUUCCAAAUACGACCACAGAACUUGUCCUGGGGUUUAUUGUCACGGUCCUUUUAGUCCACGUAGUUAAAAAUAUUUUAAAUAUGACCACAAAAAUUAUCUUGGUUUCACAUACGGUUCAUUAUAUGAUUUUAUGUAUGUACACGCUGAUUUGGUGGUUGACUGAACUGUCCACGCAUCAUUGACUUUCAAGUCAUUCCCAGCCGGUCGGAUCCCCUCCAAUACAUGUGGAAACUCGAGGGGUGGGGGAUUGCAAAAUCGCCGAGAUUACACCCAACCUGCCACCUGGUCGAACCGCACCGCAACGCAACGCCUGGUCGGGAUCCAACCCCGCUCGCCUCCCCACCUAUGACGGAGGGAGUUCAUCCUCGAAUGGAUCUUGGCGCUGUCGUCCGCGUUCUUCGAGCUCCUAUGCGUCCACGGCGGCCGACUCAUCAUUUGUUGGAGAUGCUCUUAUGACCUCAUCAUAUUGUGUUAAACUUAGGCUCCCUGCAAAAAGGAGAGUCCCAACCGUUGACUGCCUUCUAGAAUCAUCAUUCCUACUAAAAAAAUAGAGACGGUAGAUUCGUAAGUUGCAAGGAAGCACUCUCUGCUAGAACAAGGUGCAAAUACGUUUCAGGAGGAAGCGCUGGUCAGGUACAACGACGGCAAAUGUGAAGGUGUUGCUAGUGGGUCAUGACCACCAUCUCUCCGUGUCAAGUCGUCGUCCAUAAUUUGCAUCUCAUCUUCGAAGUAAACCAUCGAAUAUGCAAAGGAACAUUCACUACCUUUCGAUGGCCACCACAAAUCUACAGCGAGGCCGACACGGCAGGCCGGAGCGAUCGUCACAAAGACCAACAUCAACGGUGAAGCACACCGCCGCCCAUUACCUCCUUGUCUGAGAGAGCCCUACCCAGGGGCUGACAUGGCCGAAACUGGAGGACGAAAGGCAUAUCAUCAUCGUCGACGCGCCGCCAACCACCGGGCGGGGCCUGACACGUGAGGCAUCCGCCACUGGGUUGUUCAUGCGCAUCUAGUGGGUUGACGGUUAACACGCUCGCAUCUAAUGGGUUGAUGGUUAACACGCUCGCUCCCGGACGGCGACCGGCGACGGCGUACGCACGUAAGAAGGCUCCGCUAGCAGCACUCUGCGCGUGUGCUCAGAUCGAAUGCUCUUCGCACUUUACUGCCGCCCCAAGCCACAUCAAGAUCCAGCUUCUUCCUCGCCCAAACCAAGGUCCAGCUCCAGCUCUGCUCUAGCUCCAGCAAUGCCGCCUAGCUCGUAGCCGACGCGCCCGUCUCAACUCGCNNNNNNNNNNNNNNNNNNNNNNNNNNNNNNNNNNNNNNNNNNNNNNNNNNNNNNNNNNNNNNNNNNNNNNNNNNNNNNNNNNNNNNNNNNNNNNNNNNNNCGUGCGCGUAGGAAAAUUUUUGUUUCCCAUGCGACGUUCCCCAACAGGGCAUGCGGUGUUGAUGGGUUAGUAGGCGCAGGAUGGCGAACGGACGCGGAGAUGGCUUCUUGGUCACCACAUUGGCAUCGAAGCGCUCGUCCGGUUUGAGUGUUGUGUUGACUCGCACCAGCUAUGGAGCGGCGUGACCGGCAUGAAUGCCCGGUCGGCCUACCGCGGGCUCGCGCGCCUGCACUCGCCCCACAAGCUCGCGCACGGCAACGUCAAGUCGUCGAACCGUCCUCCUUAAGCUGGACUACGACGCUGCCGCGCUCUCCGACUUCCGCCCCCACUCGAUCCACGCUGUUUUUUUGAAUUCUGUUUUUUGAAAAAAGCCUACGAAUUCUUUGAAUAUUUUGAAUGUUAUAACAUCAUUCAGGUUGAUUUAGUAUAAAAAGUCGUACUAAAUUGUCGGCAAGUACUUCCGCCGUAAAGAAAUAUAAAAACGCUUUACAUUUGUGAAUGGAGUGAGUAUGUAGUAGGUAACCAAAUUCCGAAAAAAAAAGUGCAUGCAUGUAUGUACUCCCUCGGGUCCUUUUUACUCCGCGUAUUAGAUUUCGGUCAAGUCAAACUUUGCAAAAAUCGAUAUAAUUUAUAUUAAAAAAUAUCAAUAUUUACAAUACCAAAUGUAUACAUUAUGAAACUACAUUUCGUAAAGAAUCUAACAAUAUUGAUUUGGCAUGGUGAAUGUUUAUAAUGUUUUCUAUAAAUUUGAUCAAAGUAGAGAUACUUUGACUUCAAACAAAAUCUAUAUGCAGACUAAAAAAUCAGAGGGAGUAUGUAUGUAUGUACGUACGUACAUUUCAUCAUCACCAAAAGAGAGAGAGAAGGGCAUUUUUGCUAGCUGAUUGUACCAUAGGCACGUAGCGUACUCCCUCCGUCCCAAAAUAACUGUCUCAACUUUGUGCUAGCUAUAGUACAAAAUUGUACUAAGCUCAAGACACUUAUUUUGGGACGGAGGGAGUACAAUUUUGCUAGCUGAUUGUACCAUUUUUGCUAGCUGUAUGUAUGUAUGUACGUACGUACGUACGUACCAUACGCACGCAAAUCGCGCCAGCACGUUGGACCCCAAAACAAAAACAAAAACAAAAACACCUGACGGCGCUGGCAUCGCGUCCGUACGCAUUCGUUUUGGACGUACAGUACUGCGCAUGCAGGCAUCUGUUCGACGUCGAAUCGUCCGAGUGAAUUCCGGCGGCGGUGCAAUGCAAUGGCAACGCAAUGCGGUUUUGGUUUCGGAAAAAAGAGGAGGAGGAAGGAGACGGCUGACCGUGGAGCAUGGCGGAGAGGCUGCCGGCGGGGAGGUAGUCGUAGACGAGCAGCUUCUCGUCCUUGGAGAAGCAGUAUGCGCGGACGGGGAGAAGGUUGGGGUGCUCCACGCCGCCGACCACCGUCUCCAUGUGCGCCUCGAACUAGCGCCGGGACACCGACACCUCCACCACCACCGUCGUCCCUUCCUCCAGCACCGCCUUGUACGACGUCCCCGCGCUCCCCUUCCCCAGCAUCUCCGCCGACGCGCGAACACCAGCCGGCUCGCCUCCCGCGUCCCGCCUCCCGCCGCCGCCGCGGCCACCGACCCGGAGGUUCCGGCGUCGUCCUUUGGCGAGGACGCCGUGCCUGUACCGUCGCCGGACGACGCCGGCGGUCUUGUUGUGCCUGUCGCCGCGGCCGCCGUGCCUUUUGCGCCGUCUGCGCGCGCGCCUCGCUGGGACCUCUUGCAGCAGAACAGGAUGGCCAGAAGCAGCAGCAGCGCGACGACCACGGCGGCCACGAUGAUGCCGACGAUCGCGGCGGUGGAUACCUUCUUCUUCUUCUUCGGUGGCUUGCCGUCGCUCGGGCCCAUCCCUGGCGGUGGCGCCGGCGACGGGGACGGGAAGAAGGGGCUGCAGGGGGGCAGGGGCGUGCCGCACAGCUGGAGGUUCCCGGCGAAGGCGUCAGCGGGGAACCGCGAGAGCGCCCGCGGGAUGGACCCGUUGAGACGGUUGUUGGAGACGUUGAACACCUUGAGCUCGGGGUUGGCGAUGCUGGGGAUCUUGCCGGACAGCCGGUUGCCGUCGAGCCUGAGCGCGCGGAGCGCGGCGAGGCCGGCGAGCGCGAAGGGGAUGGGGCCCGACAGGUUGUUGUGUGAGUGCACGAGCCGCUCCAGCGCCGCGAGCCCGGAGACCCCCGGCGGGAUGGCGCCGGAGAUGGCNNNNNNNNNNNNNNNNNNNNNNNNNNNNNNNNNNNNNNNNNNNNNNNNNNNNNNNNNNNNNNNNNNNNNNNNNNNNNNNNNNNNNNNNNNNNNNNNNNNNUGUCCACAAUGCGCAGGCCCAGACCAGGAGUGUGCAGACGUACGGUACAGUCUUCUUCAUCAAAACUGACGAACUCCCGCGUCGCGCAUGCAAGCCUUGCUGAGAACACCUCCGUCCGUAUGGAUCAUGCCACUGAUGCCCGUGUGUUGGUAGAAGUAGAGCCGCAACGUUCUCACAGUGUCCAUGGUGUGUUUCACUUGACACCACCUGGAUCGGCACAGCUCAUGCACGUAUUGUGCCCCAACAACGCGCGCGAGCGGAGUUUCCGUGCGUGCGCCGAGAGCAACGGAGCUCGCGAGCGUCGCCGUCCCGGCCGCUGCUCCGGCGUGGCGUCAUCUGCGUGGAGGCAGGCCGGCCAACAUUCAAGUAUAUGUAUGUAUGUGGAGCGAAGAGAGCCUUUAGCUGUUGAUCGAUGUGAAACGCCGUCGCCGGCUCGCCCGCCACCACUGCCCUGUGACGUGCGAAUAUCGGCGAGAUCCAUCAAAGCGCGAGCGUGUGGGUCAGGCGCCGCUUGGCCUCGCCGUCGCUACAGUGAACACUUUUACACACUGAUCACUCGCUCUCUGACUCUUUUCCUACUCGAUGCUACUAGUAACGUAGAAGGAGGGAGGAAGCGAGGAUUGGAGCCAGCCACAGAUUGCAGAUGCAGUAACCCUCUCCUCCCCGGCAUGGCAUGGCAUGGCAGCAUCGAUCUAUCCCUCUAGCUAGCUCUACCGCUAGGGCUAGUCUUGUGAUCUGUCUCUCUCCUCGUCUCAUCUCAGCAUGCAUCAGCACCGCCGCCAGUGUCCGGCCAACGACUCAAUCGAAGAGAGCACAUUCAUAUGUCAUACAGACACGGCAAGCCGUCCGGCGGGACGCAGCCGCCGUCCAACCAAAGUCCCACCGCACAUUCAAGAGCUCCGUCGCCUCGCUCUCACCACGUCACGUGCUCCCCCGUGUUAUCCNNNNNNNNNNNNNNNNNNNNNNNNUCACGUGCUCCCCCGUGUUAUCCACGUGGGCUCCCUUCCACGUCCAGUGACACUGCUGCCUUUCCAGGUGCCUCACGCGGGAAAUUCUGAAACUCACGCGGUCUUUUCUACAGCAAAAUCAGUGCGCCCCGCAUGGAAAUCGUUCGUCAGUCUUGUAGCUCUCUCUCGACAGAAUUCGUCCGAUUAACCAAUUAAUCGAUCAAUUAAUCUCUACUCGUUAGAUCAUCGAGUAGUCAAUUAACUGAUCAAUUGUUCGAUUAAUUGAAUAAAUGAUCGAUUAACUUGGCGUAUGUGCACUCUUUCUUGCUAGGUGCACUCGGUAGAUCUAGCUAGACUAAAGUGACGACCUAGCAAGCAAGAAAGGGUGCACGUACGCCAUGCACUUAUUUUGCUCACUCAAGUAGAAAGGGCAAAGCAACUUUUAGCGGGCGGUCGAGUACAUAAUCAGUCCUUUGCAACGGCUUCUACUGUUGGACAGUUAAGUCCUAAUACAUACUCUACUUACAUNNNNNNNNNNNNNNNNNNNNNNNNNNNNNNNNNNNNNNNUACAUAUAUAGCGCAGCAAAGGCAUAACGCCCACGGCUUAGACACCAACCGUGAGACAGUACUACAUACAUGUAGAUCUCCAUUUCUUGCAAGGUUUAGCCGAUGAUUGGGCCGUCACUUCCCAGUGUCAUGUCCGAUUGAUGAGCCGUCGAUUAGUAGUUAGCACGCUCCAUUGCUGGAUCGGCCGGACGCCUUGCACAUCGACCUCCGGUCAAAGAGACGUACGUGCAUGGCCGCCGCGUCAGUAACUCAAACCGACAAGGGAUGAACUGCUACAGUGACACAACACGGCCAUGAUGCUAGCAGGCUUAGCUGCUGUAGGUUGGCCUCUAUAGUUGAUGUUAUUUUUCCUAGGUGACCCAAACGCGAGACCAUGAAGAGCAUUCAGGGCACCUGACAGUACUUUUUGAACCAUUGUGUGUUGUUACCUAGCGCGUCACGUAAAUUUGCAUUCAAGGCACUGUCGAGUAAGAAAGAGUACUGGUGGCCGUGGGCACGGCAAUUGUUUCUGUGGCUGGCUGCGUCUUCUGUCAAGUUUUUUGAUGAGGCGCCAGCCUGCAGAUCUAAUAUGGGUCUGAUACCUAGGACGUGGUACGUACAGGAGACGCAUUUAGUCGCAGGAGAUCUCUCCUCUAACAACAAGGCAAUUANNNNNNNNNNNNNNNNNNNNNNNNNNNNNNNNNNNNNNNNNNNNNNNNNNNNNNNNNNNNNNNNNNNNNNNNNNNNNNNNNNNNNNNNNNNNNNNNNNNNUGUGCUGGAAAGCAAUAGACGAUUACCAUGAACAAGGAAAUAUGAUAAUAACCAUUUUAUUAUUGCCUCUAGGGCAUAUUUCCAACAUGAUGUCGCAUGCACGCGGUUUAUCGCGGAGUGUUGAUCAAGACAUCAAGACCAGUGCAGUGCAUGCAGCCCACGUGAAGGCUCUAAGUCCCAUUUAGUCGUCACCCUCCAUGAUCCUCGGUUUAUCGUCGUCGUUGUCUAUUGUACUUUUGCGCACUGUGUUAUCGGCCUGUUGUUGUGAAUUGUGUUAGAAUGUCUUAUACUUUUGAUGUUAACUAUGGCUGCUUCUAUUUUGCUGCUUCUGUUUUGGUGCUUCUAUUUUGCUGCUUCACUGAUGUUAUGGCACGAUGUUAUGGUCGACUGGUUAGCAACAGGCAACAUCUCAAUUCAGCUCUCUGAUGUAGAUAGCAACAACAACAGCAACAACUGCCGAUGGGUGAGGUGGUCGUGGCGUCAGCACCACCACCGCUAGUCACCAGCCUAGUAACGACCAUUCAUAUUAGUCAUUAUCACCUAGAAAUAAGGCAGUGCCAGGUGCUGUCCGCUUUAUGACCUUUUCCAGUAAGCAAGUGAUGACCUUUCUGAUGAAAAUGGUCGUUGGUUUUUGGGGCUAGGACCCCUCCAGACAGCUUACGACCAAAUGAUGUCAAAUGGUCAUAGAUUUAUGACCAUUCCUUCGAGGGUCACCGACAAAAGGUCGUUAGUUGACAUAUUUCUUGUAGUGGGUGCGGAAGGUACAUUGGAUAUCUUGGAAGAUGUGUACAACUAAACAUGGUGGAGGGAUGGGUUUUCGUGAUCCAGAGGCCUUCAACCAAGCGUUGUUGGCGAAACAGGCAUGGCGAGUUCUGCAAGUACCUUCUUCUCCGUGCGUUUGUGUUCUCAAAGCGCGUUACUUCAAGUAGGACUCGAUCCUGUCAGCUACAGUCUCCUCGUCAUCUUCGUAUACCUUGAGGACUAUCUUACAUGGCAGGGACUUGCUGCGGGAGGGGCUUAUAUGGCACAUAGGAGAUAAACAACAAAGUGAGUAUACAUCAUGCAAUUGGAUCCCCAAAGCUGGGAGUAUGCAGCCGCCGGGGCAAGUAUAUGUAGCGGGGGUGACCCAAGUGUCUCACAUGCUCACAAACGAUGGUCGGAGAUGGGAUGAGGCCAAAUUACAGGAGAUGUUCUCUCAUGAUGAUGCCGCGGAUAUUAGGCAAAUUGCUAUCGUGGGGGCGGGCAUGGAGGAUUACAUAGCUAAGAUAGCUUGGAACUUCACAAAGAAUGGUAUCUUCUUUGUGAAGUCGGCAUAUCACCUGAGGAUGAGCAUGAACAGGAGGAGCACCUGACAGUCGGAGUCCUCGAGCUUUGUGGCGAAGCAUAGGGGAUAUAUGUCAAUGUAGGAUGCAAAUGCGCCGGCCAAGGCCAAAAUUCACAUGUGAAGGCUUAUUCGAAAUGGUCUUGCUGUGGGUGUAGAGAUCCUUCGUCGGAGGAUAAAACCAGGUGUUUUUUGUGUUGCAUAUGGCUGGGAAGAGAUGGUGCCGCACCGCUUCUGGACUUGCCAACAUUCGGCAUUUUGCUCGUAGCAGAUUUUUUCAGAAAAGUGUGUUUCCGUGGUGAUCCUACCAAGUCAGGUCGACUGCCAGAGCAAGUUGGCAUGUCGGCUUCUUGGCUGGUUUGCCGAGGCUUCUGAUGACGAGCAGGCGUCCAUGGUUCAGGUAACUUAUGAUCUUUGGCUGGCGCGAAAUGAGGCCAGGGAUGGUAAAAGGAUGUGCCUCCUCAUGAAGUCAUAGGCACCAUUGUGACUCAUAUGAAUGAGUGGAAAUCUGUCCACGACGGUCCAAAGAGCCCAGCUAGGCCUCCUACGCGGCAAAAGUGGUGCCCUGCUGAUGAGGGUUGGCUUCUCAUGGUGCGGUAUCCAUGAUUGGAGACAAGGGAGGAGUGGGGGCUGUCAUCCGGAACCAUGAAGGGGCGUUCAGGGCUGGACUAUGCCACCUCUUCCGAGGUGUUGUGGAUCCCGAGUCCGUGGAGAUUUUAGCCUGCAAAUGAGCUCUCCAAGUGGCACAGGUGCACGUUGAGCUGGACUCCUAGAGUGUUGUGCAGAUGCUAAGGAAUCCGGGAAAGGACAUAUCAAGCGCAAGACCAUGGAUACAUGAGAUCAAGGAUUUGCUUGCAUCUUUCUCUCAUUUUAGAGUUUCGUGGGUGUGUCGGUGUUGGUGAUGAACUUUGUAAGGUUUGGUUGGGGAUUACCCCGGACUAUGUACUCGAUGUUAUUUCGGAUGAGAUUCUGAACUUUUAUGAUUAAAUAAAGCGGUGACAUUGAGCCUAACAAAAAUGACCCCUCAUACAUCCGUGGACGCACCCGGUCAAUGACCAGACAGGAGAAAGAAGGAAAAAAGUGACCCAACCGGAUCCCAUCAUAUCGUUUGUAUAUGUCUGGGCUGUCCGCGAACCCUCACAUCCAUCUUAAAUAUGGGGAGGAUAUGAGGGCCCCCGGAUGCGCCCGGACAGUCUGCCACAUAGGGCGCGACCUCGCUCCGGACCAUUUUUCUUUUAUUUAUUCAUUCUUUUCUCUCUCUCUUCCUCUUCACUAAUCACGUGCAAACGAGCGGACAUGUGAAACAAAAAAUGAGGAAUGUGGUUGCGCGAAUGGACAAAUAGAAAAACACGCCCGGUCGGACGUUUAAGGGAUCAUAUUUGUAAUCUUCGGCUGUAGAAGCUCUAAGAGGUGCUCUAAACCUUUUGCCCCUGCGAGUUGCCACUUGCCAGAGAUUUAUGUUCUGUGUGAUAUUUCUGAGAACGUCCUCCGGAAAGUGCAAGCAUUCCUCUCCUUCCAUANNNNNNNNNNNNNNNNNNNNNNNNNNNNNNNNNNNNNNNNNNNNNNNNNNNNNNNNNNNNNNNNNNNNNNNNNNNNNNNNNNNNNNNNNNNNNNNNNNNNUCCACGUGAAUUCAUGGUUGCACUACUUUUUAUUAAUUUUGUACGCUCUUCUGAAUGCUAUCCAUUGAUGUAGUUUGAACUGAAGAGUCAGUUUGCUUACAUUUGUAUAUUGAUAUCUUCCUUGCCAAUUGCCAUGCUUAUAGCUGGUUGGUAUGAAUCGAUCCUGAAUCUACCAAACAACAAGUUGUGACUUUUUCUUAGCUCUCUGCAGCUGUUCCUUCGAUGUCUGACUACACAGGGAGUUGCAUUAGCAAUGAUUUCUACUUACCGUUUCAUUCAAUCUUUAAUCUACCUUCAUGUUGUAAAGUAUCUCUGCAAUCAUAGUGCUCUCAUUGGACUACAAUCCCUUGCCUUGCAAGAAAUGUCUGCGUCUUCCACAUGGGCUCAUUUAAGAUUUGCCAUGUGAUUUUAAUAAAUUGGUUCCCUUUUAUGUGGGGAGAUCUGGUAGUAAGUUGAAUCUUAAUGUACCCACGCAGCUCUAUAAAUUAAAUUAUAUGCUUACGGGAGUUAUCUUGCAUCAGGCAUUACAAGAAGCCCUUGUUAUGAUGGCACAAAGGAUGCUUUACUUUAUCUCUUGCGCCCAUCUUUUGUCUGAUUUCAUUUGCAUGAUGAUAUAAAUGCAGGUUCAUGGAGUGAAUCUGGCAGGCCCACUAGCAGGAUAUGACAGUCAUAUGUAAGGUGAGAGUUUAAAGGUUGAAUAUUCCAUACUGGGUUAUUUUUGGGUAUGCGCUUUCCAUUCAUAGUUUUGAGUUUGAAAUUUGUUGAGGAUUUAAAUUGUGAAUGGAUAGCUCAACUAAAGUAUGCGAAACCCCAUUCAGUUUGAGGCAAUAAAUAAGCUCUCAUUUCAGCAAAUUUGCUUGCCUUGGUAUGUUAAUGCCUCUAGAUUUUAAUCAGCUUGUUCUUGAGCUGUAAUUUUAGAAACUAUUUUUUUUUUUUGCAUUUUUGUUUUUAUAUCCUAGAACCAUUGAAGCCAUAAGUGUCUUGACAUAUAUUUUGGCCAUAUGUAAAAUUCCUCCAAGCUUCUAGAAUACUAUAUUUCUUUUUAGCUUGGAAUAGGUUCAAAUCAUGUACCUAUUGCUAUGUCUUUGCACUAAUAGCUGCUAUCGUCGGUGCUAUAUUUGACCGUCUUUGUAUGUUUGAAAUUAGGAGACCUAAAACAUUUUUAGCUUACCAUGGCUACUCUAAUCAGUCAUAAGGGUUACUGCCUACUUUUAUUUUUUAUGUCCAGAAACAGAUUGCUUUAGCUUAGGCAUUGAAAUAAUUAGUGAAGUUGUUACGCGCAUAAUACUGACAGCCUAUGGUUUGAAUGUAUUAGUGCCCAUCGACGGUCCAGGUAACCCACCAACCGACAAGGCAAAAUCAGUUCCAACACAUGAAUUUUGCACCAAGUCUUACUUGUUUUUGUAGUAUCCAGGUUGAUUGGAAUAAAUUGAUUGCAGCCAACUAACAUAAAGAGGGUUCAGUUCUUCAUUGGGGGUAAAUCCCUUCUUCAAAAUUGCCUAUUGUGUGGUGUAACUGCUGUUGGAUUAAUUACGCCCAUGGCAAGGGUAUGCCUGACAUAUUUUAACUGGAAAUUGCUACUGUGUAGUGGGAACAAAUGAGCUUUAAUCAAAUUAAAUUAUUCUCUUGCAAUUUUGAUGAGAACAAAUAAGCAGCCAUCAGAGGGAGCCUUCUAGUAAAACAUAUCUACUUCCAAGCUGCACACCAUUUUUUCAGACUAUAGACCGUGUUUUCAUUGCACUCACGUAUUUUAUACUUUCUGGUGUGCAUUGCAAUCCCGCCCCUUCGUAUAGCUAGCUGGUAUUGAUGUAAUCUGUGUUGAUAAUAACGUUCCAGUUUUUUGCUUAUUGGUUGACUCUUGGCAGUUUCUUUUUUCUUUUUUGCAGAAAUGGAUGGUUCUUCCAGCUUCAUGACAUCCAGUAUCUACAUAUGUGCCCAAGGUUGGAAAAAACGCAAGCCAAGCAGGCUGUUGGCCUUUGCGACAGUUUUUAUUAUCAGAGUGUAUGUAUGGUUAUUCUGUGUGUAUUGAUAUUAAUUUAGGGCAUAUAAUUAAGUGAACUAUCAUCUACUACCAUUUGACAUAUCAAUGCAAUAUGUCAUGCUUGAUCGUGUAGGCAAUUUCUUAUUUGCCCUGCCUAGACUUUCACUCAAGGCGAGGCGUUCAGCCAUUACUUAGCACCUAAGCGUGCCUAAGUGGCUUGUAAGCACUGUUUUUUCCAACAAUGUAUGCGCCUGGCUUGUAAGCACUGUUUUUUCCAACAAUGUAUGCGCCUAUUUUUUCUAUCGUAGACCUGAGACAACCGUUUCCACCAAGAUCCAGCAAGAAGUGGAAUGAAUGGGCUGUGACCAAUAUCGAAACCUACUCGUAAAAAUCUAAAGAACACGAUCAAUAAAUCAGUUUAUACUGACACCGACGAUAAAAAUGAAGAACACGAUAAUCAGAUUAUACUGACGAUAAAAAUGAAGAACAAUUGAGGGGAAGCGCCGAUAAAAAUGAAGACAAGUGAGGGGAAGAACAAGUGAGGGGCUAAACCUCACUGUCAACAGAAGAUAGCAGCUCAGCGACGGUAGGGUACUUGAUCUCCGUGGGCUUCUCCCUCUUCUUACGGCCCAUGGCGGAGCAAUGCGGCCCUCGUUCCAAGCGCCAAAUCCCUGAUCGAUCCCUCCGAUGAUCCGAGCGCAGAGAAGCCGCGCCUGCUCCGGCGGUUGAAGCGCCGCCGCGCGAGGGCGGGCCGCGGGCGCGAUGGGCUCCGCCGACGCCGCGCGUCACGCGCUUGCUGCUGCGGCCCGACGCGCCGCCGCGCGAGGGCGGGCUCCUCGGAGUUGCUGCGGCCUGAAGCGCCGCCGCGGCGAGGGCGGGCGCCGCGCGUCACGCGGUUGCUGCGGACCGCCGCGCGAGUGCGGGUUCCUCGGAGUUGCUGCGGCCCGACGCGCCGCCGCCCGAGCUAGGGCGGGCUCCUCGGCCGCCUCCUCCUCCUCCGGCUUGUCGCGCCGCGCGCGCGAGGGCGGGCUCCUCGGCCGCCGCGCGUCACACGAUUGCUGCGGACGGACGCGAGCUAGGGCGGUCUCCUCGGCCGCCUCUUCCUCCGGCUUGCCUCGCCGCCGCGCGAGGCCGGCAGGACGGGCUCCUUGGACGCCGCACCGCCGCGCGAGGCCGGGCGGGACGGGCUCCUUCGACGCCGCGCGAGGCCGGGCGGGACGGGCUCCUUCGAGGCCGCGCCGCCGAGCGAGGCCGGGCGGGACGGGCUCCUUCGAGGCCGCGCCGCCGAGCGAGGCCGGGCGGGACGGGCUCCUUCGAGGCCGCGCCGCCGAGCGAGGCCGGGCGGGACGGGCUCCUUCGAGGCCGCGCCGCCGAGCGAGGCCGGGCGGGACGGGCUCCUUGGACGCCGCGUCCGCGUGCAGGGAGGCCGCGCCGGCGUGGCAGGGGAGGCCGAUGAUCUCGGCGGUUUCUGUUGCGGGCUGGAGGUUGUUGGUUUGUUGUCGCCGGUGUCAGUUACGGAAGCUCUCGAGAGAUUGGGCGGUUGGUUUUGAAGCCCGGGCUCCCGCGCGCGUGCGUACGUACGCCUUCAUUCCCGUUCCCAGUCCGGCGGCACCGCCUCAAGUUGCAGUGCAGUUCGACAUGGCCCAGGCAGUGCAGCCGCCUCAAGUUGCAGUGCAGUGCAGCUGAAGCGCGCAACUGCUGAAUCUUGUGUCACUACGUAAAUGCAGAGGCUUGGUUACAUGGCCCAGGCGACAUUGAUCAUGUUUGCAGUUCGACAUUGAUCCUGCCAGCCAAUGAUGCAAGGCCCCUGCCUGCUGCCAGUCUGACUGAAACGAAGAAGCUGCCCGGCCGCAGAUGCAGAUAUAACAGUUGGUGAAAUGGAGCACGGGAAAUGCAGUGUCGGCGUUGGCCGUCGUUCAGGAGGAAGCAACGGCAUGCAAGCGCCUUGCAUUACUCGCCAGGCUUUGAUCGACAUGAUCUGAGGAUGUCUUGGUCGAUCGAGCCUCACUGACCACACUCCCUUGCAUCUCCAUGAUCAGAGCCAGCUUCGAGGCUCCCCGGCGUUAGGUCCCUGUCCCCACGACGUCGGCCUCAGAGCCCUGAGACCAACGGCAGCAACGCGUAUGAGGCAGCUUUCGAUGGACGGCGUGCCUGCCGCGCCGUGCCGUGAAGAAGAAGACCGACGAGGAUGCCCAUGUCCGGAUCCUAGCCAAGUGAUGACAAUAAGCCUGGGUCGCACGCACGUGCCCUCGCGCGCGGUGGAGCAAGCCCAGCGUGUCCGUGCCCUCGCCGGCCUAUCCCCGAUACAGGACGAGAACAUGUCCCGUACAUGCAUCUAGCCCGGCGUCGAGCAGAUCUGCCUCUCCACCCUUACUGCGUCUUCGAUGGAGAGAUACUUCUGCGACAAAGAGGAGAAGGGCGAGGGCGGCUGCUUAAUUUCCCUAUAUACACAGUCCUACUCUAGUUAUGAACUUGAUUAUGAUGAACUAGCUAGUAAAACAUGUCAUCAUUUUGAUGGUCGUAUGAUGAACUCUCGCAGCAUCUAACUAAUAAGCUAGGCUGCUGAUGCUGCACCUGAUCGCUAGAGCUAGCCACCUUCUUCUUCUACUGACCUAAACUAGCUUUGCUUCUCUUGGGCACUCGACCGCUAGUACAGUACGGUGCGGGUGUCUAUCAUGUCUAUUUCGUCGCGUCAGUUGCUUCAUGCAUGUAGCUGAGUUGAGAUGCGAGGCUGCGGCAGUGUGCGGAUGUAGAGAUGUGAUCACGUGCACAUGUGGAAAGCUAAGUGUAUAGCUAGCCAGUCAUGUUUAGUCGGGGCAUCUUCAAACCGGACCUUCAAAUCGCUCGCAAAAUGUUUGGACCGUGUUGUUUGGACGCAGUUUUCCAUCCAACAUCAUCCCUCAACGGUUCCUGGUCAUGGACUAGUUCGUUUGUCCGUCUUCUCGCAAACCAGAAGCAAAUUAGAGGGGCUUUGCAGGAAUUCGGACCGCCACCUCCCGGCACACCCAAAACCCCGUAUGGAUCCCGCUUCUCCAUCCUUUCCUCUUUCUUCUGCAUCAUCAUCAUGUUAAGAAGCCAAUCAUCAUUCUCGAAGGAGUUGCGUUACAUGGUUUGUGAAUUCCACACGCACUCUUUUGCACGUCCGGGUCUCACAUUGACAGUAAAGUGCUGCAUUGGUCUUCAUUGUCUGCUAGGUUGACCGAAGGGCAAGCUCCACCUUGCAAUUAUACUAGCAAUGGGCAAUGGUACAACAUGGGCUCUAUCUGGUUGAAGGUAUCUAUCCUCUGUGGGGUAUCAUCGUCAAGAUCAUCUCUGAGCCAGCUAUUCAGAAAAGAUCUCAUUUUACCCAAAGACAAGAAGGAGCUAGAAAGGACGUGGAGAGGGCAUUUGGGGUGGUACGGGCCUGUUUAGCCGUUGUUCAUGAACCUGCUAACAAUGCGAUCCAGAAACCUUGUGAGAGGUGUUGUCAUAUUGUGUGAUCAUGCACAACAUGAUAGUGAAGGAUGAGGGUGAAGAUACCGUCGGAGGUUUGGAAUUUGAGAAUAUGGAUGGUCCUAUCCAACUUUUAGAUCAGAGUCCAACUAUGUUUGAUGAUCAGUUUGUUGUAAAUGCACCAAUAAAUUCGGUAUCGAGCAGCUCAUGAACAACUCAAGAAAGAUUUAAUUAAGCAUCUAUGAACCGUUAAAGAGGACAACUAAAAUAUACUCCCUCUGUACCAUAAUAUUGUUGGAGAGAACUAAUCUAAUUCUUCCCAACAACAAGUAUUUAGGAACAGAGGAAGUAUGUGCUAGUUGAAUUCAAGUGUGAAUUAUUUUAUUUAAAAUCUUAGUUGGAUUGUAAUACUUUAAAUUAGAACUGCAAUCGCAUUUGGAUAUUUUCAAUCAUAGACGAUUUGAUAUGGUGUUAUUUUGGGCUCGUGGAACUUAAAGAAAAACAGACAUAUUUAAAAAUAUAUAUAUGGUUGAAUAGCCGGCUUCCGCGUGGUUUUCCGCAGAUAAAUACCUUCUCCAUUUUAGAGGUCGUUGUUGGAGUCUUGAAGUUGCCCUUGGUGUUGGUUGAGAUAGUUUUGAGAAUGGGGGCAUUCAUGUGCGGGCAUCCAUGAAAUGAUACUCUCAGCAGCAUGCACGUACGCGUGUGCCGUUGGAUGACCGAGCUGCAUAUAUAGCUGCCUAGAUACAUAGGUUCAGACGUGGACCGCGUAUUCAGAUAGAAAGGAUAAUGCGGAUCUCGCAAAAAAAGAAAAGAGAGAAGGAUAAUGCGGGCCAAAUGGUGUGGCCUUGUCAAAAGGAUACUGGAAGUGUUGGCUAGCUAGCUUCGGCGCCGACAUGGCGUCGCGUCUGAUCUCCUCUCCGACACGAACUCGGCACCUCCUGAACGCGUGUGUGUUCCCUCUGAUCACCGCGAUGUCCCAGCCGGUGUGGAUGAUGCAACUGCGCAACACGUCUUCAGUGAGCUAGGCCCUGGUAUAUUCAUAUAUAUCAUGGCUAGAUUUAUUAAGAUGAAACCAAAAUUACACCGUUCACGAGCUCACUGACAAUAUAGUCAGGGGGCUCAUCCAGUCAACUAGACAAAGUCUUAUUACAAUACAAGAAUACUUAGCUAGCACAUGCACAAAAAAGUACUCGUAUAUCGAUUGCCAAUACUUAGCUAGCUCACUGACAAUAUAGUCAGGGGCCAUCUACUUGGGGGAGGGUAUGAUAGAUUAUGAGUAAUGCAUGUGUGUGUAUGCGGAUCCACCAUAUGAAGCUCCGGACAAAUCGAUAAUGUUGAGUCUGGGUAUGACAUAAGGCCCAUGACAAUGCAUCGUUUUUUAGCACGUUAUUAUAAAAGUAUUAAUAAUUUAAGAUACUACUAGCCUAAUGCAUUAUUUUUUUACAAGGACUAGCCCAAUGCAUUAUUUUUAGAGGUUGUCUUUAAAUUUAAUGAUUUGAUGCUCAUGCAUAGAUGUGAUUGCGCUAUUAAUCAUUUUUACAUAUGGUGGCGUGCAAAUGUUGUAUCUUAGAGGGUGCUUGGAUACGUUUUAGUCCCAUGACUAAAAGUAGUGGGAUUAAAAUUUGCUAGCCUCACCCAUGCUUGGAUCUAAAUACUAAAGAGACUAAAAUCAAGUUAAUGAGCAUUUAUUAUCCUCCAAAUCCUCCAAUCCAGAACUCGCCUAUGUUAAAGGAGAGGAGUUAAAUGAGGACAGAGAGAACUAAUCCACAUUUUAAUAGGGGUAUCCCUGACUAAAUUAUUUUAGUCUCAAGACUAGUUUUAGCCCUCUUUAUUCAGGGAUGCUUGAAACUUUAGCCUCUUAAAAAGAUUAUUUUUAGUCAGACUAAAAUAAGUCCCUUGGAUCCAAGCACCCUUUUAGCUAAGAUACAAACAUACUCUCUCUCAUGAUUAACUAGUAUGACACAUCAGCAAAACGUCUAUGAACCCGCGUUAAAAAAACUCCAUUGACACAGGCCUAAUAUGUUAAAAGAUUGCAGCUCCUCAUUGGUCCACAUGUAUUGCCGUCUUUAUCACAUGUGUCAUUCCCAGCCUAGACCAUAAAUCUUUACCAUUGGUGCACUGAAAGAAAAGAUGUUUAAUGUAUUUAGACCCUUGGUGACAAGCUGGACAAGCCCCAUUUUUACCUAUGUGCCUGUUAGUGAAUAUGGACUUUAGUGGAAUAAUUUCGUGCAACACUCGCCAGUAGAAAAUCUGAACUUUACGUGUGAAUCGAAGCCUCCAAAUAGUAUUCCAUACUAAUUUCACAAAAAAAAAAAAAGAAUAGUAUUCCAUACUGCAGGAACUGUUGAGCUUCCCUGACAUGAGAUGAAAGCAUGUUUGCGUGGCCGCCAAAAGUACGUAUCCACUGCACAUGGUAUGCAGUUCGAACUAAGAAUAUUCCUUUCCUGUAUGGAAGGGGAUUUGUAAUACUCGAGGUACAUCAACAUGGUUGAAACAUUGUUUAACAAGAUCUUCAUUCCAGUGCCGCGUGUUCUGGUCAAUGAUCUCAUUAACUUUAGUCAGCAAUGUAUUUCCUCUGGGAGUAAUGAUCAUCUUGUCUGGGCUUGAGGGGAUCCAGGGCUCAAUCCAAAUCUUAACAUUCUCUUCAGAUCCAAUCCUCCAUAUAUACCCACGCUUGAACAUCUCAAGCCCUUUCAUUACACUCUACCACGUGAAGGAAGUCCGAUUCUUCACUGUUGCUUGAGAGGGACUAUUAUUUGGAAAAUAUUUUGCUUUCUAUACCCCUCUGGCAUAUAGUGAUUCCAUGUUGGUGUUCAAUCUCAAACAUAGUUUUUUUUUAGAAAAGAAGAAAGACUUCCGAGCUGAACGAUGCAUGCAAUCACUUUAUUAAUUUUUCAUCAAAGACCUUACACAGAAAUAUAACAGUAAGUUUAAAGCCAUCGUCUAGGCAACAACUAUCGUUACUCCUAUCCAGUUGAUGAAGGUAUACUGAUAGUCCGAGCCUAAUACCAAACAGACCUCGUAGUCAAAACCUAAGAUCUAAGACCCGAGACUCCAACCAAGCCACUUGGAUAUGGCGCAUUCGCUGAGGCCAAAAACAAGCAUAACUAAGUUGAAAUAGUGGAGAUCCCUGAACCCCAUAUAUCUCCUUCAUUCUCUGCAAAUCAUAGUUUCCACGAAGAGAACCAGUGCACCCCAGAGCAUCCUGGCGGAGCAUCCUGCCGGAACUCCACCUCCACUGCCGACGAGCGAGCCUAUUGACGGCGCGCUCUCCUACUCGAUGCGCGGAGGCAUGAUCUCCGCGUUGGACCGGGGCGCGUUCGUGACGGUGGCCAGCUUCAGCCCGCGCCCCCAGCCCGGCCACCUCCCGAGCACCUUGCCGGCCGGUGCACCGCGUGAAGAGCACCUCCUUCUCGGCGAAGAACGAGUUGAUUCACGCAGCGUCCCUCAUCAGCCAGCAGGCCCUCCCGGAACCAGAAGGCACGAAGGGGCCAUGCAAUCCGCCGCGGCGGAUUUGUCGGGGCUACACUUGCGUGAGAAGCCAGCACACCGCGAAGCUCGAGCUCGAGCUCGUUGCCUCCGUGUGUGCCGUACGUGAGGAGAGAGUGAGACCACCAGCCGUCGGCGCCCACCCAUCGGCGUGCUGCGGUGCUGGAGCUUGGCACCGUCUACUUCAAGGUCACCCUGCAUGCUGGCGCGCACCGACGACGUACGCCAAGGGACGCAUACGUCGUGGCACGCACGUGCACCAUCUCCGACAGCUCCGACCCGGCCUAGAACGACCCGUGCACUGUGCUCACAGUCGAGAGUCGGCGUCUUCGACGACCCGCUGCCAUCGACCCUACCGCCGGACGGGUGAAGGAAAGGACGCGCGCCGCUGAGGUCAUGGGAGGUCACGACAUUUAUAGGUACCUCAAUAUCUUGGUGUCCUGAAAAAGCAUCUUGCAUCAGUCAAUUUCAUCGACGGUCAUUAGAUCUUCAUCCAACGGCUGAAAAUAGGUCGGUAUUAUUUAUCUUCAACCUCAUCAUCUCCUUCCUCACCUAGCCGCCGGCUAAGACCAUCCCGUAAAAAUGCAAAUUGUAAAAUUAAAACACGGAUAGAAAAAAUACAUUUUAAGAAUUCAUUUUAGAUACGACUAAAAUAAGCUGUAAAACAAACUGUAAAAUUAAGAUAAAGAGCUUCCUCCUCCGGCCCGGCGACCGUCGCCCCUUCUUCCAGCCGACCGUGUGGGCCACACCAACCGUGUCCAACCCCGUCGGUCGGGCCCCAUCAUCCGUCGACCACGCCCCGUCGCCCGUCGACCGCGUCCCGUCACCCGUCGGCCACGCCCCGUCGCCCGUUGGCCGCGCCCAGCCUCGCCGGCCACGCCUGGUCGUCGGCCGGCUAUGCCCCGUCACCCCGCCGGCCACGCCUGGUCGUCAGCCGGCUAUGCCCCGUCACCCCGCCGGCACUGUCCUGCUCUGUUGCUAGACGUGUCGACCGAGUCCUGUCCCUUUGCCUAUCGUGCUGGGAGGAUUCCGGCAGCCAGGCUGAGGCCAUGGGAGGUCACGACAAGGUCGAGCUCGUUCAAUUCAAAUCGGCGACGAUCGGUUGCGACGUCCACCAACCUUUUUCGGCAUGCGACGAGUUUAGGACGUAUUCCGGCAAACUUCACGGCGGCGUGUUUGCUCCGACGAGGUUUGACCGGUAUACGAGCCCUUCUAGAAUCGGCCUUCCAACUUUCAAAAAUAAGGAUUUCGGGUGUGCCUUUUCCAUGCCCCUUAAAAAAAUUACGGAUUGGACCAUUUUUACGAUUUUUGUUCUACAUACUUUUUGCGAUCAAAACUGUAGAAUACAAUUUUUUUACGGAUUUAACCACUUAUACGGGUCCGCUAGAGAUGUUCUAACCAAUGGGACAAAAACAACGAGGCCCAACCAUCCAUCUCUUCCCCACCAAAAUCGCGCUUGUCCAGAGAGACUCCAGAGCCACCAUGCCGCUAGCUCUCCUCCCUCACUCCCCAACACACACCCUCUGCCCAAAUCAACAUUCAGCUCCGGCCCCAGCAAUGCCGCCUAGCUCGUAGCAGAUGCGCCCGUCUGUACGUCCGUCGGUCGCAGUGGCGCUGCUGCUGGCGGCCGCCGUAGUCACCUUGCUGGCAUGCCUGGCACUCGCGGACCCGCCGGCGAGCGAGUAGUCGGCGUUGCGGGCGUUCCUUGCGGCGACGCCGCACGAGCGCAAGCUCGGGUGGAGCGCGUCCACGCCGGCCUGCGCGUGGGUCGGGGUCACCUGNNNNNNNNNNNNNNNNNNNNNNNNNNNNNNNNNNNNNNNNNNNNNNNNNNNNNNNNNNNNNNNNNNNNNNNNNNNNNNNNNNNNNNNNNNNNNNNNNNNNCUCCUGAACAGGAGAAGAUGUUUAAGGAGGCCACCGUCCUAUUCCUUGGAGCAGUCAUUAGCGUGAUCGAAGAUAAGCUGGUUGAUGCAUACUUACAUAUGCAUGUUGCCAAGGACUUGUGGGAGGCGCUCGAAUCUAAAUUCGGGGCCACCGAUGCUGGGAGUGAGAUGUAUGUUAUGGAGCAGUUCCACGAUUACAAGAUGGUUGACAACCGUUCUGUAUUGGAACAAGCUCAUGAGAUAAUAUCCAUAGCUAAGGAACUUGACGUUCUUAAGUGCAAUUUGCCGGGCAAGUUUGUCGCGGGCUGUAUAAUUGCUAAGCUCCCUAAUUCCUGGAGGAACUUUGCUACUACUCUGAAACAUCAGAGGCGUGAGUUCUCAGUAGAGGACAUCAUCGGCCAUCUGAGUGUUGAGCAGAACUCGAGAGCAAAGGACUCCAAUGGAAAAGCGGUGGAAAGCUCUUCUGCUGCCAAUAUGGUACAUCAGAGGAACUUCAAUUCUCACAAGCCCAAGGAAAAGAAUUCUGUCCAACAGAAUACCAACUUCAAGAAGAAGGGAAAGAAGCCCUUCAAGAAGAAUAAGAAGGGAGAUGGCUGCUAUACUUGUGGUUCAGAGGAACAUUGGGCGAACAAAUGCCCAAACAAGUACAAGAAGCCGGCGCAGGACUCCAAGUCUGCCAACAUGAUUGUGGGCAACAAUGAAAGUGGUGCAUCUGGGUACGGUAAUUUACUUACUGUAUUUACAGUUUGUCAGUCCACCGAUUGGUGGGUGGACACGGGUGCAAAUAUUCAUGUGUGUGCUGACUUAUCAUUGUUCUCUUCUUAUCAGGCCACCGGUCGCGGGUCCGUAUUGAUGGGGAAUGGCGCGAGUGCUUCUGUUCUUGGUGUUGGCACGGUCGAUCUGAAGUUUACUUCGGGAAGGAUCAUGCAGCUGAAGAACAUGCAGCAUGUCCCCGCCAUCAAGAAGAAUCUCGUUAGUGGCUCCCUUCUGUGUAGAGAAGGGUUUAAGUUGGUGUUCGAGUCUAAUAAAGUAGUAGUUACGAAAUAUGGACUUUUCGUUGGAAAAGGAUACGAAUGCGGAGGUCUGUUCCGCCUUUCUCUAGCAGAUUUUUGUAAUAAAGUCGUGAACAAUAUUCAUUCGAGUGUUAAUGAAUCUGAAGUUUGGCAUUCACGUCUUUGUCACAUAAGUUUCGGUGUUAUGUCGCGGCUAGCAAAACUGAAUUUAAUCCCAACUUUCACUUUAGUCAAAGGUUCUAAGUGCCAUUCGUGUGUGCAAGCAAAGCAACCUCGCAAGCCUCACAAGGCUGCAGAGGAGAGACACUUGGCACCAUUAGAACUCAUACAUUCUGAUCUUUAUGAGAUGAAUGGUGUGUUGACUAAAGGUGGAAAGAAAUACUUCAUGACAUUGAUAGAUGAUUCAACUAGAUUUUGCUAUCUGUAUCUGUUAAAUACUAAAGAUGAGGCUCUACACUACUUUAAAAUCUAUAAGGCAGAAGUUGAGAAUCAACUUGAAAAGAAAAUUAAACGAGUCCGGUCUGAUCGUGGUGGAGAGUACUUCUCAAAUGAAUUUGAUUCAUUUUGUGCAGAACACGGCAUUAUUCAUGAGAGGACGCCUCCCUAUUCACCCCAGUCAAACGGGGUUGCCGAGCGGAAAAACCGUACUCUAACUGAUUUGGUUAACGCCAUGUUAGAUACAUCGGGUUUAUCCAAGGCAUGGUGGGGGGAGGCUAUAUUGACCGCGUGUCAUGUCCUCAAUAAAGUUCCUACAAAAGAUAAUGAGGUCACUCCCUACGAGGAUGUUGGAAUUAUGCCCUAGAGGCAAUAAUAAAUAUAGUUAUUAUUAUAAUUCCUGUAUCAAGAUAAUAGUUUAUUAUCCAUGCUAUAAUUGUAUUGAAUGAAGACUCAUUUACAUGUGUGGAUACAUUGACAAAACACCGUCCCUAGCAUGCCUCUAGUUGGCUAGCCAGUUGAUCGAUGAUAGUCAGUGUCUUCUGAUUAUGAACAAGGUGUUGUUGCUUGAUAACUGGAUCACGUCAUUGGGAGAAUCACGUGAUGGACUAGACCCAAACUAAUAGACGUAGCAUGUUGAUCGUGUCAUUUUGUUGCUACUGUUUUCUGCGUGUCAAGUAUUUAUUCCUAUGACCAUGAGAUCAUAUAACUCACUGACACCGGAGGAAUGCUUUGUGUGUAUCAAACGUCGCAACGUAACUGGGUGACUAUAAAGAUGCUCUACAGGUAUCUCCGAAGGUGUUAGUUGAGUUAGUAUGGAUCAAGACUGGGAUUUGUCACUCCGUGUGACGGAGAGGUAUCUCAGGGCCCACUCGGUAAUACAACAUCACACACAAGCCUUGCAAGCAAUGUAACUUAGUGAAAGUUGCGGGAUCUUGUAUUACGGAACGAGUAAAGAGACUUGCCGGUAAACGAGGUUGAAAUAGGUAUACGGAUACUGCCGAUCGAAUCUCGGGCAAGUAACAUACCGAAGGACAAAGGGAAUGACAUACGGGAUUAUACGAAUCCUUGGCACUGAGGUUCAAACGAUAAGNNNNNNNNNNNNNNNNNNNNNNNNNNNNNNNNNNNNNNNNNNNNNNNNNNNNNNNNNNNNNNNNNNNNNNNNNNNNNNNNNNNNNNNNNNNNNNNNNNNNNNNNNNNNNNNNNNNNNNNNNNNNNNNNNNNNNNNNNNNNNNNNNNNNNNNNNNNNNNNNNNNNNNNNNNNNNNNNNNNNNNNNNNNNNNNNNNNNNNNNNNNNNNNNNNNNNNNNNNNNNNNNNNNNNNNNNNNNNNNNNNNNNNNNNNNNNNNNNNNNNNNNNNNNNNNNNNNNNNNNNNNNNNNNNNNNNNNNNNNNNNNNNNNNNNNNNNNNNNNNNNNNNNNNNNNNNNNNNNNNNNNNNNNNNNNNNNNNNNNNNNNNNNNNNNNNNNNNNNNNNNNNNNNNNNNNNNNNNNNNNNNNNNNNNNNNNNNNNNNNNNNNNNNNNNNNNNNNNNNNNNNNNNNNNNNNNNNNNNNNNNNNNNNNNNNNNNNNNNNNNNNNNNNNNNNNNNNNNNNNNNNNNNNNNNNNNNNNNNNNNNNNNNNNNNNNNNNNNNNNNNNNNNNNNNNNNNNNNNNNNNNNNNNNNNNNNNNNNNNNNNNNNNNNNNNNNNNNNNNNNNNNNNNNNNNNNNNNNNNNNNNNNNNNNNNNNNNNNNNNNNNNNNNNNNNNNNNNNNNNNNNNNNNNNNNNNNNNNNNNNNNNNNNNNNNNNNNNNNNNNNNNNNNNNNNNNNNNNNNNNNNNNNNNNNNNNNNNNNNNNNNNNNNNNNNNNNNNNNNNNNNNNNNNNNNNNNNNNNNNNNNNNNNNNNNNNNNNNNNNNNNNNNNNNNNNNNNNNNNNNNNNNNNNNNNNNNNNNNNNNNNNNNNNNNNNNNNNNNNNNNNNNNNNNNNNNNNNNNNNNNNNNNNNNNNNNNNNNNNNNNNNNNNNNNNNNNNNNNNNNNNNNNNNNNNNNNNNNNNNNNNNNNNNNNNNNNNNNNNNNNNNNNNNNNNNNNNNNNNNNNNNNNNNNNNNNNNNNNNNNNNNNNNNNNNNNNNNNNNNNNNNNNNNNNNNNNNNNNNNNNNNNNNNNNNNNNNNNNNNNNNNNNNNNNNNNNNNNNNNNNNNNNNNNNNNNNNNNNNNNNNNNNNNNNNNNNNNNNNNNNNNNNNNNNNNNNNNNNNNNNNNNNNNNNNNNNNNNNNNNNNNNNNNNNNNNNNNNNNNNNNNNNNNNNNNNNNNNNNNNNNNNNNNNNNNNNNNNNNNNNNNNNNNNNNNNNNNNNNNNNNNNNNNNNNNNNNNNNNNNNNNNNNNNNNNNNNNNNNNNNNNNNNNNNNNNNNNNNNNNNNNNNNNNNNNNNNNNCGACGCUCUCGUACUGACGUACUUGGGGCUGCUUGGCGAAAGUCAAUGUACCGAUCCCCAAGAAGCGUAAGCUUGGACCAAAGACUGUUGACUGCGUUAAUUUGGGAUACGCUAAGAAUAGCGUAGGCUAUAGAUUUCUAGUAGUGAAAUCUGAGGUACCUGACGUGAAGGUCGGUACAAUAAUGGAGUCGAGGGAUGCUACAUUCUUUGAGGAUAUAUUUCCCAUGAGAGAUAUGCAAAGCACUUCUAGACAGGAAUCUGAGAUAACUCCUGAGCCUGCCAUUCCUAUGGAAUACUAUGAACAAACACAUGAUGAAAAUCCUGAGGAGGAUGACGAGGAAGCCCGUGGUAGGGGCAAGAGACAAAGGACUGCAAAGACCUUUGGUGAUGAUUUCUUCGUAUACCUCAUGGAUGAUAAUCCCACUUCUAUUUCAGAAGCGUAUGCUUCUCCAGAUGCUGAUUACUGGAAAGCUGCGGUCCGUAGCGAGAUGGAUUCCAUCAUGGCUAACGGGACAUGGGAAAUCACUGAUCGUCCCUAUGGUUGCAAACCAUUGGGAUGCAAGUGGGUGUUCAAAAAGAAGCUUAGGCCCGAUGGUACGAUUGAAAAGUACAAGGCUAGGCUUGUGGCCAAGGGCUAUGCCCAGAAAGAGGAAGAAGAUUUCUUCGAUACUUAUUCACCUGUGGCUAGACUGACCACCAUUCGAGUACUACUCUCAUUGGCGGCCUCUCAUGGUCUUCUCGUUCAUCAAAUGGACGUUAAGACGGCUUUCCUGAAUGGAGAGUUAAAUGAGGAAAUCUAUAUGCAACAGCCAGAUGGCUUUGUGAUAGAAGGUCAGGAAGGAAAGGUGUGUAAGUUGCUGAAAUCUUUAUAUGGUCUGAGACAAGCACCUAAGCAAUGGCAUGAGAAGUUUAAUACAACUCUGACAUCUGUUGGCUUCGUUGUUAAUGAAGCUGACAAAUGUGUAUACUAUCGCCAUGGUGGGGGCGAAGGAGUUAUAUUGUGCUUGUAUGUUGAUGACAUACUGAUAUUUGGAACCAACCUCAAAGUAAUUGAGGAGGUUAAGUCUUUUAUGUCUCAAAACUUUGAGAUGAAGGACCUUGGGGUGGCUGAUGUUAUCUUGAACAUCAAGCUGUUGAGAGAUGAUGAGGGUGGGAUUACACUUCUGCAAUCCCACUAUGUUGAGAAGAUUUUGAGUUGCUUUGGAUAUUCAGACUGCAAAAUUUCUCAAACACCAUAUGAUCCUAGUGUGCUUAUUAGAAAAUUUAAAGGCACGGCUAUAGAUCAAUUGAGAUUCUCUCAAAUUAUCGGUUCACUUAUGUACCUAGCUAGCGCAACGAGGCCUGACAUCGCGUUUGCUGUGAGCAAACUUAGCCGGUUUGUUGCAAACCCGGGCGAUGUUCAUUGGCGUGCUGUUGAAAGAAUUAUGCGCUACUUGAAAGGUACUGUCAACCACGGGCUUCACUAUACGGGAUUCCCAUCGGUACUUGAAGGGUAUAGUGAUGCGAAUUGGAUCUCUGAUGCUGAUGAGAUGAAGGCCACUACUGGGUAUAUGUUUACUCUUGGGGGUGGUGCUGUUUCCUGGAAGUCUUGCAAGCAAACGAUCUUAACAAGAUCGACAAUGGAAGCAGAAUUAACAGCAUUAGACACAUCUGGUGUCGAAGCAGAAUUUCUUCGAGAUCUUUUGAUGGACUUACAUGUGGUUGAGAAGCCGGUUCCGGCUAUCCUUAUGAACUGCGAUAAUCAGACGGUUAUUGUUAAAGUGAAGAUUUCAAAGGACAAUAUGAAGUCCAACAAACAUAUAAGAAUGAGAUUGAAGUCUGUGAGACGUUUGAGAAACUCCGGAGUGAUAGCGUUGGAUUAUAUCCAAACGGCUAAGAAUCUGGCAGAUCCCUUUACUAAAGGGCUAUCACGUGUUGUGAUAGAUAGUGCAUCGAGGGAGAUGGGUAUGAGACCCACAUGAGUUGCCAUGGUAGUAACCCAACCUAUAUGAUCGGAGAUCCCGUGAAGUAGGACCUGGGAAAACAAGCCAGUGGUGAACUGAGGAGAGUAACUUUACUAACCCACUCCGUUGGAGAUGCAAUACUCUCGGAUACUGUAUGGUAGGAUGACUACUGUCUUAAUGUGUUCUAAAGCUUAGAUAUAAGCAAGAUGUUGUCCUACAGAGCGAUCUUUGGAGGAACACACCUAUAUGAGCUUGACUGCUGGUCACAGUCUAUGAGGUUUGGGUGAUCUCUAGUAAACUCGUGAAUAGGCCAGGAGUGUGAAUAAUAUGCUCCACCCGAGGGGUCACCUUCGGCAGUCUAGUACUAGUAAGACUUGUGGUGAAGCUCCUUUACGCCAAACUGACAAUUCAAGGCAUAGUCCAUUGUUCAGUUGUAAAGGGGUGUAGCUACUUGUUCUAGGUGAAGCUCAACCUUAACAGGUCUUCACUGAAAUGCUGCUAUAUUAAAACAGUGAUUGGAACGAGGGAACACGAUGUGCCCUUGAGAUCUGGUGGGGGAUUGUUGAAAUUUGGAGGUGGGCUUUAGGCCCAUUAGAGAAUUUCAUAAAAAUCUCCAAGGGCCCAUGUAGGUGCUGGCAUGACAAGGUGGUGGGAGUUUAGUCCCACCCCGCUAGUGGAGGAGAGUUUGGACCCCUUUAUAAGGGUCUCUCUUCCACAUGCUAUUGGAGAGUGAGAAGAGAAGGUGCCCUCGCGCACUCCUCCUCCGCCGCCCGCCUCUCCACGCCACGCCUCGUCACGACGCGCCGCGGGUUGCGGGAAUGAGCCGAACCGAGCUCAUACCUACGCGCUUAUUUUUGCCGGUCAGGAACGGAGAAAACGUAAGAAUCAGAUCACAUCUGCCUCACGCGUUCGUUCCUUGACUGCUGCUGUCGCCGGCGACUCCGUCCCGUUUACCGCGUACACGGUCGACGGGAGAGCAGGCCUCCGAAACCUCGUCUCUCCGGUUCCUGUACGGGAGAGGGGCGAUUAGGUUUUUGGGGAGCGAUCACGCGACUGCUCGCCUCCGCCCGUCUGCUUCGUCUACGUCCGCGUCGCCCUCGUCAUCGGCAUGUCUUCACCAAGCGAAGCUGACCGUCUCCGCGAGGAAGCCAAGAUGAAGACGGCAGAGGAUAUUGCCGCCGCCGCCGCUGCUGCUACAGCCAACUGGCCGAUUGGAGGGUAUGACUCGUUUAUCCUCAUGUUCGUAUUUAUCCUAGCAGUACUGCUUGUCUGCAUAGACGUAUCCACUAUAUGCGUAGUAUGUGCUAGGUUAGCUCAAGAUCAGUAUGUCAUUAGUCUAGUCAAUGCCAUGCUAGUUAUUAUCUCGUGGAUUAAUAUACUCGGAAAAUUGCCUAUUUACUCAACAAUCCAAAAACCUAAUUUAUGUAGGAAUUUUUCGAGUAAUGGUUUUGCUACUGCACUAAAACCGGAUAAGUUUACCGGUACUUUUUUCAAGCGUUGGCAAACGAGAACCACCUUAUGGCUCACAGCUAUGAACGUGUUCUGGGUAGCCGGUGUCACUCCUACGGAAACUAUCANNNNNNNNNNNNNNNNNNNNNNNNNNNNNNNNNNNNNNNNNNNNNNNNNNNNNNNNNNNNNNNNNNNNNNNNNNNNNNNNNNNNNNNNNNNNNNNNNNNNGUCCCGAUCAGCGUUCGGGAGUGGAACAAGCGCAAAGGGGCAGCCGAUAGUGACUAUGUCGCCGAAAGGUACAAAGAUAAUCUUUGGAAUGAUCUCAUGUCACAUUUCAACCUGCCAGAAUGUGAGAAUGAAGACGCCGUAAAAAACUGAGGGCCAAAGUCAAACAGUGGACUCUAAAGAAGAUGGCCGAACUAUUCCGUAGCUGGAAGAAGAAGCUAUGGAAAAACUAUCUGAAGACAAAGAAAGUGCGAGUAUUCGAGGGGUAUCUAGCCAAGCAGGCGAAUCACUGGAAGGCAUUUCAAGAGUACAAGGAGUCAGAAGAUGCCAAGGCAUUAUCAAAAAAGAACAAGAAAAAUGCCGACAAGAAGAAAUAUCACCACACGCAGGGGCCAGGGGGCUAUGAGACUGCUAUCCCAAAGUGGGAUAAGAAAGAGCAAGAUCUGCUAGCUAAAGGCAUCAUACGUGAACCACUCCGUGAUGAGUGGGAAUUUAGAGCAAGAAAUUGGUUCCUUGCGCAUGGUGGUUCGUACGACGAAGAAACAGGGGACCUCAUCUGCAGUGAUGGUCUUAGGAUACCCAGGGAGAAUUGGAAAAAGAUAGUGAAAGAAAUUAAGGAGGGAAAAAGACAGUUCACUGCAGAUAGAGAGAAAGAUUUGCUCACACUAGUCCUCGGCAAUGACGAACAUGGAGGACGAACGCGAGGCUUCGGUCCUUCUUACCCGUGGUGGCCUGGGUUUGCCAGAGACCAAGACACUUACAGAAGCCGAGCGAGAGCAAAGAAGUGAUAGCAGGAUGAGGAUAAUGACAAGUUCAACCAGUUGCUUGCCAGGAUUAAUGAGCAACAGAAGCAGAUUGAUGAUCUUAGAGGAGUAGCACGCCAAGAAGAUCCUGCACUCGAUAUUACCGGCGCCCAUUCUAAGAGGAAAAGCAGCGUGGCUGAAUCUGAGGCCCCGCCCGACGAUGCACGAAGAAUGAUAGAGGGCGGUCCCGGCUACCCCGUGGAUGGAAUCAAGGAGUCAACAUCAUGUGAACUCCNNNNNNNNNNNNNNNNNNNNNNNNNNGGAGUCAACAUCAUGUGAACUCCAUCAGAAAUUCAAGAACAAAUCCAUGAAGUUGGCCGUCAGACAAGCUUUACCUUCUGGCCCUGAUGCACGCUGGCAUGGCCGUGAGAUUCCAGCUGGCUUUGCUAAAGUCGGGGUGGAUGAAAUCAUGGCGGGGUUUCAUGAUAUGGAGCUCGACAUAGCUGGACCCGAAGAUGAGAGGACACUCGGAGAAGUACUGGGUGGAGUCAUCCUAUGGGACAAGAACUACAUCAAGCUUCCAGGCUCGGCCCCAAGGACAACCCCGCCUCCGAGUCGUCGCAGGUCACCUACACCUCCAUCAGCUCCAAGCCCUCCACAUGACGACGGCCAGCACAACACGAGUCCAUCUCGAUCACCGCCGCCGGACUUGGGUCGUCCGUCUCCGCCGCCGCCUGCUCCGGAUACUAAGCGGAAGCGUGCCAUUAAGAACGCUCCGUCGAUGAUUUCUAAGCGACGGAGCUCCCCAAAGCGCAAACUGUCGCCCCUCCCAAAGGUACCUCAUGCUAAUCUUCCUAUCANNNNNNNNNNNNNNNNNNNNNNNNNNNNNNNNNNNNNNNNNNNNNNNNNNNNNNNNNNNNNNNNNNNNNNNNNNNNNNNNNNNNNNNNNNNNNNNNNNNNAAAACUUGUGCACUUCAGUUUAUAGCUUCCUAGCUUCCAUGCUCUUGUGCCCCAGAAAGGGCAUUGCAGUCACUGCAUGCAGAAAGCAAUCAUAGUGUCAGUACUAAAUGGUAGUGUGGAAACCAGAGCCCUAUCGAGAAAGAGCAGACCUGUCAUUUGGCCUGAAACUCUAAUAAUUAAAAAUGGAUUGCCAGGAUAUGAACUCACAAUAUUUUUGGAUCAACCGACACGAGUGUUGAAAGCAUCUUCAUGGAAGUAUUUUUUUUCUCGAUUUCUAGAUCAGUUGCAGAGUAUAUGUGCUACUCACUACUCUCAAUGUAAACAAUAUUUCUCAGUAUGUGUCGGUUUACAGAAACUGAAACUGUAGCUGUCACUACAGGGCUAUUAAGCAUGUUCUGUGCUACUCACUACAGGGCUAUUAAUCAUGUUCUGUGUUACUCACUACAGGGCUAUUAAGCAUGUCCUGUGCUACUCCUAGGAACUGCUGACAAAUUGUAGCAAAUUUAUCGUUCUUCCUGCAAUAUAAACAAGAUAAACCAAAUUUACCUUUUUUCCUGCAUUAGUUGCAUAACCUUUUCUCUUCCUGUUUCAGGAUGUGCUUGUCUUGGAUAUUGGGGGCCAACCUGAAGCGGUGCAAGCUAACUUCAAGACAUAUACCUACAAGGCCAGAGAAUGGUGCUACAGGAAUGGCGUUCGAGUUGAUGCUACCAAGAUUUGCGGGAGAAAGAAACAUGUCUUCACGACCCCACUGAAAAAAACACUCUACACGAUUGUUAAGAACGGAGAUAAUACUAUAACAUUUAUAAAACAAGGUAGGCAUUGGUGGGAAAAGGGAUACUGCACUGGUGGCAAGGCAUAUGAGAUGAUGCCAGAUAAAGGAUGCAAAAAUUACAUGGAAUGCGCAGACACGGAUCACAUUACACUGCCCUUCUAUGGAAACCACCGUUACAUCUCCAAUGGUGACCCUGGAGGGACACUUAUAGGUGUUCGCUAUCUGAGAAAAGCAUUCACCGCCAUACUUGAGGGCGAAGGGCGCGUAGAUCCCAAGUUUAUUGGCGUAUUUGUCUUGUAUCUCGCUGAAGCUCCGACUUUUGAGGUCAUAUUCCAGGCACUAUAUGAGAAUAUACCUAAUCCAAAUUCCUACCGCCUCGACUUCUUUGUUCCAUAUACCAACACACUCGUGCGCCGCUGGAACAAAUUGAGCAAAUAUGCAAUGAAGUAUAUGCACUGUCUACGAGAAGGCAAGGAGCUUCCAGAACUAGACGAGGAGGUUGCUUUGACUGAAUUAAGCUCCAUUCAAGAGGUUCUCAACCUGGUUAAGAUCCUUCAGUUGGAUGCCUAUAAUCAUGGCAUAUUUAUCCACGAGCCAACACAGAACCCGGACCCAGAGGUGUGGAGUGCAGUGGAUAAUGUAUCUGACCGCAAGAAGAAGUAUGAAAGAAGUCCAACUGCUCCUGAGAGUUAUGUUGCUCAGGUCGAUGAAAGCAUGUUCCAUAUGUUGAAUAUCAACGGGAAAGUGGAGAGCUUAUACAUUGACAAACCCCCCAAUUCAGCACUGAAACUGCGCCAAGGGCAUGGCUUGCUUUCAAACAAAGAAACGAGCUUUUCAAGAUCCAUUGCUAAAAGAAGGAUGAGCACAAGUGAAUCUGCUAACGAGGUGUGUACACAGUUAAACAAUACUUUAAUCCUCUGCAUAUCCAUAUUCUGAUCUUUUGGAACCUUGAAUUGCAGAUACUGGAUACACCAAAAGAUAAGCUGCUCCAGACCAGCAAGGUGAAAAUACCUCGUUUCAGCAUCAUAAAUACCUCACUGAAUGAGGACUUCCUUCUUAAAAGGAUUAGAUUGACAGCUCAAAGGCAGCAUCUAUUUGGUUACCAACCACAAGAGAAAAAGGUUUGAAAAAAAUUGUCUAGUUUGAAUGAUCUGCUAUUCACUUUAUAAUACCGUUGCACCUAUUAUUUGCAGGUUUGUUGUUUUGGAGGAACUACCCUGAGGAAUGCAAGUGAAAGGUUCAUAUCAAGCAGAAUAUUGACCAGAAGAAUGCUCGUGCUGAAACCACUGAUGCUCGGGAUGCACAUGCAGAACUGCCCACAGUGGCGAACAACAGUGCCAGCUAUCAAGGGCCAAGGACACGAUGCUAUCCAUCAGUUUAUUCCUCUAAGCCCGCACGGUCCUAGGCAAGGUUUCAUUGGAAGGUAUUCUCUCUUGCUCCAAAAUACCCAACUGUACACUAAAAUAAGCACCAAGACGGACAAAGUACCCAACUGCUUAUUCUUCUGUUCUCCAAUAUUAAAUUGUUGUGUUUUUCUGUAGCCAACCACUAACGUUCGUUAUGCAUUCCUCUAAUACGAUAAGAAUUUCAAUAUGAUGUCUAUGAUGGCCAUCAAUGUACUUCAUUGUAUUUAUGUUGGUAACUCUUUAGUACCAAAUAACUUGAAGCUAAUGUCGAAUGCUAAGCGUUGCGGUUUCCUUUUCAGGGUAACUUCCCUGAUCAGUAAGCUCAGGCAGAGUUGGAAGUCCUGAUGGUGGGGGUGUUGCAUGAACAUGUGCUAUUUCAGUGGUGCUGUUAACAUGAUGCUGGGAGCCUAUUGCUAUGGUGGUUGGCGUGAAGCCCGUGUUUGCCAUGUCUGAAUAUGUUCGCUAACCCCCAUCUAGGAUUUUGCUGUUUGUUGAUAGGUUAGCUUUAUUUUCGUGAUGUUUCUGCAUUCUCCAAAAUCAGGCAUUGUUGGUUUCUUGCGGAAAGAUGGGAAAUCUAUUGAUGACGUUCAUUAGCCGCCAUGUCAAGUAGAGAAUUAUCAUAUGCAAAACUAUUGUGAUAGGUGAUUCGAUUAAUUCUGCCAUGAUGAUUUCCAGUUUUCCACUAUCUGAAAGUGGGUUGUCAUGCCUGCAAUACAAGCCUUAGGAGCUAUAUUUUGCAGGAUGGUUGGUUGAUGAUGCCAAAGAGGAACAAGCAAAACAUCUUUUCAAUCUUCCAAAUGAAUCUAAGGUUCCAAAAUUUGAAAUGUUUUCCAAGCUUUGGACAUAAAAGUAUUUUGAACUUGAACUGACGAUUAAAUCUGAAAAAUACUAACAGAAGAAGCAAAAUCAUCAUAAUUUCACUGUGUUCUGAACUUAUGAUAUAGCUAAUCAUUGAUACUCGUUAGAGGUAUCUCUGACCAUUCUGCUCUUUUGAUACAUACUGGGUUUAUUAAGGCUGCAGCUGCCAGGCCUUUUAAGUUUUGAGCUUUACUGGCUUGUCAGGGGUGAGCUGCCGAAUGUAGUCUCUAUAAUAAUUUGGAAUUCUAUCGCUCCUAAAAAUAACAGCCUGGAUUGGUGGCAGGCUGUUAUGAGGAAGUUACGAAGCGGGCUUAAGGGUUGGGAUCUAAAUGUUGAGGGGAGUGAGUUACAAGAGAAAGAUAAGUUUUAUUAUUAAUGCUUCAGAUAUACUCCCUCCGUAAAGAAAUAUAAGAGCGUUUAGAUCACUAUACAAGUAGUGAUCUAAACACUCUUGUAUAGUGAUCUAAACGCUCUUAUAUUUCUUUACGGAUGGAGUAGUGAUCUAAACGCUCUUAUAUUUCUUUAUUAGUGAUCUAAAUGCUCUUGUAUAGUGAUCUAAACACUCUUGUAUUUCUUUACGGACGGAGUAGUGAUCUAAACGCUCUUAUAUUUCUUGAUGGAGGGAGUACUUGAUAAGAAGUGCGAGCUUGCUGUAGUCUCAGCAGCUAACUAUGAGAAAAGAAAUACGUACUAGCUUGCAAGAUGAAUUGAAUAAAAUCUUAGAGAGGAAGAAAUCAAAUGGUACCAGCCACAGGGCCGGAGGCUCAUGCGAACGAAGCCACGGGCACUAAACUGAGCAUCCAACAGUGCAGGGGUAAGUGGCAACGGCAGACACCUAGCAACGUCGACGGAAACGUGACGAAGACCACCAGAUCAUGCAAGCGAGAGGCACAGGUCCGGGUGCACGCGGCACCAGGACCAGCCUGAUCAUACAUCAAAAUUAGCUCCUGCCAAACGUCCCGGACAAGGAGAAAAAGAAAAGGAACUUGGUCAGUGAGAAUUUCAUAAAAGAAGAAAGCGGACCAAAACAAAGAUGCAUUCCUCUGACGAUAGAAGGUACCUGAGCAUGUGCUCAUCUGGUGAACAGAGGCAGGCCAAAGGAUGCUGCUGCCGGUGCCCCCGUCAAGACUCACACCUCACAGCAAUCGCAGCGACAGAGAGGGGCCGUUAUAGCAACCUGCGAAAAACAAAAUUGCAACCCUUAGGGAACGGUAGAGCAAGCAAACGACAGCCCAGAGACAGAUAAAAAAGCAAUCUUUUUGAGAAUGAAAAUAGCAAAGACGCUGCAGGGUGGAGGAGCCUGCAACCUGUCCGAUGAGAAUCGCCGGGAGAUCCGCCAGACGGGGCAGCAGCAGCCCAAAUCGAAGAGUAAUCGAUCGACGAGGGGCUGGGGAAAGAGGAGCCGCCGCAUCGGAAGANNNNNNNNNNNNNNNUCGGAAGAGGGGGAAAACAGGAUUUGAUGGGAGUUACUGCGACUAGGGACGAGGCCGAAACUUGCUGUGGAGCAAGGACGCGGAGCUGAGCUUCUGCCGGCCGGGGCGACCCAUCACCACUCACUACAUGCCCCUGGACCUGCCGGACGGGGCGACCCAUCACCACUCACUGCAUGCCCCUGGACCUGCCGGCCGCCGGCGCCGGGCACGACUACGCGAUAGGCGCCGCCGCGAGCUUCCGGUGGUGCAGGCGAGCGCGCGGGAGAGGUGUCUGGCAGCGCCGACGAGACGCAAAGACGCCGGCCAUUGCUGAGGCGGAGGCGGCUAGGGUUCGUGGCCUGGCCUGGUGGCGUGGGUGCGCGUGGGCGAUUGGGUGGCUUGUUUCCUUUUUUCUUUUUUUAGGGGAAAGUCGGGGUAGCUUGUUUCCUUGGGCCUCCUUUGUUUCGCGUGGGUUAGAGCAAGUCUGGCACAUCCCGCCGGCCCGCAAAACGCGUUUGCCGCAAAACCAUUUUUAUGCAGACUCUCCAAACGGAUCCGUAAAAAAAAUAUUCGCGGAAUAUGUUUUUUUACUGGUCGGCUUCUGUAAGUUCUGCUCGGACUCCACCGCAACGAUCCGCAAACAGAAAACUGCAAAUCUCGUAUUUGACAUAGGGUUCGGCAAACAAGUUCAAAUUCAAACGAAAUAAACAAUUUGCGCACAAAUAAAAGCGAAGUUCAUUACGCAAAAGAGGGCAUGCAAAGGUUUUGCACCCAUGUCCGGCAUCAUCUUGGGGGUCGAUCUUCACUCCGUGCCAUGGACUCCAUAUUGAAGUUCACCGGCGCCACCGAAUCCACAUCCGUCGCUUGUUCCAACUCCCGCACCGAAAUCAUCCACAUUGACACCAUAUGGAGCAGAGAAAACAUCACGGGACCUGGAUCACGGACCGGUCGAGGCGACCAUUCUCCUCUUCAAGAUCUCUCUCCUUGCCAUAUCAUGUCAUGUUUUGGUGAGGUCGUCCAUGUCAUUGCGGUUCAUUGACAUGAUCGUGUUCUCCUCGCGAGCAACAAUGACAUCGAUUUGGUUUCAGAGGCGCGUGCUUUUCUCUCCUCAAUGGCAGCUUUGCGGAGCCCCUCUUCCUUGAGCAUUUGCCUUUUUCUUGCUUCUCUUUUGCCUUCUUCUCGGCCAACUCUUUCUUGAUCUCCAACGACUUCAACAACAUCAACUCGUUUGAUUGCACCAUGGCAUCAAUCUUCUCCCUCAAGCUCGCUGCUUCUUGCUCUCUCUUCAUCUUCUCUUUAGUCUUCUUGUCGCCAUCGGGCUUGUGCAAAUUUCUUGGGCCAUCACCAUCCUCAUCUUCAUCCAUGUUUAUAAGUGAGCCUCUUUUUGGUGGGGAUUCUCUGUCGAUCAACUUCCACUUGUCGCACUUUUGGAGCAACUCCCAACAAUGCUCUAAUUUGAAGAAUUUGCCUUCCGAAGCUUCCAUGUCCUUGUAUCUAUGUUGAGCAAUCUUGUCCUACAAAAUGUGAACAAAGUGAUGCAAUCAUUUCUCAUGAUACAUUAUGAUGAUGCACAAAUUGAACAAAGGAAAAAAAACAAACUCACAUAGUCGGACUCCACGGUGCCACUUGGAGGUGCAUUGCGUACUUGCUCCAAGCAAGCUGCCUAACGGCUGCACACAUAGGUUUGAUAUUCUCCCAACGCCCUUGAAGUGACCGAAAUGUGCGUGCAGUCCUAUUAGGAUACUUUUUCAUAAUGCGGAAGUAUUGAUCUUCGAUCCUUUGCCAAUAUAUCUUGGCGGUUUGAGAAACACCCAUGCAUGCAUCAAGAGACACCGCACUCCAUGCUUGGAUCAAAGCUUGAUCUUCCAAGAUCGUGUAGUUCUUCGAUCUUUGGCUUUUCCCACCCUUUGCUUGCGAUUGCUCAAACGCUUCCGCUUCGAUCUCCUCCAAUUCAUCCGCAGCACCAUGAUCAUCCACGCCGCCGUCCGUUUCAUUGUUGUUGAAUGGUUCGAAAGAGGCUUGAUCAAUGUCAACCGCGUUCGUGUCCAACAUGUUCAUGAACUCGGUUGUUGCAUUGUUCGAACCAUCGCUAUAGAAAACGAUAACAAGUCACGAGCUAUCAAGACUAAUUGCAAAAAAUGAAAAGGAAUCGCCAAGAUCGAAGAGGCAUACCUUCCGGCCAUUUCGUCAAACACCUCGGCCGCGGGGGGAGCAGAAUUGUUCAACGGCAUCGCCGAAGCACCUCCUUGCGGGGGGUGAAGUCAGAGGUUGAAUAAGGUGGCUUCCUUGAAGCCGGAACCUUCCUCCGCUUUACGGCCGCGACCUUGCCGACCUUCUGCGCCGCCGGCCGGGAUCGCACUGCGGCGUUGGAGCCCGGAGCGCGGGCCGUCGCGGUGGGGGCAGCCGGAUUCCCGCCAUGCAUGACCACGGUGCCCUGCCUGCAUGACCACGGUGCCCUGCCUCUUUCGGGAAGGCGUGGCAUGUGCUUGGGCGACGGCGUCGGGGGCAACAUGGCCGGCGACGAGAUCCGCCCAAGGGGAAGGAGCAUGCGCGACCUCGACGGUGACGGGGGACAACAUGGGGUCCUCCAUGGCGGCGAGGAACGACCGAGGAGGAGGAACCGGAGCUUGCGAAGGGGGGGCAAUGGUGGCGGAGGGUGCGGGGAGCAGGGAAAGGGCAUGCGGAAAUGUCCCUCCCGCCAAAUCUCGCGUCGGAUAGGGGUUCAGCUCGGGUUGGCCUCCCAGCCCAUGAAGAUGGAGGUCGGGGCGAAGAUUUGCCGCGCCCCGCAAAAAAUAAUGCGGGUCGUCGCGGGAUGCGGGGUCUGCUCGUGCAGAUUUUCCGGCCCCGACCCGCAAUUUGGCGGUUAUUUUGCGGGUCGGGGCGGGAUGCGGGGUCUGCUAGAGUUGCUCUCAGAGGGGUUUCCACAUGAUUAAGGCCAACUCGAUCUCACGACGUCCGCUUCGGCCUGCUUUCGGCCGUUUGGUAUGGUCGGUACAUACAAUGCCACACAUUCCAAAUCGUAUCCGUAAUGAACAUGAUAUAAAAAAUCGCAAAACUCAAAUAAAUGUUGAAAAAUCAAUCAAUACGCAAGCAUAAUGAUUAAAACAUAAUUAAACAAACAUUAGUCUUUACGGUUUCUACAGUGCUUAGAACAUAAUUAACAUAAUAAAAACUAAAAAAAUAAGCGCCGCCGGCGUGCUGCUCCCGUGCCCGUCACCGUCACACGCGUCAUCGUUGUCGUCCUCGUCGCCAGUAAGGUCGAUGUAGGGCGACGACAUCCAUAGGUGGGACAGUGGUCCCUGGUAGGAGGAACACGCCUGCACCACCUCCCCCACGGCGACGGCUCACGCUCCGGUGACCGCGGAGGCAUGGGGCAGCAAGACCCGACCACCACAGCGACGACUCGCGCUCUAGUGACCGCGGCGGCAUGGGGCGGCAAGACCUGACCCCUACGGUGUUAGUCAUGUCAGUGGCCGUGCACGACCAGCUCCACCGCUGGCCCACUAGGCCCGCGUGGAACGUGGCGACGGGCUGCUCCUCUAGCACCUCCUCCUUCACGACUGUCAUCUCCACCUCUGGUACGACACGUCACCAGCCGCAGGGAGGGUCAGCAUGGUGUCCAGCCCCACCCAUUGGCGCUCAUCGUGUGUGUUCUUAGAGUCUUCCAAGACACGUUGAAUGAUCCGGGCCUCCUCCUCCUCUGCCAUGGGAGGUGGUGGUGGUGGCGACAGUGUACGCCCGCGCACCCGGAGACGUGCCCGCCGCGGGCUAGCUGGGCGACCAGCAAAGUAUGACACGCGGCGCACGUCGUGCUCGUCCCGAAACCAAUGGUCCCAUAGAGGGGGUUCGACGGCGUACCUGAGGUCGUAUUACAGGGCAUCAAGCAGGCGACAGCGUCGGUCGAUCUCCUCGUGGCAGGCACGGCCACUCAUCAGGAUCGACGGGAUCGGCACCCGAUCCGCAGACAAUUGCCAGUUAUUGGGCAGGUGAACGUCGCUCUAGGGGAGCGGCGUACCUGCUUCCCAAUAACGUCGGCAAACAUUCACGUGGGCGUACUGUCGGUCACGCGCCGGGCGGCCGGAGGUGCGAUGGCAAAUGCGGACGGUGCAGGGGCCCUCCGUGGGGGUGGUGUGGGCUGUGAGCUGGCGGUGGAGCGGUGAUACGGCUCCAUCGUAUCUACUUUUCCAAACUCUUUUGCCCUUGUUUUGGACUCUAAUUUGCAUGAUUUGAAUGGAACUAACCUGGACUGACGUUGUUUUCAGCAGAAUUGCCUUGGUGUUAUUUUUGUGCAGAAAUCAAAGUUCUCCAAACGUCUUGAAAAUUUAUGGGGAGCAAUUUUGGAAAAUAAGAAAAAUGUCUGCGCCAAGUUCCACCUCAGGGGGUGGGCCAGUGGGCCACAAGCCCUGGCUCCGCCACCACCCCCCUGGUGGCGGUGGGCAGGCUUGUGGGGCCCACAUGGCUCUGCCGCCCCCAAUCUCAGGUCUAUAAGAUCCCUUUCGUCCCAGAAAAAAUAAAAAGAGAAGUUUUCGUCGCGUUUGCGAUACGGAGGCGCCGCCACCACCUGUUCUUCAUCUGGAGGGCAGAUCUGGAGUCCGUCUUGGGCUCCGGAGAGGGGAAAUCGUCGCCAUCGUCAUCAUCAACCUUCUCCCCUCUCCAAUUCCAUGAAGCUCUUCGUCGUUCAUGAGUAAUCUAUUCGUAGGCUCGCUGGGCGGUGAUGAGUAGGAUGAGAUCUAUCAUGUAAUCGAGUUAGUUUUGAUGGGGAUUGAUCCCUAGUAUCCACUAUGUUUUGAGAUUGAUGUUGAUACUACUUUGCCAUGCUUAAUGCUUGUCACUAGGGCCCGAGUGCCAUGAUUUCAGAUCUGAAAUUAUUAUGUUGUCACCAAUAUAUGUGUGUUUUAGAUCCGAUCUUGCAAGUUGUAGUUACCUACUAUGUGUUAUGAUCCGGCAACCCCGGAGUGACAAUAACCGGAACCACUCCCGGUGAUGACCAUAGUUUGAGGAGUUCAUGUGUUCACCAAGUGCUAAUGCGUUGGUCCGGUUCUUUAUUAAAAGGAGAACCUUAAUAUCCCGUAGUUUCCUUUUGGACCCUGCUGCCACGGGAGGGAUGGACAAUAGAUGUCAUGCAAGUUCUUUUCCCUAAGCACGUAUGACGACACGCGGAAUGCAUGCCUACAUCACAUUGACGAACGGGAGCUAGCCACAUAUCUCUCCAUGUUAUAGCUGUUGCAUGAUGAAUAUCAUCGAAACAAAUCACUGACCCAUUGCCUACGAGUUUGUCCUACUGCUGCUGCUGCUACUGCUGUUGCUACUGCUGUUACUUGUCUUGCUCUGCUGCUGCUGCUACUACUGCUGCUACUACUGUCGCUUGCUACUGUUGCUACUUGCUACUGCUGUCACUACUGCUGUUCCUUGCCGCUGCUAUUGCUCGCUACACUGCCGUUACUCGCUACUUUGUUGUUACUAUGCUUGCAGAUACUAAUCUUUCAGGUGUGGUUGAAUCUGACAAUUCAACUGCUAAUACUUGAGAGUAUUCUCUCACCUCCCGUCGUGCGAAUCAACAAAUUUGGGUCGAAUACUCUACCCUCGAAAACUGCUGCUUAACCCACACGCUGGUGGGCCAUCAACAACAUUCUUCUAGUUGCGUUGCGGGGGAGUGCUAGCAGCAUUCUUCUGGUGCUGUUGCAGGGGAAGGUUUGUUGUCAUCAGCAUUCGUCUAGCCAUCGCUAGAGAUUGCAAUCAUCAUUUUUCUGGCACCGUUGCCGGGGAGGUAUUGCUAUAUUCUCUGAGUCACUUGGGAUUUAUAUCUGCUGAUCACUAUGAAGAAUCUGAAGGAUCCGAAGACCAAAGUCUUGCCCUCAACUACGAGGGGAGGUAAGGAAUUGCCAUCUAGCUCUGCACUUUAUUCACCUUCAGUUAUGAGUAAGUUUGCGACAUCACCUCCUGCUAGAAAUCUUGAUAUGCCACCUGUGCUUGAUGAUGCUUGUGAUACUACUGCUAGAGAUGCUAUGCGUGAUACUGCUAGAGAUGCUAUGCUUGAUACUAUGCCUGAUGAUACUAUGCUUGAUACUCCUAGAGAUGCUAUGCUUGAUACUGCCUUGCCUGAUGAUGCUAGAGAUGCUAUUAUGCCUGAUGAUGCUAUGCUUGAUACUGCUAGAGAUGCUACUUUGCCUGAUGUUCCACUAGGAGUGUUCCUUGAUGCUCAUAUUGCUAGAGUUACUGCCAAUGCUCGUGAUGCUUCUGAUACUGCCGAUACUAUUGAGAUAGAACCUGCUUUUGCCCUUGCUAGAUCUAGCUCUCCUAGAUAUGAAUUGCCUGAUAUACCUGAGGGUUACGUUAUGAAGGGAGAGAUAGCUGAGGAUUUUCUUGCGUGUAAGGAUGCCUAUGACGCUGAGAAAUUACUUCUCAAGUGGAAGGAAAAAUCUCGGGAAACUAGGAUGAAAAUUGACCCGAAGUUUGCCACUUCGCCUAUCUUUGUCACCGAUAAGGAUUAUGAAUUCUCUGUCGACCCUGAGAUAAUCUCUCUAGUCGAAUCUGAUCCUUUUCACGGUUAUGAGUCUGAGACGGUCAUAGCCCAUCUUUCCAAACUAUCCGAAAUAGCCAACCUUUUCACUAAUGAGAAGAAGAUCCGCCACUACUAUAUCCUUAAGUUGUUCCCUUUCUCUCUAAAGGAUGACGCUAAAGUCUGGUUCACCUCUCUUGCUCCUGGAUGGGUGCGUAGUCCCCAGGAGAUGGUCUAUUACUUCUGUGAGAAAUAUUUCCCUGCCCAUAAGAAGCAAGCUGCCUUGCCGGAAAUAUACAACUUUGCUCAACUCCAAGAAGAGAGUCUUCCACAAGCUUGGGGGAGGCUCGUCCAGCUACAAAAUGCUUUGCCUGAUCACCCUCUUAAGAAGAACGAGAUACUUGAUAUCCCCUAUAACGGACUUAUCGAUGCCUCUAGAGACCACCUAGAUAGUUGUGUCGGUUGCGUUUUUAGGGAACAAACUGUAGAACAAGCUGAGACCCUACUGAAUAACCUCUUGAUCAACGAUAAUGCUUGGACUAUUCCAGAACCACCUCCUAAGCCAACUCCUAAGAAAAGAGGUAUUCUAUUCCUCAGUCCCGAAGAUAUGCAAGAAGCCAAGAAAUCUAUGCAAGAGAAAGGCAUUAGAUCUGAAGAUGUAAAAAAUCUACCACCUAUCGAAGAUAUCCAUGGUCUCGAUAACCCGAUACAGGUAGUAGAAGUGAAUUCUCUGCGUAGGUUUGAUGAGAGUGAUAUUCCUUUUGAUAAACCUGCUAGCCUAUGCUUUGAUGAAUUUGACAACUUUGUUGCCAAACAACAGAGUUUCAAUGAUUAUGUUAGCCGACAUUUGGAACAAAGUGCUCGUAUGCUUAGCCAUUUAAGUGCUUGUGUAGACAGAAAUGUCAAUGAUCUGAAGCUUCUGAGUAAACAUGCCUCUAUGAUUGCUACUCAGGUAGGACAAGUACUUAAAGCUCAGAAUGACUUGCUCAAUGAAUUAAAUGACAACUCUGUCAGAGUCAUUACUAGAGGAGGCAAAAUGACUCAGGAACCUUUGUAUCCUGAAGGUCAUCCUAAGAGAAUUGAUCAAGAUUCUCAAGGAAUCAAUGCUGAUACACCUAGUCAUCCUAAGGAGAAGAAGAAGGAUGAUAGGAACCUGCACGCCAGUUCACCAAAUACCGUCACACCUGAAGAACCUAAUGAUAUCUCUGCGCUGAUGCAGAAACACAAUUUGGUGAUGAACAUGAACCUAGUGACAAUAUGGACAAUGAUGUUCAUAAUAAUGCUCAACCUAGCAACGAUGAGGAUGUGGAGAUUGAACCUACGGUUAAUCCUGAUAAUCCACAACCUAAGAGAUACGACAAGAAUGACUUCACUGCUAGGAAGCAUGGUAAAGAAAGAGAGCCAUGGGUUCAGAGACCUAUGCCCUUCCCUCCUAAGCCAUCCAAGAAAAAGGAUGAUGAGGAUUUUGAGCGCUUCGUUGAGAUGAUAAGACCCGUGUUUCUGCAGAUGCGGCUAACUGAUAUGCUAUGUCUCCGUAUGCCAAGUACCUGAAAGAUAUCGUGACUAAUAAAUGGAAGAUACCAGAUCUUGAGAUCUCCACCAUGCUUGCCAAUUACACUUUUAAAGGUGGAACUCCUAAGAAACUUGGUGAUCCCGGAGUGCCCACUAUACCUUGCUCCAUCAAAGGAAACUACGUAAGAACUGCCUUAUGUGACCUUGGAGCCGGUGUUAGUGUUAUGCCGCUCUCUCUUUAUCGUAGACUUGAGUUGGAUAAGUUGACACCCACUGAAAUUUCUCUGCAAAUGGCCGACAAAUCGACUGCUUUCCCUAUCGGCAUUUGCGAGGAUGUGCCUGUUGUGGCUGCUAAUACCACUAUCUUAACAGACUUUGUUAUCUUGGAUAUUCCCGAGGACGAUGCCAUGGCUAUCAUCCUCUGAAGACCCUUUUUAAACACUGCGGGGGCUGUUAUAGAUUGCAACAAAGGCAAUGUCACUUUCCAUGUCAACGGUAAUGAGCACAUAGUGCACUUUCCGAAGAAACGAUAUCCAGUACAUUGCAUCAAUGCUAUCGAAAAGACUUCAUCGAUUCUCAUUGGGAGCUUUGAAUGCCCUAUUCCUCGUGUCAAGAUGAAGUAUGAUUUGCUUGUUGGGGAGAUUCAUAUCCCCAUUGAGGUGACUUAGUGGCUAUUCGAAAAUUCUCCGUUCUCUCUUGUGAUUCGAGAAGGUUUUGUCGUAAGGACUUGAUCAAUCCCAUUGACGGAUUUCUUUCAAUGACCAUGAAACGGAUGAAUCAAAGAGUCACAUACCUCUGUUUUAAGCUUUCUUUUUCUUUUGCUUAGAAGAAAAAUGAUAGAAUUAGUUUAGUUUUUCCUGUUUUCUGUUUUAGCGUCCCUGAGAAAAAUACCUCGAAAAUAAAAGUUCUCCGAUGGUCUUGAAAAUUUAGUAUAAUUUUUUCUGGAAUUUUUGAAAAUUUCGGGGCCUGAGAGCUGGCCUGGGGGCCUGACCAGUGGGCCACAAGCCCUGUCACCGCACCUACCCCCUGGUGGCGGGGUGCAAGCUUGUGGGGCCCACAGGCACCCCCUCCACUCAUUCCAGCUCUCAGCCUCUUCUUCCACCUCCAGAAAAAAUUGUUUCGCAGCUCAAACCCGUGUUCUUGCUCAUUUGGCUGUGAUUUUCGAUAUCCUUUCUCAAAGCACCAUUCUCUGAACUGUUUUGGGGAAAUUGCUCCUUGGUAAGUGACUCCUCCAUUGGUCCAAUUAGUUUUUGCUCUAGUGCUUUAUCCUUCGUGUAUUCUUGCUACCUUGGUGACCCUGUUCUUGAGCUAGAAAUGUUGAUUUUAGUUGGUCCCAAGUAGUUUUAGUGCGUGAUACGGUCUCUAGGAACUAGUGGGAGUAGUUGCUACAAGUUGGGUUAAUCCUUAUUCACUUUUCUUUCGAAGUCUCUAAAAAGUUCAAAAUUUUUCAGAGCUAGAAAAAGGAAAAGAUGAGGAGGUUCUUGAGAGGCUCUUCAAGCCGUAACCCCAAGGAGGAUGAGAAGAACCACCCCAAGUACGUAGUCCCUCGAGUCACAAAAGUUCGAGUGUGCGAGUGGCCAAGUGAUGAAUUUUUGCGCGCCACCGGACUUUUUGAAGACUUUUAUUACUUGGUGGAGAACGCAGGUCUGACUGCGUUUGUUGAACAUAAGUGCCCACAAUAUCUCCUCCUCACCAAUAUUUUCGUUCAAAGCUUCAACUUUCAUCCGAGGAAGAAUCCUCCCAUGGUUGAGUUCAUGAUAUAUGAUGUCCCCCAGUGCAUGACGCUGCAGGACUUUUGCAAUGUAUGCAAAUUACCUUAUGUUGGGGAUAUUCGUGACCCUCGUCCACGGGACUUGGAGGAUUUCAUUGGUUCUAUUGCUGUUGGAGAGGAGAGAGGAGUGUCUCGUGCUAGAAUUGCUAGCAUACAUUUUCCUAUGCUUCGGUACUUCUCACUAUUUGUGGGAAAAUGUUUGAUUGGCCGUGGGGAGGCUGGAUCACUUAGUUCUCCAGACCUUGCGGUUUUGCGCGAAGGCCUUUAUAACGAUAAGACCUAUAGCCUGGGCGCUAUAGUAGCUCAACGGUUGAACCUGAAUCGUUCUGAAGGUGUCGUCUAUGGAGGUAUCUACGCUACCCGUCUUGCCAGACACUUUGAGAUACCGAUUAGACUGGGAGAGGAAGGAGAGAUGCUUCUCCCUGAGAGAUAUCUGGAUUAUGACAGCAUGGUUCGCCAUGAUUUUCUGGAUAGAGAUGCUAGUAGAUGGAUGAUUUAUAACCUGGUGUUUAGUCAGGGUACUCGAGAGACUAUUACUUUGCCUGCUCCUUCUUUGUUCGAUCUUCAUGCAGGCAGGUACACUAUUAUGCCCGUGGACAUCUACGCAUAUUGGGGCUUGGCCCAACCACAGGCGCAUGUGCCCGAGCCGCCAGUCGAGUUCCAGACGCCAGUUUAUCAGUGGGAGCCAGAGGAGCUCACACAGCAGUGGCAUUCACCGUCUGCUCCCGAGUAUCUUGGAGCUGGUUAUUUCCCACCUUGGGAGUAGACCAAGCUAGGUCAAAAGCCUAAUCUUGGGGGAGUACGUGUUCUCACCGACUUUACGUUCAUGCUUAUGCUUUCACUUUGUUAGCCGGUGUUUACACUUUGCCACUGUAUUAUCCAUGCUAGUUUAUUUUCGUUUUCUUGUUUUCUUGUUUUGUGUCCUUUUGAGAAAACCCAAAAGAUUUUUCUUUCUUCUUUUGCUUGUUGGGAGCUUUCCCGUGUAAAUAGUUUUCUUUUUCUUUGUGUCAAGGUAGAAGAUAUUGGUUACAAUGUUUAUUGGUUCUUGCAUGCUUACCUGUUUAGCUUUCAAAGAGCCAUAUUACUUUGUCUUCUCCUUUGUGUUUGCCUGCAGAUUCAGCUUAGUCCAACGCGCUUAUUAUCGUUUUCAUCGUUCGAUCGUGCAAAUGAAAGGUAACAAUGAUGAUAUAUGAUGAAGUGACCGAGACUGAAAAGCUGGUAUGAACUCUAUCUAUUUUGUUUUUGUAAAUAUGACUAGCUUGUCGACCCAUAUUUAGCUUUGUUGUGAGAGAACCAUGUUUGCAAUGACAACUUAGAGAUCAUAGUUUCUGAUGCCAUGCUUAUUUAGCUGAGAGCUUAUAAUGGUUUGUCUUGAAUGCCAACAUAGAUUUUGAGAUGGCUAUGAUGUAGUAUGAUAGGAUGGUAUUCUCCUUUGAAUGUUUCAAGUGGCUUGACUUGGCGCAUGUUCAUGCAUGUAAUUGAAACAAAAUCAACAUAGCCUCUAUGAUGUUCGUGUUCAUGGUGAUUUAUAUCCUGUUCAUGCCUGCAUUCAAUGUUAGUCAAACUCAUUGCAUCUUGAUGACUGUUGUUGCUCUCUAGUUGGUCGCUUCCCAGUCUUUUGCUAGCCUUCACUUGUACUAAGCGGAAUACUGCUUGUGCAUCCACUUCCAUAAACCAAAAGUUUUUCCAUGAGAGUCCACCAUACCUACCUAUUUGUGGUAUCUACCUAUCGUUCCAAGUAAAUUUGCAUGUGUCAUUCUCUAAACCUUCAAGAAAUAAUCUGUUUUGCAUGCCCGAACCGCUCAUGUGGUGACAGAGGGCUAUUAGUAUCUUCCAUGCUAGGAGUGUUAUCCUCGACAUGUGUUUAUUCACAGUCAUUCACGAGAAACGGCCCGGUAAUUGGAAUGCCCAGUUCCACGCUUAAAUCUAAAACAUAACUGUAAAACAAGACUCCCCCCGGAUUGAUGUUAGUAUGGACGGUACCCGAGGAUUCAGCUAGCCGUGGAGUGUGAUUGAUUGGUGGUGGGGGAGUUAAAACUUUACUUUUCUGUUUGGGAACCGCCUAUAGCAUGAGUAGCAUGGAAGAUAUUGAGAACUCUUGGUCAUUGCGUUGACAAUGAAAGCAUGCCACCCAAAAUUAUUAUCUCUGUUUUCAAAGCUUGAGCUCUGGCACCUCUGCAAAUCAAUGCUUCCCUCUGCGAAUGGCCUGUCUAUUUAUUUUCCUGUCAAGCCAUCCUCCUCUAUAUAAGCACCAAUUAGAGAGCACCUCUGUCAUUUUUAUGCUUUGCUUUUGAUUGAUAUUGAGUAUGACUAUGACUGGAUCUUCAUUGCUAUGAAUUACAAUGUUUAGUCAGCCCUCGAUCUUUGAAAGUGCUCUGCAUUUAUGUUUUGCGAUCUCAGAAAGAGCUAGCGAGAUACCACCUAUUCAUAUUACUUCAUACUUGUUUUGAUUGAAGUGUUGGUAUUUGAAACUCAUUAUUAUUUGCUCGUUAGCUGAUUAUGCCAUUGAUAUUAGUUUACCGUGAGACCUUUAUGUCACUUGCUUAUGUGGUUAACUUGUGAUCUUGCUGAAAUUUUGGUUAUGAGUUAGACAUAGUUGCAACAACAAGAUCAAACAGAGUUUGUCAAAGUUUUUCUUUCUCUCUCAGUUUGUCAACUGAGUUGCUUGAGGACAAGCAAGGUUUUAAGCUUGGGGGGGUUGAUACGUCUCCAUCGUAUCUACUUUUCCAAACUCUUUUGCCCUUGUUUUGGACUCUAUUUUGCAUGAUUUGAAUGGAACUAACCUGGACUGACGCUGUUUUCAACAGAAUUGCCUUGGUGUUAUUUUUGUGCAGAAAUCAAAGUUCUCCAAACGUCUUGAAAAUUUACGGGGAGCAGUUUUGGAAAAUAAGAAAAAUAUCUGCGCCAAGUUCCAGCUCAGGGGGUGGGCCAGUGGGCCACAAGCCCUGGCUCCGCCACAAACCCCCUGGUGGCGGUGGGCAGGCUUGUGGGGCCCACACAGCUCUACCGCCCCAAUCUCAGGUCUAUAAGAUCUCUUUCGUCCCAGAAAAAAUAAAAAGAGAAGUUUUCGUCGCGUUUGCGAUACGGAGGCGCCGCCACCACCUGUUCUUCAUCUGGAGGGCAGAUCUGGAGUCCGUCUUGGGCUCCGGAGAGGGGAAAUCGUCGCCAUCGUCAUCAUCAACCUUCUUCCCUCUCCAAUUCCAUGAAGCUCUUCGUCGUUCAUGAGUAAUCUAUUCGUAGGCUCGCUGGGCGGUGAUGAGUAGGAUGAGAUCUAUCAUGUAAUCGAGUUAGUUUUGAUGGGGAUUGAUCCCUAGUAUCCACUAUGUUUUGAGAUUGAUGUUGAUACUACUUUGCCAUGCUUAAUGCUUGUCACUAGGGCCCGAGUGCCAUGAUUUCAGAUCUGAAAUUAUUAUGUUGUCACCAAUAUAUGUGUGUUUUAGAUCCGAUCUUGCAAGUUGUAGUUACCUACUAUGUGUUAUGAUCCGGCAACCCCGGAGUGACAAUAACCGGAACCACUCCCGGUGAUGACCAUAGUUUGAGGAGUUCACGUGUUCACUAAGUGCUAAUGCGUUGGUCCGGUUCUUUAUUAAAAGGAGAACCUUAAUAUCCCGUAGUUUCCUUUUGGACCCCGCUGCCAGGGGAGGGAUGGACAAUAGAUGUCAUGCAAGUUCUUUUCCCUAAACACGUAUGACGACACACGGAAUGCGUGCCUACAUCACAUUGACGAACGGGAGCUAGCCACAUAUCUCUCUGUGUUAUAGCUGUUGCAUGAUGAAUAUCAUCCAAACAAAUCACCGACCCAUUGCCUAUGAGUUUGUCCUACUGCUGCUGCUGCUACUACUGUUACUUGUCUUGCUGUGCUGCUGCUGCUACUACUGUUGCUAUUACUGUCGCUUGCUACUGUUGCUACUUGCUACUGAUGUCACUACUGUUGUUCCUUGCCGCUGCUAUUGCUCGUUACACCGCCGUUACUCACUACUUUGAUGUUACUAUUGUGCUUGCAGAUACUAAUCUUUCAGGUGUGGUUGAAUCUGAUAAUUCAACUGCUAAUACUUGAGAGUAUUCUCUCACCUCCCGUUGUGCGAAUCAACAAAUUUGGGUCGAAUACUCUACCCUCGAAAACUGCUGCGAACCCACGCGUUGGUGGGCCAUCAACAACAUUCUUCUAGUUCCGUUGCCGGGGAGUGCUAGCAGCAUUCUUCUGGUGCCGUUGCAGGGGAAGGUUUGCUGUCAUCAACAUUCGUCUAGCCAUCGCUAGAGAUUGCAAUCAAGUGGCGGCCGGAGGAUGAACCAGCCUCAUGGUCGUGCGCCCCCUUGCGGUCGGUGCUCCACCACACCAUCGAUGCCGGCGACCGGAGAGCUCGAGGAAGGGGAGGGGAGAACUAGGGUUUGGGUGUCGGGUUUCGAGGAGGCAGCAUGACUGGAGUGGGAGCAUGGACUGUGACCGGUCCACGGUUUCCCAUUUUAGAAGGCAGCGACCACUCGCUUGGGUGGAUGAUAGGUGGGGCCGACUGCGCGUGCACAAUUAAUUUGGGCGGUGGAAGGUAGGUGCAUGCGUGCCAUGCAGCCCCGAUGCGGACGAGAGGCAUGCCCGUUCGUUGUCCGCCUAGACCCAAACCGGACGCAUGUUUGCACUUGGAAUGGGUCGGGACGGACACAAAACGGAUAAGAUGGGUCCAGGCCGUUGCGCACUGGGUUGUGGGGUUUGUCCGUUUUGCCCCAAACGGACAAGGCCAGGAGGGAUGGGGUCGUGCACUCGAGUGGGCCUAAUCCCACGAGCCCGAAACAUCAGCUGAAACUCGCUGAUGUACCUCUCGCCUCCUGAGCCUGCCGCCCGGAGCCCGCCGUGCGCCACUCUGACACCAGGCGUCCACCUCCCCACCCGCCGCUCGACACUCUGGCCGCGGCGGCCACCCCCCCUCUCUCUCUCCUCCCGCUAUGGCUGGAUCCCGCUCGCCGUCGGUGUCCUCCCGGUUGGCACACGAGCGCCCUGUGAUGUCGGGUCUCGGCUUCUCUUCAUCGUCUGCCUCCUCGAGCACCCACGAGCAGGCUACGACAUCGUCGGUGCUGAGGUUGGGCGCAGACGGCCGUCGCCACGAAGCCCCUUGUGUUCAGCCGCCCCCCUCCAGGAGAUCCAAGUGGCGCAGUCGCCAUGACCACGCCCCCAGCAGCAUCCGCUGUCGUGCCUGGAGCAGCCCCGACGUGAGGUCGCGCCAGAGAUGGUUGGGCUCUGCUUCUGUUGCUUCCAAGACAAUCUCUUUCGACAGGACUACACCAACGACGAGGCCUGUAUUCGCUGCGACCUCUUUGGGCGCGGGUCUCGCAACUGCCGGCGCCCUCGCAACCUAGUCGGAGUUGCACGAUGGUGAAUUCCAACCAACCCUCUCCCUCGGGGCCUGCGAGUAGUACUUUGAUUUUUGAUGAGACCAAUAAAAAUUUGCAAUAAGUAUAUGAGUUCUUUAUGGCUAAUGUGACACCAUGGACAUACACAAUCUCACCUCCUCAUAUUUGCUAGCCUCUCCACUACAGCGCAUAGCCCAUUCUCACCUUGAGAAUUGGUGCAACUUUCGCCGGUGCAUCCAAACCCUGUGACAUGAUACGUUCUGUUGCACAUAUCCUCCUCAAAACAACCACCAUACCAACCUAUUAUGCCAUUUACAUAGCCAUUCCGAUAUAUAUUGCCAUGCAAAUUCCAUCAUCACUUCACAUGACUAGUUCGUUCAUCAUCAUAUUGCUUUGCAUGAUCAUAUAGAGUCGACAUAGUAUUUAUGGCAAAGCCAUCGUUCAUAAUAGCAUUUUUGGCAAAGCCACCAAAUAACAUAUGCCAAAUACAUGUCACGCUAGAUCAUUGCACAUCCUGGUGCACUGCCAGAGGCAUUUAUAUUGGAGUCGUAUUGCUUCAUUCAUCAUAUCGAGUUAUCCAUGAGUUGUAAGUAAAUAAAAGUGUGAUAGUCAUCAUUAUUAGAGCAUUGUUCCGGUGAGGAAAUAAAUAUGGGGAGGCCAAAUAAGCCCACCAUAAAAAAUGAAAGAGAGAAAAAGAGAGAAGGGACUUUGCUACUAUCCUUUACAACACUCGUGCCUCAAAGUGACACCAUGUUCAUCAUGUAGACAAUCUCAUGUUGUAUCAUUCAUAUGCUAGUGGGAAUAAAAAAAACUGGCUUGUAUAUUCCAAUAAUGGGCUUCCUCAAAUGCGUGAGGUCUUUAUGAGCAAGCAACUUGGAUGCACACCCCACCUAGCUUCAGUUGAGCUUUCAUACACUUAUAGCUGUAGUGCAUCAUUUGCAUGGCAAUCCCUACUCCUUAUGUCAAUACCUAUCAAUGGGUAUCUCCAUAACCCAUUGAUAUCUGCUCCGCCUCUCAACCCCUUUGAAACCUUCCAUCUUAUUCUAUUCCACCUAUAUGAUAUGUCCAAUGGUUUGCACUCAUGUAUUGCGUGAAGAAUAAAAAGUUGAUGCAUACUGAAAAGCUAUGAUCCAAUUACCUGACUUAGGCACCGUGAUACUUAACAUUUGUAGUUAUAUGGUGAAGAUGGAGCCAUGCCUUGCCAAUAUAAUAAAGAUGGAUAGAGUUGAAACAAUCUUUGAAGAUCUUAUACUUUGAAAAAUUAAUUGUUUUGUUGCUUAUACUUAUAAAUAUUGUUGUGUUAAUAUUUGUUAAUUCAUCGUUCCUCAUUGAGCAUACAUGCAUAAGAAUACCUCAUGGAUAGCAUGUCACAUGAAAAAUUCUGUUUUUAUCAUUUACCUACUCGAGGACGAGCAGGAAUUAAGCUUGGGGAUGCUUGAUACGUCUCCAACGUAUCUAUAAUUUUUGAUUGUUCCAUGUUGUUAUGUUAUAAGUUUAGAACACUUUUUAUGCACUUAUCUACCAAUUUAUAUUAUUUUUGAGAACUAACCUAUUGACCAAGUGCCCAAUGGAUGUUGUUGUUUUCUGCAUGUUUUCCACUUUUCAGGUUCCAAUACCAAACGAAGCCCAAUUGACCUGAAACUUAUUGUGAUUUUUUUCUGGACCAAAACAACAUUGUGAUGCAUCCGAAGAAGGCCUGGGGGUGCACGAGGCCCCCACAAGCCAAUAGGGCGUGACCUCGGGGACGCCAUGAUGGCUUGUGGCUGCCUCGUGGCUCUUCUGACCCCGUUCUCUCGCCUAUAAAUUCUUAUUUUCCCUAAAACCUUCGAAGGAGGUCCCAAAACACUUUUUACGUUGCCGCGAGUCUCUGUUCCGACGGGAGGCCAUCUAGAGCUCCAUUCCGGCACUCUGUCGGAGGGGGAUCGAUCAUAGAGGGCUUCUUCAUCAACCUUGCUGCCCUCGUGGUGAUGUGUUAGUAGUUCACCACACACCUACGGGUCCAUAACAGUACCUAGAUGGCAAUCUCUCUCUCUCUUUGAUCUUCAAUACAAUGAUCAUCGCAUCUUUGCUUUGAUCCAUAUGAUGUAACUCUUUUGUACGGUGUGUUUGUUGGAAUCCGAUGAAUUGUGGGUUUACGUUCAGAUUAUUCAUGAUAAAUAUUUGAGUCUCCUCUGAUAUAUAAUAUGAUUUUUAUGUGCAUGAUUAUGAUAGCUUCGUAAUUCUCUCAGAUCUACUGAAAUAGUUUGGCCAACUAGAUUGAUAUUUCUUCGGUGAGAGAGGUGUGUUGUAGUAGAUUCAACCUGACGAGUUUCUAUAUCCCAUUGACAGAAGGGACAAGUUACGACUUUGUGUUGCUGCUACUAAGGGUAAAAUGAUGGGGUCUAUUCAUAUUGGUUGAGUUUACUUUGUCUACAUCUUCUCAUCGUACUCCAAGCAUUACUUAGUUUGUCAUGAACUUAAUACGUACAGAGGCAAGCAUAGAAGCGCCCUUGAAGUGAAGUAAUAGUAAUAGGUGCACGCAAGAGUCGGCCUAUUUGUUUAUGGAUGUGAUGCCUAUAUUUACAUGAACAUUGCCACGAAAAUCACAUAACUAUCCACUCAUCUAUCAAUUGCCCAACAGUAAUUUGUUUACCCGCCGUGUGCUAUUUUCAUGAGAGACGCCAUUAGGGAAAGCUAUGGCCCCGGGGUCUAUUCACAACAUAUUGCUAAAACCUCCAAUGCCAUGCUGCCAUUUAUUUCCUUUUAUUUUAUUUUGCAUUUUAAAAUUAUUUACACACCUCAUUUGCUUGCAAAAAACGAGACCAAGGGGAUUGACAACCCUCUUGCCCGCGUUGGGUGCAAGUUGUUUGUUCUUUUGUGUGCAGCCGCUGAAGAAGGUUAUGGUUGAUAUUCCUAUUGGUUUGACCUUGGUUUCGUAACUGUGGGAAAUACUUACGCAAUUUUUGUUGCGAUAACCCAUUCCUCUUCAUGGAAAACCCAACGCACAUCACGAGUAUCAGAGACGUAUCACCUUCGUCUGACAGCUUUUAGUGAAAGGUCACGGCCGGUCACGACCACUGAUGAGUUAUGAAAGCUUGAUUCGUUAUUCGAAGCAAUUCCUCCAUUGGCACGUCCCGUCAAUAUGGAGACCAUGCCCCAUUUUUUAAGGGAUGUGAUCAAUGAUUUGUGCUAACCCACACGUGCACAACGACACGAUUAUAUCGGGAAGUGGCAAGGUGUGCAACGCGGUAAAGGGGUUCUUGGUAUUAUGGUAGCUUAUAUAAGGAAAACAACCACCAAAGCCUCCAUAUGCUUAUCAGGUCCCUCGUUGUUGUCGCCUUCCCAAUCUCUUGAGAUCUAAGCGCCCAGAUCCAUCCCUCGCUCAAAUAUCCUCAAGCCACUCCCUGAGUUCGGCCAUGGUCGGUUCUGGUUCCAAGGGCAAGUGGUAGGCAUCCAACAUCACCAAUGACGACAUUCAGGAGUUAAAGCACGUCGGCUAUCUUACGGUCAAUGUAGUCCAUCGCGCUCCAGAGGAGGGCCAGGUCAUCCCCAUGCCCGCGGACUGGGCAGUGCCCUCCGAAUUCCGAUAUGAACCUCCCACAAGGCUGGUGUCAUGUAUCAAGAAGGGACUCGACUGGGGUUAACCGGAGGUGAAGUCGUUGCAAAAGUGCAUCUCCCAGUUGUUAAAGAAGAAACUGAAACUGACCAACAUGGUUCAGAUCAUGCUUUGCGUUGGCUCCUACCUUACAAACAUCGGGCCGCUCCAAUGUGGUCCUACAAGCCCGAUGACCCUUCCACUGUGCUCCACUUUUACCACACCACCCACGACAAGUUGUGGAAGGUGUUGUUCAAGCCCCAAAAAAAUUUGCCGGACAAGGAUGGAAACAUCGGCCUUGAUGCCGCACACCCUCCUCGGGAGGUAUGAUAACGUUUUACUAUUAUGUCCGGUACUACCUUUUAACAAGGAACUUAACCCUUUCUUCCCCGCAUUCGUAAAGCUUGCUAGGAAUGAUGCGCGGACCGAUGGCCCGACACCGCUGCCCGAGGGCCCCAGGACGACAUUGCUGACGGAAAUGUUGGUUGAGGAAUCGUACAAGGCGCCGGAGAAGAAAGAGAAGAAGAAGGAUGAGAAGAGGGAGGCCCAAGGAGGCCUCUGAUACGUCUCCAACGUAUCUAUAAUUUUUGAUGGUUUUAUGCUAUUAUCUUGUCAAACUUUGGAUGUUUUGUAUGCCUUUUAUAUCUUUUUUGGGACUAACUUAUUAACUCAGUGCCAAGUGCCAGUUCCUGUUUUUUCCGUGUUUUUGACCAUUUUCAGAGGAGGAUUUUAAACGGAGUCCAAACGGAAUAAAACUUCCGAAAAGAUUUUUUUUGGAACAGAAGAUACGCAGAAAGCUUGGGAACCAAGGCAGGGAGUCCCAGGGGAGGCCACAAGCCCUCAUGGCGCGGCCAGGGGGGCCCGCACCUCCCAGGCUUGUGGGCUCUCUGGGCCUCCCCUGCCCUAGCUCCUUCGCCUAUAAAUUCCCUAAAAUCCCUAAAAAAUCAAGAGAUCCACGAAAACACUUUUCCGCCGCCACAAGCUUCUGUCUCCGCAAGAUCCCAUCUGGGGCACGUUCUGGUGCCCUGCUGGAGGGGAGAUUCGGAUACGGAGGGCUUCUUCAUCAACACAAUGAUCUCUCUGAUGAUGCGUGAGUAGUUCACCAUAGACCUAUAGGUCCAUAGCUAGUAGCUAGAUGGCUUCUUCUCUCUCUUGGAUCUUCAAUACAAAGUUCUCCAUGAUCUUCAUGGAGAUCUAUCCGAUGUAAUCUUCUUUUGCGGUGUGUUUGUCGAGAUCCGAUGAAUUGUGGAUUUAUGAUCAGAUUAUCUAUGAAUCUUAUUUCAGUUUCUUCUGAUCUCUUAUAUGCAUGAUUUCAUAUCCUUGUAAUUCUCUUCGAGUUGUGGGUUUUGUUUGGCCAACUUGAUCUAUGAUUCUUGCAAUGGGAGAAGUGCUUGGUUUUGGGUUCAUAACGUGCGGUGACCUCACCCAGUGACAGAAGGGGUAGCGAGGCACGCAUCGUGUUGUUGCCAUCAAGGGUAAAAAGAUGGGGUUUUCAUCAUUGGUUUGAGUUUAUCCCUCUACAUCAUGUCAUCUUGCUUAAGGCGUUACUCUGUUCGUCAUGAACUCAAUACACUAGAUGCAUGCUGGAUAGCGGUCAAUGUGUGGAGUAAUAGUAGUAGAUGCAGAAAGUAUCGAUCUACUUGUCUCGGACGUGAUGCCUAUAUGUAUGAUCAUUGCCUUAGAUAUCGUCAUGACUUUGCGCGGUUCUAUCAAUUGCUCGACAGUAAUUUGUUCACCCACCGUAAUAUUUGCUAUUUUGAGAGAAGCCUCUAGUGAACACUAUGGCCCCCGGGUCUACUUCACACCAUAUUUUCAGCCUUACUCUUUUACUUUGUUGCACUUUCCGCCUUCAGAUCUCACUUUGCAAUCAAUCUUGAAGGGAUUGACAACCCCUUUAUAGCGUGUGGUGCAAGCUCUUUUGUGUUUGCGCAGGUACUCUGGACUUGACGAGAUUCUCCUACUGGAUUGAUACCUUGGUUCUCAAACUGAGGGAAAUACUUACUGCUCCUGUGCUGCAUCACCCUUUCCUCUUCAAAGGAAAAACCAACGCAAGCCAAGUCUCCGUCAACGUGCCAAUUUCUGGCGCAGUGUCGCAAACUCAUCUCUUGCAUUUUUUUUGCCUCUCGUUUCCCUCUCCCCCACUUCUGAAAAACAAAAAUUUACAAAACAAUUUGCCUUUUCGUUUGCCUUUUUCGUUCGCCCUUUUCUCUCGCUUGCUUUCUGUUCGUUCGUGUGGGAUAGUCUACCUGUCCUCAUGGCUAGACCCACCACUUCGAACGAUACACCCGAGAACGAAGUUCUCAAUUUCAAACAAAGUGAGGAAGAAAACUUAAAGGACGUUUGGUAUAGGAUUUGCAAUGCUCAGAGUAGAUCUACUUGUAAGCAAUCUACUACCGUCCCGCUUCGCAGUUUUUAUGUCGGUAUUUCUCCUUGCAAUGGGUAUAUUCUUGACACCAUUGUAGGCGGAAAUUUCUUGGGUAGCCAUAUGAUACGUCUCCAAUGUAUCUAUAAUUUUUGAUCGUUUCAUGCUAUUAUCUUGUCAAACUUUGGAUGUUUUGCAUGGCUUUUAUUUAUUUUCUGGGACUAACUUAUUAACUCAGUGCCAAGUGCCAGUUCCUGUUUUUUCUAUGUUUUUGACCCCUUUCAGCCGAGAUUUUGAAACGGAGUCCAAACGGAAGAAAAUCCCCGAAAAGAUUUUUUCUGGAACGGAAGAAGAUCGGAGGACUUGGGAGACAAGCCAGAAGAGCCCUAGGGGCGCCACAAGCCCCCACCCCGCGACUAGGGGGGUCGCGCCAUCCAGGCUUGUGGGCCCCCUGGAGGUCCCCUGACCUAGAUCUUGCGCCUAUAAAUUCCCAAAUAUUCCCAAAAAAAUCAAGAGACGAUCGCAAUUACUUUUCCGCCUCCACAAGCUUCUCUCUCCGCAAGAUCCCAUCUGGGGCAUGUCGUGGUGCCCUGCCGGAGGGGGGAUUCGGACACGGAGGGCUUCUUCAUCAACACCAUGACCUCUCCGAUGAUGCGUGAGUAGUUCACCAUAGACCUACAUGUCCAUAGCUAGUAACUAGAUGGCUUCUUCUCUCCCUUGGAUCUUCAAUACAAAGUUCUCCAUGAUCUUAAUGGACAUCUAUCCGAUGUAAUCUUCUUUUGCGGUGUGUUUGUCGAGAUCCGAUGAAUUGUGGAUUUAUGAUCAGAUUAUCUAUGAAUCUUAUUUUAGUUUCUUCUGGUCUCUCUUAUGCAUGAUUUCAUAUCCUUGUAAUUUUCUUUCAGUUGUGGGUUUUGUUUGGCCAACUAGAUCUAUGAUUCGUGCAAUGGGAGAAGUGCUUGGUUUUGGGUUCAUACCGUGCGGUGACCUCACCGAGUGACAGAAGGGGUAGCGAGGCACGUAUCGUGUUGUUGCCAUCAAGGGUAAAAAGAUGGGGUUUUCAUCAUUGGUUUGAGAUUAUCCCUCUACAUCAUGUCAUCUUGCUUAAAGCGUUACUCUGUUCGUCAUGAACUCAAUACACUAGAUGCAUGCUGGAUAGCGGUCGAUGUGUGGUGUAAUAGUAGUAGAUGCAGAAAGUAUCGGUCUACUUGUCUCAGACGUGAUGCCUAUCUGCUAGAUCAUUGCCUUAGAUAUCAUCAUGACUUUUAGCGGUUCUAUCAAUUGCUCGACAGUAAUUUGUUUACCCACCGUGAUAUUUGCUAUUAUGAGAGAAGCCUAUAGUGAACACUAUGGCCCCCAGGGUCUACUCCACACCAUAUUUUCAGCCUUACACUUUUUGCUUCGUUGCACUUUCCGCCUUUAGAUCUCACUUUGCAAACAAUCUUGAAGGGAUUGACAACCCCUUUGAAGCGUUGGAUGCAAGCUUGUUUGUGUUUGCGCAGGUACUUUGGACUUGACGAGGCCCUCCUUCUGGAUCGAUACCUUGGUUCUCAAACUGAGGGAAAUACUUACUGCUCUUGUGCUGCAUCACCCUUUCCUCUUCAAGGGAAAAAAAAUCAGAGAAGUAACAAGAAGAAUUCCUAUGCUCCAGGGAAGGACUUAUGUUGCCGCAGCAGAAGAAUUUCUGGCGCCGUUGCCGGGGAGGAGGAUCAAGUCAAGAAUAGUCUCCCGUCAACAUGCCAGUUUCUGGCGCCGUCGCCAGGGAGGAAGAUCAAGUCAAGAACUCAUCCAAGUAGGUGUGGGAAACUCAUCUCUUGCAUUUACUUUGUUUGCCAGUUGCCUCUCGUUUUCCUCUCCCCCACUUCACCAAUUUUCCUUUUUUGUUCGCCUUUUCGUUCGCUUUUUCGUUCGCCCUUUUCUCUCGCUUGCUUUCUGCUCGUCUGUGUGGGAUAGUCUAUCGUGAUGGCUAGAUCCACCACUUCGAACGAUACUCCCAAAAGCGAAGUUCUCAAUUUCAAACAAAUUGAGGGAGAAAACUUAAAAGACGCUUGGUAUAGGAUUUGCAAUGCUUAGAGUAGAUCUACUCAUAAGCAAUCCACUACGGUCUUGCUUCGCAGUUUUUAUGUGGGUAUUUCUCCUUGGAAUAGGUAUAUUAUUGACACCAUUGUAGGUGGAAAUUUCUUGGGUAGCCAUACCAUUGAUUCUUACAGAGCUGUGAUAAAUUUGGUAGGCUCACCCCCACUCAUGGUUAAUGGAACUACCUUAACUCUGGAACAUGUGAUGCAUAGGCUGGACGCUAUUGAAAAUAAAGUUGCUACGAUUGAACUCAUUGAGAAUUUGGAUAAAAAGAUCCACAAUCAAAUUACUCAGUACGGAUCCAAGGUGGGAAUGGUUUUGAAAAAUUUAAAGGAGAAGGAACCCUCAGUUAAUGAAAAGCUAGGUCAUGAUUCGGCUAGGAUUGGCAAACUAGAGGAUGUUAUAACCAACUUGGGUUCCGCUUUUGCCGCUGUGCAGAAUACUCCAAAUUUUGCCCACAAUAAAAUCACCAAGUCUGUCUUUGUUCCUAAAAGUAGUGGUGAAUCAUCUAGUAUGAAAGAUGAAAACCUGAAGAUGGUAAGUGAUCACGCUACUUAUGGUUUGAGCACCAAAGACGACGAUACAUGAUUCUAUCGCUCCUAUGCCUAACUAAGGGCGUUAAACAAUAGCGCUUGUUGGGAGGCAACCCAAUGAAUUUAUCUUUUUCUUUCUGUUUUGUUGCGUCCACACUUUCAUAAUUCUGUUGUGAUUGUGUUUUUUGUGUUUCUUUUUGUGUUUGAGCCAAACAAAACCUUUAUGACUAGUCUUGGUAAUGGUUGUUUGAUCCUGCUGGAAAAAGACAGAAACUUUUCGCUCACGAGAUGAUUUUUCAUUUUUAUUAAGAAAGAGCUUUUGAGUUGAUUCUUUUUUAUGCUGAUUUAUAUGCUUUUUCCCCAUACCUUCGUAAUGUUUCAUAUUUUUUGAGGUACCAGAAGUAUAUGAAGUAUACAGAUUGCUACAGACUGGUCUGUUUUUGACAGAUUCUGUUUUUGUUGAGUUGGUUGCUUGUUUUGAUGAAAUUAUGGUUAGUAUCGGGGGUACUAGCCAUGGAAAAGUGAGAAUACAGUAGCCCAUCAUCAACAUAGAUGGAAUUCAAGUUUGCCACAGUACCAAAAGAAGUGGUAGUUUGUUUUCUUGUACUAAUGUUAUCACAAGUUUCGGUUUAAGUUUUGUGUUGUGAAGUUUUCAAGUUGUGGGUGACGUUCUCAUGGACAAAGAGAUAAGGAGUGUAAAUAGCUCAAGCUUGGGGAUUCCCAAGGCAUCCCAAGCCAAAUUGAAGGACACCAAAAAAGCCUAAGCUUGGGGAUACCCCGGGAAGGCAUCCCCUCUUUCGUCUUCAAUCCAUCGGUAACAUUACUUGGAGCUAUAUUUUUAUUCACCACAUGAUAUGUGUUUUGCUUGGAGCGUCCUGUAUCUUAGGAGUCUUUUCUUUUUGUUGUGUCACAAUCAUCCUUGCUGCACACCUUUUUGAGAGAGAGAGACAUGCACUCAUCGUGAUUUUGCUAGAAUGCUCAUAGUGCUUCACUUAUAUCGUUUGAGCUAGAUACUUUUGCUCUUGUGCUUCACUUAUAUAUUUAGAGCACGGCAGUGCGUGAUUUGGUAGUUGGCUUAUGCUAUGAAGAUAGUCCCAAAUGUGCUAGGUACCCAAUGAGGAUGCAAAAACCUCCAUCUUCAUGUGCAUUGAAUAGAAAGAGAAGUUUUGAUUCCUCUCAAUUAGUUUUGAGACGUGGAUACAGUAAUAUUGAGAGUUACGUUAGUAGGGUGUUGUGAAUCUAGAAAUACUUGUGUUGGAGUUAGUGAUUCCCGUAGCAUGCACGUAUGGUGAACCGCUAUGUUAGGAAGUCGGAGCAUAAUUGAUCUAUUGAUUGUCAUCCUUUGUGUUGAGGUCGGGAUCACGCGAUGGUUUACACCUACCAACCCUUCCCCUCGGAGUAUGCGUUUAGCACUUUGUUUCGAUUACUAAUAAAAACUUUCGCAAUAAGUAUAUUAGUUUUUCAUGACUAAUUUGAGCCCAUGGUAUAGAUGCACUUUCACCUUCCACCAUUGCUAGCCUCUCUAGUGCCGCGCAAUUCUCGCCGGUGCACAAACCCACCAAAUUCCUUCCUCAAAACAGCCACCAUACCUACCUACUAUGGCAUUUUCAUAGCCAUUCCGAGAUACAUUGCCAUGCAACUCCCACCGUUCCGCCUCAUGACUUGUGCCAUCACUCUCAUAUUGCCAUUGCAUGAUCAUACUAGAUCGCUGCACAACCCGGUACACUGCCGGAGGCAUUUCCUAUGGAGUCAUCAUCAUUGUGAUCUUUGAGCUUUGAGUAACUAAAAAGUGUGAUGAUCAUCAUUAUUAGAGCAUUGUCCCAUGUGAGGAAAAAAGAGGCCAAAGAGCCCCAAAACAAAAAAUGAGAAAAGAAAAAAGAGUCCUAAGAGCCCAAAUAAAAAAAUGAGAGAAAAAGAGAGAAGGGACAAUGCUACUAUCUUUUUCCACACUUGUGCUUCAUGUUAGCACCAUGUUCUUCAUGAUUGAGAGCUUCUUGCUUUGUUACUACCAUAUGCUAGUGGGAAUCUUCGUUUUAUAACUUGGCUUGUAUAUUCCAAUGUUGGGCUUCCUCAAAAUUUCCCUAGGUCUUCGUGACCAAGCAAGUUGGAUGCACACCCACUAGUUUUCUUCUUGAGCUUUCACAUAAUUAUAGCUCUAGUGCAUCUCUUGUAUGACAAUCCCUACUCAUUCACAUUGAUAUCUAUUAAUGGGCAUCUUCAUAGCCUAUUGAUACGCCAAGUAAGUGUGACCAUCUCCUCUUUUUUGUCUCACAUCCACCACCACACUCUAUUCCACCUAUAGUGCUAUAUCCAUGUCUCGCGCUCAUGUAUUGCGUGAUAGUUAUAAAAAGUUUGAGAAAUUAAGAGUGCGAAAGCAAUUACUUGGCCAAUUCCAGGGUUGUGCAGGAUUUACACUAGUUGUGUGAGGAUGAUGGAGCAUAGCCAGACUAUAUGAUUUUGUAGGGAUAACUUUCUUUGGCCUUGUUAUUUUGAAAGUUCAUGAUUACCUUGCUAGUUUGCUUGAAGUAUUAUUGUUUUCAUGUCAAUAAGCAAACUAUUGUUUUGAAUCUUACGGAUCUGAACAUUCAUGCCACGUGAAAGAAGUUGCAAAGGACAACUAUGCUAGGAAGCAUUCCACAUCAAAAAUUCAUUCUUUAUCACUUCUCUACUCGAGGACGAGCAAGAGUUAAGCUUGGGGAUGCUUGAUACGUCUCCAACGUAUCUAUAAUUUUUGAUGGUUUCAUGCUAUUAUCUUGUCAAACUUUGGAUGUUUUGCAUGAAUUUUAUUUAUUUUCUGAGACUAACUUAGUAACUCAGUGCCAAGUGCCAGUUCCUGUUUUUUCCAUGUUUUUGACCCCUUUCAGAGGAGAUUUUGAAACGGAGUCCAAACGGAAGAAAAUCCCCGAAAAGAUUUUUUCUGGAACGGAAGAAGAUCAGAGGACUUGGGAGCCAAGCCAGAAGAGCCCCAGGGGCCCCACAAGCCCCCACCCCACAGCCAGGGGGCGCGCCAUCCAGGCUUGUGGGCCCCCUGGAGGUCCCUUGACCUAGAUCUUGCACCUAUAAAUUCCCAAAUAAUCCCAAAAAACCAAGAGACGAUCGCAAUUACUUUUCCACCACGGCAAGCUUCUGUCUCCGCAAGAUCCCAUCUGGGGCACGUCCCGGUGCCCUGCCGGAGGGGGGAUUCAGACACGGAGGGCUUCUUCAUCAACACCAUGACCUCUCCGAUGAUGCGUGAGUAGUUCACCAUAGACCUACGGGUCCAUAGCUAGUAACUAGAUGGCUUCUUCUCUCUCUUGGAUCUUCAAUACAAAGUUCUCCAUGAUCUUCAUGGAGAUCUAUCCGAUGUAAUCUUCUUUUGCGGUGUGUUUGUCGAGAUCCGAUGAAUUGUGGAUUUAUGAUUAGAUUAUCUAUGAAUCUUAUUUGAGUUUCUUCUGAUCUCUCUUAUGCAUGAUUUCAUAUCCUUGUAAUUCUCUUCGAGUUGUGGGUUUUGUUUGGCCAACUAGAUCUAUGAUUCUUGCAAUGUGAGAAGUGCUUGGUUUUGGGUUUAUACCAUGCGGUGACCUCACCCAGUGAUAGAAGGGGUAGCGAGGCACGUAUCGUGUGAAAGUGCAGUCAUGCCAUUAAUCGUGUUUUGGUGUUGCUGACAACACACAUAUAGAUAACUAAUCACUAAUCCCCUUUAAGCUAUUGUGAAUGAUCAUGUGUUUAUAAGGACAAGCUCGUGUGCUAACAAGGACAAGAUCAAGAUAAGCAUUCCUGAGCACUACAUGCUUGAUUCUUGUGGAUGUUCACAUGGUGGACAAAUGAAGAUGAAUACAUAAGCUAGGCUUUCCACAUUGUGUAUGGGAGAGCUACUUGAAGACUUCAUCAUGUCUUGCUUUCGACUUGAGCCAAGAAGGAACAACAACAUCAAGCUCAAGUGAAAGGGCUAACUCAAUGGUAUCAGUUCCUUUGACGUUAGUGGUGCGGAGUGAUGAUCAGCGAAUAAAAGUAUACACUCAAGUAUGGUUCAUCGGUACCCCUUUUAUAAUUCUUGAGUCUUUAGGGAUCCCGCACUAUUAAGAGGGGAUCACAGGUUUUGCGAUGAACUUGCUCAAACUACAUCUCCACUGUUCUGCUCAGACCACAUCUCCACUGCUCUGUUGUUAUCUGAAAACAGAACAAAUGCCUCAGACAUCCGGCUUCCUCCGAACGUCCGAGGGCCGGAUGACCGACUGCUUCGGAAAUCCGGAAUCCUAUACCAGAGAAACUUGAGCCAUAUAACUCGGACUUCCGGCUCCCUCCGGACGUCCGAGGGCCGGACGUCCGACCAACUUCGGAAAUCUGGAAUUGUGCACCAGAGAAACUUGAACCAUAUAACUCGGACUUCCGGCUCCCUCCGGACGUCCGAGGGCCGGACGUCCGACCUCCUUCGGAAAUCCGGAAUCUCGCGCCAGAGAAGUUUGAGUCGAAUAACUCGGACUUCUGGCUUCCUCCGAACGUCCGGUCCCUGUUCAACUACACAGUGAUUCCAGAUAUAUAUACAUCUCUUGGACGACCGACCACUGUCGGACGUCGGACACCUUGUGGGCGUCCGGACAUCCGAGAAACUGCCGGAUGUCCGACCCCUGUCAGACUUAAAGUGUCCCCAACGGCUAUUUUACUCUCCCCACUAUAUAUACCCCUCCCACUUCGUGAGAGGGUGCCCCAACACAGCUAUAUCCUCAUAAGAACACAUUUCUACCUCACACACAUUUGCUUACACCAAAUCUUAGAUCCCAAGAGCAUUUGUGAGCCCCUUUGAGAGUUGUUCCAAUCAAAAGAUAGAUCGUCUCCCUCUCCUUCUCUCAACCCAAGCUAUUUGAGAUUUGAGCAAGUUUUGAGCAUUCCCCGUGAUCUUGUUACUCUUGGAGGUUGGAGACUCCUAGGCGGUAGGAGUUCUUCGGAGAGGAAUCAAUCCGUGUGAUUACCCCCCGGAAAAGUUUGUGAGGGUUUGGAAGCCACCUCAAAGGCUUACCACUAGUGGUUGAGAAACGCCUUCGUGGUGUUAUCUCAAAUCGAGAAUAGGGUGAGCCUUCGUGGCGUUGGUGUGCCUUCGUGGUAACAUCCACCUCUCUAACGGUGACUAGCUUCCCUCCAAGGAAGUGAACAUCGGGAUACAUCUUCGUCUCAGUGACCUUGGUUAUCCUUAACCCUAACUCCUUACUUGUGGUUUACUUGUGUUACUUGAGCAUACAUACAUUGCAUAUUGUUUGUGCUCAUUAUAUUGUGUUGGCUAUUUCUUGUACAAGAUUAAUCAUUCAAGCAUACCCUCUAUAUCUACUCGUUCACACUUGCAGCUUUUGAUAUAUCGUGUGCUAUAGUGUGGUCUAGUAUCUUGUGUCGUUCACGUACUUGUCGUGUGAUAUAGCUCAAGUAAGUUUGUGUAACUUACUUGUGCUUGUUAGUAACUGUAUUUUGUCCAUCUUGGUAGAUCGUGUUGUUGAUACACGUUGCAGUGCCUAGUGCAUUUAGGAUUUGUGCUUGACAAGUAUCCUCUUAGUUUAUUUCCGCAUUAGGUUUGAGCCAAAUCCUAAGAAGUUUUUAAAUAGCCUAUUCACCCCCUCUAGGCGUCAUCGAGGUCUUUUCAUCGUGUUGUUGCCAUCAAGGGUAAAAAGAUGGGGUUUUCAUCAUUGGUUUGAUAUUAUCCCUCUACAUCAUGUCAUCUUGCUUAAAGCGUUACUCUGUUCAUCAUGAACUCAAUACACUAGCUGCAUGCUGGAUAGCGGUCGAUGUGUGGAGUAAUAGUAGUAGAUGCAGAAAGUAUCGGCCUACUUGUCUCGGACGUGAUGCCUAUAUGCUAGAUCAUUGCCUUAGAUGUCGUCAUGACUUUGCGCAGUUCUAUCAAUUGCUCGACAGUAAUUUGUUCACCCACCGUGAUAUUUGCUAUUAUGAGAGAAGCCUCUAGUGAACACUAUGGCCCCCAGGGUCUACUCCACACCAUAUUUUCAGCCUUACACUUUUUGCUUCGUUGCACUUUCCGCCUUCAGAUCUCACUUUUCAAACAUUCUUGAAGGGAUUGACAACCCCUUUGAAGCGUUGGGUGCAAGCUUGUUUGUGUUUGCGUAGGUACUUUGGACUUGACGAGGCCCUCCUUCUGGAUCGAUACUGUGGUUCUCAAACAGAGGGAAAUACUUACUGCUCCUGUGCUGCAUCACCCUUUCCUCUUCAAGGGAAAAACCGACGCAAAUCAGAGAAGUAACAAGAAGAAUUCCUACGCGCCAGGGAAGGACUUUUGUUGCCGUAGCACCAUACCGUUGAUUCUUACGGAGCUGUAAUAAAUUAGGUAGGCUCACCCCCACUCAUGGUUAAUGGAACUACCUUAACUCUGGAACAUGUGAUUGAAAAUAAAGUUGCUACAAUCGAACUCAUUGAGAAUUUGGAUCCAAGGUGGGAAUGGUUUUGAAAAAUUUAAAGGAAAAGGAACCCAUAGUUAACGAAAAACUAGGUUAUGAUUCCGCUAGGAUUGGCAAACUAGAGGAUGUUAUAACCAACUUGGGUUCCGCUUUUGCCGCUAUGUAGAAUACUCCAAAUUUUGCCCACAAUAAGGCCACCAAGUCUAUUUUUUUUCCUAAAAAUAGUGGUGAAUCAUCUAGUAAGAAAGAUGAAGACCUUAAGAUGAUGAUUGAUCACGCUACUUAUGGUUUGAGCACCAAAGAUGACGAUAGAUACGUGAUUCUAUCGUUUAUGCCUAGCUAAGGGCGUUAAACAAUAGCGCUUGUUGGGAGGCAACCCAAUGAAUUUAUCUUUUUCUUUCUGCUUUGUUGCGUCCACACCAUCAUAAUUCCGUUAUGAUUGUGUUUUUUGUGUUUCUUUUUGUGUUUGAGACAAGCAAAACCUUUAUGACUAGUCUUGGUGAUGGUUGUUUGAUCCUGCUGGAAAAAGACAGAAACUUUUUGCUCACAAGAUUAUUUUUAAUUUUUAUUCAGAAAGAGAUUUUGAGUUGAUUCUUUUUGCUGCUGCUUGAUAUGCCUUUUUCCCAGGCAGUCGUAAUUUUUUAGAAUUUGUGAGGUACCAGAAGUAUACGAAGUAUACAGAUUGCUACAGACUGGUCUGUUUUUGACAGAUUCUGUUUUUUGUUGAGUUGGUUGCUUGUUUUCAUGAAACUAUGGAUAGUAUCAGGGGGUACAAGCCAUGGAAUAGUGAGAAUACAGUAAUCUAACACCAAUAUAAAUAGAAAUCAAUAUUGCUACAGUACCUAAAGAGGUGGUAGUUUGUUUUCUUGUGCUAAUGAUAUCACGAGUUUCUAUUUAAGUUUUGUGUUGUGAAGUUUUCAAGUUUUGGGUGAUGUUCUCAUGGACAAAGGGAUAAAGAGUGGAAAGAGCUCAAGCUUGGGGAUGCCCAAGGCAUCCCAAGCCAAAUUCCAGGACACCAAAAAGCCUAAGAUUGGGGAUGCCCCGGGAAGGCAUCCGCUCUUUCGUCUUCAAUCCAUCGGUAACAUUACUUGGAGCUAUAUUUUUAUUCACCACAUGAUAUGUGUUUUGCUUGGAGCGCCUUGUAUCGUAGGAGUCUUUUCUUUUUGUUGUGUCACAAUCAUACUUGCUGCACACCUUUUGAGAGAGAUAUGCACUCAUCGUGAUUUUGCUAGAAUGCUCAUCGUGCUUCACUUAUAUCUUUUGAGCUAGAUAAUUUUGCUCUAUGUGCUUCACUUAGAUCUUUUAGAGCACGGCGGUGCGUGACUUGGUAGUUGGUAGUGCUAUGAAAGUAGUCCCAAAGGUGAUAGGUACCCAAAGAGGAUACAAAAACCUCCAUCUUCAUGUGCAUUGAGUAGAAAGAGAAGUUUUGAUUCCUCUCAAUUAGUUUUGAGACGUGGAUUUGGUAAUAUUAAGAGUUAUGUUAGUAGGGUGUUGUGAAUCUAGAAAUACUUGUGUUGAAGUUAGUGAUUCCCGUAACAUGCACGUAUGGUGAAUCGCUAUGUUAGGAAGUCGGAGCAUAAUUGAUCUAUUGAUUGUCAUCCUUUGUGUCGCGGUCGGGAUCGCGCGAUGGUUUACACCUACCAACCCUUCCCCUAGGAGUAUGCGUUUAGCACUUUGUUUCGAUUACCAAUAAAAAAAAUCGCAAUAAGUAUGUGAGUUCUUCAUGACUAAUGUGAGUCCAUGGUAUAGAUGCACUUUCACCUUCCACCUUUGCUAGCCUCUCUAGUGUCGCGCAACUUUCGCCGGUGCACAAACCCACCAUAUGCCUUCCUCAAAACAGCCACCAUACCUACCUACUAUGGCAUUUUCAUAGCCAUUCCGAGAUAUAUUGCCAUGCAACUCCCACCGUUCCAUCUCAUGACUUGUGCCGUCACUCUCAUAUUGCCAUUGCAUGAUCGUAAGAUAGCUAGCGAUAUGUUUCAAUGCCAUACGCCCAGCUAGAUCAUUGCACAUCCCGGUACACUGCCGGAGGCAUUUCCUAUAGAGUCAUCAUCGUUCUGAGCUUUGAGCUGUGAGUAAAUAAAAGUGUGAUGAUCAUCAUUAUUAUAGCAUUGUCCCAUGUGAGGAAAUAAAAAAAUGCCAGAGUUGCCAAAAGAAAUAGGCCAAAGUGCCCAAAUAAAAUAAAAAUAAAAGAGAGAGAGAAAAAGAGAGAAGGGACAAUGCUACUAUCUUGUUCCACACUUGUGCUUCAUAAUAGCACCAUGUUCUUCAUGAUUGAGAGCUUCUUGCUUUGUCACCACCAUAUACUAGUGGGAAUCUUUAUUAUAUAACUUGCCUUGUAUAUUCCAAUGACGGGCUUCCUCAAAAUUGCCCUAGGUCUUCGUGAGCAAGCAAGUUGGAUGCACACCCACUAGUUCUCCUUUUGAACUUUCACAUACUUUUAGCUCUAGUGCAUCCUUUGUAUGGCAAUCCCUACUCAUUCACAUUGAUAUCCAUUAAUGGGCAUCUCCAUAGCCCUUUGAUAUGCCGAGUCAAUGUGACCAUCUCCUCUUUUUUGUCUCACAACCACCACCACACUCUAUUCCACCUAUAGUGCUAUAUCCAUGGCUCACACUCAUGUAUUGCAUGAUAGUUGUAAAAGGUUUGAGAAAGUAAGAGUGCGAAAACAAUUACUUGGCCAAUACCGGGGUUGUGCAUGAUUUAAGUUAGUUGUCUGAGGAUGAUGGAGCAUAGCGAGACUAUAUGAUUUUGUAGGGAUAACUUUCUUUGGCCUUGUUAUUUCGAAAGUUCAUGAUUACCUUGCUAGUUUGCUUGAAGUAUUACUCUUUUCAUGUCAAUAGCAAACUAUUGUUUUGAAUCUUACGGAUCUGAACAUUCAUGCCACAUGAAACAAGUUACAAAGGACAACUAUGCUAGGUAGCAUUCUACAUAAAAAAUUCAGUCUUUAUCACUUCCCUACUCGAGGACGAGCAGGAGUUAAGCUUGGGGAUGCUUGAUACGUCUCCAACGUAUCUAUAAUUUUUGAUGGUUUCAUGCUAUUAUCUUGUCAAACUUUGGAUGUUUUGUAUGCCUUUUAUAUCUUUUUUGGGACUAACUUAUUAACUCAGUGCCAAGUGCUAGUCCUGUUUUUUCCGUGUUUUUGACCCUUUUCACAGGAGGAUUUUAAACGGAGUACAAACGGAAUAAAACUUUCGAAAAGAUUUUUUCCGGAACAGAAGAUACGCAGAAAGCUUGGGAACCAAGGCAAGGAGUCCCGGGGGAGCCAACAAGCCCUCAUGGCGUGGCCAGGGGGGCCGCGCCUCCCAGGCUUGUGGGCUCCUUGGGCCUCCCCUGCCCUAGCUCCUUCUCCUAUAAAUUCCCUAAAAUACCUAAAAAAUCAAGAGAUCCACGAAAACACUUUUCCGUCGCCGCAAGCUUCUGUCUCCGCAAGAUCCCAUCUGAGGCACGUUCUGGUGCCCUGCCGGAGGGAAGAUUCGGAUACGGAGGGCUUCUUCAUCAACACCAUGACCUCUCCGAUGAUGCGUGAGUAGUUCACCAUAGACCUACGGGUCCAUAGCUAGUAGCUAGAUGGCUUCUUCUCUCUCUUGGAUCUUCAAUACAAAGUUCUCCAUGAUCUUCAUGGAGAUCUAUCCGAUGUAAUCUUCUUUUGUGGUGUGUUUGUUGAGAUCCAAUGAAUUGUGGAUUUAUGAUCAGAUUAUCUAUGAAUCUUAUUUGAGUUUCUUCUGAUCUCUUAUAUGCAUGAUUUCAUAUCCUUGUAAUUCUCUUCGAGUUGUGGGUUUUGUUUGGCCAACUUGAUCUAUGAUUCUUGCAAUGGGAGAAGUGCUUGGUUUUGGGUUCAUACCGUGUGGUGACCUCACCCAGUGACAGAAGGGGUAGCGAGGCACGCAUCGUGUUGUUGCCAUCAAGGGUAAAAAGAUGGGGUUUUUAUCAUUGGUUUGAGUUUAUCCCUCUACAUCAUGUCAUCUUGCUUAAGGCGUUACUCUGUUCGUCAUGAACUCAAUACACUAGAUGCAUGCUGGAUAGCGGUCGAUGUGUGUUGGCGCUGUUGUUUGAGAAGUAGCAGCCUCCGCCCAAGAGGACCCCCGGAUGCUAAGUUCGGGGACAACCAAGCCCCUUCUGCUCAUGAGGGUGAGCAGGGAUAGGACAGGGAGGAGAGCAACUUCUCCCGAACAAGGAAGAGGGCGGCGUCUGAUGACACUAAAGGGAAUCCGCCUCAUCCUGCCCCAAAAAGCAAUGUAGGAUCAAGGUGGCCCUCUCCGAUGACAGACCGGACUCCUCUGACGAGUCUGAGGCUUUCGAAUUGGUUCCUCGAAGGAACCCCAGGGCCAAGCCCCGGCCCAAAGGUAUGAAUUCGAAGACUCUGUUGUACAUCCAUAUUGACACUAGUGGAUAAAUGUCUAGCCACAACUUACGUUGGUGGCAUGUCAUUUCUCACCAACGCAAGCACUAAUAUUUUCAAAUAGUGCUGGCGUGCCAAAUUAAUUUACGCCAGACAUAAUAUUUCCACUUAAACAAUUUUUACAUCAUUAUUUCUAUGAUUUCUAAUUUUGAGUAUUUAAUUAUGUUUAGUCUUUCAUUAAACUUGACCAGUCUUUUUAAUUUGGGUUAUUAUUAGCUAUGGCGUUGCAGUUUAGGACCACGCCAGCAACGACCCACCUGAGGCAACUGCCACGCCUUAGUAAAAGGCCUAGUCGGCCCCUUUCAUUUCAACUCCCCCUCGACCAGCCGCCACUCCUCGUCGCCCGUCGCAGCCUGAUGCCGCCCCGUCGCCGCCUGUCUCGCCCCUUCGCUGCCCAGCAAGGUUUAAUCCUUUCCGUCCUCUACAUCUCCUUCCUCGGCACUCACAUGCACCCCCUCUGUCAACGCAUAAUCCAUAUGUGGGAUUCAUCUAUAAGUUUAUUUAGGAUUGCUCUGUGUAGAAAUUUUAUUCAUAAUCCAAUGUAAAAUCCGAUCUAAUAGUGCAUUUUGAGUAGAAAUUUAAUUUGGUAGUGUAGUAUGGAAUCCGAUUAUAUUUCUGUAGAAAUGUUAGUCAUAAUCCAAUGUAAAAUCCAAUUUAAUAAUGCAUUUUGAGUAGAAAUUUAAUUUGCUUUGUGUAGCACUUUGAGUAGAAUUUGUUUAUCUGUGUCUCCUUCUGUGGAAUUUGUUUAUUUGUGUAUACAUGUUACUAGCAUAGAAUUACACAUGUUACUUGUGCCAAUUCACUAGUCUAGAAUCCGAUUAUAUACUCAGUUUUCAAUAUGUUUUGUGUAGAAUGGCGCAACCAACACCAUGUCGAGUGUGCAAGUCAAGGUGCGCAACUAGCCUUGAAACUGCCACAUUGUUCGGCAUUUACUUCCAGACGUAUUUUGUUCCUACAACGGUAACAAAUUAUAUGACCCUUCUAAUAGUUUGUUCUUUUGAUUUUGUUGCUAUUUCCACUAGUACAUUGUGUGUGUGCAUUUGGUUUUUCUUACAAAGAUCGUCCCUUGCAAUGUGAGAUUGGAUUUCGAUGAGCUCAUUACUUGGGACACUGUCAUCUUCGACUCUCCUGAGCCCCCCUACACUAUGGAGGUCAAUAAGGGAAGGAACAUAACCCAUAUUGGAGGAGAUGAAUGGGGUUGUUUCAUCGCGCGUAUGUAUCUCACUAGGGGUGAAUUGAUCAGCUUCUUGUUCAGACGAGAAACUUGAAGGCUCGCUGUUAUCUAUCUCAACUAUGAGGAAGAAGAUGAUGACCCACUUGAUGAAGCACUCUUUGCCCAAAGAAUGACCAGACCGAGUGAGGAUGAAAUGGACACGCUCUGGGGAAGGCUUCCGCCACGUGAUGCCUACGUCAAGAUGCCAUUCGUGACCCGCCUGACACGGACGAUGGUUAACCGCCAUGUCAUGGUAUGUUUCUUAUUAUGCAGUAGUGUGAUAUGCUUACAGUAUGUAUAGUAAUGUGAUCAUCAUAUUUUUUUCAAAAAUUACCUAAGAGGCUAUGUGAGAGUUGUGGCAUCGAGUUGGAUGAAGAAGGCAUUGUUGGACUACGUCUUACCACAAGGGGAUCUGUCGCCACCUAUGCUUACGCAGUGGAUAUGGAUGGACACACUAUCUUCAAUGUGGCUGGGUGGACCAACUUCCUCACUAGCAAGAAUUUCCGGGUUGGACAUGUCAUAUUAGUCACUAUCAGGAACACCCCACGCCAUGACUUGAGGAUGAUGAUCGUUUUUAACAUCCUUUAACUAUGUUAGUUUGCUCGUGUGGAAUGAACUCAUGUUUGUGAGGAUUGUCAUUAUAAUAGCGACUUAUUAGCUAUAGCUAGCACUGCUUGUGAGAUUGACACUUAUUAUUAACUCAAAUGCAAUGUUCUAUUGGGAUAAUUCCUUGUGUGCAAUGCUAAAUGCUAAAUGUCAUGUGAUGUCAGUUUUUUUCUGUUGCAUGAAAUGUUCCUAGCAUGCAACGUACAUUGCAUGCCGCUAGGUGAGCGAUUAUAGUGGUGGCUUGCCUACGUGGCACACCAUCAGCACAUAGAAUACCGCAGAUGUGGGACCCAAUGCCACCAUUUUUUAACUGUGGCUCCAUAUUGGUGGCGUCGGGUUUCCAUGCGAGCACAAACUUUUUUGCCACGUCAUAGCUAGGCUUUUCUACACUAGUGCGAGGUUCGUUACUGAUGAUAUGCAUGUCUUUCAAGUUGUAGCCCACCGCGUGACCUCCCCACCGAUCACGCAUCGGAGGGGGGUUCUAUGCCAGCCAAGCUAGUAGAGAGCACGACCACAUCGCACACUACCCCUCCUCCAAUUGUCAAGGAGACCGAGGAGGUGUUGUCUCGAUAGACCCCUCAUGGGCCGAACACGGGGGGGGGGGGGGGGGCGGGGGGGGGGGGGGGGUGACGUCAUGACCGAGGUUAAUACAUUGGUUGCCGAAUAAGAGGAGGGAGAAUCCCUUCUUUGGCAAACAAAGCGGGGGAGCCCUGUCAAUCCGAGCUCUCUUAGAAGACAGUCCCGAAGUCCCCGAGGCCCACAUAGUUGUCCAUUCUGGCAUCCACCAAGGGGGGGGGGGCGAGGAUCCUCCACAAGUGACACCCAUAGCAGAGCGGGCCGAAAACGGGUGGCCGACCAUGAUGGAGGAGGCUUUGAAUGGCCCCUCCAUCGCCGAAGAACACCAUGCUCUCCUGGGUGUGGUUUUACAAAGCAUUCGCUCUAUUGACAGCAUACUGAAGGAGGCUUUCGAUGACCUCUUCACGGGUUUCAAGGUAAAUCAUGUAAUACCCUUUUACAAAGAGAAUUUAUUUUAUAAGGUUAUGCGAUCCUCCUAUAGAGUAGCCCUUGAGCCGUGACUGAGUUUGAAAAACUCAACUCAGGGUCAAAUAGCUCAAAAACACUUAUAAUAGUAAAGGCGAAUUGUAGCCCCGAGUCUCUCACAUGAUUGAAGAAAACCUAGUAGGGGAUCCAAAAACCUAUAACUCGGGAGUCUGACAUGCAUGAGUUGUUGUGUAGGCCUCGUCUUCGGUAGUAGCCACCAAUAUCAUGAAGCUCAGAGAAGUGAAUCAGAAUCUCGAGAGCUCCAAUGAAGAGCUCGACCUUCUCAACAAGCGGUCUACCAACACGCAAGGUAAGUCCGGACUGCACUAUUUAAUACCGUUGUUUUCCUUAGCAAGUGAGGUAUUUGGGUUUUAUCCCUAAGUGCGGGGUGCUUAUUAUAACUGCAGUUGUCAUCAUGGAGGUCGAGAACCUCAAGGCCGAACUGAAGAAGGCGAGGUGAUGACCCACAAGUAUAGGAGAUCAAUAGUAGUCCUUUCGAUAAUUAGAGUGUCGAACCCAACGAGGAGCAGAAGGAAAUGAUAAGCAGUUUUCAGCAAGGUAUUCUCUACAUGUGCUAUAGGUAAGAGUGAUAUAUAGUUUUGUAGCAAGAUAAUUCCUAGCAAGUGACAAGUAACAAUAGUAGCAAGUGUGCAACAAGGCAGCCUAAUCCUUUUUAUAGCAAAGGAGAGGCCGUAAAGUACUCUUAUAUAAAGUAAGCGCUCCCGAGGACACAUGUGAAUUUCUGCCUAGUCAUGUUCAUCAUGUUGAGUUGAUUCACGUUUGCUACUUUGAUAAUUUGAUAAGUGGGUGGACCGGUGCUAAGGUGCUGUUCUUACUUGAACAACCAACCAACUUAUGAUUACCCUCUCUCGCAACCAGCCACAACUAUGAAAGAAGAAUUAAGAUAAAUCUAACCAUAGCAUUAAACGUGUGGAUCCAAAUCAGCCCCUUAUGAAACAACACAUAAAGUGUGGUUUAAGCUUCUGUCACUCUCGCAACCCAUAAUCUACUUGUUACUCCACAAUGACUUCCCUUAGGCCCAUAGCAUGGUGAAGUGUCAUGUAGUCGACGUUCACAUGACACCACUAAGAGAAGCACAAACAUACAUAUCAUCAAAAUAUCGAACGAAUACCUACUUCACAUGAUUACUUAUAACAAGAAUUCUCCCAUGUCCUCAGGAAUAAUAGUAACUACUCACACCUCAUCAACAUGUUCAAGAUUAGAGGUAUAAUAAUAAUGAUUAAGGAUCUGAAAAUAAUAUCUUCCACCAAGUGAUCCAACAAGCAUCAACUACAAGAUGUAAUCAACACAACUAGUAACCCAUAGGUAGCAAUCUGAGGUUUUGAGAUAAAGAUUGAAUACAAGAGAUAAAAUAGGGUUGGAGAUGAGAUGGUGUUGGUGAAGAUGUUGAUGAAGAUUUGUCCUCCCACAAAGGAGGAACCAUUGGUGAUGGCGAUGGCUUCGAUCUCCCCUCUCGGAGAGGAAUUCCCCUGACAGAACCUAACUGCCGGAGUGCAAAAGGGCCUUUGCCCAGGUUUCCGCCUUGAGACAGCGACGCUUUGUCCUGAAAGUUUUCUUCUGAUUUUUUCUAGGGUAAAACACACCAUAUAUAUAGGAAAGGGGGGGGGUCAGGAAACCUGUUGGGCACCCACAAGCCAUCACAACACAUUGUAUUGGCUUGUGGCCAGCGGGUGGCCCCGCUCUGGUAUAUUUUUGGCCCGAUAAUUCUCAAAUAUUCCGUAAAAAUUAUCCAUGAAGUUUCAGGUCAUUUGGGGUUUCGUGAUUUUCUAGCCUUUUUCAGGGUUUCCCGGUCAAGAAUUCCAGUUUCCAGAUAUUUCCCUCUUUAUGAUGUACCUUGCAUAUUCAAAGAGAAAUGACAUAGGAAUUGUAUUAAUAGGUAAUAAUGUACAAGAAUAACACAUAUAUCAAUAAGAAAUCAUGAUGCAAAAUGGAUGUAUCAACUCCCCAAGCUUAGACUUCGCUUGUCCUCAAGCGAAAGCCGAGCUCGAAAAUAAUGGCCACAUGAUUUGAGAGGGAGAACUCGAUGAAAACAAAAUACGGACAUGAGAGCAUCAUGAAUAUUACAAUAGUAGAAAUUAUUUUAUCAUAAAUCUCCUCAUAAACAAGUAAAAAUCCAUUCACAAUCAUUGAAGUAUGAAGCAUAAACCUUACUGAUAAUCAACAAACUAAGUUCUGAGUCAUUGGGACAAUCAUAAGUCAUCUUAUUUGAGAUGAGAUUCUAUGUAAGAGAUUUCUUAUUAGCAAGUUCACAUACUCAAGACAUAUUCUAUGAUUGCUCACGCUCAAGACAUAUUUUUGAAGCUCAUGUUUCCAUAGGACACAUAGGAAGAUAGGGGCUUAAAUGAUUUUCCACCCAACUCAUUUACCUCAAGGAUAAUGUCAACAAUAAUAAAUCAUGAUCAUCUAUAUCCACCUAGAUAUAUAAGUAUGAAUCUUUCUUCAACACAUGAUGCUUGCCACUAUAGAGUUAAUCUAUAGGAAGAUGACUAAACUUUAUUGACUCUACAAAAAGUAAAAGAUAGACCCUUCGUAGAGGGAAGCACAGGUUGUUAUGCGCUUUUUAAGCUUUGGAUAUGCAAACUCUUAUUGCAAUGGAACGUCACUUUAUAUUGCCCCUUAUGAUAGCAAACUUUAUUAUGCAUUAUGUCACUUUUGUUUCUUUGCCAUCAGAAGAUCGUACAAAGCUUAUUGUCCAAUGCAAUAAAAUAUCAUACAUAUCUAGAAACAAUUUUUAUUGCUUGAUGUACCGAUGACAACUUACUUGAUGGAUCUUAUUCAAUCCAUAGGUAGGUGUGGUGGACUCUCAUGGGAAGAAACUAGGUUUUAGGGGUCAUGGUUGCACAAGUAGUAUCUCUACUUAGUGUAGAAGAUUUUUUGGCUAGCAAAAUAUCUAAAGCAAGCACCACACGUUAAAGGAUCCAAGAUCAUAUAAAUUCUAUGUGAAUAUAAACUACCAUGAUCAUUAUGUUGCCUUCCAUGUACGACAUCAACACUUGAUCAUUAUAUAAUAUUUGGUGACGGCUCACAAUCAUAAAAGAUGUCCAAGAUAGUGUAUUUGUAUGUGAAUCUCCUCUCAUCUAUCAUAAUCUUGCUUAGAUUGUAUUAAUGACUAAUACUAUGUUUGUUUAUUCUCAACAACUUUUAUCACUUAUACCCUUUUCUAUGUGAAGUCAUUACUCCUCAUGAGAUAAGCAUAUGAUCUUUUCUAUUUCUUUUAUUGCCAUGCUAUGAUAAUGGGUGCAUUCAAGUAAAGCACACAAACUAUAUUAAUCUUUAUUAUAUAACUCUCACACUCGAUUACAAGGGUAGGUGGAUCUCAAAGCAAAAAUUCUAAGCAAAGCAGAUCUGAAAUUUUAUUUCUCUAAAUCAUGAAAUAGCUAAAGAUCAAACUAAGAUACAUAGCAAUGGUAAAAGUGACGGUGAUACGAUACCGAGGCACCUCCCCCGAAAUCGGAACAAGCCAAGGGUGGUGCCCAUUCCCAAGUACUCAGGCGUCCUUCUUUGGUGAUGGUGGUGAUGAUGCGACAUGCUUGUACUUUGCCUUCCAUGACAUAGGUUCCCCAUUGAAAAAGGAAGAGAUCAUCUCUGGAAUACUGAAAUCUACACCUACACUCAUCCUCUUGAAACAAGAUUCAUACUCAUGGUUUUGGUUUUGCAGAUCAUACAUUUGAGCCUGCAGGUCUUGGAGCGUGUCAUGGAGCUUGAAGAUCAUCUCCACAAUUUCAUUGUUUUCCUUAUUGUUCUUACGGAUAGAAUUCAUAAUCAUGGAGUGGUUGGCACUGCGUCAUGCUCCACAAUCCCUUGGCACUUGAAGAUCUCUUGCUCGACCACAACGAGCCUGGCCUUCACACUUCCCUCCUUGUCACCACCACCAAUCAAUCACACUCCACGACUAGCUGAAUCCUCAGGUGCCGUCCAUACCAACAACAAUCCAGGGGGAGUUUUGUUUGCAAUUAUUUUUUCGAUUUGAGCAUGGAACUGGGCAUUCCGAUUACUGGCCCCUUUCUCGUGAGUGAUAGUGAAUAAACAUGUAUCGAGGAUAACACGCCUAGCAUGGAAGAUACUGACCGCCCCUUGUCACCACAUGAGCGGUUCGGGCAUACAAAACAGAUUAUUACUUGAAGGUUUAGAGAGUGGCACAUGCAAAUUUACUUGGAACGACAGGUAGAUACCGCAUAUAGGUAGCUAUGGUGGACGCAUAUGGAAUAACUUUGGGUUUAUGGAAGUGGAUGCACAAGCAGUAUUCCCGCUUAGUACAAGUGAAGGCUAGCAAAAGACUGGGAAGCGACCAACUAGAGAGUGACAACAGUCAUUAAUAUGCAUUGAAAUUAACCAACAUUGGGUGCAAGCAUGAGUAGGAUAUAAAUCACCAUAAACAUGAAUAUCAAAGAGGUAUGUUGAUUUUGUUUCAACUACAUGCGUGAACAUGUGCCAAGUCAAGCCACUUGAAUCAUUCAAAGGAGGAUACCAUCCUAUCAUACUACAUCAUAAUCAUCUUGAAAUUCAUGUUGGCUUCCAAGACAAACCAUUAUAAGCUCCUAGCUAAUUAAGCAUGGUAUCACAAACUAUGAUCUCUAAGUCGUCAUUCAAACAUGUUUCUCUCAUAACAAUGCUGAAUUAGGAAUGAUGAGCUAGGCAUAUUUACAAAAACAAAAUAGGUCGAGUUCAUACCAUCUUUUCAAAGCUCAGUCACUUCAUCAUAUAUCGUCAUUAUUGCCUUUCACUUGCACGACCGAAUGACGUGAAUAAUAAUGAGAGUGUUCAUGCAUUGGACUAAGCUGGAAUCUGCAAGCAAACUCAGAGGAGAAGACAAAGUAAUAUGGCUCUUUAAAGGAUAAACAAUCAUGCAUGUGAGAGCCACUAAACAUUUUAAUCAUGGUCUUCUACCUUGACCCAAAGAAAAAGAAAACUAUUUACACGGGAAAGCUCCCAACAAGCAAAAGAAGAACGAGAAACCUUUUUGGGUUUUCCUUUUUAAUUACCACUAAGAAAGCUGGAAAGUAAACUCACAACUAUUUUUUUUGUUUUUCUAAAUUUAGACAAACACACGAGAAGAAAGCGAGAAAAAGAAAUAAACUAGCAUGGAUGAUACAAUGGCAAAGUAUGAACACCGACUAUCAAACCGAAUGUGUGAGCAUGAAUAUAAAGUCGGUGAGAAACACGUACCCCCCAAGCUUAGGAUUUUGGCCUAAGUUGGUCUACUCCCAAGGAGGGAAGUAAGCGUCUCCGGGGUACUCCGGAGUGUACUGAGGGUGCCACUGCUGGGUGAGCUUCUUUGGCUCCCACUAAUAAACUGGCAUCUGGUACUCGACUGGUAUCUCGGGCAUGGGUGCCUGUGGUGGCGUUAUGCCCCAAUAUUCAUAGAUGUCCGAGAGCAUAAUAAUGUACCUGCCUCGAUGAAGAUUGAACAAAGAAGGAGCAGGCAAAGUAAUAGUCUCACGAUUACCCUGGCUAAAUACCAAGUUAUAAAUCAUCCUCUUAUUAUUAUCAUUAUCAAGAAAGUCAUGGCGAACCAUGCUAUUAUAAUCUAAAUAUCUCUCAGGAAGAAGCAUCUCUUCUUCCUCGUACAGUCUAAUAGGUAUCUGAAAAUGUUUAGCAAGGCGGGUAGCAUAGAUACCUCCAUAAUCAGCGCCUUUAGUACGGUUCGUGUUCAACCGUUGAGCCACUAUAGCGCCCAAGCUAUAAGUUUUAUCUUUAUAAAGAGCUUCGCGCAAAACCGCAAGAUCUGGGGAGCUAAGAGCCCUAGCUUUCCCAUGGCCAAUCAAACAUUUUCCCACAAAUAAUGGGAGAUACCGAAGCACGGGAAAAUGUACACUAGCAACUCUAGCGCAAGACACUCCUCUCUCCUCUCCUACAUCAAUAGUAUCAAUGAAAGCCUCCAAGUCCCGUGGGCGAGGUUCAUGAAUAUCCCCAACAUAAGGUAAAUUGCAAACAUUGCAGAAAUAUUGAAGUGACAUGCGCUGGGGGAUAUCAUAUAACUUGAACUCAACCAUAGGAGGACUCUUCCUUGGAUAGAAAUUAAAGCUUUGCACAAAAAUAUUAGUGAGGAGGAGGUAUUGUGGACUCUUAUCUUCGACAAAGGCGGUAAGGCUUGCGUUCUCCACCAAGUAAUAAAAAUCCUCAUAAAGAUCGGCAGCGUGUAAGAACACAUCACUUGGCCACUCGCACGCUCGAACUUCUGCAACUCGGGGGACCGGAUACUUGGGUUUCUUCUUCUCAUUUUGAUCUUCCUUGGGGUCAUGGCUCGAAGAGCCUCUUAGGAACCUCCUCAUCUUUUCCUUUUUCUUUCUCUGAAAUUUUCUGAAAUUUUUAGUGACUCAAAAGUAAAGUGAACAAGGCUCAACAAAACUCAUAACAACUACUCCUACAAGUGCCUAGAGGCCAUAUCAUGCAUCAAAACUACUUGGGACCAACUAAAAUUAACAUGCAAAGUUCAAGAACAGGGUCACCAAGACAGCAAAAAUACGCAAUGAAUAAAGCACUAGAGUAAAAACUAAUUGGACCAAUGGAGGAGUCACAUACCAAGGAAUAAUUCCCUAAAACAGUUUGGUGAAUGGGGCUUUGCACAAGGAGAUUGAAAAACAUAGCAAGAAGAGCAAGAACACAAAUUUGAGCUGUGGAAUGAUUUUUUCUGGAGGUAGAAGAAGGAGAUGGGAGCUGGAAUAAGUGGAGGGGGCCAUGUGGGGCCCACAAGCUUGCCAGGCAUGGCCAGGGGGGUGGCCGUGCCUCCUGGGCUUGUGGCCUAGUGGUGCAUCCCCGUGACUAGCUUCCUAUCUCAGAAAUUUUCAAAUAUUCCAGAAAAAAUCAUACUUGAAUUUCAGGGCAUUUGGAGAACUUUUAUUUUCUGGUCACUUUUCUAAGGGACGGAAAAAGCAGAAAACAGGAAAAAUAAAGCUAAAUUUAUCAUUUUUCUUCUAAGCAACAUAAAGUAAAAGUUGGGAGCAGAGGGUUGUGACUCCUAGAUUCAUCCAUCUCAUGGUCAUCAAAAGAAAUCCGUCAAUGAGGUUGAUCAAGUCUCCCUGACAAACUUAUUUCGAAUCACAUAAAACCGGAGAAUUUUAGAAUAAUCACUAGGUUACCUCAACGGGGAUGUGCAUAUCCCCAACAAGUAAAUCAUACUUCAUCUUGGCAGUAGAUAUAGGGCAUUCAAAGCUUCCAAUAAGAAUUGAUGAAGAUUUCUCAAUAGCAUUGAUGCAAUGAACUCGAUAUUGUUUCUUCGGAAAGUGCACCGUAUGCUCAUUACCAUUAACAUGGAAAGUGACAUUGCCUUUGUGCAAUCAAUAGCAGCACCUGCAGUGUUUAAAAAGGGUCUUCCAAGGAUAACCGCCAUGGCACCAUCCUCGGGAAUAUCCAGAAUAACAAAGUCCGUUAAGAUACUAACGUUAGCAACCACAACAGGCACAUCCUCGCAAAUGCCGAUAGGAAAAGCAGUUGGUUUGUCGGCCAUUUGCAAAGACAUUUCAGUAGGUGUCAACUUAUCCAAUUCAAGUCUAUGAUAUAAAUAGAGAGGCAUAACACUAACACCGGCUCCAAGAUCAUAUAAAGCAGUUCUAACAUAAUUUCCUUUAAUGGAGCAAGGUAUAGUGGGCACUCCGGGAUCACCUAGUUUCUUAGGAGUCCCACCCUUGAAGGUGUAAUUAGCAAGCAUGGUGGAAAUCUCAACCUCAGGUAUCUUCCUUUUGUUAGUCACAAUAUCUUUCAUGUACUUAGCAUAAGGAGACAUUUUGAGCAUAUCUGUCAAACGCAUUUGCAAAAAGAUAGGUCUAAUCAUUUCAACAAAGCGCUCAAAAUCCUCGUCAUCCUUUUUCUUGGAUGGUUUGGGAGGAAAGGGCAUGUGUUUCUGAACCCAUGGUUCUCUUUCUUUACCAUGCUUCCUAGCAAUAAAGUCAUCCUUAUCAUAUCUCCUGUUCUUAGGUUGUGGGUUAUCAAGAUCAACAGCAUGUUCAAUCUCCACAUCCUUAUCAUUACUAGGUUGAGCAUCAACAUGAACACCACUAUCAAUAUUAUCAUUAGGCUCAUGUUCAUCACCAGAUUGUGUUUCGGCAUUAGAAACAGAGACAUCAUUUGGAUUCUCGGGUGUAACAGCAAUAGGUUUUCUAGCAUGCAAGUUCCUAUCAUCUUUCUUUUUCUUCUUAAUACCAGUAUGACUAGGUGCAUCAGUGUUAACUCCUUGAGAAUCUUGCUCAAUUCUCUUAGGAUGGCCCUCGGGAUACAAAGGUUCCCGAGUCAUUCUACCACCUUUAGUGACAACUCUAAGAGAAUUGUCAUUCAACUCAUUAAGCAAGUCAUUUUGAGCCUUAAGUACUUGUUCUAGUUGAGUAGUGACCAUAGAGGCAUGUUUACUCAAAAGCUUAAGAUCAUUGACAUUUCUAUCCACACAAGCACUUAUAUGAUUAAUCAUACGAGCAUUUUGUUCCAAUUGUCUGCUAACAUAAUCAUUAAAACUUUGUUGUUUGGCAACAAAGUUAUCAAAUUCAUCUAAGCAUAAGCUAGCAGGUUUAUCAUAUGGAAUAUCACUCUCAUUGAAUCUACGAAGAGAAUUUACCUCUACUACCUGUGUCGGGUUAUCAAGACCAUGUAUUUCUUCAAUAGGUGGUAGAUUCUUAACAUCUUCAGAUUUAAUACCUUUCUCUUGCAUAGAUUUCUUGGCUUCUUGCAUAUCUUCAGGACUGAGGAAUAGAAUACCUCUUUUCUUCGGAGUUGGCUUCGGAGGUGGUUCAGGAAUAGUCCAAGCAUUAUCAUUGAUCAAGAUAUUAUUCAAUAGAAUUUCAGCUUGUUCCAUAGUUCGUUCCCAAAAACACAACCAGCACAACUAUCUAGGUGGUCCCUAGAAGCAUCGGUUAGUCCAUUAGAAAAGAUAUCAAGCAUUUCAUUCUUCUCAAGAGGAUGAUCAGGCAAAGCAUUAAGUAACUGGACAAGCCUCCCCCAAGCUUGUGGGAGACUCUCUUCUUCAACUUGCACAAAGUUAUAUAUAUAUCCUGCAAGGCAGCUUGUUUCUUAUGGGCAGGAAAAUAUUUCUUAGAGAAGUAGUAGAUCAUAUCCUGGGGACUACGCACACAACCAGGAGCAAGAGAAGUAAACCAAGUCUUAGCAUCACCCUUUAGUGAGAAAGGAAACAACUUAAGGAUAUAGUAAUGGCGAAUUGUUUCCUCAUUCAUGAAUAGGGUGGCUAUAUCAUUCAGUUUAGUAAGGUGUGCUACAACUGUUUCAGAUUCAUAACCAUGAAAAGGAUCAGAUUCAUAACCAUGAAAAUGAUCAGAUUCAACCAAAGUGAUCAACUCAGGAUCGACACAGAAUUCAUAAUCCUUAUCAGUAACAAAGAUGGGCGAAGUACCAAACUUAGGAUCAUAUUUCAUUCUAGCAUUCAGAGAUUUUUCUUUCCACUUGCGCAAUAAAUUCUCAAGAUCAUAGCUAUCCUUACAAGCAAGAAAGCCUUCAGCUACCUCUCCCUCCAUAACAUAACCCUUAGGUAUAUCAGGCAAUUCAUAUCUAGGAGAGCUAGGUCUAACAGGUGAAACAUGAGGUUCCACUUCAAUAAUUUCAUCAGUUUCAGAAGUAUCAUCACAUUCAGCAGUAACUCUAGCAAUUUGUGCAUCAAGAAAUGCACCCAGUGGAAAAUCAUUAUCAAGCAAAGCAUCAUCAUAAGCAUCAUGGAUAGCAGAAGCAGCAUCAUCAAGCACAGGCGACAUAUCAGAAUUACCAAUAGGUGGUGGUGUCGCAAAUUUACUCAUAACUGAAGGUGAAUCAAGUGCAGAGCUAGAUGGCAGUUCCUUACCUGUCCUCGUAGUUGAGGGCAAGACUUUAUUUUUUGGAUCUCUCGGAUUCCUCAUAGUGAUCAACAGACAUAAAUCCCAAGUGACUCAGAGAAUAGAGCUAUGCUUCCCCGGCAACGGUGCCCGAAAAAGGUCUUGAUAACCCACAAGUAUAGGGGAUCGCAACAGUUUUCGAGGGUAGAGUAUUCAACCCAAAUUUAUUGAUUAGACACAAGGGGAAGCCAAAGAAUAUUCUCGAGUAGUAGCAGUUGAGUUGUCAAUUCAACCACACCUGAAAGACUUAGUAUCUGCAGCAAAGUGUCAGUAGCAAAGUAGUGUGAUAGUAACGGUAGCAGCGGUAACAACAGCAGUAGUGGCAGCAGUAGCGUAAAGUAACAUAGCAAGGACCAGUAGGAAAAGACUCGUAGGCAUUGGAUCGGUGAUGGAUAAUUAUGUCGGAUGACAUUCAUCAUGUAACAGUUAUAACAUAGGGUGAUAUGUAACUAGCUCCAGUUCAUCAAUGUAAUGUAGGCUUGUAUUCCGUAUUUAGUCAUACAUGCUUAUGGAAAAGAACUUGCAUGACAUCUAUUGUCCAUCCCUCCCAUGGAAGCAGGGUCCUAAUGGAAACUAAGGGAUAUUAAGGUCUCCUUUUAAUAGAGAACCGGAACAAAGCAUUAGCACAUAGUGAAUACAUGAACUCCUCAUACUAUGGUCAUCUCCGGGAGUGGUUCCGGCUAUUGUCACUCUGGGGUUGCCGGGUCAUAACACAUAGUAGGUGACUACAGCUUACAAGAUAGGAUCAAGAACACACAUAUAUUGAUGAAAACAUAAUAGGUUCAGAUCUGAAAUCAUGGCACUCGGGCCCUAGUGACAAGCAUUAAGCAUAGCAAAGUAGUAGCAACAUCAAUCUUAGAACAUAGUGGAUACUAGGGAUCAAACCCCAUCAAAACUAACUCGAUUACAUGAUAGAUCUCAUCCAACCCAUCACCGUCCAGCAAGCCUGUGAUGAGAUUACUCAUGAACGACGGAAUUGGCGAUGAAGGAUGGUUGGUGAUGACAACGACAUCGAUUUCCCCUCUCCGGAGCCCAGAACGGACUCCAGAUCUGCCCUCCAAAGGAAGAACAGGUGGUGGCGGCGGCUCCAUGUCGUGAAACGCGAUGAACUCUUCUCUCCUAAUUUUUUCUGGGCAAGAGAGAAUAUAUAGAGCUGGAGUUGAGCCACGAGGGCCUCACAAGCCUGCCAGACGCGACCUAGGGGGGGGGCGCCUCAUGGGCUUGUGGGCUCCUGGCUCCGUGUCUCCAGGUAAUUCUUGCGCCAGUAUUUUUUAUAUAUUCCACAAAAAAUCCUCAUAAAUUUCCAGGUCAUUCCGAGAACUUUUAUUUCUACGCAAAAACAACACCAUGGCAAUUCUGCUAAAAACAAUGUCAGUCCAGGUUAGUUCCAUUCAAAUCAUGCAAAUUACAGUCCAAAACAAGGGCAAAAUAGUUUGGAAAAGUAGAUACGUUGGAGACGUAUCAAGACUCCCGAACAACUUACGACCAAUUGAUCUCAAAUGGUCAUAGAUUUACGACCAUUUCUGCUAGUGUCAUUGCCAGAAGGUCGCUAGUUGACAUAUUUCUUGUAGUGAGGGAGCCCCGAAACACUUUUUACUCUGUCGCAAGUCUAUGUUCUGACGGGGGGGGGGCAUAUGGAGAUCCGUUGCGGCACCCUGACGAAGGGGGAUCGAUCAUGGAGGACCUUUUCACCAACCUUGUUGCCCUCAUGAUGAUGUGUGAGUAAUUUACUUCAGACCUACGUUUCCAUGGCAGAACCUAGAUGGCAAUCUCUCUCUCUGGAUCUUCAAUACAAUAAUCAUAUCAUCUUUGCUUUGAUCCGUAUGAUGUAAUUACUUUUUUGUGGUGCGUUUGUUGGGGUCCGAUGAAUUGGGGGUUUAUGUUCAGAUUAUUCAUGAUAAAUAUUUUAGUCUCCUAUGAUUACUUAUGUGCAUGGUUAUGAUAUCUUCAUAAUUCUCUGUGACCUAUUGAAAUUGUUUGGCCAACUAGAUUGAUAUUUCUUCGGUGGGAGAGGUGUGUUGUAGUAGGUUCAACCUGACAAAUUUCUAUAUCCCAGUGACAGAAGGGGACAAGGUGCGUCUUUGUGUUGCUUCUACUAAAUAUAAAACGGUGGGGUUUAUUCAUAUUGCUUGAGUUUACUUUGUCUACAUCCUGUCAUCUUACUCCAUGCAUUACUGUGUUCGUCGUGAACUUAAUACGUAGAGAUGCAAGCAUAGAAGUGCUCUUGAUGUGAAGUAAUAGUAAUAAGUGCAGGCAGGAGUCAUCCUAUUUGUUUAUGGACUUGAUGCCUAUAUACACAUGAUCAUUGUCAUGAAUAUCGCAUAACAAUCUACUUUUCUAUGAAUUUCCCAACAGUAAUUUGUUUAUCGACCAAAUGCUUAUUUUCAUUAGAGAUGCCACUAGGGAUAGGCAUGGCCCCGAGUCUAUUCACAACAUAUUGACAAAACCUUCAUUACCUUGCUGCCAUUUACUUGUUUUUAUUUUAUUUUACUAUCUACAAUUAUCUACACACCUUACUUGCUUGCAAAUAAUGGGACCAAGGGGACUGACAACCCUCUUGCCCGCGUUGGGUGCAAGUUGUUUGUUCUUUUGUGUGCAACCGCUGAAGAUGGUUGUAGUUGAUAUUCCUAUUGGUUCGAUAAACCCUUGUUUCAUAACCAAGGGAAAUACUUACCUACAUUGUGCUGCGAUAACAUGUUCCUCUUCAUGGAAAAACCCAACGCAUAUCAUAGUAUCAUUCACCUCAAUGCCUUCUUCACGAAUGUUAUGCCCAAGUACUAUACCUUCAUUCACCAUAAAGUGGCACUCCUCCUAAUUCAAGACAAUAUUAGUUUCUUCACAUCUCUACGAAACUCGAUCGAGGUUGCUCAAGCAAUCAUCAAAAGAAGUCAUGUAAACGAAAAAAUCAUCUAUGAAAACCUCAACAAUCUUUUCACAAAAGUCAGAGAAUAUAAUAGUCAUACAUCUUUGAAAGGUAAUAGGUGCAUUGCAUAGACCAAAAGGCAUAAGCCUAUAAGCAUAAUUUCCAAAAGGGAAAGUAAAGGUAGUUUUCUCUUGGUCCUCUUUUGACAUAGCUAUUUGAAAAAAACGAGAAUAUCCAUCAAGAAAACAAAAGUGUGUGUGUUUGGACAGCCUCUCUAACAUUUGGUCAAUAGAAGGCAACGAGUAAUGGUCUUUUCUAGUUGAUUUACUUAAUUUCCUAAAAUCAAUCACCAUCCUAUAACCAGUUACGAUUAUUUGUGGAAUAAGCUCAUUUUUAUCAUUAGGAACAAUAGUUAUACCUGCCUUUUUAGGAACACAAUGAACAUGGCUUACCCAUCUACUAUCAGCAAUAGGAUAAAUUAUACCUGCCUCUAGAAGUUUUAGUAUCUGAGUUCUUACCACUUCCUUCAUCUUAGGACAGAGACGACAUUGAUGAUCAACGAGAGGUUUAGCAUCCUAUAUCCAAUGGCAUCCCUAUGCUUAUUUAGAAUUUUAAGUAAUCUCUUUUCUUCAUGUCCUUUAAGGUUAUGACUGAUAAUAACAUGACAUAUCUUCUUUUCAUUCAGAUAGGCAUAGUUCAAAGUAUCAAACAAUGUCUUUAGCUCAAACACGGGAUCUCCUUUGGGUGGAGGAGGAUCCCCUAAGAUAUCAACUCGUAGGUUGUGUUUAAGAUGGGUGUUUGUCUAAGAAAUAUAUCAUCUAUCUCAUUUCUUUCGUUCAUAUUCAUAUCAUUUUCUUGGUCUAGAAAAUAUUUUUCUAACGGAUCAAUACGAGGUACGACAAUAUAAGUAAUUAAGACUAAUUAUUUAAUUGUUAUUACACAAUUCUUUUUCGUGUGGUUGUCUCCUAAGCUUGGAGAAAUUAAAUUCAUGAGACAUAUCACCAGAGCUUACUAUGACCUUCUAAGUAGCACAACUAACCUGAGCAUUAACAGUAUUCAAGAAAGGUCUACCAAAUAUAAUGGGACAACAGUUAUCUUGUUCUGAACCAAGCACUAGGAAAUCAGUGGGAUACUUGACUUUUCCACACAAGACUUAAACAUCUCUAACAAUCCCAAGCGGUGAAAUAGUAUCACGGUUUGCAAGUUUAAUGGUGACAUCAAUAUCUUCAAUCUUAGAGGGUUCUAUAUCAUGCGUAAUUUCUUGAUAUAAUGUAAAAGGUAUAGCACUAACACUAGCACCAAUAUCACAAUAGCCAUGGUAGCAAUGAUCUCCAAUUUUAACUGAAAUGACACGUAUGCCUACAACUGGUUUAUUUUUAUCGAGCUCAUUUCGCUUGUUUCUAACAUGUUUUAGAAUUCUUGGAGCUUCUUCACAGAAGUAAAUAACCUGCCCAUCAAUAUAUCAACUAGGAGAUAUCUAAUCAUAGCAACAUUAGGCUCAACAUUUAUUUCUUCAUAAGGUUUCGGUGUCCUAACAUGUCUUCUAUUAACCAUAGUGGUAGCCUUAGCAUGCUCCAUCCUAACGGGAAAAUGAGGUUUCUCAAUGUAAGCAGUAGGAACAAUCGGAUCAACAUGGCUAAUAAUUCUUUCUUCCUUCCUAAUUUUAACAAGUUCCUGAGAUGAUUUUUCAAUGGGAGGAUGAUAUUUAAACCACUUCUCCCUGGCGUCGGUGUCAAAACCGGCGGAUCUGAGGUAUGGGGUCCCGAGUUGUGGACCUUGGAUCAAUGGGUUACAACGAAUGAAGGAGACUCUAUUUACCCAGGUUCGGGCCCUCUUGAGGAUGUAAAACCUUAUGUCCUGCUUGAUUAUAUUUAUGUGUAUGAGGAUUAUAGAGUUGAUCUACCUCGAGAUCAUAUGAGCUAAAACCCUAGAUGAGUCAACCUACCUAUGCGAACGAAACUCUCUGGUUUCUAUAGACACCAGGGGUUCCUAGGGUUACAUACAACCAACCUCUAGUCGGGGAUAGAUGCGCCGAUAUAACCUACUCAACUUGGAUGACACGCUAGUCUCCGGUGCUUUCCCUCUUGAACACGAGGUCGUCACGCAGUCCGAUCUUCAAUAAUACGACCCAUUAGGCCACCCUCUAAGAGAUGGGCCGACCGUCCGAGGACCCCUUAGUCCCGGACUCCCUCAGUAGCCCCCGAACUGGCCUCCAACACUGAUGUAUAUUGUCUUCGGCAACUCCUCGUAUCCAGAGUAAUCGGCUUGCAAGGCGAGUUCCCUUCAUGUUCGGCUGGCGUAAACUUGGUCGUUUGGUGAUGUCGUGCCUUUAAAACACGCACUGCAUAAUAAAAAGGCUUCAAAACCCCGGUGUGAAGAGGUCCUCAUUUGAUAGCCUUUUUGACGAAAGGUCGCGAUAACCAGUUAUGACAAAAACUCGAUUCACGGUUCGAGGCUACUUUCUCAUGGGCACGUCUUGUCAAUGAGGAGAUCGUGCUCCGCAUUUAAGGGGAUAUGAGUAAUGGUGUGGGUAAUCCUACGUGCAUUCAUCGGCCGAGUCGUUUCGGGAAGUGGCAGGGCCCGCGGCGCCAUAAACGGGAUCCUUGGCCUUGCACCCCCCAUAAAAGGGAAAAAAGAUCCUCAAAGCCACCACAUGCAUUCCAGAUCCGACCGCCCUUUCAUUCAAGCUCCAAGCGCCCAGAUCCAUUUCACUUUACGUCCUCUCCAAUCCGCCCUUCCCCAAGCUCAGCCAUCGCUGGCUCAGGCUCCCAAGGCAAGUGGGAGGUCUCAUGCGUCUCCGACCAGGAUAUCCGGGAGCUGAAGGAUGCCGACUAUCUCUCGCCGGACAUUGCCCAUCGUGCGCUAGAAGAAGGCCAGGUGGUGCCUACAACAAAGCCAGGAGAAAUGGUGGUGUUCGUCCCCCACUUCAUCCGAGGACUAGGCUUCCCACUCCACCCCUUCGUCACGGGCCUGAUGUUCUACUAUAGGUUAGAUUUUCACGAUCUUCCCCCGAACUCAUUUAUGCACAUCUCCGCUUUCAUCACCCUUUGUGAGGCCUUCCUGUGGGUUCAACUGCACCUCGGGCUAUGGCUCAAGACAUUCAACUUCAAGCCGAAGUCAGUCACUGGCCAACAUGCCGACUGUGGUGGAGCGCAAACUCCCCAGGGUCGAAUGGUCAGAGGGCACUUUUAUUGACACCAUCAAAGCCUCGCAAAGGGAGUGGUUUUACAUCACCGAACCCUGGGAAGCAAACUGAUCGACGCCUGCCGAGUUCAGAUCCGGACCCCUCGAGAGGCUAACCUCGUGGGUUAGAAAAGGUCUUGACUAGGGAUCAGCCUCGGAGGUGAAAGCGCUGCAGAAGCGCAUCACACAGAUGGUGGAGGCGAAUAUCAAGUUGACCAACGUGGUUGAGGUCAUGCUCCGCUCCUGUGUCCUUCCCUGCCAGCGUAGGGACACUCCAAUGUGGUCCUACAGGCUUGGUGACCCCAGCACCAUGAGCCAGUUCUAUCAAACUACCCACAAGAAAUUGUGGAGGGUGUUGUUCAAAUCUCCAUAGGAAUGGCCGAGCUAGGAAAAAGACGUCGGCUUGGAUGCCUAUCACCCUCCCUUAGCAUUAUGACCAAGAUUUUAUUCCUAUUUAAAGCUUUAAUAUUUAGCAAGGAUCUUAUCAUAUCCCCCACCGUCCUUGCAGGGCUGGCUAAAAAAGGCCGAGAAAAUAAAAUGGCUCAACCUCCUCGCCUGAUGAUCCCACGUCGCCAUUGUUGAUUGCGAUGCUGGUGGUGGCGCUAUACACGGCGCGAGAGGAAAAUGAGAAGAAUAAAAGAGAGACCUGCGGGGGUCUACGCUCGAGGGGUCCUCUGGAUACUAAGUCCGGAGACACCCACGCUUCCUUCACUUAUGAUGAAGAGGAUGCAGAGGACAAAGAGGAGAAAGAUUCGCUACAAGAAAGAGGGUGGCACCAGAGGAGGCCAAGGAGGGCAUGCCUCCUCAGGUCCCGAAGAAAACCUGCAAGAGCAAAGUCACCCUGCCCGACGACAGCCUGGAUUCCGAUGUGGACUCCGAGCCCUUUGAGAGGGUUCCACGAAGGACCCCCAGGAUCAAGCCCCCGACCCAAAGGUAUGUAAUCCGAAUUUCAUUUAAUGGAAUUAUACUGAGUUUUGUUAAUAAACAUACACUCUCAUUUCCUUGAAGCAACCCUGCCGGAAACCUCCCGACGGACCAGGUCUCAAAGGGGGAAUCACCAUCGGUCGAGCUAGAGGAGAGCGGGAAUGCAUCGUGUACUACUCUCCAUCAGGCAUCAGACAAGGCUGCGGAGGUGAUAUCCCACCAGGCUCCUCCAAACACGAGGGUCGAGGUGGUGAUGGAUGAGGUUCAUACGUCGGCCAUUGAAGACUGAGAGGUACCGAUCGAGGUUCAUUCCUCGGCCACCGAAACCCAGGAGGUCGAUCCCCUCCCGACGAGUGGAGAGGGGGCCGUGAUUCGUCUGAGCUUACCCUGGAGAUAGUUCCAAGGAGCUCCGAUCCUCUGGCGUCUUCAACGUUGUCUUCAGUGCCGCCUGUGAUAGAACAGGCUGCGGCCGGAGUGGCCUCCAAUGAUGGAGGAGGCUCUAUCCAAUUCAUCCAUCGCUAAUGAACAUCACACCCUUAUGGGUGUGAUUCUACAAAGCAUCCAGUCCAUUGAUAGCGGACUGAAGGGAGCCUUCAGUGGUUUGCUGGUAGGCUUCAAGGUAAACCGAUUAGUGUUAGAUUUAUUUAUAAGGUUUUCACAUGCCUUAUAGGUAUGAUAGCCCCCGAGCCAUGGGUGAGUUGAAAAACUUACCCGUGGAUCAAAACAACUUAUGGUCAUGAAUAAAAACAGUUCGGGGAACCUUGAACUAUAACUUCUCACGGGUGUACUUCGACCAAGUGACCCAGUCUUGUUAGCUCGAAUGCUUAUCUAUCGCUAACUUGUCUCGCAGGCCUCAUCCUCGGUUGUGGCCUCCAACACCCUUGAACUUGCCGAGCUGAACUAGAAACUCAAGGUUUCCGAUGAGGAACUCAGCCUUCUUAAUAGUCGGCUCGACGAGAAACAAGGUAAGCUUAAUGCGUGCCGCUAAGACUCUUGUUGUACUUAAUAGUUUAGUAAAGUGUGGAUUUGAUAUAUGACAUCUUGAUUUUGAUUAUGUGAGCAGCUAUGGAUGUGGAGUUUGAGAAACUCAAGGCUGAAUUGGAGAAAGCCAAGCAGGAGGCCACCGCUCAUAAGAUGAUGGCCGAGCAGACCGUCGCCGAGUUAAGCUCGCUGAAGGUUGAGAGCGGCGGGCACAAGGCUAGAGUGGCCGAGGUCCAGCACGAGCUUCAAGAUGCGAGAUCUAAGAGCAAGGCCUUGGAACAAAAAUCCAAAGAACAAGCGGCCGAGCUAUUCAAGCUGUACUGCGAGCUCAAAUCGGAGCGAGUAGAGAAGCGAUUCUUCGAAGAAGAAGUGCGCCAAGCCAAGAAAAUUGCGGACGGUAAGCCAUACUUACUGCAAUGUGCCUUUGGUGGAAACAUGUUUGCCUUUCUUACACGGCUAUGGCGUUCCCCAGGCACCUUUACGAACCUCCCCCGGCAUGUAGUAGACGCGGUGAAGCACUACGUGGCCCAAGACGGGGAUGCCGAGCAGAGUCUUUUCUGGGCACAGUUUCAGACUCCCGAGCCCAACCCCCUUCUCGUCUAUCAGAUGAAACAACUCAUGGAGUUGCACAGGAUGGCGGAGCCAGGACCUCUACAUCCGGUUGUGGCCUGCCGAGCCUCUUCCGAGUAGUUACUUCGGCUUAGUGCGGAAGUUGUACGAUGUCGUGCCUCAACUCGAGGUCCUGAAAUGCUCUGUUUGCAUAGAGGCAGCUCGGAUGGUUUUUGCGAGGACCAUGAUACACUACCCGCGGGUGAAGCCCCUUACGAUGGCAACCGCACCUCCACCUCCUGGAAAGGAGCACACACGUCCACAACUUUAUUUCUCUGCCGCUAUGGAGGGUGCUCGGGCCAUAGAAGCCCAGUGUUCCAAAGAUGUAAUGUAUGAGUGAGGAUAUUAUCUUGUGCCUUGAAAUUUUUUAUUAUUGUGAAGUUUGUCCCAGUGUAAUGCACUUUGUAUUAUUUUUACUCCUGUUCGGCCGUUUAAUCUGAAAGGUUCGAGUCAUCUGCUUCAGCCCCCAUGUAGAGCCUACAAGGGGUGUUUCGACAUUCGCACUCUGACCCUUAGCCAAUAUAUUAGUGCCCGAAGGCGGUAGUGUGUGAAGGAAAUGAGGCAAUCUAAAUAUGCGGCUUUAGUGCUUUCACAUAGCCUUAGGAGCUUGAAUUCGGAGGCUGGUUACGAGCCCGCAAUUUUUUUUGUGGUAGUCGGAUAAACCGGUAUUUGAAAUAGUUACCACAAGGUUUGGAAAGGUUCAAAACCCUCCAUAUGACACGUAAUAAAACCUCCAUCGGUCAUUAGUAAUUAAGCUCGGAUUGUAGACCAUUUCUCGCUUAUUAUGACAAUCAGUUUUCGGCUUUCUCCAGUGAGGUAUUUUAGCUAGGCCAGCUAGGAAUACAAUCAAAGUAGCUCUCCCUUUAUCCCUUUAGCUGAACUAGCGGAACAUAAAGGGGUAAGCACAUGAGUGGGGCAACCCAACUAUUGACCCAAGACAUAAUUCUGAACUCAUGCAUAUAAAGAAAUAUCCUACAAACUGAACACUUAAAAUUAGUGACGGGUAGUGCUCAGGGCGGUAUUUUCAUCCAAGCCCCCGGUCUAUUAGCCGAUCGCACUUGAUAUUUAUUGAAGAAAUUUACCCUUCGGUGCCAAUGAGUGCUACUUCUCAAACAACAUCGCCAGAAAUUGGCACGUUGACGGAGACUUGGCUUGCGUUGGUUUUUCCCUUGAAGAGGAAAGGGUGAUGUAGCACAGGAGCAGUAAGUAUUUCCCUCAGUUUGAGAACCAAGGUAUCAAUCCAGUAGGAGAAUCGCGUCAAGUCCAGAGUACCUGCGCAAACACAAAAGAGCUUGCACCCAACGCUAUAAAGGGGUUGUCAAUCCCUUCAAGAUUGAUUGCAAAGUGAGAUCUGAAGGCGGAAAGUGCAACGAAGUAAAAGAGUAAGGCUGAAAAUAUGGUGUGAAGUACACCCGGGGGCCAUAGUGUUCACUAGAGGCUUCUCUAAAAAUAGCAAAUAUUACGGUGGGUGAACAAAUUACUGUCGAGCAAUUGAUAGAACCGCGCAAAGUCAUGACGAUAUCUAAGGCAAUGAUCAUACAUAUAGGCAUCAUGUCCGAGACAAGUAGACCGGUACUUUCUGCAUCUACUACUAUUACUCCACACAUCGACCGCUAUCCAGGAUGCAUCUAGUGUAUUGAGUUCAUGACGAACAGAGUAACGCCUUAAGCAAGAUGACAUGAUGUAGAGGGACAAACUCAAACCAAUGAUGAAAACCCCAUCUUUUUGCCCUUGAUGGCAACAACACGAUGCGUGCCUCGCUACCCCUUCUGUCACUGGGUGAGGUCACCGCACGGUAUGAACCCGAAACAAAGCACUUCUCCCAUUGCAAGAAUCGUAGAUCAAGUUGGCCAAACAAAACCCACAACUCGAAGAGAAUUACAAGGAUAUGAAAUCAUGCAUAAGAGAGAUCAGAAGAAACUCAAAUAAGAUUCAUAGAUAAUCUGAUCGUAAAUCCACAAUUCAUCGGAUCUCGACAAACACACCGCAAAAGAAGAUUACAUCGGAUAGAUCUCCAUGAAGAUCAUGGAGAACUUUGUAUUGAAGAUCCAAGAGAGAGAAGAAUCCAUCUAGCUACUAGCUAUGGAUCCGUAGGUCUAUAGUGAACUACUCAUGCAUCAUCGGAGAGGUCAUGGUGUUGAUGAAGAAGCCCUCCGUAUCCGAAUCUCCCCUUCGGCAGGGCAUCAGAACGUGCCCGAGAUGGGAUCUUGCGGAGACAGAAGCUUGCGGCGGCGGAAAAGUAUUUUCGUGGUUCCCCUGAUUUUUUUAGGGAUUUUAGGGAAUUUAUAGGCGAAGGAGCUAGGGCAGGGGAGGCCCAGGGAGCCCCAAAGCCUGGGAGGCACGGGCCCCUUGGCCGUGCCAUGGGGGCUUGUGGCCUCCCCCGGGACUCCCUGGCUUGGUUCCCAAGCUUUCUGCGUAUCUUCUGUUCCGGAAAAAAUCUUUUUGGAAGUUUUAUUCUGUUUGGCUGUUUAAAAUCCUCCUCUGAAAAGGGUCAAAAACACGGAAAAACAGGAAUUGGCACUUGGCACUGAGUUAAUAAGUUAGUCCCAGAAAAGAUAUAAAAGGCAUACAAAACAUCCAAAGUUUGACAAGAUAAUAGCAUGAAACCAUCAAAAAUUAUAGAUACGUUGGGGACGUAUCAAUGAGCAGGAAACAUAUAUAUGUAAAGAUAUUGUAAAAGAGUAUAUGAAUAAUAUUUGAUAGGAAUUUUUAUAGUUCAUGGCGCCAAGGCAGCUGUUACAGGUAACUAUUGUUUUGAACAACAUAUUUCAAAGCAACUUUUUACCACGACCUUUGAUACUUCCAUUUUGCAUCAUGCUUUUAUAUUGAUAUUUAUUGCAUUAUGGGCUGUCAAGAAACAUUAUGGUACAAUACUUAUGCCUUUCCUCUCUUAUUUUACAUGGUUUACAUGAAGAGGGAGAAUGCGGGCAGCUGGAAUUCUAGACUUGAAAAGCAGCAAAUCUAAGAGACCCAUUCUGCACAACUCCAAAAGUCCUGAAAAUUUACGAGAAUUAUUUUGGAAUAUAUAAAAAGUAUUGGGCGAAAGAAAUACAUCAAGGGACCUGCCAGGUGGCUACAAUCCACGGGGGCGUGGCCUACCCCCUAGGCACGCCCUGCAGGCUUGUGGGCCCCCUGACAGGCCUCCGGUGCCCUUCUUCUGCUAUAUGAAGGGUUUUGAGCUGAAAAAAAUCAUAUCAGAACUUUUGGGGCAAAGCACCGCCAUCUCGAGGCGGAACUUUGGCAGAACCAAUCUAGAGCUCCGGCGGAGAUGUUCUGCCGGGGAAACUUCCCUCCCGGAGGUGAAAAUCAAAGCCAUCGUCAUCACCAACGAUCCUCUCAUCAAGAGGGGGUCAAUCUCCAUCAACAUAUUCAUCAACACCAUCUGCUCUCCAAACCCUAGUUCAUCUCUUGUAUCCGAUCUUUGUCUCAAACCUCAUAUUGGUACCUGUUGGUUGCUCGUAAUGUUGAUUACUCCUUGUAGUUGAUGCUAGUUGGUUUACAUGGUGGAACAUUAUAUGUUCAGAUCCUUAAUUAUUAUUAAUACUCCUCUGGUUAUGACAUCAAUAUGCUUUCUGAGUAAUUACGUUUGUUCCUGAGGACAUGGGAUAAGUCUUGCUAUAAGUAAUCAUGUGAAUUUGGUAUUCGUUCGUUAUUUUGAUGAGAUGUAUGUUGUCUCUCCUCUAGUGGUGUCAUGUGAACAUCGACUACGUGACACUUCACCGUUAUUUGGGCCCAGGGGAAAGCACUGGGAAGUACUAAGUAGAUGAUGGGUUGCUAGAGUGACAAAAGCUUAAACCCUAGUUUAUGCGUUGCUUCGUAAGGGGCUGAUUUGGAUCCAUAUGUUUCAUGCCAUGGUUAGAUUUAUCUUAAUUCUUAUUUCAUAGUUGUGGAUGCUUGCAAGAGAGGUUAAUCAUAAGUGGGAGGUUUGUCCAAGUAAGGGCAGCACCCAAGCAUCAGUCCACCCACAUAUCAAAUUAUCAAAGUAACAAAUGCGAAUCAUAUGAGCAUGAUGAAAACUAGCUUGACAGAAAUUCCCAUGUGUCCUCGGGAGCGCUUUGCUUUAUAUAAGAGUUUGUCCAGGCUUGUCCUUUGCUAUAAAAAGGAUUGGGACACCUUGCUGCACCUUUGUUACAUUUGUUACUUGCUACCCGCUGCGAAUUACUUUAUCACAAAACUACCUGUUACCGAUAAUUUCAGUGCUUGUUGAGAAUCCUUACUGAGAACCACUUGUCAUUUCCUUCUGCUCCUUGUUGGGUUCGACACUCUUACUUAUCGAAAGGACUACGAUAGAUCCCUUAUACUUGUGGGUCAUCAGCCUUCCAUGGGUGACUUGACGUUUGCCCUGCUUCCAGCUGUGCAAUUUCUCCUAUGCUUCUUAGAAGGGAGGGGUAGUAUCCUUUAAAUGUGGUUGUUGUCGGCAGACGUACCUUGAAUAGAGGGUCUUGAGAAGUUGUCGUGCUAUGGGUGAGGUUGACGCUUGGGAGAUCCUUAAUGGCAUCUCAUUUUCCUCCAUGAAGACGUUUGGAGCAUAGUUUGGUCGAACCAAACAUAUGGUCCUUGGUGGUGGAUCCCCAUAGCUGCACAUGGUAUAUUGAGAAUGAAAUUUGUGUCUAUGAUAGACAUACCUUAUGGGUGACCGGGCCAUGCAGUGGGGAUCGUAUCCCUAUUUUCUUUGAGACGGAGAUGUCUCCGGGGGAUCUGAUUGAGCUCGGGCUCGCUUGCCCGCCUGUCGUGCCUCGAUGGCUAGCUUGUGGCUUGAUGCUUCAUUGUCGUAUUGGCAUUCAGCUGCCAAGGACACUGUGUGCUCCGGGGUCUGGAGGGAGCAUUAUGUGUUUCCGUUGGUGGUGAUAACUCCCCUCAGUCCGAGCAUCUUGAGCUUUAGGUAGGCAUAAUGAGGCACAAUGUUGAAGCGGGCGAAUGCCGUGCGAUCGAGUAGUGUGUGAUAUCCACUGUGGAAGGGGACAAUGUCGAAGGUUAAGUCUUUGCUGCGGAAGUUGUUGGGUGAGACGAACACAACCUGUAGUGUUACCGUGCCGGAGCAGUGGGCUUCGAUGCCUGGGAUCACUCCUUUAAAGGCAGUGUUGCUGGGUUUGAUCCUUGAUGGGUCUAUGCCCAUCUUUUUCAUCGUAUCUGAGUAAAUCAGGAUAAGGCUACUUCCUUCGUCCAUAAGGACUCUAGUGAGGUGGUACCCAUCUAUGAUGGGGUCUAAGACAAGGGCGGUCGACCCUCCGUGACGGAUACUGGUCGGAUGAUCCCUAUGAUCGAAGGUGAUCAGGCAAGCUGACCAUGGGUUGCACUUUGGGGCUAUGGGCUCUAUGGCGUGGACCUCCUGAAGGACUUGGUUCCUCUCCUUCUUUGCUAUGUGACUAACGUAUAUCAUAUUCACGGUUUUCACCUAUGAGAGGAACAGUUUCUAGCCCCUAGUGUUUGGACCGUAGGGCUCUUCAUCAUCCUCGCUUCAUGGGCCCUUCCCUUGUUCCUCGACUGCUAGGUUGCCGACAUGUUUAAACACCCAAUAGUUACGGUUGGUGUGGGUGGCGGUCUUGUCUUGGAUGCCAUGGAUCUGGCAGGUCCUUUCCAUAAUUUUAUCUAAUGGAGUCGGUCCAUCCCUGUUCCAUUUAAAGGGUUUCUUCCGCGGUCCUGAUUUUGAGCUGUGGAAGCUAGCAUUAACGGUUGUGUCGUCAGCGUCACCGUUACGGUCACGACGUUUGGUCUUGUUUCGCCUUGCCUUGCCAUUUCCAUCCUGAACUUCAGAGGUGCCGGGGUCGUCCGCAUUAUGUCCGCGCCGAGGUAGCCAAUUGUCCUCGCCCAUGCAAAAGUGGGUCAUUGUAAGUGCAUCUAGUGCCCCUUAGUGAUUUUGGUGGUUUGAAGACUUAUAGGUUAAGUAUCUAAUGUGUUUGUGAGUGUACACAUGAUCUAUAAGUCAUUGAGGAGUUUGAGAUAUUUGAAGAAUAUCGACCCCUAAAAAUAUAUGUCUUCAGUUGAAGAAAUUGGCCUGAAGCUGAAGAAAUGAAUCGUGAGGAAUCUGCGAUGAAAUUGAUAUUCCUCAUGAAGAUUCUGAUAUUGAGAAGUCCGGUGGUUCCUGAAGAAAAUCAUUCUGAAGAAUUUGAAGCAUGAAGAUUUACACUUUCUGUUUUACUUUCUUCGCAUUUGAGUAAUAGGAACACCGUACUGUUAAAGGGGGUCGAAGUUACACUAUGGAAUGAAUUUCCUCAUGAUGCUCAACCCAAGCCUAAUCCUAUCAAAAGACUCAAGUGAGGAAUAUGAGUGACAUGAGGACUCUCACAGUUGAGGGUUCCGACCGUUUCGAUAACCACGCCAAGUCAUUGGUCUUAUCCACACCAACGGUCAUAUUAUUUAAGGGCAUUAGUGUCAAAUCAUGUCGGGAUGCUCCCAUGCUAUAAAUAGCCACCCCCACAACCACUAGCUGGUUGGCUGCUCCGUUAGAAACUGACACUUGUCAUAAGAGCAACCCAAAUUCCUCAGAGCUUUCGAGAGUAAUUCAUCAGUGAGGAAAUACACCACCCACCGAAACCACAAACCAAAUCUAGUGAUUGAGCAUCACUGAAGAAGUUGUUCCUGUGUGGGACUGAAGCCUUUUACCUUUGAGGACUGUGCAUCCUCCAUACGGUUAGGCGUCAUGGUCUAGAGCAAUCCAGCAGUCAAUUGUGGAUCGCCGGGUGACCAAGUUUGUGAGGGUUUGGAAGUUUGCCCUGAAGACUUACCACGAGCGUUGGGCGAGGACCGUGUGUCCUUAGCUCAAGGAGAAUACGGUAGGGACUGUGUGUCCCGGGACUGGGUGUCCUUUGGUUUCAAUACCAAGCCGCUCCAAACCAUAUGUACAAGUGUCACAGCAGUUGGAACUGGGUCAUCAACAACAGUCUUCACUGAGAAACGGGUUCUAAUUCCUCAACUCUCUACUUUUCUUGUAUUGUGUGUUGAUGACUUUCACUGUGACUGUUUGAAGAAUUUGCUGAAGACUUUCUCUGAAUUUCCUCAACCCCAAAUUCUACACGAUAGUUAAUCAUCAUCUGUAUUCUGCGUGCCUGCUUACUGUGCAAUCUGUUUUCACAUUCUUCACUCUGAAAUACUGCUGUUGUGAACGUUUGCACGUCUGAUCCUUUACUGUUUCCGCUGUAAGUUAGUCAUCAUUGAGGAAUUUCUUCAAAAGGAAUUUCCUCAGUGAUGAAAUUCUAAAAAUCUCCUAUUCACCCCCCUCUAGUCGAUAUAACGCACUUUCAAUUGGUAUCAGAGCAAGGUACUCCCUUGUUUUGUGUGAUUUUGGUUUAACCACCUGGAGUUUUAGUUAUGUCGACUGCAGGCAUGUUUAAGGUGACUGCAGCAUGUCCUACCUACGAAGGAAAGAACUUUCCCUUCUGGAAGAACAAAAUGCAAAUGCAUUUACAAGCUAUUGAUAAUGAUCUCUGGUAUAUUGUGGAAAAUGGUGUCCCCAUUAUCUCUGCCAGUGUCACUGCGGCUGAUGUGAACAAAUUCAAGCAACUCGAUUCUCAAGCGAAGAACAUCAUCUGUGGCCAUCUGAGCCCUGGCCAGUUUGGAAGAGUAAGUGCUUUGGGCUCUGCAACACUGAUCUGGGAGAGACUGUGCAAGGUAAAUGAAGGAGUAUCAACCCAACGUGACUCUCGUGUUGAUAUUCUUCGCAAUCUCUUCAAUCGCUUCAAGAGACAUGACAAUGAAAGCUGCCAAGACACCUUUGAUCGCCUCACUGACAUAUCAAAUGAACUGCAAGCACUGGGAGCUCGAGACAUCACUGAUCACGAAGUUGUGAAGAAACUACUGAGAUCUUUGGAUUCUUCAUUUGACACUUUAGUUCUGAUGAUUCAAGAAAGACCAGAUUACAAGAUGCUUGAUCCAGCUGAUAUACUAGAAAGGCUAAAUACUCAUGAAUUCCAGCUAGAAGAAAAGAGAGAUCUAUAUGGACCAAGCUAUUCCAGACCACGUGCACUGAAGGCUAGAGCAAUUUCCUCAUCUGAAGACGAAGAUACAGAUGACAACAUUUGUGACCCUGAAGAAUUUGGACAGGAUCUUACAAUGCUCGUGAGGAAAUUCCAGAGAUAUACACGACGUGGUCAGUUCGGUAAAUCUUCAAGAAGAGACAUGAGGAAAUCAGAAUCUUCAUUUGAGGACUACAAGAAACGAACCUGUCACAAGUGCAAGAAAUCAGGUCAUUACAUUGUUGAUUGUCCUCGUUGGGGAAAGGAAUCAAAGAAGAAGAAAUACAAGGAUGACAGUUCUGAUGACUCGAAGAAGAAGAAGAAAUCUUCAAAAUCCUCAUCUUCAAAGCCCUCAUCGCACCAGAAGACUAGUUUCCGAAAGGCUCGGGCACUUAUUGGCAAAGAAAUGGACUCCGAGGCAGAAUCAGAGGAAGGUGAUGAAGAAGAUGGGUCUGAAGAAGACUCAGAAUCUGGACAGGCUAGUCUUGCACUGGCAACCACCUUCGUCAGCAAGUCAAUCUUCAAUCUUGAAGAAAAUGAUUGCACCAUCCAUACUGAUGACUAUGCUGAUGACUUCGCUCCAACCUAUUGCUUCAUGGCAAAAGGAUCAAAGGUAUCAAAUAAUGCCUCCUCCUCUGAUUCAAGUGACUGUGAACCUGAUGAUUAUAAGAAACCCGGUUACAGUAAACUUGCUAUCAUUGCCACUAAACAACAAACUGCUCUGGAAAAGCUUCAGAAACUGCUAGACAAAAGUGAUGAUCUGUUGAAUGAUGAAAUGAACCUUACCCAAAUCCUCACUGAUGACAUGAAAAGUCUUUAGUCUAGAUUUGAUAAUCUUCAGGAUCGUUAUGAUACACUCCUCACUGAUCAUGAGAAGCUUUCCUAUGAAUUUCUUCAAAGGAAGCUUGAUCUUGAGAAGCUGAGGAUGUCUCAUGAUGAUCUUCGUAUGGAAAAUGAUUCAUUACUAGCUCAACAGAUCAGGCCUAGUCAGGUUGAAUUUAUUCCUCCAUGUCUUAAAUGCAUUGAACGCGAAACUGCUAAUUACUCACCAGAAUUUUCAAAUGCAACCAUUGCUACAAAUUCUUCAACUGCACCUGUUGUGUCUAUUUCCUCACUUGAGGAAAACACAAAUGUUACUGAUGAAAAUGCAGGGUUGAAGGAGUUGUACGUGACAGGCAUGUACAAAAGCCUCAAAGGACAUCAAACCCUUUGUGAUGUGCUCAAAAAGCAGAUCUUGAACAUGAACCCGAGGAAAGAAGGAAUUGCCUUUGAGAGGAAAUUAAAUGCUGAUGGAUCUUAUUGGAAACCUGAGCAGUAUCCCAAAACCUCAUGGGUUGCUGCUACUGGGCCUCCUUUUGAUCCAUCUAAUCUAACUGGUUUUUCAUGUGAACUAUCCUAUUCCUCGGAUGAGUCAUUUGAUUCCAACUAUAAACUGUUCAAAAAUCAAUCUAGUGAAGUAUUUGCUCGAUAUGUUGGAACUAACUGCAGGAAUGGCCCUCCUCUGAGGAAAAUCUAGGUUCCCAAAAGCUGUCUUGAAAAUCUUCAGGUGAAUGUCCUCAUGACAUCACCACUGAAGAAUCUGAACCCCAGAUCAAAUUCCUCAGGAGGACCAAAGUCUUCAAGAGGAUCAAAAUCCUCAACUGGUCAAAACUAUGCUCGUACCCGUGCUUAUGCAUCUAACAUGCAGGANNNNNNNNNNNNNNNNNNNNNAGGGAAACUACAAGGAAUAUGAAUAUGGGCGUUACUCCUCAAAUCAUUAUGUUCAUAAAUCCUCAAACCAGUUCUCUGCAUAUUCAUAUGAGUACUUUAAUCCCCCUACUGUUAAGAGAAGUGCAUUUGCUUCAAUGCCACCUUUCUCAUAUGGUGCUCGCAGGAUGAUGAACGCUUUGCCACUCCUUCUGAUGUGGGUGGUGAAGAAAUCAAACUAAUCACUUCUGCAGGUCAGGUCUCCAGAUGAAAAUCAUCAUCUGAAGAAUUUGCUGGAGACCUGAAGAAAUGCUUGAUAGGACGCAAGCUAAUGAUUGAUGAAAUAGAGAUAUUUCACUCGUCCUUACAUUUCUGUUAUGAUGAAAUUACUGAUCUGAUGAAAUUAGUAUCAUAUUCUUCAAAUCUGAAGCAUAUGAGAUGGUAAGCAGUACUAAUUCAUUUGCAGGAUGACAAACCCAAAAAUAUUGAGUGGGUUCUUGAUAGUGGCUGCACACAUCACAUGACUGGUAAUAAAAGCUUACUGAUGAAUAUGCCACUAACUCCAUCACCUCUGAAGCAAAUCACAUAUGCUGACAAAGGUAAAAGCAAGGUAUUGGGACUUGGCAAAGUGGCUAUUUCCAAGGAUAGGCAUAUGGACAAAGUGAUGCUUGUUGAAUCCCUUGGUUUUAACCUUAUGUCAGUCUCAAUGCUUUGUGAUCUUGAUAUGAUUGUUAUCUUUGGUAGAUAUAGAUGUGUAGUUAUCAUGGAAUCUGACAGAUCCAAAGUCUUCGAAGGGGUAAGAAGAGGGGAUUUGUACAUUGUUGACUUCUAUACAGGUCCUCAACCAGCCACUUGCUUACUAGCAAAAACCUCAGAAGGAUGACUGUGGCACCGAAGACUAGGUCAUGCAGGCAUGAGGAAUUUGCACACGCUCGCGAAGAAGAAGCAUGUCAUCGGCAUCGAAUCAGUCAAGUUACUCAAGGAUCAUCUCUGCGGUGCUUGUGAAUCUGGGAAAAUGACCAGAUCCAAGCAUCCCUCCAAAACCAUCAUGGACACUACACGUCCAUUCGAAUUGCUUCAUAUGGAUUUAUUUGAACCUACUCACUAUGCCACACUAACCAAUGCAACAUCUCUAUAUGGCUUCGUCAUAGUUGAUGAUUAUUCCAGAUACACUUCGGUGCAUAUUAUAGUGUAUAAAACUGAAGUGCAGGAAAUCUUCAAACGAUUUUCUUCAAGGGCCUCGACGAACUUUGGCAUCAAGAUCAAACAUAUCAGGAGUGAUAAUGGAACCGAGUUCAAAAACACUGGUCUUGAUGAUUAUCUUGAUGAACUUGGUAUUACUCACGAAUUGUCUGCUCCUUAUACUCCUCAGCAGAAUGGUGUCGUCGAAAGGAAGAACAGGACUCUGGUUGAAAUGGCGAGAACCAUGCUUGAAGAAUAUCAGACUCCUCGCCGCUUUUGGCCUGAAGCAAUCAACACUGCAUGCCAUAUCAUCAACAGGGUAUAUCUUCACAAAUUCCUCAAGAAAACCUCAUAUGAACUCCUCACUGACAAGAAACCCAAUGUAAGUUAUUUCAAAGUCUUCGGUGCAAAAUGCUGGAUUAGAGAUCCUCACCACAGCUCAAAAUUUGCACCUAAGGCACAUGAAGGUUUUAUGCUCGGUUAUGGAAAGGAUUCGCACACUUACAGAGUCUUCAACAACUAUCACAACAAAGUUGUUGAGACUGUAGAUGUGCGGUUCGAUGAAACUAAUGGCUCGCAAAGAGAGCAAUUGCCUUCUGAUCCAGAUAAGCUGUCUCCUGAGGAAGCAAUAAAGCUCAAGCCUACUGAAGACAUUGUCCCAUCUGAGGAAAUCGAUGAAGAAACGAUCCCCAUCGCUGAUAAAAACCAAGAAGAUGCUCCUGAGGAAAUUGCAUCAGCACCACUUCCUCAGCCCAGACAAAAUCCUCAACCAGCUCAUCCGAGGAUUGCAAACGAAGUUGAACUUGACAAAAUCCUCAACGACAUCAACGCGCCAGGUCCUCUCACUCGCUCAAAAGCUUCACACUUAGUUAACUUUUGUGGGCAUUUCUCCUUUGUAUCCAUCACAGAACCCUCAAAAGUUGCUGAGGCUUUUCUGGAACUGGAGUGGAUCCAAGCUAUGCAAGACGAACUUCUUCAAUUCAAGUUGAAUGACGUAUGGGAGCUCGUCAAACGACCAGAUCCUCGCAAGCACAACAUCAUCGGCACCAAGUGGAUUUUCCGAAACAAGCAAGAUGAGGACGGUCAAGUGGUGAGGAACAAGGCACGACUUGUAGCCCAAGGCUACACCCAGGUUGAAGGAAUAGAUUUCGAUGAAACUUUUGCACCUGUUGCUAGACUUGAAGCUAUCCGAAUAUUACUUGCUUAUGCUAAUCAGCAUAACAUCACCUUAUAUCAAAUGGAUGUGAAAAGUGCAUUCCUCAAUGGUAAGCUUGAGGAAGAAGUAUACAUUGCUCAGCCCCCAGGUUUUGAGGAUCCAAAGAAUCCAGACAAAGUCUUCAGACUCAAAAAGGCGCUGUAUGGCCUCAAGCAAGCCCCUCGGGCAUGGUAUGAUACAUUGAAGGAAUUCCUCAUGAAGAAAGGCUUCAAACCUGGUUCACUCGAUCCAACUCUUUUCACUAAAUCCUAUGAUAAUGAGCUAUUUGUGUGUCAAAUAUAUGUUGAUGAUAUUAUAUUUGGCUGUACUGGCAAAAGAUACAGUGAUGAAUUUGCCUACAUGAUGAGUGAGGAAUAUCAGAUGUCCAUGAUGGGGGAGCUGAAAUUCUUCUUAGGUCUUCAAAUUCAUCAACAAAGCAAUGGAAUCUUCAUAUCACAGGAGAAAUACCUCAAGGAUGUUCUGAGGAAAUUCGACAUGCACGAAUGCAAAGGUGCCAAGACUCCAAUGCCUACCAACGGCCACCUCGGCACUGAUGAAAAUGGUAAAGAUUUCGAUCAGCAGGUAUACCGUUCUAUGAUUGGCUCCUUAUUGUAUCUAUGUGCAUCUAGGCCAGAUAUAAUGCUUAGUGUUUGCAUGUGUGCACGUUUUCAAGCAAAACCGAAGGAAUCACACCAUAAGGCUGUGAAACAUAUUCUUCGAUACUUAGCUCACACACCAACACUAGGAUUAUGGUAUCCCAAGGGCUCCAAUCUUCAUCUGGUAGGGUAUUCUGAUUCAGACUAUGCUGGUGACCGUGUGGAUCGCAAGUCAACUUCUGGCACAUGUCAUUUCCUCGGAAGAUCACUAGUUUGUUGGUCCUCAAAGAAGCAGAACUGCGUAUCACUCUCCACUGCCGAAGCUGAGUACAUUGCUGCUGGUUCUUGCUGUGCUCAAUUGCUAUGGAUGAAGCAAACCCUCAAGGACUACGGCAUCAACAUGAAUAAUGCACCUCUCUACUGUGACAAUGAGAGUGCUAUCCAGAUUGCAUACAACCCAAUACAACACUCGAAGACCAAGCACAUCCAGAUUCGUCAUCAUUUUCUUCGGGACCAUGUCCUCAAGGGCAAUAUCCUCAUCGACCAUGUGAAGACUGAUGAUCAACUGGCAGAUAUCUUCACUAAGCCCUUGGAUGAGAAAAGGUUUUGCAAGUUGCGGUGUGAGCUAAAUAUCUUAGAAUCUUCAAAUGUUUUGUAAAAACAUGCACACAUCCUAACACUUAUGCAAAGUUGAUGACUUAGAUGUGCAACACAUGAUGAAUCGAUUUUCUUCAACUGAUGAAGAAUGUCACUCUGAAUGUGAAGAAAUUAACGAAGAAAUUGAUUCUCAGGGCCCUACGACAAUUGUACGCAGCGUCUGUAAUCAACAUUCUUAUAUGAUGGGUAAUGCCACCGCCCUAUGUGAAAUUCCUCAAGUUGUUUUUCAUCUAAUGAUCAAUUUCCUCAAAAUGUGUUUUUCUUCAAAACAACUGUUCUUCAUUGUGAUGAUUUAUUACAAAAUCUUCAAAAACACUUGAUGACUUUAAUUUGACUAGGUAGAUUGUGAUUUCUAGUCCUCAACAGCAUUCACUUAUGGCUAAUUCUUCAAGUUGAUGUUUCUGCUAAGUGAAUGUGAUCGGAUCCUACUUUCCCUCUAUGUUAUACUUAUCCAGUCUAUUCAAUUCUUCAUAUGCGUUCUAUUUGAAACUUUGUUCAAAAUCCUCACUGCGUCCUUGUCAGCUGAUGAUUUUGUAACGAAAAUCCUCAAAUCUUCAAAAAUUGUUUCUUUAAAGACACAGUAACUGAACCCCCACUUCCCACGAUCGGAUAACCACGAUCUCCACUAUCUCCACCGCAUCGUACGGAAGCUACACGUGUCCUGCGGAGAUGUAGAGGCAGGGGCUAUUUGGUCCGACAUUUUUGCGCCAAACAGUAACUUUUGGGCUAUAAAUAUGUCCUUAUCCCCCUCGGCAUCCUCUUCUUCGCCUCAUCGCUCUCCUGCCACAGCACACUCCACCGAACCCUAGCACACCGCUGGUAGUCUUGUCGCCGGUGAGGAAGAGCUUCACUGCCUCGACCUCUUCGUCGCCAGAACCACGCCGGAGUCGGAUCAUCUUCGUCCGCCGCCGCCGUAGACGUCCUCUGUCGCCAAGUUAGGGUGCAUUGGGCACUUGAACGAAGAGCCUCUCCAACACUACUUUCUGUGUUCUUCGUACGCACCUUCCAGGGUAAAUAUAUCCCAUUUUUACAGCAGAUUAGAUCUGAAAUUUUACAUCUUCUAUGUGAAAUCUGUUUUUCCUCAAGAUACGACGCGCACAUGAUUCCUCAAACACUACAUAUCACCACAAUCAUUGAUGAACUAUGCUAAGCAUCUAAGAUUAUCACGAGAUUCCUCAAUUGUGCGAAUUUUCGGAUCUGUACAACUCUGGAACCCAAGAACAGUAUGCUUAGGCAAAUUCCUCAACCACUGGUUAUAUUCCUAAAACUGUCAAACUUUUUCAUUUUCUUCAAAUCUGAGAACGCAUAUGACCUCUCCAAAUUCCUCGCAACCAUACUCUGUUCACAGGUACACACAUGUCAGCUGAUUAAUCUCUCGGUUCUCAUCACAUUAACUCAUUUGCAACGUUUCUGGAAGAAACUCUUCAAGGCUCAUCAGAAUCCUCAAGAGUUCAAAAUCAUCAGCAAAAUCCUCAACUGAAGAAAAUGGAGGAAGACAGAAAAUAGAAGGGAGGAAAGAAGCUUGAGCUAAACACAGCUAUCGAUAUCCCUGAGGACAUUUACUUGGACUAUUGCACGCCUUAUGAACAUGAGACAAUGGCCAAGAGAAAGAUACGGCUCCAGAAGAUUGAACAUCGAUGGGCGAAGGAAUGGAAGGAGUACAGGUUUGUGAUUCCCAAAUAUGCGAAGAAAUUCGCUUUGAAGCCUCCUGGCAGAAGGGCACCACUUGAGGAUCAUCAAGUAGCACAUCCAUCAAGCCUCAAGACCAUUGAUGACUAUCCAGAUGAAAAGGAAAAGCAUCUGGCCAAGCUCAAGAGGCAAGCAGAAGCUGCAGUGAGGAAAUUCAAUGAAUCCUCAGCUGCUGCCUCCGGUGCUGCUCAUUCCUCAGCUGCAGAAACCUCAGGCUUAGAAAUUCCUCAAAUGCAGUCUGCGCCAUGAAAGCCAAAGGCUCCAAAGCCUCAAGAGAAGUCUGCUCAGGCUUCUGUCACAAAAAUCUCAGCACCAAAACCCUCAUUACCAAAACCUUCAACACCAAAACCAUCAGCGCCAAAGCCCUCAGCACCAAUCUCCUCAGUAUCAAAAUCCUCAGCUCCAACUCCAAAGCCUCAAGAGAAACCAAUACCGAAGCAUGUCGUGAAGCCUACGACCGCCAACUCCAGCUCCUCAUUCCCAGCUGCAACUAGCUCGGAGACAAAGUCUUCAACACCUCUUGUGAAGACUUUGACAACUGCUGAACGUGCACCUCUGCCCAGCCCCAGCAAAAUCAUCGCAGUCCCAUCUGCAUCAGAGGGAAGUGAUGAAUAUGAUGAUGAAACCCUGCAAGCCAUCAUCAGAAACAAGCAAGAAAGGGUAGCACAAGCAUCAUGUAGUGCUAUUCCUCUGGCCAUGGACCCCAAGGUCCUCCUUGACUACAUCAAUAUCUGGUAUGAGGAUCCAAACACUCCUAUUGAUGAUUUGAAGCUUCCUCCUGGCAUCAGCCACAUGGUGGCCAUCUUCAUAAAUGAAGCCAAGUGGAAAGAACAGCAGGCCAGGCAGGCAAAGGUUGCAAAGGCCAAAAAGGAGAAAUUCCUCAGGCAGAAUCUCCUCAAACUGACUCCUGAUGCACUGGUGUCAACCCAGGCAGAGCUGCAAGUACUGACUGACAAGUACGCCAAGCUGUCAGAUCGCAAAAGCAUCAAGAGCAAUUUCAUCAAGCUAGCCACUAGUGCUGUUGAUGACUACAACAAGAGAACCGCACCCCCAGCACCAACUCCUCAACCCUUGGUUGAGCAGCCAGAAGAUGCAUCUCCCGAUGAGGAGGAAACUCCUCAAGCUGAGGAAGAACACCAAGAGCGCCGUGUUGAUGAACCGGCCAUUGAAGAAAUCAUCACGGAAACUGCAACUGAUGAAAUUGUUGCCACUGAUGAGACUGCUCCUGAUCCAGCUACUUCAUCAAAGUAGGCUGAUGACUCUGUUCCAGCUGGUUCCUCACUACCAGCUGAAGAAUCUGAAGAAAGAACACCUUCACCAAAAGCUUCAAAGGUGAAGAAGAUAAUUCCGUCUGCAUCAGAGGUAAAGAAAAAAAGGGCUACUGAAAAGGAAGCCAAGAAGAGAAAAGCUUCCUCAGCAGUAGAAGAGACAGAGGCAAAGCGCCUCAAAGAAAUUGAAGAAACUGCUCCUCUGGACCGAGUGCCUCUCAAUGUCGCCCCUUCCUAUGAGAUGGUCGUCAUUGAUGACCCAGCUACAAGCGCAAAUGAGGAAAUAAAGGAUGUCACCUCUGAGGAACACACUGAUGAGGAAAUUCAGAUUGACGACAGUCCUCAACCUCUUAUUCCUCAGACAGAGACUGCUCAAGCAUCAGCUGCACAAGCUGAUGAAACUGCUUCUGCCACAAAGCCAGCUGAGGAAAAACAAUCUGAACAUCCUCAUGCUGAUGAAAUUAUACAUUCUGAGAAGACUCCUCAAGAUGAGGAACAGGCUGACCCAACUCCUCCAAAUGAGAAAGAAGUGGAAAUUCCUCAGCCUGAGGCUCAGCCAGAGCAAGCAUCAUCUCCUCAGCAUGAAGUACCAGCUGAUGAAAUUCCUCACCCUGAGGAAAAUGCUGAAGAAAAUGUAUCCGCCCAAGACAAUGACUUCAUUGUGCUCAACCCAGAGACUGCUAUUGUUGUCUCCUCCCCUAUUCCUCAGCAAAAUCUUCAGCCAGUUCAGCGUCAGCCAUUCUCCAAGCGUCCAAAGUUUCAGAAAGAAAAUUUCUUUGAGGAACGCAUGUACUUCAUCGGAGAGAACCCUUAUGACAAGCCUCAAAUGAGGCAUCUGAAGUUUUGGACAAGGACUCAGAUGAACUACUAUGCCUCUGUGCUUUGUGGAUGCAACAAGAUUUUCUAGCACAUGCAUAUUCCUCAUGUUGAGCUUGAAGCAAUACCUUGCCUAGAGCCAGUCCUCAGUGUACUCCACGGUGCAGGUUUGCUCCCAAUGUGCUCAGACAUAUCAGACUGGAACAUUGAGCUUAUUCUUCAGUUCUAUGCCACUCUUCACAUAUCUGGCAACCCUGAAGACAUUAACACAUGGGUGUUUGAUUGGAUGACCCAAAACACUCACUACAAGGCUCCUGCCUCUGAACUCCUUAGAGAACUGCCCAUACCAAUUCCCUCAGAUGCGGCAGUGAAACUUUAUGGUGAGCGUGAGCUGCCAAAUGGAAUGAUGGAAGUCCUCAUGAAGCCUUUGGCUGCAGGCAAAUCUUCAAGAACAACCUUCCUCGUCCACGAGCUCAAGUACACACCCCGGUCUGUUUACAGAAUCCUCUACAGUGUGCUAGCACCGAUCAAAGGCCAUGACGAUGAAGAAGAUGUUGUAGGCCUCAUGAAGAAUAUCCUCUUCAACAUCAUUCACGGUAUUCCUAUCAAUAUCCAUGAUUUCUUCUUGAGGACUUUGGCCGACAAUGCCAUGUGCCCCUAUGAUCACAAGAUAUAUGCCCCGUGGAUUAUGAGAUUCAUCAGGACAAGGACAGUCAUCAACUUUCACGCUGAUUGUCAAAACCAUGUUGGUUAUAUGCCUCCUAUUCGGGUCAACAAGAAGACUUUCGAGCCCAUUGAAGGAAAAGGAAAAUCUAUGAUUGAAGAAGGCAGCAGGCCCCUUGAUGGCCAGUUCAGAGAACCAGAAGCAUAUUCUUCAUGGGACGAUACUGAGACUCGUCCAGCAAGCCCAGUUCCUCCUCGCGUGCUGAACACCAGAGAGCUCCUCCUCAGUCUUCACCAGAAGGUGGAUCGCAACCACAAAUGGGUCAAACGCCAGUUUGGUGCCAUUCUGAAAACCCUCACUGAAACACAGAACUCUGUGAAGAUUAACCAUCACUAUCUGCAUGAGGUUUUCGAUCGCACCUGGGCUACACUUGCACAUCUGAAGACUCAGACUGAGCUUGAAGAAAUGGACUUUGAGCGAGACUUUGACUGGUCGUGGCCUCCCAAGAAGAAGUUCAGGCCCAUUCCAGUGCCAGACCUUGAAGACAGCUCCUUUUCUUCAUUCUGCACUGCUGAAUCUGAUGAAGAACAGCUUGACACUGCAACCGGCCCCAGGAAGAAGACUACUCUCAAGAAGCAUCACGGCUCUUCCUCGACCGCCAAGAAAUGAAGUCUUCACGGGUGUUAGUCCUCAGUUUGUCCCUUUUUUGUCACUUGAUGACAAAGGGGGAGAAACUCGAGUGUUAGUCUUCAAGCGAGAUAUUUUUGGGGCUUAUAAACUAUAUUUAAGUUACAAACUCUUGGCUCUUCUGAAGUUUUUAUGUAAUGAGUUGUAACUUAAGCCCGAUGGUACUCUGACGCUUUUGAACGUUUUUCUUCGCCUGCUUACUGUGCAAUCUGUUUUCACAUUCUUCACUCUGAAAUACUGCUGUUGUGAACGUUUGCACGUCUGAUCCUUUACUGUUUCCGCUGUAAGUUAGUCAUCAUUGAGGAAUUUCUUCAAAAGGAAUUUCCUCAGUGAUGAAAUUCUAAAAAUCUCCUAUUCACCCCCUCUAGUCGACAUAACGCACUUUUAGUCAUGAGGGAAGUGAGAGUGGACAUUAUUCUCGACCUAUCCUGGCCGAGCUUGCGAGCCAGCCAUUCAUCCCGGAUAUUGUGCGUGAAGGAGACUAUCACCUCGGCGUAUAGACAAUCCAUGAUCUGGUUCUUCUUAGUUAAGAACCUAUUCCAGAAUUCUCUGUCUAAUUCGCCCGCCUUUUGGUCAACGUUGCUCAGGUCGGAGGAGUACGGUGGUCGGACGUAGGUUCGCUAAAAAAUAGACAGGAAGGCUUCUUCAAGCUCUUGCCAACUUCCGAUGGAAUUUUUGGGUAGGCUGUUUAGACAGUGUCGUGCUGGCCCUUUCAGCUUUAGGGGUAGGUACUUGAUGGCAUGGAGGGAAUCUCCUCUGGCCAUAUGGAUGUGGAGAAGGAAAUCUUUUAUCCACACGGCGGGAUCCGUAGUCCUUUUGUAUUGUUCUAUGUUCACGGGUUUAAACCCUUCAGGGAAUUGGUACUGCAUGACCUGAUCUGUAAAGCAUAGUGGGUGGGCGGCUGAUACGUCUCCAACGUAUCUAUAAUUUUUGAUGGUUCCAUGCUAUUAUCUUGUCAACUUUGGAUGUUUUGUAUGCAUUUUAUAUAUUUUUUGGGACUAACCUAUUAACUCAGUGCCAAGUGCCAGUUCCUGUUUUUUCCGUGUGUUUGACCCUUUUCAGAGGAGAAUAUUAAACAUAGUCCAAAUACAAUAAAAUCUUCGGAAUGAUUUUUUCCGUAACAGAAGAUUCGCAGGGAACUUGAGAACCAAGGCAAAGGACCCCGGGGGAGGCCACAAGCCCCCUAGCCGCGGCCUGGGGGGGCUACCAGGAUUGUGGCCCACCCCCAUGGCUCCUUUGCCCUACUUCUUCCGCCUAUAAAUUCUCCAAAAAUCUGAAACUGCCAGAGAGAGCCACGAAAAUAUUUUUCCGCCGCAAGCUUCUGUCUCCGCAAGAUCCCAUCUAGGGACCGUUUUGGUGCCCUGCCGGAGGGGGGAUUCGGACACGGAGGGCUUCUUCAUCAACACCAUUGCCUCUCCGAUGAUGCAUGAGUAGUUCACCACAGACCUUCGGGUCCAUAGCUAGUAGCUAGAUGGCUUCUUCUCUCUCUUGGAUCUUCAAUACAAAGUUCUCCAUGAUCUUCAUGGAGAUCUAUCCAAUGUAAUCUUCUUUUGCGGUGUGUUUGUCGAGAUCCGAUGAAUUGUGGAUUUAUGAUCAUAUUAUCUAUGAAUAUUAUUUGAGUCUCCUCUGAUCUCUUAUAUGCAUGAUUUCAUAUCCUUGUAAUUCUCUUCGAGUUGUGGGUUUUGUUUGGCCAACUUGAUCUAUAAUUCUUGCAAUGGGAUAAGUGCUUGGUUUUGGGUUCAUACCGUGCGGUGUCCUCACACAGUGACAGAAGGGGUUGUGAGGCACGCAUCAUGUUGUUGCCAUCAAGGGUAAAAAGAUGGGGUUUAUAUCUAUUGCAUGAAUUUAUCCCUCUACAUAAUGUCAUCUUGCUUAAGGCGUUACUCUGUUUGUUAUGAACUCAAUACACUAGAUGCAUGCUGGAUAGCGGUCGAUGUGUUGAGUAAUAGUAGUAGAUGUAGACAGUAUCAGUCUACUUGUCUCGGAUGUGAUGCCUAUAUGUAUGAUCAUUGCCUUAUAUAUCAUCAUGACUUUGCGCGGUUCUAUCAAUUGCUCGAUAGUAAUUCGUUCACCCACCGUAAUACUUGCUAUCAUGAGAGAAGCCUCUAGUGAACACUAUGGCCCCCGGGUCUACUUCACAUCAUAUUUUCAGCUCUACACUUUUACUUUAUUGCACUUUCCACCUUCAGAUCUCACCUUGCAAUUAAUCAUGAAGGGAUUGACAACCCCUUUAUAGCGUUGGGUGCAAGUUUGUUUGUUUUUGCGUAGGUACAUUGGUGACUUGCCUUAAUACUCCUACGGGACUGAUACCUUGGUUCUCAAACUAAGGGAAAUACUUACUGCUACUGUGCUGCACCACCCUUUCCUCUUCAACGAAAAAACCAACGCAAGCUCAAGAGGUAGGACGAAGAAUUUCUGGCGCCGUUGCUGGGGAGGAUCAAGUCAAGAAUAGUCUCCCGUCAACGUGCCAAUUUCUGGCGCCGUUUCCGGGGAGUAUCAAGUCAAGAAUUGUCUCCCUUCAACGUGUCAAUUUCUGGCACCGGGGACUAUUCUAAGUGAAUCUUAUCCAAGUAACUGUCGCAAACUCAUCUCUUGCAUUUACUUUUUUGCCUUUUGCCUCUCGUUUUCCUCUCCCCCACUUCUAAAAACAAAAAUUACAAAAAUAUUUGCCUUUUUCGUUUGCCUUUCCUUUGCUUGUGUGCUAUGUGCCUUCAAUAUGCUUGCAUCUUCGCUUGCUGAAAAUCUAGUGAUAUGGAUCCUCACCCACUUGCUAAUCUCUUUAAGAGAUCCAAUUAUGUUGAACCAAUUGCUAGUGAGUUUUGUGCACUAGAUUAUCUUUAUGAAGUUUUGCUUAAGAUGCGUGAAUCUGAAAAUUGUGAUGAAGAAAUUUAUGAAGUGAUUCAUGAGGGCUCCUUGAAUGAAAAGCAUAAUUGCAAUGGGUCACUAUGAAUUCUAUUAAUUGCAAUCAUGCUAAAAAUAUGCAAAACCCUAAGCUUGGGGAUGCUAGUUUUGCUAUGUCCACUACUUGUUUCAAUGAUCGUGAUUGGGGUGAUAAUUUUUCUUAUGAUCUUGAAAAUUUUUUUAAGCCUCAUGAUGAAUAUGAUAUUUGCAAUAAUACUGAAAGUGGGAUUGGAGAAGUCAUGACUUUAGUUCAUGAUAAUCCCACUAUUUUUGAAGAGCNNNNNNNNNNNNNNNNNNNNNNNNNNNNNNAAGAGCGUCAACUUUGCAUGCUUGUGGAUCAUGAAAAGAAUAUCCUAUGUGAUAGCUAUAUUGUUGAAUUUGAAUUUGAUCCCACAUGUAAUUCUUAUGAGAAAGGAAAAUAUUGUGGUAGAAACUCGUUAUGUUGAGAUUGAUAUUGUCUCUUUCUUCUUCCUUGCAUAUGGUAGUUAUUGCUUGUCUUCAUAAUUUGUUUUCCUAUAAAAUGCCUAUACAUAGGAAGUAUGUUCGACUUAGAUAUGUUUGUCACAUGUUUCAUGAUGCUCUCUUCGUGUCUGAUUGCUAUCUUUUAUGUGAGCAUCAUUGAAUUAUCAAUGCCUAGCUAAGGGCGUUAAACAAUAGCGCUUGUUGGGCGGCAACCCAAUGAAUUUAUCUUUGCUUUUUGCCUUUUGUUUUGUUGUGUCCACACCAUCAUAAUUCUGUUAUGAUUGUGUUUUUUGUGUUUAUUUUUGUGUUUGAGCCAAGUAAAACCUUUAUGAUUAGUUUUGGUGAUGGUUGUUUGAUCUUGCUGAAAAAGACAGAAACUUUGCGCUCACGAAAUUAUUUUUAAUUCCUAUCCAGAAAAAGAUUUUGAGUUGAUUCUUUUUGCUGCGGGUUGAUAUGCCAAUUUCCCUAAUUUUCAUAGUUUUUCAGAAUUUUUGAGAUAUCAGAAGUAUACGAAGUAUACAGAUUGCUACAGACUAGUCUGUUUUUGACAGAUUCUGUUUUUUGUUGUGUUGAUUGCUUAUUUUGAUGAAACUAUGGAUAUUAUCGGGGGGUACUAGCCAUGGAAAAGUGAGAAUACAGUAAUCUAACAUCAAUCUAAAUAGAAAUCAAGUUUACUACAGUACCUGAAGAUUUGGUAGUUUGUUUUCUUAUGAUAAUGAUAUCACGAGAUUCUGUUUAAGUUUUGUGUUGUGAAGUUUUCAAGUUUUGGGUGAUGUUCUCAUGGACAAUGGGAUAAAGAGUGGAAAGAGCUCAAGCUUGGUGAUUCCCAAGGCAUCCCAAGCCAAAUUCAAGGACACCAAAAAGCCUAAGUUUGGGGAUGCCCCGGGAAGGCAUCCCCUCUUUCGUCUUCAAUCCAUCGGUAACGUUACUUGGAGCUAUAUUUUUAUUCACCACAUGAUAUGUGUUUUGCUUGGAUCGUCGUGUAUUAUAGCAGUCUUUUCUUUUUAUUGUGUCACAAUCAUCCUUGCUGCACACCUUUUUGAGAGAGACAUGCACUCAUCAUGAAUUUGCUAGAAUUCUCAUUGCGCUUCGCUUAUAUCUUUUGAGUUAGGCAAUUUAGCUCGCAUGUGCUUCACUUAUAUAUUUUGAGCUAGAUAACUUUGCUCUAGUGCUUCACUUAGAUCUUUUUGGAGCACGGCGGUGUCAUAUUUUGAAGAAAUAAAAACUCUCAAUCUUCACUUAUAUCUUUUUGAGAGUGCUCUCUCUGAGUAACUUGGUAGUUGGCUUGUGCUAUGAAAGUAGUCCUAAAGAUGAUAGGCAUCCAAAGAGGAUAUAAUAAAAACUUCCAUAUUCAAGUGCAUUGAUUAUUAAGAGAAGUUUGAUUCCUCUCAAUUAGUUUUGAGACAUGGAUUUGGUGAUAUUAGAGUUAUGUUAGUAGGGUGUUGUGAAUCUAGAAAUACUUGUGUUGAAGUUAGUGAUUCCCGUAGCAUGCACGUAUGGUGAACCGCUAUGUUAGGAAGUCGGAGCAUAAUUGAUUUAUUGAUUGUCAUCCUUUGUGUUGCGGUCGGGAUCGCGCGAUGGUUAACACCUACCAACCCUUCCCCUAGGAGUAUGCAUUUAUCACUUUGUUUCGAUUACUAAUAAAACUUCCUCAAUAAGUAUAUGAGUUCUUCAUGCCUAAUGUGAGUCCAUGGUAUAGAUGCACUUUCACCUUCCACCAUUGCUAGCCUCUCUAGUGCACAAACCCACCAAUACCUUCCUCAAAAGAGCCACCAUACCUACCUAUUAUGGUAUUUUCAUAGCCAUUCCGAGAUAUAUUUCCAUGCAACUCUCACCGUUCCGUCUCAUGACUUGUGCCGUCACUUUCAUAUUGCCAUUGAAUGAUCAUAAGAUAGCUAGCGAGAUGUUUCAACGUCAUACGCUAAGCUAGAUCGCUGCACAUCCCGGUACACUGCCGGAGGCAUUUCCUAUAGAGUCAUCAUUGCUCUAAGCAUUGAGCUGUGAGUAAAUAAAAGUGUGAUGAUCAUCAUUAUUAGAGAAUUGUCCCAUGUGAGGAAAUAAAUAAAUAAAAAGAGGCCAAAGAUGCCCACCAAAAAAAAUAUAAAAAAAUAUAUGAAAAGAGGCCAAAGAGCCCAAACAAAAAAAAGAGAAAAAGAGAGAAGGGACAAUGCUACUAUCUUUUUCCACACUUGUGCUUCAAAAUAACACCAUGUUCUUCAUGAUAGAGAGUCUCUUGUUUUGACACUUCCAUAUACUAGUGGGAAUUUUCAUUAUAUAACUUGGCUUGUAUAUUCCAAUGAUGGGCUUCCUCAAAAUUGCCCUAGUUCGUGAGCAAGCAAGUUGGGUGCACACCCACUAGUUCUCCUUUUGAGCUUUCACACACUUAUAGCUCUAAGUGCAUCCGUUGCAUGGUAAUCCAUACUCAUUCACAUUCAUAUCUAUUGAUGGGCAUCCCCAUAGCCCGUUGAUACGCCGAGUCGAUGUGACCAUCUCCUCCUUUUUGCCUCACAACCUCCACCACACUCUAUUCCACCUAUAGUGCUAUAUCCAUGACUCAUGCUCAUGUAUUGCAUGAGAGUUGAAAAAGUUUGAGAAAAUAAGAGUGCGAAAACAAUUACUUGGCCAAUACCGGGGUGCAUGAUUUAAAUUCGUUGUGUGGGGAUGAUGGAGCAUAGCCAGACUAUAUGAUUUUGUAGGGAUAACUUUCUUUGGCCUCGUUAUUUCAAGAGUUCAUGAUCACUUUGCUAGUAUGCUUGAAGUACUAUUGUUUUCAUGUCAAUAGUAAACUAUUGUUUUGAAUCUUACGGCAUUACUAGAAAAAAGGCUGUUAGUGGCGCACCUAUUUUGGCUAUUAAUGGCGCACUAUAGGUGCCCCACUAUUAUCAUGCCACUACUAAUAAAUAGUAAUGGCGCACCCAUGGUGCGCCACUGUUAAUAUACAUAACAGUGGCGCACCACCUGGUGCGUCAUUACUAUCCCAGACACUAAUGGCGCACCUCCUGGUGCGCCAUUACUAUCCCAGACACUAAUGGCGCACCACCUGGUGCGCCACUAAAGUGCAAUUUGGUGCGCCACUACUAUGAAUAUUAGGAUUUUUAUUUUUUUGCUUUUCUGAUAUUUGCACAGGUUACAAAAUACAUUAUAGCACAGAAUAUAAACAACACAACUUAUAAAUAGCAGAUUUAUCGAAUACAAUAGAAGAUUAGUCUCCGAAUACAAUUCAUCAUAUUAGUCUCCGAAUUCAAAAUAACGAACAAAGUUAGAACAUUACAAGUCUCGAGACCGCGAGUAGCGAGCUUGUCUUCACAUUACAAGUCGAUAUCUAAACUACGAUCACAUAGAAGAGGGUUGCGGUCACGAUGAGCAUCAUCGCGAUGAAACUGAUCUUCAUCCGGUUCCUCCUCCGCUCCCUCCUCUCUCCCGUUAGAUAGCGCGUGUAUCUAGCUUCCGCCUCCGCCCUAGUGAUGUACCCUUUGUAACUGUUACCGCUGAAACGGUAAACCUAUCUCCGACACUCCUCCCAGUCGUCAUAGACUUCGGGAACCUCACCCUUGUACACGACAUACGACGACAUCUCUAUGCACUAGACAAACAAAACGUUAGUAGCAAUUUACAGAUAAUAUAUAAGCAAUAUAUAAGUAUGCAACAAAAGGAUCGGAAGAGAAAAGCAACACAUUAAUAGCACGAUUCAUGGUCCUACUAAUAAAUAGCAUCGACUACAUAUAAGUUGAAAGACUGUCCAAACUAAAGAGACAUACAAGUUCAUUAAAGUUUAAUUACAACAUGAGCUAAUCGAUAUUUCACAACUACGUAUCAUCAGUACUUUCGACUCGACUCAGGGACCGGAGCGUGGAUGAAGCCGCCGUCUUUCGUGAUGGUCAUGAAUGUGCGGUCGUUGUCAGCCUGCAUUUGUAGUGUUGUGUCAAUUUCACUAUUGGACGGUUGACAGUUUAGGUAGAACUGCCUAGAUCUAGGAAGGACAUCUUGAUAGAUGAUUUCCGCCAACUCCGACUGGAUGCGAAAGAAUUAUUGUCUGAUGUCCUCGUCCUGGAUUGCCGACAAGCGUGCGGCCCAUUCUUUGAGAUCAUUUGGUAGCAUAUGGUGAUGCUGGUCCCAUACGAUCGCCCGGAUGUGAUGGAGGGCGUAGUAGGCAUCCUUCUGACUGCCAGGCGGCUGCUUGACGCAGGGGAACGUCGUUACGUGGGUGAACACGUGCUUGCCGUACCUAACAAUUGGCCUCCUGAAGGUGCCUCCAGAUUUGGCAUAGCCGGGGAGGACAUCAUCAAGAACUUUCUUGAUAUUUGUGUAGUCUUCCUUCGACUGACGGUCCAAGUCGAAAUACGUGGCCAUGGAAUAUUUUGGGCUUAAGAGGAUGAGUGUGCAAUGUGUGUCACUGCACAAAACACGAAAUGUUAGAAAAAAAGAACGAUCGAAAUCUAAGAAAUCAUAUGUUACAGGGCGAUGAGGGGAUGACUUACUCGGAAAAGUAAGGCAUGAGGAAGUUAUCUUUAGCUGCAUUCACCAGAAUGACGCCUUCGAGGUAUGAACUCACGACUUGCGGGUCCCCAGCGCCGCCCAAGAGCUUGGCACGCAUGUAGAAGGGGUCGACUAUCACCAUAUCCGGGGUCUUGUCUCUAAUGAUCCGCAUCUCCAUACUGAGCGAAAAUAGCCGAAUGAAGGUGUAGUGCAGCGGAUAAAGGUUAAUCAUAGCGAAGAUGUCAUCAAACCGCAGGACGAUCAUACGCCCGAUGGUGCUAUCGACAAAGCCCUUGCCCUCUGGCACCUUGGCGACGAAAACCGGGUAUGUCACAUCAUUCUCGGAGAGACGCGACUUGUCCAUAUAAAGAACAGCGUCAUGCAGACUCCGCAUAGCAACGGUUGCAGCAUUGAGCAGAUUAGUCGGUAGCAUCGGCCUACCCGCCACAUGCACCCUCCUCUCAAUCUAUAUCUAUACUUAUACUAAUUUGUGGCUCUCUAAAAAAUCCCACGUUAAUUACAUUUUUGAGCCGUUAAUCUGGUGGGACCGAAUUAUUACGGUGUAGAUCUACUCUUGAUCUGUUAGAUAAAAAAUAAUUUAAAUUUAUGAUUUAUGUCAUUCCACAAUUGCGGAAAAAACAACUUGACCCAACCUUUCCAACUACCACGUUAAUCCUUAGAAUGUACCUAACUAUACAUCCAAUCUGACCGUCAACCAUCCCUAACUCCCGAUGAUAGUAAUCCCAUGUCCCUCCUUCAUGUCGUGUAUCCAUGUGCCAAGCCAUCCCUAGCACCGACUCCUUCAGGCCUCUGGAUCCCUAGCAUCGUUCAUCUCAGCCUGGUGGCGUCCUCCAUGCUCCACUCACGUUGGUUUGCUUGAGGAAAAAUCCACGACUCUCUUUCUCACCUGCAAUAUUUUCCUUCAGGCCUCUGGAUCUCUAGCGCCGUUCAUCUCAGCCUGGUGGCGUCUUCCAUGCUCCACUCACGUUGGUUUGCUUGAGGAAAAAUCCACGACUCUCUUUCUCACCUGCAAUAUUUUCAUGUACAAGGCACACAUUCUAUUUAACUGAUCUGUCUUUUUUUAUCAAAAUCAUUUAACUGAUCUAUCUUUUCUACGUGUGAUCUAUCCUUUUUUCUGCAUGUGCAACCUAUCUUUUUUUGCGAGAUUCUGUCAAUAAAUUCAUUAGAUCUAUCUUUUUCUUACAAGUAACAUAACUGUUGUGAAAAAAGGUGCCCACAUACACGUAACAUUCAUUGUACCCUCUCCAAAAGGAACGACCAUAUCUUUGUAGUAGUAUUUACAAGCCACGAUGAUCUAUCUUAAAAAAGCCACGAUGAUCGUUCCCUUAAAAGGCCACAAUUAUUAGCACCUAAAACCAUAAAAGGUCAACAAAAUUACUACCCCAAAAAAAAAGAAACAGGUAACCCAAUCUAUUACAUCGAUCAUGUUCUCCUUGGGGGUUAGGGCAGUCGUCGCUAACCAUGAUGCCCAGCUUUGGGUCGUUCAUAAUCACCAUGCUCAGGUUUGGGUCUUCCUUAAUCAUGAUGCCUAGCUUUGAGAGUCCCUGAAGCACCAGCCCCACGGCAUAUUGUGCCACGAGAAGUAAAUCUCCACCUCGCCAGAGAAGUUGCUCAUAGGUACCGGCAGGUGCCCUUCUUGACCCGCUCCUUCUGGUUGUUUCUUCUUAUUCGUCUGGAAACGUGUAUCUUCUUAACAGGGUUUGGUCACGGUACCAUGCAUCUCUAUUCGGAAUAUAAAACCUUCAUAUCUCAUCUAUACAUGGAGCAGUCCCAAGAAUCCAUCCAAUUCACAAUGCACUUUUAUGAAGAAUGAUAGUGCUGAAUUAGUAUAUCAAUCUUUUGUCCAACCAUCUUUUUAUUUUUGGGUCUUUUUGAAAGAGUCCAUCCUUAUUUUGUGGUCACCUUGACCACUUUGUAUUGUUGUCUAACCAUUAUGGUAUACCAAUUCUGGAGUACAUGUUCUUGGCUGAUGCAUUUGAACAGUAUUUGAUGUGGAGACAGACUUCAAAAUGGAGGAUUGCGAGACAAGUACUUCUUUCCAUUGAAUAUGCGUUGGCUACACCUGUUCUGCCCCUGCCCGGUUUCAAGAAGAUUCAGACAUGGGCUUCUGGCUAGAAUAUGUGGUUACGGCACCUUGAACCCAGCAAGCAUGUCAUCAGUGGCGAGCACUAAAAUUCAUUGGAAGAAUAUCCACCAAGUAAUAGUACAUGAAAGGAAUGAAAUCCCUUCUUAACCUGAACACCGAAAAUAUUUUGCAAGAAAGGAAUAUGUAGCCGCAUUUUUAGAAGAAAGGCCUGUUACGAUAGGUAUAAUAUGGAGGGUAAUAGAAGAGCCAUUGAUCAAUGGCACCUAGGCGGCGCAAGUUAAUUAGUAAGAUAGUGAAAACUCUACAUCAACUGUUGUUCCACUACAACGAGAAUACUACCAUCUAAUAUGUAUGUAAAUAUGGAAGAUAAAUUGCUGGCCCUUGAUCAAUUGUGCCUAUCUGGCGUAAGUUCCUUACAAAGAUAGUGAACACUCUGUAUCAACUAUUGUUCCAGUGCUAAUGCCGUCAUGUAAUAUGUACGUCAACGUGCAAGAAAAAUGUCAUCUAAGAGCAUCCGCAAUGUAGUAGUAUAGUAUCUACUUAAAUAAUUGUGUCUAUACACAUAUUCAUGUUCUUAUAUGUGUUGCAAGUGCAUCUAAUGCAAAUCUGCUUUAUCACACGUUUUUCCCUUGAUGUUUGAAAUAAGCUCUUUGUAAGUUUUCACAUUCUGUUAUUUGGCAAUUUGUAAUGAUUAAUGUAUCGUCAAUGAGUUGUCAUUGAUCACUCACUUGAGUGACAUGCAUUAUUUAAUGACUUAUUUUCUCGCAAUUAUUAAUAGGAAGGAUAUAGUGUGGGGAGCUGCGACCAUGAUACUAUAUGUUUGUUCUGAUUAUUUUUCUAGAAUUAUUUAUUUAUAAUAGUAAAGUGAUAAAUAUUUAUGAUUAACGAAGAAAAUGUUUUCACAUAGAUCAUUUUUAUUAAUAUUAUAUGCCAUUCAUAUAAAAGAUUAGUUGUAUUUUGACAUUGACACAGUCUUUAAUAUGUAAACAUUGACCAGUAUUUUCUAUUUUAAUAAAUGUAUACAAAUAAAGGAAGCUAUAAUAUUCUAGAAAUAUUUUUUGUCCAAUUCUCUAAAUUUGUUUUAUUCUAGAUAAUUAACAUAAUAUGCAUAGUCAAAGUUUUAGAAGUUUGGUUGAAGGGAUAUGCAAACGUCACUUGCAUUGAUAUGGAAGGAGUAUGUUGUCAAUGACUGUUAGAGCAUAUAUCUCCAUAUGUGGUUUUGAUAAUUGAUGACAAUUCCUAUGGACUAAUGGUUGCCUUAAGUUACAUUUAUAGGAUUUGUCCAUAGGCACUUCUUGAAGUCCAUCUGUUGGGUUCAAGGAGUUUAUAUGAUGACCAAGACGGUAUUCAAGGUAUUAUCCAAAGAAUGGUCAUAGAGACACAUGGUUGAUCAAGAUCUCAGACAAAGAGUAAAUCAAGAUGAUCAACACACAAAGCGUACAAGAUGUACCGAGAGGGAUCAAGUGAUCCCAUGGUAUGGUAAGCAUUGUCCAUUACGUAUUUGUGUACUAACCCAUGGUCUUCGUGAGAGUUCUAUGUGGGGGUUAGGUGUGUUUUCAUGGGCUUGCGUCAAAGGGAAGAUCUCAUACAACCCAUGAAGUAUGACGUCAAGUUGUGAUCGUCAUCAAGAUUGUGAUGUGCAAGUUCAAGUGGAUCAGCACGAAGAUAUCAUGCUUGAAGCUUGCCGUCCAUUGUGGUGGCAAUGGACUUGUGAAGAUAUGCUGAAGAGUGGCUCACCCAUAGUGAGUAUGGGGGAGCAAUCAACUAGUCUUCAUCAAGCCAACACAAUCAAUAAAGGUGGUCCAUCUUGAGGAAGCCAAGAUCAUCAUCAUCUAGCUCAAGAGGACGAGGUGCAAGGUAUAGGUUUGCCCUUGAUAGGUUUUCUGUUUAGGAUAGAUUGUUGUACUAUCAAGGGGGCUCUCAAGUGAGUAGCUUGAUCGUAUCAUUCGUUGAGAGCUCAAACCAUUUGCAUCCUUGCAUCAUACUUAUUGGUUCUUGUUUGGUGUUUCUCUUUGUGAAGUUUUAGAGCUUAUGGUCAUCUUCGUGACAAGCUCGAGUUCAUCGAAAACGGAGUCCAUAUGCAUCUACUAUGAUGUUUUCGAUGUUGGAGUUUUUGCCGGUUAUUCAUUCAUAGAGGACUCACAUCUCUAUAUCUUUGGCAUUUUCAUAACUGCAUGAUCUUAAGAUAGCCCUUGUCGUCCUGAAUCCAACAAGCUUGGGUUUGCUCGAUUCGGAGCUCGUAUGCGAAAGUUAUGGCUGUUUCAGUGGCGAGCGGUAGUACCGCUGGACCUAGCGGUAGUACCGCUAGAAUUGGCGGUAGUACCGCUGGCCCUAGCGGUAGUACCGCUGGCUGGCGGUAGUACCGCCCCUGGUCAGCGGUAGUACUGCUCCAGGAGCUUAGUACCGCCUGCCUAGCGGUUGUUCGUGGACGGACCUUUUUGCGAAGACUUUCUUGGCGGUGGUAGUGCCUUUGCACUACCAGGGGCCCAGCGGUAGUACCGCUGGGGCCAGCGGUAAUACCGUUGGAGUGCCAGCGGUAGUACCGCUAGCUGGCGGUAGUACCGCUGGAGUGCCAGCGGUAGUACCGCCGCAGCUCGGGCAGAGAGUGGGGGUAACGGUUUGAUUCCUUCCCCCACUAUAUAAAGGGGGUCUUCUUCCCCCUUGGUUUUAUCUAUCCGUUGAGCUCUUGUUCUACCUCCAUUGUUGACAUUCUUAGAGCUUGAUUACUCUCAAUCCCUCCAAUGAUUCUUGCUUGUUCUUGAGGGAAAAGAGAGAGGAGAUCUAGAUCCACAUCUCCACCAAUCACUUUCUCCUCUAUGUGAGGGGAACCCCUUGGAUCUUGAUCUUGGAGUUCUUUGUGAGCUCCUUGUUCUUCCUCUCACAUUUCUCCAUAGCUUUCGUUGUUGUGGAGGGAUUUGAGUGUGAGGGACUUGACCACUUCGUGUGUUCUUGCCAUUGCAUUAGUUGCAUCGGUUUGAGUUCUCCACGGUGAUACGUGGAAGUGAAGUUUGAAAAGCUUAUUACCUUUGGUACUUAGUACCCUAGAUAUUGUUCUUCGUGGAUGCUUUGGCAUCCUAGAAGCUUGGUGGUGUCUCGGAGCUCAAUCAUUGUGGUGUGAAGCUCCGGGCAAGCGUCGGGGGUCUCCAAUUAGGUUGUGGAGAUUGCCCCGAGCAAUUUGUACGGGUACCGGUAACCGCCCCCAAGGGUUGCCACGUGUACGGGUUCGGUAACCGCCCCCAAGGUUUGCCAUUUGUACGGGUUCGGUGACCGCCCUCAAGGGUCCCUUAGUGGAAUCACGGCAUCUUGCAUUGUGCGAGGGCGUGAGGAGAUUACGGUGGCCUUAGUGGCAUCUUGGGGAGCAUUGUGCCUCCACACCGCUCUAACGGAGAUUAGCAUCCGCAAGGGUGUGAACUUCGGGAUACAUCAUCGUCUCCCCGUGCCUCGGUUAUCUCUUACCCGAACCCUUUACUUAUGCACUUUACUUUGUGAUAGACAUAUUGUUUAUUGUAAUAUAUCUUGCUAUCACUUAGUUGUUUAUAUUGCUUAGCAUAAGAUGUUGGUGCACAUAGGUGAGCCUAGUUGUUUGUAGGUUUUGUGCUUGACAUAUUAAACGUUAGUUUUAUUCCGCAUUUGUUCAAGCCUAAACCUUAAUUAUUUUAAAGCGCCUAUUCACCCCCCCUCUAGGCGACAUCCACGUCCUUUUCAAUGACUAACACCGCCAAUUGUUAGUGUGCACAAAUAUUGAAAUACGUAUAUGCAUAAAUAGACAUAAGAAAUGAAUUAGAGUAUUACACAAGCUAAUGAAACAAGGCAAAAAUAAGUGUGCUUAAGGUAAAUUCAAGGAGCUCUUCGGAGGGUUUACUAGUCGUGGGCUUUGUUUUUUUCAGAACCAAACUAACGAAGCGGCCCAUCGAUGCGUCGGGCAAGCAAUCGCAGAUAGGAGGACAUUAAGAUAAAUUAUAUUCCCACCUUCCUAGAUGUAUGUAUUAAGAUUCAUUUUAACCCUCUAUUUGAGUAUUAUAAGCUCCUGGCUUGAAAAAGGCGACCAUUCAUGCCUGAAAUGAUUGUGUGAUUUUUAUUUGUUAAUGUUUGUAUUAAGAUUCAUUCUACCCCUCUAUUUGAGUAUUAUAAGCUCUUGGUUUGAAAAAGGCGACCAUUCAUGCCUAAAAUGACUGUGUGAUUUUCAAUUGUUAAUUGUUCUUAUAAUAUGGAUAGAAACUAUAUAAUGACCUAUCGGCAUGCUAUCUCAAAAUAUAUAAAUAUGUUGUGCCAAUUAGUUUAUAGUCUAUCCGACGUGACCAUAACUUCUCAUAGAAACACACUCCCUUAUGAAUCCAAGCUUUUCAGAACUUUUAGGUUGAGCUGCCAUGUCCCAUAAACAUAGUUGUACACAUCACAUUGCCAUAUGAUCGUAAGAAAAUAUUUGGUAACUAGCCCGUGCGAACACACGGGUUCACGACUAGUAUCCUUAGAUAUUGGUGGCCCGUCCUGAGCAUGGAUCGUACUCGGUGCCGGCUGGCUCGCACCCUUGUUAUUUUUUCUUUUCCGUCCCUUCUGCUUCUUCUGCUGUAAUGGGACCGAGUUCUGCUCAGAGACCACCUUCUUGAGUGUGUUGGGGCUGAUAAUAUUGCACACCUCGGCUAUUUGAGUCUCGGUGAAGGCGGCAGCUGGAGGCGUCUCCUGAGACCUGAACAGACGACGCCUGUUGAAAUUGGGUUUCUCCGUGGUACCAGCUAGAUCGCCAUCAUCUUUUGCAGGGUUGGGUUCUUGAGAAGGAGGCCCGAACAAUUCGUCACCGUACCCAUGUUCGUUGAUGUACUUAUCGACGUUGGAAAUUGUAUCAUCGUCGUCGUUCGGAUCCUGUGCCAUAUGCAUGUUUGGAUCAACUGACGACGGUAGCGUUGCGGCGGUCUUGGGGUGGUGUCUCCCGCCCCCAAACGAAUCUGGCUCUUUGGCCAAAGCAUGGACCAGUUUAAGCAGGCGCUGAGGGUCAUCACAUCAUCUUCGUCGGCCCCAGCGGGUCGAUACGGAGGUAACAAGUCGUCGCAGCCCCGCAACACCCGAACCAGUUGAACCCUAUACACGGUGGGUGGCAUCACAUUACCGUGGAACACGCGGUUGACCGGUUCAACCAUUUUGGCCUUGGCGACAUCGAUCAACUCGCCAUCCACGAAGUGUAGGAGAGUGCAUGGAACGUUGGCGGCGCCCUGCAAAAACAUGUAGGGUGUCAGGGAUGCCCAGUCAAAGGCAAGGAGAUGAAGUCAUCGGUCGAGGCUUAGUUACCGUGAUGGCGUCGAGCUCGGCUAAUGUUGAGGCACCGCCAACGGCGGGCGUGCAAGUGACGGAGGGGCCACUUGAUGCCGAGGUGCUGGCUGGUGUAUUCUUCCCACACACGGGUUCUUUAAGCUCCAAUACCGGCGCCGACGCUGGAGGCACCUGCAAUGCCGCCUCCGCCGGAGACACCGAUGCCGGCGCGUUGUGCGAGUUGCUACCCGUGAAGCUGGGAAUCGGGGGCGACCCCUGUUGGCCGCCCUCAAUCCACCCCCGCAGUCCCUCAAGCAAGGAAGGCAUAAUGGCGGUGAUCGUCGCUCCCAGUUGGUCACGCACUUACUCUUGGACUAUCUCUGGAAUCCGCGCCACUUGUGCCUUGAGUUCUUUAACCUCACGCUCCUGGCUUUCCGAGAUGGUCUUUCUCUCCUUUCGCCUAGCCUUAUAGUAUUCUGACCAUUUCGUGGAAAAGCCUUCGCCAGCCACACGACCAGCUGACGACGGCUUACUGAGCUUAUCCUUGUGUUUCAUUACGUUCAACGCCCUAUUUAAAGUGCUGUCCCAAGGGGCAGACGAGGAGCUCGGAGACCCCGCGCUACUACUUUCAGUCUCCUGCGGAAGGAACGUGAACCAUUUAGAAAUUUGGCUUCAUUAAUUAGAAUGCAACCAUAUGGAGCUAAUUAUGCGGGGGUGUAUUCCUUACCAGAACAUGCUCAAGCUCCUUCACCUUCGGAUCCGUGGGAAGCUCCUUUGUUACCGGGUCCACCUUGUACCGAGCCCUGACAUAGUUCCUGGUCUGCUUUUCACGGUAUUUAUCGAAGAGGGGCGGUAGGCCUUGCUCAGCAUGCUUCGCGUCCUCCUUGUCCCAUUUAGGUUCCGCCACUCUGUAACCGUCAGGACCGAGUUUGUGGACCCCUAAGUUCAAGUCCCGCAUAUCUUUCCCCCACUGACUUGAUUCCGCGGAUGCGUUGCUCUCGCACUUGAUCUUGAAUUCCAGGUAGUCAGCUUCGCUAAUCGAAGGAUUUGUCUCCUUGAUCUUCUCAUAACUAUCGCCUCUUAGAAUCCUUCUCUUCACCGAGGCUCUCCAAGUAGCCAGGGUUGUGCUCAUCUUCGUGAGGGCGGCACUGUUCACUUUGUUCCCUAAGAGGCGUGUGUUUGCGACGUCACCGGGGAACUUGUAUCGUUCGUGCAGCUUUGUGAAGAGGAGGUUGCACAAAUUCGCUCGGCCUUGAUGCCUUAGGUUCUCGGUGUUGAUCGAGAGGUGCUUCCGAGAAUGCACCCGAGUUGUCCCGCGUACCCACCGACUAAUUCUUUGGGCGCCGUUGGAUGCCCACUGGAGGACACUUCAGCAAAUUCCUCCCUGACGGUGCUGAGCACGUAUAGGCGCCGGUCUUUCCGUUUCUUCUUCGGUUGGCUUCCAUUUGUGCGUUCGCUGCCAUCAUUAGUGGUGGCAUCCACGGCGGCACCAUCAGUGGUGUCAUCCCCGAUGCCACUAGGGGUUUUGUAGUUAGGAUUGGUGUCUUCUGGGGCGUCCUCAUAGCGGCGAGGUUCUUCCUCGAGCUCCUGGAACAGCUCUCAGAAUGGCUUGCCCGAAUCGCCGGCCUCAUCAUUGUUAGCCAUGUUCACUCUAAAUAGGAAAAAGGCUACUAGAGUUAUUGGAUGAGAUCAGGAUAAUAUCUAUUCUUCUUAGAUUUAGAGGAAAACUGAGAAUAAAACAUGCAAAUUGAUAUGAUGAAGAUGAAGAUUUGGGAGCAGAGCUUAGGUUAGAGUGAUGAGAGUGGUGUUAUCAUUUCCUAGCUCGCUGCCUUAUCCAUUAUUUGGGCUUAGGAGACAUGGGGACAAAUAGAUGUGCGAGUUUGCACACUCAUACUUGGCUUGGAGAACAGAAGGGUAUAUGGUCUUGUGUCUACAAUUAUCAAUUAUUAGGAAAGGCAAAUGGAUGAGAGUGGUGUUAUCAUUUCCUAGCUCGCUGCCUUAUCCAUUAUUUGGGCUUAGGAGACAUGGGGACAAAUAGAUGUGCGGGUUUGCACACUCAUACUUGGCUUGGAGAACAGAAGGGUAGAUGGUCUUGUGUCUACAAUUAUCAAUUAGCAGGAAAGGCAAAUGGACGUUGAAUUCCCUUCUUUUUGAAAAAUGGACGCUUAGAAAUAUUUGCUUUGUAGAAAUAACAUUGUCUCUAAAUGUUGAUUAAUUUUUGUUUCGGUUGAGAAUCGGGCACCUUCUAGGUCAAGAAAAUUGGGCAUGACCUUUGCUAAUUUUCUUGACCUAGGAGUGCCCCAUUCUCAACCGAAAUGGAAAUUAAUCAACAUUUCAGGAGAAAGGGGUAACCUUCAGAACACAAGCAGUAAGUUCAAAAGGUGAUACCCACCGAAAUAAAUGGAUCAAAUAUUAAGUUUAGUAAACUCCCAUGACAUCACUGUCAGCAUGCAGAGCGAAAGUAUCAUUCUCAGCUAGAUGAACUUUCAUCUCAGUGUACCUUAAUAAAUUGAUCAAAUAUUAAGUUUAGUAAACUCCCAUGACAUCACAACAAAGGUUUUGCACUAUGGAUACUCGAUUGAAGAUGAACUAAUAAUGAGGAAAUUAGCACAGUUCCAUCAAAAAAUGGCAUAAAUUGGAAAAAUACCAUCCAGUGUAAGGAUGACAUGCAGGGCCACGUGUUAGUGUCACUUGAUAUAUAUAAAUUUUCAACUUCUUUACAUAGUACUAAGAAAUAUUGCCCAAUUAGAUUAGAUUUUCAAGAAAACACCAAGCACUAAUAUUUGUGCACCUUCAGGUCCUUCACCCAAUUGGAUCUGACCCCUUAUCUUUUUUCCUCUUCCUUCCCUAGCUCAGAUGGAGAAAGGGGGAGAGAGUUCAAGGAACAAGAUGCACAUGCUAGAUGAUACUGGCAUCAAUGUGCACUUCAAAGUGGGAAAACUGAGUCACCAACCCAACAAUCCUACCAUCCAUGCAAUAAAAACUACUAAGCAAAGGGAAAACUGGUAUAUGGAAAAUAUAGGGACAACAACGUAUAAUGUAACUUGCUGUAUGCUUCAUUUUUAGGGGGUCAUGACUAAUUUGCUCAUUUUUGAAAACUUGCUGUAUUAUAUAACUUGCUGUAUGCUUCAUUGUCCUCGCGGUAACUUGCUGUAUGCUAUAUGAAAAACUGAGUGAAUAUCAGAAGAGGGCGGGAUACUCACUGUUGGCAGAAUUUGGAGCAACCAACACUAAGGGAUGCUCAUAUGUACAAAUUCUGUUUGCAAAAAGAGCCCGAUGAACAGAAUUUGCAUAUUAGAACAAGGCAUUUUUCUACGAACUAUAAAGAAGGGAAUGAGUAAAACUAAAGGCACUCUCUGCCUGUACAAAUUAGCCUCUGAAAUAGUUCAGGGGACGAAGAAUAGUCUUCUCCCCAAUAAAGAUGAGCAAGAUCUAAAUCAGUUAGCAACCAUAAACAUCGUAUGGCUAAAUGUAAAUAUAAUCUUUCUCUGAAAUUAAAAUCUUCCAAAUCAACUCUAUUUCUAAACACAAAUAAGUUCCAGUUCCUAGAUAUAAAGCAUUAAAUGAUACAAUAGGGACUGCAAUGAUUAGGCUACUUUCUCGCCAUAGCCGACUUGACAACAUUCAAGAUUCAGACGUACUCGUAGAACAAAACAGAUUUCUCGCCAUCAUUAUAUAUAUCAAUCCCAGCAAUCCUACCAUCCAUGCAUCAUAAUUAACCCAAUAUGUUGUAUUAACUUGCAACUGUUGCGAAUUGGUUAAAUUUUCCCCUAACACUGUUGAAUUGAGUUAAAAGGUGUACAGAGCAAUAGUAUCAUGUAUUUUUACCAUCUUAGUUUCCACUGCUGAACAUCUUUUAUUCAUUAGGAUAUAGGGCAUUGAUCUAGUUUCUUACCGGGUUACAGAUGGAGGAGCACGGAUCAGUGUCGAUUAGCAGAUACAUGUCGAGGAGAUCGAGCAGUAGGUCGCGGGCGCGGGAGUGCGACGAUGCGGGCGGCACAGCGGAUGGCCGGGGAGCGCGCGCGGGUCGGCAGGGAGUUGGGGAUUGGCGGGAGACUAGUGGUGGAGUAGAGGCAUGGAGGGCGGCGGCGAUGGUUGACGAGGGGUCCGCGACGGUGGCCGAGGCCUGGGGCGGUGACGAGGGGGCGGCGGCGAUGGUUGACGAGGAGGGCGGCGACGGUGGCUGACGAGGGGAGAUGGGAGGGAGGGAGGGGUGCGGUUGGAGUGGAGAUGCGGGGGAGAGGCGAGUGAGGGGAGGGAAGAAGGGGAUAGUACGAGGAGGGUUAGCAAUGGCGCACCAUUUAGGGGUGCGCCAUAAGUGGCAUAUCACUGGCGCACCUUUUAGUGGUGCGCCAUAAAUGAGGAGGGAUAGCAAUGGCGCACCUUCUCCUAGUGCGCCAUUACUAACUUUUUUUUGGAUGUUUAGUUGCAUGUAAUAAUAUUGGUUAUCACUUUUUACUUGCAUGUAAUAAUUUUGGUUAUCACUUUUGGAUUUUUAGUUGCAUGUAAUAACUAAAAUUAUUACUAAUUUUUGAUUUUUAGUUCCAUGUAAUAAUUUUGUUACAUAUUGCAUGCACAUGACUUAAUAACCGAAAAGUAAAGGAAUAGCCAAAAGGUUUACACCUAACCCAUCCAUAAAUCUCACGGAGAGAGACACUUACAAAAAAUCAUGUUAUGAGGUGAUAUCACAUUGUGAUUCGAUCUUCACAAUUAUCUAUCUUUUCACAAUGAUCUUCUUGCCCUUCUUUCUUGUGGUUGAAUAAUUUAGCCCUGGAACCCCUUGAAUUCUUCUCUUGAACGGACGUCCUUUAGGUAGGGUGGUCCUGCUUCUUCUUGUGGUGUGUGCUACUUCAUCGUCGUUGUCAUCUUCCAUCUUCGGGUCGCCGUACUUGUCGAAGUAUUGCUCAUUGGCGACUCCAUCCAUUCCGAUGAUGUUCCUUUUGCCUCUCCUCACGACAACACGAUUGGGCUUUGACGGGUCGGUAAUGAGGAAGCAUUGGUCCACUUGGCAAGCCAGUACCCAUGGCUCAUUUUUUGCGGUGACGUUUGCGCCCGCGGUCUUGGAUUCAGCUUCAUGUAUAACCAUGGUGGUGAAAUACCGGUCUUGUUUUAGGACGCUCUUGGCCCAUCUGACACGGAACAUCGGAACCUUCUCUCCAGCGUAGUAUCUUUCCUUGUCGUUACCGGUGUAGGAUUCCAUCGUUACCCCAGAGUUCUGAUAAUCGCUCUUCAUGUCCUUUUCCUUGGUGUAGAAUGUGUAGUCGUUGAUAUCGUACGCCUCAUAGGUCAUCAGGUCGUGCUCGGCGCCCAGUGACAAGGCGAAUAUGAGUUUUUCUUUGAUGGAAGAAUCCUCAUGUAAAGGGUAGGAUAGAAGCUUGUCCUUGAAUCAACGCGUGAAUUAUGAGUUGUGCUCUUUGAUUAUAUCUCCGUCCGUCCUCUAUUGGCCUCGGUCAUUGUACGUCUUCUCAAUAAAGGUUUUGUGCUCUACCACCCAAGGAUCGACCACGUCUAUGUGUUGUAGCGCGACUAGGUUUGCUCUUUUAAAGUCGGCAAGUCGACCCUUGAAGUCGACAUGCAUUUCGCGGCGACCCUUGCGGUGACCCCAUCCAGCGAGCCUGCCGAGGUGCCUGUUGACGGGCAGACCAACGGGGUUCUCGAUGCCUAGAUAAUUCAUGCAGAAGGAGAUGCACUCUUCGAUCAGAAAGCCCUGGGCUAUGCUUCCAUCUGGAUGUGCCCUGUUGCGAACGUAUCCUUUGAUGACACCAUUCAUCCUUUCGAACAGCAUCAUGCUGUGCAGGAACGUCGGCCCAAGUUGGAUGAUAUCCUCCACGAUAUGGACCAGCAGAUGCACCAUAACAUCGAAGAAUGUGGGCGGGAAGUACAUCUCAAGCUCGCAUAGUAUCACCAUGAUCUCUUCCUGUAGCCUUCUGUGUUGCCUCAUGCCAACCGACUUCCGAGAGAUGACGUAUAAAAAGUUGCAUAGGCCAAAUAGCGUUUCACGGACGUGCACGUCCAUGAUCCCAGGGAUUGCAACUAGAAGUAUCUACGUCAUCAGCACGUGAUAGUCAUGAGACUUCAUCCUGCUGCAGUCGUGAGACUUCAUCCCGCUGAACUUCUGCUUCGCUGAGUCUAGGUAUCUGCCUAUCUUCCCCGCGUAACCGUAAGGAAGUUUUACUCCUAGGAGGCAGGUGAAAAACUGAUCUAUCUCCUUCUGACUUAGAGUGAAGCACGCGGGAGGGUAGUCAUAUUCGAUCUUCUUGGCCUUUUUGCCUUUGCGACGACUUUCCGUGUCCUUCGCCUCAUCAUCAUCAUCAUCAUUAUUAGGGCGUUUUGCGUGAAGCUCCUCCCUGAUGCCCAUUGAUUGCAAGUCUGCCCUUGCUUUUGGCCCAUCUUUGGUCCUCUCUGGCAUGUUGAGUAGGGUACCAAGUAGACUCUCGCACACAUUCUUCGUGAUAUGCAUGACAUCAAGGCUGUGAGGCACACGGAGGAUAUUCCAGUAUGGCAAGCCCCAGAAAACAGACCUCGUUUUCCAUACCCUCAGCAGCGGCUCUGGCACCUUUCGCUUCUUUCCCAGCGGUGGGCACUCUUUCCAAUUUUUCAACAACUUGUCUAUUUCCUCGCCGCUCCUCGUUCGUGGGGGUUCUUCGGGGUUCGGUUUCACCAUCGAACAGAUCCUUGCGUUUUCUCCAUGCGUCAUCGUCGCAAAGCCACCUUCGAUGUCCCAUGAACAUGAUUUUCGAAGACCCGAGAUCUCUAUCUAGCUGGCGAUACAUUGUGUCAUCCAUGCACCUGCAGCAUGCACAAAAUCCAUGGACCACCAGCCCCGCGACAUAUCCGUAACCAAGAUAGUCGUGCACCAUCAUGAGCAGUGCGUCUCUCAUAGGGAAAUAUUGUUUCGUUGCGGCGUCCCACGUAAUGGCUGGCGUUUUCCACAGCGUGUCUAGCUCCUCUUUCAGCAGCCCCAGAUACAGAUUGAUGUCGUUCCCUGGUUGUUUCGGCCCUUCAAUUAGCAUACUCAUGUGAAUGUAAUUCCUCUUCAUGCACAUCCAGGGGGAAGGUUGUACAUCCACAGAAACACAUGCCAGGUGCUAUGUGUGCUUCUCUGGCUGCUAAACGGAUUGACUCCGUCAGUGCUCGCGCCCAGCAUGAUGUUCCUUGGAUCAUCCCCAAAUUCUGGGUGUUCGAAGUUCAACGCUUGCCACUGGCUCGCAUCCUUAGGGUGACUCAACAUCUUGUCUUUUUUAUUUAUCUCUGGUUCAUUUCUGUAAUCUUCUCGCUUCUUCUCCUCCCUAUCCGCGUGCCAACGUAGGAGAUCUACUUGCUUAGGGUCCGCGAAAUACCGCUGCAGACGAGGAGUGAUCGGAAAGUACCACACCACUUUUCGAGGAGCUUUCAUCCUCUUCUUGUAUCGAGUGACGCCGCACACCGGACAUAUGGUAGAGUCCGCGUGCUCGUCCCGAUAAAUGAUGCAAUCGUUCAUGCACACAUGGUAUUUCAUGUGCGGUAAAUCCAGAGGACACACAAUUUUCUUCGCCUCCUCGAAACUGGUCGGGCACUUGUUCCCCAUGGGAAGACGUUCGUGCCAGAAUGACAUGUUCUUGUCGAAGCAUGUGUCGGUCAUUUUGUGUUUUACCUUCAUCUCCAUAGCCAUGAGCGUUACUUUCAGGCGGGUAUCCUCAGGCUUGCAUCCUUCAUACAAUGGAGUAACCGCGUCUAUCUCUAGUUGAUCUAGCUUGGCUUUCUCUCGGGCGGCAGCUCUUGUGUUACCCGUCUGCUUGAGAAGCAGCUCUUGAAUAUGAGGGUCCUCCACCCAGCCCAUCGAUGGUCCAUCGCCGUUUGCUCCGUCAUCUUCAUCUUCAUGAUCAUGCCCUUCGUCUUGAUCUUCCUCAUCAUCAUGUCCGACAUCUUCUACAUGAUGACUGUGUCCUGCAUCUACUUCGUGAUCAUGUCCUGGAGAUUCUUCGUCUUCUCGCCCGACCUCGCCGCUAUUGUCCUGCAGCCCUUCCUUAUUUCUUGCCCGACCCCCAUGGACGACUUCAUAAUCAUCUUCAUCACCUUGCCACCGAUAGCCAUCCAUGAAACCACGCACGAGCAGGUGGUCCCGCACCUGUCUGGAUUCCGGUCCAUAAGGCUCUUCAGCUUGCAUCUUCGACAUGGACAUCUCAUCUCCGUCUCGUUCUUUUGAAGCAUCUCGGCCUUCGUAGAGCUCAAAAACCUAUUCAUGAUGCCUUCGGUCAUCGUGCGGACCAUGGUCGCGUGCGUGGUAGAGCAAAACGAUAUUUUAGAACCAAUUUGUUUUGGCAUGACUUUGCCUAAAAAUAAGACCAAAAAGAAUGCAUAGUGCCAAAUUCUCGCCGAAACGGAAAUGAAUCAACAUUACGGCAAAAUAUUGGCAACUAUCGCAUUUCAAAUACCAGUACCUGCAAACACUAACAUAUGCAACACCACAAACAUACGUAGAUCUAGGCCAUAUAAAGUGUGUACACGUUGGAGGGAGAAAAGAGUAGAUCUAGAACAUAAAGAAAGCUUUCCCCUUACUUACCUAUCAAAAAAAGGAAAUUUUACCACUUAAUUUGGGUGAAUCUAUGGUGCAAAUGAGGUGAGGAGGAGGAGGUAGCUGAGACCAACAAGGUUGGUAGAGGUGGAGAGAAUGAAGUGAGGGGAAAGUGAGUGUGAAGUGGGUGUCAAAAAUAUCUACCGCUCCCAGGUUACUGAUACGUCUCCAACGUAUCUAUAAUUUUUGUUGGUUCCGUGCUAUUAUCUUGUCAAAUUUUGGAUGUUUUGUAUGCCUUUUAUAUCUUUUUUGGGACUAACUUAUUAACUCAGUGCCAAGUGCCAGUUCCUGUUUUUUUUCGUGUUUUUGACUCUUUUCGGAGGAGAAUUUUAAACGGUGUCCAAACGGAAUAAAACUUCCGAAAAGAUUUUUUCCGGAACAGAAGAUACACACGGGAGGUGAGAACCAAGGCAAAGGCCACUAGGGGAGGCCACAAGCCCCCUAGGCGCGGCAAGGGGGGCCCCGCGCCUAGCUGGCUUGUGGGCCCCUGUGGCUCGUCUGCCCUACCUCUUCCGCCUAUAAAUUCCCGAAAAAUCCAAAACUGCACGAGAGACCCACGAAAAUAAUUUUCCGCCGCCGCAAGGUUCUGUCUCCGCAAGAUCCCAUUUGGGGCACGUUCUGCUGCCCUGCCGGAGGGGGGAUUCGGAUACGGAGAGCUUUUUCAUCAACAACAUGGCCUCUCCGAUGAUGCGUGAGUAGUUCACCAUAGGCCUUCGGGUCCAUAGCUAGUAGCUAGAUGGCUUCUUCUCUCUCUUGGAUCUUCAAUACAAAGUUCUCCAUGAUUUUCAUGGAGAUUUAUCCGAUGUAAUCUUCUUUUGCGGUGUGUUUUUCGAGAUCCGAUGAAUUGUGGAUUUAUGAUCAGAUUAUCUAUGAAUCUUAUUUGAGUUUCUUUUGAUCUCUUAUAUGCAUGAUUUCAUAUCCUUGUAAUUCUCUUCGAGUUGUGGGUUUUGUUUGGCCAACUUGAUCUAUGAUUCUUGCAAUUGGAUAAGUGCUUGAUUUUGGGUUCAUGCCGUGCGGUGACCUCACGUAGUGAUAGAAGGGGUAGCGAGGCACACAUCAUGUUGUUGCCAUCAAGGGUAAAAAUAUGGGGUUUACAUCAUUGGUUUGAGUUUAUCCCUCUACAUCAUGUCAUCUUGCUUAAGGCGUUACUCUGUUCGUCAUGAACUCAAUACACUAGAUGCAUCCUGGAUAGCGGUCGAUGUGUGGAGUAAUAGUAGUAGAUGCAGAAAGUAUCGAUCUACUUGUCUCGGACGUGAUGCCUAUAUGUAUGAUCAUUGCCUUAGAUAUCGUCAUGACUUUGCGUAGUUCUAUCAAUUGCUCGACAAUAAUUUGUUCACCCACCGUAAUAUUUGCUAUUUUGGGAGAAGCCUCUAGUGAACACUAUGGCCCCCGGGUCUACUUCACAUCAUAUUUUCAGCCUUACACUUUUUUACUUCGUUGCACUUUCCGCCUUCACAUCCCACUUUGCAAUCAAUCUUGAAGGGAUUGACAACCCCUUUAUAGCGUUGAUUGUUUGUGUUUGCGCAGGUACUCUGGACACUUAGCUUGAUACUCCUAUUGGAUUGAUACCUUGGUUCUCAAACUGAGGGAAAUACUUACUGCUUUUGUGCUGCAUCACCCUUUCCUGUUCAAGAGAAAAACCAACGCAAGCUCAAGAGGCAGCAGAAGGAUUUCUGACGUCGUUGCCGGGGAGGAUCAAGUCAAGAAUAGUCUCCCAUCAACGUGUCAAUCUCUGGCACCGGGGAUUAUUCUUGGUGAAGCUCAUUCAAGUAAGUGUCGCAAACUCAUCUCUUGCAUUUACUUUUUUGCCUCUCGUUUUCCUCUCCCCCACUUCUGGAAAACAAAAAAUUACAAAAAUAUUUGCCUUCUUCGCUUGCUUUCCUUUGCUUGUGUGCUAUGUGCCUUCAAUAUGCUUGCAUCUUCGCUUGCUGAAAAUCUAGUGACAUGGUUACUCACCCACUUGCUAAUCUUUGUAAGAGAUCCAAUUAUUUUGAACCAUUUGCUAGUGAGUUGAGUGCACUUUACUUUCUCUAUGGAGUUUUGCUUGAGAUGCGUGAAUUUGCAAAUCGUGAUGAAGAAAUUUUUGAAGUGAUUCAUGAGGGCUCCUUGAAUUAAAAGCAUGAUUGCAAUGAUUUCAUCAUAAAUUCUAUUAAUGACAAUCAUGCUAAAAAUAUGCAAAACCCUAAGCUUGGGGAUGCUAGUUUUGCUUUGUCCACUGCUUGUUGCAAUGAUCGUGAUUGGGGUGAUAAUUUUUCUAAUGAUCUUGAAAAUUUGUUUAACCAUGAUGAUGAUUAUGAUGUUUGCAAUAAUAUUGAAAGUGGGUUUGGAGAAGUCAUGACUUUAGUUGAUGAUAAUCCCACUAUUUUUGAAGAGCGNNNNNNNNNNNNNNNNNNNNNUGAAGAGCGUCAACUUUGCAUGCAUGUGGAUCAUGAAAAGAAUAUCCUUUGUGAUAUCUAUAUUGUCGAAUUUGAUUAUGAUCCCACAUGUAAUUGCUAUGAGAGAGGAAAAUGUUGUGGUAGAAACUUUCAUGUUACCAAAUCACCUCUCGUUAUGUUGAGAUUGAUAUUGUCUCUUUCUUCUUCCUUGCAUAAGGUAACUACUGGUUGUCCUGACAAUCUGUUUUCCUAUAAAAUGGCUAUGCAUAGGAAGUAUGUUAGACUUAGAUAUGUUUGUCACAUAUUUCAUGAUGCUCUGUUCGUGUCCGAUUGCUAUCUUUUAUGUGAGCAUCAUUGAAUUAUCAAUGCCUAGCUAAGGGCGUUAAACAAUAACGCUUGUUGGGAGGCAACCCAAUGAAUUUAUCUUUUCUUUCUGUUUUGUUGUGUCCACACCAUCAUAAUUCUGUUAUGAUUGUGUCUUUUGUGUUUCUUUUUGUGUUUGAUCCAAGCAAAACCUUUAUGACUAAUUUGGUGAUGGUUGUUUCAUCCUGCUGGAAAAAGACAGAAACUUUUCGCUCAGGAAAUUAUUUUUCAUUUAUAUCCAGAAAGAGCUUUUGAGUUGAUUCUUUUUGCUGCUGGCUGAUAUACCUUUUGCCCAGGAUGUCAUAAUUUUUCAGAAUUUGUGAGGUACCAGAAGUAUACAGAUUGCUACAGACUGGUCUGUUUUUGACAGAUUAUGUUUUUGUUGUGUUGGUUGCUUGUUUUGAUGAAACUAUGGAUCGUAUCGGGGGGUACUAGCCAUGGAAAAGUGAGAAUACAGUAAUUUAACACCAAUAUAAAUAGAAAUCAAGAUUGCUACAGUACCUAAAAGAGGUGGUAGUUUGUUUUCUUGUGCUAAUGAUAUCACGAGUUUUUGUUUAAGUUUUGUGUUGUGAAGUUUUCAAGUUUUGGUUGAUGUUUUCAUGGACAAAAGGAUAAAGAGUGGAAAGAGCUCAAGCUUGGGGACGCCCAAGGCAUUCCAAGCCAAAUUCAAGGACACCAAAAAGCCUAAGCUUGGGGAUGCCUUGGGACGAAGGCAUCCCCUCUUUCGUCUUCAAACCAUCGGUAACAUUACUUGGAGCUAUAUUUUUUUAUUCACCACAUGAUAUGUGUUUUGCUUGGAGCGUCUUGUAUUGUAGGAUUCUUUUCUUUUUGUUGUGUCACAAUCGUCCUUGCUGCACUUAUCGUGAAUUUGCUAGAAUACUCUUUGAGCUUCGCUUAUAUCUUUUGAGUUAGGCAAUUUAGCUCACAUGUGCUUCACGUAUAUCUUUUGAGCUAGACAAUUUUUCUCUAUGUGCUUCACUUAGAUCUUUUAGUGAACGGUGUUGCGUAACUUUGUAAUUGGCUUGUGCUAUGAAAGUAGUCCCAAAGGUGAUAGGUACCCAAAGAGGAUACAAUAAAACUUCCAUCUUCAUGUGCAUUGAGUAGGAAGAGAAGUUUGAUUCCUCUCAAUUAGUUUUGAGACAUGGAUUUGGUAAUAUUAAAAGUUAUGUUAGUAGGGUGUUGUGAAUCUAGAAAUACUUGUGUUGAAGAUAGUGAUUCCCGUAACAUGUACGUAUGGUGAACCGCUAUGUUAGGAGGUCGGAGCAUAAUUGAUCUAUUGAUUGUCAUCCUUUGUGUUGCGGUCGGGAUCACGCGAUGGUUUACACCUACCAACCCUUCCCCUAGGAGUAUGCGUUUAGCACUUUGUUUCGAUUACUAAUAAAAACUUUCGCAAUAAGUAUAUUAGUUUUUCAUGACUAAUUGAGUCCAUGGUAUAGAUGCACUUUCACCUUCCACCAUUGCUAGCCUCUCUAGUACCACGCAAUUUUCGCCGGUGCACAAACCCACCAUAUGCCUUCCUCAAAACAGCCACCAUACCUACCUACUAUGGCAUGUUCAUAGCCAUUCCGAGAUAUAUUGCCAUGCAACCCCCACCGUUCCGUCUCAUGACUUGUGCCAUCACUCCCAUAUUGCCAUUGCAUGAUCGUAAGAUAGCUAGCAAGAUGUUUCAAUGUCAAACGCCAAGCUAGAUCGUUGCACAUCUCGGUACUGUCGGAGGCAUUUCCUAUAGAGUCAUCAUCGUUCUAAGCUUUGAGCUGUGAGUAAAUAAAAGUGUGAUGAUCAUCAUUAUUAGAGCAUUGUCCCAUGUGAGGAAAAAAAGAGGCCAAAGUUGCCCACAAAAAAAGGAGAUAUGGAAAGAGGCCAAAGAGCCCAAACAAAAAAAGAGAGAAGGGACAAUGCUACUAUCUCUUUCCACACUUGUGCUUCAUAAUAGCACCAUGUUCUUCAUGAUUGAGAGCCUCUCGUUUUGUCACCACCAUAUACUAGUGGGAAUCUUUAUUAUAUAACUUGGCUUGUAUAUUCCAAUGAUGGGCUUCCUCAAAAUUGUCGUAGGUCUUCGUGAGCAAGCAAGUUGGAUGCACACCCACUAGUUCUCCUUUUGAUCUUUCACAUACUUAUAGCUCUAGUGCAUCCGUUGUAUGGAAAUCCCUCCUCAUUCACAUUGAUAUCUAUUAAUGGGCAUCUCCAUAGCCCUUUGAUACGCCGAGUCAAUGUGACCAUCUCCUCCUUUUUGUCUCACAACCUCCACCACACUCUAUUCCACCAUAGUGCUAUAUCCAUGGCUCACGCUCAUGUAUUGCGUGAGAGUUGAAAAAGGUUUGAGAAAGUAAGAGUGCGAAAACAAUUACUUGGCCAACACCAGGGUUGUGCAUGAUUUAAAUUAGUUGUGUAGGGAUGAUGGACAAUAGCGAGACUAUAUGAUUUUGUAGGGAUAACUUUCUUUGGCCUUGUUAUUUCGAAAGAUCAUGAUUACGUUGCUAGUUUGCUUGAAGUAAUAUUGUUUUCAUUUCAAUAGCAAACUAUUGUUUUGAAUCUUACAGAUAUGAACAUUCAUGUCACAUGAAAGAAUUUACAAAGGACAACUAUGCUAGGUAGCAUUCCACAUCACAAAUUCAGUCUUUAUCACUUCCCUACUCGAGGACGAGUAGGAGUUAAGCUUGGGGAUGCUUGAUACGUCUCCAACGUAUCUAUAAUUUUUGUUGGUUCUAUGCUAUUAUCUUGUUAAACUUUGGAUGUUUUGUAUGCCUUUUAUAUCUUUUUUGGGACUAACUUAUUAACUCAGUGCCAAGAGCCAGUUCGUGUUUUUGCCGUGUUUUUGACCCUUUUCACACGAGAAUUUAAAACGGUGUCCAAACGGAAUAAAACUUCCGAAAAGAUUUUUUCUGAAACAGAAGAUACGCAGGGGGCGUGAGAACCAAGGCAGAGGCCACGAGGGGAGGCUACAAACCCCCUAGGCGUGGCCAGGGGGCGCCUAGCAGGCUUGUGGGGCCCCUGUGGCUCGUUUGCCCUACCUCUUCCGCCUAUAAAUUCCCGAAAAAUCCAGAACUGCGCGAGAGAGCCACGAAAAUACUUUUCCGCCGCCGCAAGGUUUUGUCUCUACAGGAUCCCAUCUGGGGAUCGUUCUGGUGCCCUGCUGGAGGGCGGAUUCGGAUAUGGAGGGCUUCUUCAUCAACACCAUGGCCUCUCCGAUGAUGCGUGAGUAGUUCACCAUAGACCUUCGGGGUCCAUAGCUAGUAGCUAGAUGGCUUCUUCUCUCUCUUGGAUCUUUAGUACAAAGUUCUCCAUGAUCUUCAUGGAGAUCUAUCCGAUGUAAUCUUCUUUUGUAGUGUGUUUGUCAAGAUCCGAUGAAUUGUGGAUUUACGAUCAGAUUAUCUAUGAAUCUUAUUUGAGUUUCUUCUGAUCUCUUAUAUGCAUGAUUUCAUAUCCUUGUAAUUCUCUUUGAGUUGUGGGUCUUGUUUGGCCAACUUGAUCUAUGAUUCUUGCAAUGGGAGAAGUGCUUGGUUUUGGGUUCAUACCGUGCGGUGACCUCACUCGGUGACAGAAGGUAUAGCGAGGCACGCAUCGUGUUGUUCCCAUCAAGGGUGAAAAGAUGGGGUUUAUAUCUAUUGCAUGAAUUUAUCCCUCUACAUCAUGUCAUCUUGCUUAAGGCGUUACUCUGUUUGUUAUGAACUCAAUACACUAGAUGCAUGCUAGAUAGCGGUUGAUGUAUGGAGUAAUAGUAGUAGAUGCAGACAGUAUGAGUCUACUUGUCUCGGACGUGAUGCCUAUAUGUAUGAUCAUUGCCUUAGAUAUCAUCAUGACUUUGCGCGGUUCUAUCAAUUGCUCGACAGUAAUUCGUUCACCCAUCGUAAUACUUGCUAUCAUGAGAGAAGCCUCUAGUGAACACUUUGCCCCCCGGGUCUACUUCACAUCAUAUUUGUAGCUCCACACUUUUACUUUGUUGCACUUUCCACCUUCAGAUCUCACCUUGCAAUUAAUCGUGAAGGGAUUGACAACCCCUUUAUAGUGUUGGGUGCAAGUUUGUUUGUUUUUGCGCAGGUACAUUGGUGACUUGCCUUGAUACUCCUACUGGAUUGAUACCUUGGUUUUCAAACUGAGGGAAAUACUUACUGCUAUUGUGCUGCAUCACCCUUUCCUCUUCAAGGGCAAAACCAACGCAAGCUCAAGAGGUAGCAGCAGCGCCUCUGACCCGGGCUAUACUAAGCUGGAGAUCGACUGUUGGUUGUGCCCGGUACGAUUCCCGAUCUCAGUUGUUGUGGGUAAACUGAGGUUGGUCUCCAUCCCGUCGAGUGGGAGAGUACCUUCUAGAUCCAUAGAUGGACCUGUUGCGACUUGUCCAAGUCGUGAUGUAGGUUGUGUCUGCUCCUAGGUUGCACAUGUUCCUCCCCUUUCCCGCUGGGAGGCUCGUGUCUAUACUUGGCUUCUCUGUCCGCUCUGUCACGCCCUCGAGGUGGGCGAUUAGGCCGAUCAUACAGUGUGCGCCUAGGGACACAGGAUCUGGGGCCUCAUCAUCGAACCGAGGCAGCAUGCGCCAGCAUGGGUAGCUUUUGUUUUGAUCCAGCCACUCGGUGCCAUAUACUUCUUCGGUUGCGAGUACUUUCAUUUAUCUAUUGUUGAUGGUAUCUUCUUCGUCUUGGAGCCGAUCUUGCUUCGCGUGGAGGCUGCGGGCGGUAGCUAUGAGCUGCUGCCUGAACCCUUCCUGACCCUCAAGGUCCUCGCGAACUGUGAAGUGUUCGGCCUCUAAGUUGUCUUCCGCAUCAUAGGGGAGGAGGUAGUUGUCGUCAUCUGAAUCGUCGGUGUCAUCAGGAUCGGACUGACUCUCGGGCUUGUUCGGGUCCUCCGGUGGCUCGGGAGCCCCAAGGUUACCGAGGUCCUCCGACGUUGUAUUUCCCCGGUGCCCUGUAUGGUCUCCCUUCCCUUGUUCGCCUUGGCUUGUUUACGCCGUCUUUGGUGCUUUGAUGGCUUCUCCCUGGACUUAUCUCCAUUUUGUGUGGGGGUAUGAUGUCUACUACACAACUUUAUUCUUGUAGACUCGUGUUGGGCCUCCAAGCGCAUAGUUUUGUAGGACAGUAGCAAUUUUCCCUCAAGUGGAUAAACUAAGGUUUAUCAAUCCAUGGGAGGUGUACGAUGAAGAUGGUCUCUCUCAAGUAACCUUGCAAUCAAAUACACCCAAUACAAUGGUAAAUUGUAUAGGUGCACUAGUUUGGCGAAGAGAUGGUGAUAGAAGUGCAAUACGGAUGGUAGAUAUAGGUUUUUGUAAUCUAAAAUACAAAAAUAGCAAGGUAACAAGUGGAAAACAUUGAGAAAAAUGUUGUAUUAAUGCUUGGAAAUAAGGCCUAGGGUACAUACUUUCCCUAGUGCACUCUCUCAAUAAUGCUGACAUAGUUGGAUCCCUCAACGUGCAACAAAUAAUCACUCCAAAGUUCCUAUAUAGUGGAGAACAACAAGAUGAAAAUGGUGUAGGUAGUAGAACCACCUCAAAGUUAUUCUUCCCGAUAAAUCUAUUCAAGAGUUCGUACUAAGAUAACAUCAAGCUAUCCUUUCCGUUCAAUCUAUUCAAGAGUUCAUACUAAGAUAACAUCAAGCUAUCCUUCCCGUUCGAUCUAUCUAAGAGUUCGUACUAGAAUAACACUAAUGAUACAUAUCAAUCGACCCUAGUGUCACCUAGAUACUCCAGUGUCACCUCAAGUAUCCGUGGGUAAAUUAUGCGACAUGCAUCAAACAAUUUCGGAGCUAUCAUAUUCAAUCCAACCCAAAGAGCGUGCAAGGAGCACCCCAAGAUUUCUAUCGGAGAACAUGGUAUGAGAACGAGCAACCAACCCCUAUGCAUAGAUCCCCAAGGUCACCGGAACCGGCAAGUUGAUGCCUCAACAUAUAUCAAGUGAAUCAAUAGAAUACCCCAAUGUCACUACGGGUAUCCCACGCAAGACGUACAUCAAGUGUUGUCAUACCAAUAUGCUCAAUCCAACAUGACAAGAUCUUAAAGGAAAAGACUCAAUUCAUCACAACUAGAUGGUAAGUGAAAUACAUCAUAUGAUCCAACUAUAUUAAAAAAGCCCGUGUUCUUGAGAUCAUGCCAUCUCAAGAUCACGAGAGAGACAGAGAGAGAUUGAACACAUAGCUACUGGUAUAUACCCUCAGCCUCGAGGGUGAACUACUCCCUCCUCGUCAUGGCCUCCGCCAGGAUGAUGAAGAUGGCCACCGAUGAUGGUUUUCCCUCUCCGGCACUGUACUGGAAUCACUCUAGAUUGGUUUUUCAGCAAUACAGAGAGUUGCGGCGGCAGAGCGGAAUUUCUCUCUUUACUUCUGGGGCUUCUCACAUUUAUAGGAUUUUUCAGCGUUGGAAUCACGCGCAACGAAGCCACGUGGGCCCCACAAGCCAUCAGGGCGUGUCCAAGGCCGUGGCUGCGCCCUCUUGGCUUGUGCCUCCAUGGAAACCCUCCUCUGGUGGUUCUUUGUUCCAACAUUGCUCAUAUGUUCCAUAAAAAAUCAUAAAAAAGUUUCGGGCGAUUCCGAGAAAUUCCAUUUUCUACACAAAAAAACAACAUCACAGUAAUUCUGCUCAAAAUAGCGCCAGUCCGGGUUAGUUCUAACUAAAUCAUAUAAAGUGCAUCAAUACCAUAUAGUUAUUAUAAACAUAGGAAAAUAUGGCAUGAAUAUUUCAUAAAUUAUCGAUACGUUGGAGACGUAUCAACAUCCCCAAGCUUAAUUCCUACUCGUCCUCGAGUAGGUAAAUGAUAAAAGAAAUAAUUUAUGAAGUGUGAAUGCUAGCAUAAUGUACAAUAUUGAUCAAGGAUAAUUUCAGCCAUUUUUCUAGCAUCAUAACCAACAAGUAUUUCUCAUAAAGCUUCUCAAGAUCAAGUAGCAAGUUAUUCACAUGUUAAAGUAUAUACCAGAAACUUUCUUGAAAAAUAGCAAACUAUGUUUUCAGUUAUCAAACAAUUACAAUUCAUCUUAUUUUCAGGAAGGGUCUAUGUAAGAGCUUUGAUUCAGCAAAUUCCACAUACUCAUCUAUCAUUUAGUCAUCCAUGAUUGCUGACACUCAAAGUAUAUUUUUAGAACAAACAGUUUCAGUCAAACACAAGGAAGAUAGGGGCUUAAAGUCUCACCUCCCAACUUAUUUAUCUCGGGGAUAAUGUGAACAAAUAUUCAAUUGGUAUAUGUGUGUGGAUCUUUCCCCACCACAUGAUGCUUGCCAACUACGGAAUUAAUAGAUUGGAAUAAGAAGUUGACUCGACAUGAAAAGUAAAAGAUAUGCCCUUCAUAGAGGGAAGCAUAGGUUGCCAUGCGCUUUUUAUUUUUGGAUGUAUAAUCUGUUAAAGAAAAGGAACGUCACUUUAUAUUGCCCCUUGUGAUGGCACCCUUUAUUAUGAAGUCCGUCACUUUUAUUUCUUUACCAUCUCAAGUUUGUACAAAGCUUAUUUUCCCUUCCAAUAAAAGAACAUACAUAUUUAGGAGCAAUUUUUAUUGCUUUUUGCACCGAUGACAACUUACUUGAAGGAUCUUAUUCAAUCCAUAAGUAGAUAUGGUGGACUCUCAUGGCAAGAAACUAGGUUCAAGGAUUUGGAUGCACAAGUAGUAUCUCUACUUAGUACGAAGUUUUGGCUAGCAAAAGGUUCUAAACAAGCACCACAUGUUACAGGAUCCAUGACAAUAUAACUGCUAUGUGAAUAUAAACAAACAUAAUCAUUAAGUUGUCUUCCUUGUCCAACGUCAACUACUUGAUCAAGUUUGAAAAUAAUUAAUGGGGCUCACAAUCAUAGAAUAUGUCCAAGAUAGUAUAUCUAUAUAUGAAACCUCUCUUCCUUCAAUGUUCUUUCAUGAAUCGUUUAAAUGACCAAUGUUAUGUUUACUAACUUACAAUAAAUUUUACCGCAUAUACUCCUAGUAUGUGAAGUUAUUUCUCCCCAUGGGAUAAGCUUAUGAAGCAUACAUAUGAUUUCACAUUUAUGAUAUUCAAUUCAUUCAACGUUUUACUCUUAGGAUAUAAGUGAAGCACAAGAGUAAACGUCAAACUACUCUCAAAAUAUAUAAGUGAAGAACAAUGAGUAGUCAAAAAAUUAAGUAGCUAUAUGAGGACUCUCUCUCAGUAAAGAUUUGUAGAUCUUGAUAUUUUAUUCAAACUGCAAAAAACACAAAAAUAGCACUUCAAGAAUAGCAUAUAUCAUUUGAACGAAUAAAAAAUUAGGCUCAACAUAGGCUAGCCGAUAGUUGACGAAGAGGGGUGGGAUGCGUAGCAUCCCCAAGCUUAGAUGCUUGAGAAUUCUUGUAAUAUUAUCUUGCGGUGCCUUGGGAAUCCCCUAGCUUGAGCUUUUGUAUCUCGUUCAAUCCUCCCAUGUCCCGGUUUCACCUAUGUCUCAAAAACUUCAUCCACACAAAACUUGAAAAGAACUCGUGAGAUAGGUUAGUACACAUAAGAAUAAAUCAACACUUCAUGUACUACCAAGACAAGUUGCAUAAUAAUUUUCAAACAUUAUAUACUGUAUACUAUCAUUUCCACAAUUUAUAUCUACCAAUUUAAGUCUUGAAAACUAUAGAAGAAGUAGAUAACAAAACUAUGACAUCAAUCUGUCUAAACAGGACAGUCUGUAGCAAUUUAUUGAAACAAUGUACUUCUGUAACUCCAAAAAUAUUACAACUUUAGGACAUGAUAGAAAAUUUGUAUCCAAAUACUGAGUAUAAAUUUCAGAAACUUUCGAUGUUCCAGUAAAAUUACAUAAUUCAAAUACUACAGCAAAAGUUUCUGUUUUUAUACAGCACAACUCACCCAUGUAAUUCAAGCAUCCUAAAAGAAAUUCUUGGAACUUUUUGAUUGAAAAAUAAUAUUAUAAAUAACAUCUAACAGAGAACAAAAAAAUAAAAUGAUGCUCCAAGCAAAACUCAUAUUAUGUGACGAAUAAAAAUAUAGCUCCAGGUAAGAUAUACAGUAUCGAAGACGAAAGAGGGGAUGAUUUCCGGGGCAUCCCUAAGCUUACCCGCUUGGGUCUUCCUUGAAUAUUACCUUGGGGUGCCUUGGAAAUCCCCAAGAUUUGGGUCUUUCCAGUCCUUAUUCUCCUCAUGUCGGUAUCUCACCAAAAACAUGAAAACUUCAAUCACACAAAACUUAACAGAACUUCGUGAGAUGAGUUAGUAUAAUAAAGAUAGAUCAUUCACUUAGGUACCAUCAAGACAAGAUUCAUAAUUGUUACCACAUAAUACCUACUGCAUUCUAUCAUUACCAUAAUUUAUAUCACGAAAUAUAAGCUAUAGAAACACUAAAACAAGCAAAGUAUGCAUGCAAAUCAGAAUAUGUAAAAAACCGAACAAUCUGUGAAGAUCUGACUGAACACCAUACUUACUUGGCUCUAAAAAUUCUUAACAAUUAGGAAAACGCAUACAAUUUUCAUAUAAAAACUUUAUAAAAAUUUCAGAUUUUUUUGACUUUCCAGUAAAAUCACAUAAUUCAUAUACUAGAGGCAAAAGUUUCUGUUUUUGCACACAUUCAAACUAACAAGUUUCCACACUAUCCCAAAGGCUUUACUUGGCACUUUAUUGAAAUAAAAUAUACAAAACAUGAUUACUAAAGUAGAUUAAUCAUGUGAACACACACGAAUAUAAUGUAAAAGUUUUGGGUUGUCUCCCAACAAGCGCUUUUCUUUAAAGCCUUUUUAGCUAGGCAUGAUGAUUUCAAUUAUGCUCACGUAAAAAAAUUGAAUUGGAACACAAUGGGAGCAUCAUGAAGCAUAUGACAAGCACAUUUAACUCUAAUCCUCUUCCUAUGCAUAGGUAUUUUAUGAGCAAACAAUUUUUGGGAACAAGAAUCAACUAGCAUAGGAAGGCAAAACAAGCAAAACUUCAAGAUUUUCAACACAUAGGGAGGAAACCUGAUACUAUUGCAAUUCCUAAAAGCAUAAGUUCCUCCCUCAUAAUAAUUUUCAAUAGCAUCAUGAAGGAAUUCAACAAUAUAAGUAUCACCUAAAGCAUUAUCUUCAUUAUGCACAAGCAUAGAAUUUUCCACAUAAGUAAUUUUCUCCCCAUUCAUAGUAGUGGGAGCAAACUCAACAAAAUAACUAUCAUGAGACAAUUAAUUGACAUAACCAAAUUGAAUAUUAAAAUCAUGAUGACAAGUUUCAUGGUUAUCAUUACUCUUCAUAGCAUACAUGUCAUCAUCAUAAUCAUCAUAAAUAGGAGGCAUGCCAUUAUCAUAAUAAAUUUUCUCAUCAAAACUCGGGGGACUAAGAAUAUCAUCUUCAUCAAACGUAGCAUCCCCCAAGCUUGUGGCUUUGCAUAUCAUUAAAAUCAUGGACAUUCAAAGAAUUCAAACUAACAAAAUUUCAAUCAUGCUCAUCAUUCAAGGAAUUCUCAGUAAAUAUUCUCACAAAUUCUUUGUCUAACAAUUGAGCACAAUUUUCCAAACCAUUAUUUUCACGAAAGACAUUAAAAAGACUAAACCAUUGAGGCAAUGUAAAUCCCAUUUCUAUUAGUUUUAUUUUAUAAAACCAAACUAGUGAAAAACAAGAAAUUAAAAAAUUUAAUUGCAAGAUUUCAAGAUAUACCUUCAAGCACUCACCUCCCCGUCAACGGCGCCAUAAAAUAGCUUGAUGUGUACUACACAACUUUAUUCUUGUAGACUCGUGUUGGGCCUCCAAGCGCAGAGUUUUGUAGGACAGUAGCAAUUUUCCCUCAAGUGUAUGACCUAAGGUUUAUCAAUCCGUGGGAGGUGUAGAUGACGAUGGUCUCUUUCAAGCAACCCUGCAAUUAAAUACAAGAAAUCUCUUGUGUCCCCAACACACCCAAUACAAUGGUAAAUUGUAUAGGUGCACUAGUUCGGCGAAGAGAUGGUGAUAGAAGUGCAAUAUGGAUGGUAGAUAUAGGUUUUUGUAAUCUGAAAAUAUAAAAAGAGCAAGGUAUCAAGUGGCAAACAACGGGCAAAACGUUGUAUCAAUGCUUGGAAAUAAGGCCUAGGGUACAUAGUUGCACUACUGCAAUCUCUCAACAAUGCUAACAUAGUUAGAUCCCUCAACGUGCAACAAAGAAUCACUCCAAGGUUCCUAUCUAGUGGAGAACAAUAAGAUGAAAUUGGUGUAGGUAGUAGAACCACCUCAAAGUUUUUCUUUCCAAUCAAUCUAUUCAAGAGUUCAUACUAAGAUAACAUCAAGCUAUCCUUUUCGUUCAAUCUAUUCAAGAGUUCGUACUAAGAUAACAUCAAGCUAUCCUUUCCAUUCGAUCUAUCUAAGAGUUUGUGCUAGAAGAACACCAAUGAUACAUAUCAAUCGACCCUAAUGUCACCUAGAUACGCAAAUGUCACCUCAAGUAUCCGUGGGUAAAUUAUGCAACAUGCAUCAAACAAUUCUAGAGCUAUCAUAUUCAAUCCAAGACAAAGAACGUGCAAGGAGCACCCCAAGAUUUCCAUCGGAGAACAUGGUAUGAGAACGUGCAAUCAACCCCUAUGCAUCGGUCCCCAAGGUCACCGGAACCCGCAAGUUGAUGCCUCAACAUAUAUCAAGUGAAUCAAUAGAAUACCCCAAUGCCACUACGGGUAUCGCACGCAAGACAUACAUCAAGUGUUGUCAUACCAAUAUGCUCAAUCCAACAUGAUGAGAUCUUAAAGGAAAAGACUCAAUUCAUCACAACUAGAUGGUAAGGGAAAUACAUCAUAUGGUCCAACUAUAUUAACAAAGCCCAUUUUCUUGAGAUCGUGCUAUAUCAAAAACAUGAGAGAGAGAGAGAGAGAUUGAACACAUAGGUACUGGUAUAUACCCUCAGCCUCGAGGGUGAAAUACUCCCUCCUAGUCAUAGACCACAACAUGUCCCUAGUGAGCCUCUUGUUGGCUAGCUCGUUGAUCAAUAUAUGGUAAUGGUUUCCUGAUCAUGGACAUUGGAUGUCAUUGAUAAUGGGAUCACAUCAUUAGGAGAGUGAUGUGAUGGACAAGACCCAAUCCUAAGCAUAGCACAAGAUCGUGUAGUUUGUGUGCUAGAGCUUUCGUAAUAUCAAGUAUCAUUUCCUUAGACCAUGAGAUUGUGCAACUCCCGGAUACCGUAGGAGUGCUUUGGGUGUAUCAAACGUCACAACAUAACUGGGUUAUUAUAAAGGUGCACUACGGGUAUCUCCGAAAGUGUGUGUUAGGUUGGUACGAAUCGAGACUAGGAUUUGUUGCUCCGUGUGACGGAGGAGUAUCUCUGGGCCCACUCGGUAAUGCAUCAUCAUAAUGAGCUCAAUGUGACUAAGAAGUUAGCCAUAUGAUGAUGUGCUACGGAACGAGUGAAAAGACUUGUCGGUAACGAGAUUGAACAAGGUCUAGGGAUACCGACGAUCGAAUCUCGGGCAAGUAUGAUACCGGUAGACAAAUGGAAUUGCAUACGGGAUUGAGAAUCCUCGACAUCGUGGUUCAUCCGAUGAGAUCAUCGUGGAACAUGUGGGAGCCAACAUGGAUAUCCAGACCCCGCUGUUGGUUAUUGGCCGGAGAGGUGUCUCGGUCAUGUCUGCAUGUUUCCCGAACCCGUAGGGUCUACACACUUAAGGUUCGGUGACGCUAGGGUCGUUAUGGUAGUCAUAUAUGUGGUUACCGAAAGUUGUUCGGAGUCCUGGAUGAGAUCCCAUACGUCAUGAGGAGUUCCGGAAUGGUCCGGAGGUAAAGAUUUAUAUAUGGGAAGUCCUAUUUUGGCCACCGGAAAAUGUUCGGGAUUAUUCGAUAUUUUACCAGGAAGGUUCUAGAAGGUUCCGGAGUGGGGCCCACCUGCAUGGGGGACCCACAUGAACGUGGGUAGUGGGGGCAAGGCCCCACACCCCUGGUCAAGGCACCGCAAGAUCCCCCCUUAGAAGGAAUAAGAUCAUAUCCCGAAGGGAUAAGAACAAGAUCCCUAAAAAGGGGGAUCACAAUUGGUGGGGAAGGGAAAGAUGGGAUUUCUUUCCUCCCACUGCUAACGCCCCAAUGGACUUGGAGGGCAAGAAACGAGCCCCUUCCACCCCUAUAUAUAGUGGUGAGGCGCAUGGGAGCUGAACCCUAGCCCCUGGCGCAGCCCUCCCCCUCCUACACCUCCUCAUCCUCCGCGGUGCUUGGCGAAACUCUACCGGAGAACCACAUAGCUCAACCGCCAACAUGCCGUCGUGCUGCCGGAGUUCUCCCUCAACUACUCCUCCCUCCUUGCUGGAUCAAGAAGGAGGAUACGUCCUCGGGCUGUAGGUGUGUUGAACGCAGAGACACCGUGUCGGGACCCCGAUCCUAAGCCAUAGGAAUUCUGCCUGUAACACAUCGCAUCCCUUUGUGGUCUCACGCACGGUUAACUCCACGGCUGCAGCCUUACCUUAGCCGGGACAGUUUGCGUCUUUUGACUCACGUAUGCAUUAGUGUCGCUAGCAUUCCAAUGUCAAAGAACCCGGAUCAACAAGUCUAGUCAUAAACCAAAGUGGCAGUACCGCACAAGGACAUGCAUACAUGACCCAACAAAGCAGGUGUCGGUCACAACGAGUGUAGACGAGUCGUAGCAAGCUACAAGGACUCCAUUACAUCGCGUGACAUUUCCCCAAAGGGGACAGACACAUCAUCUAAGAAGGACACAUGCCGGUCAACCAAUGUGUCCGGAGCAGUAGCAAGCUACCAUGGCUCGUUGGAUCACAAAGGGGCAUUUCCCUGUAAGGAGUGCUACUAAAAUUCACGACUAGGUAAUCGAACCCCAUACAUAUCAAUUACGACACACGUACGCAUGGCAUACUGAUAUGUAUAGAUAUAUCGAUGGCAUCAGAACAUAACCAUAAACAUACAAGCUUUAUUUAAGAGGCUCAGAAGAGCCACACACAUAAUAUUACACAGUAAGGGUCUCACGACCCAAUAGCAGUCAUUCAGUUACAAGCCAACGGAAGAGUUUAAAACUGUCUGAGUAUAGACAGGUGCAACUAAAGGGGCACAUGGCCUGACUAUACUACAGAUCCAACGUAGGGCCAGAUCGUAGCUGGGACACCAGCUACUCGUCGUCGUCGAUGUCUACGAAGAAGCCUCCAUUAGGGUCAUUAGCAACCUCUGCAACAUUUAUUAAGCAAACAUGAGUACGAAGGUACUCAGCAAGACUUUAGGAUAACUAUCUACUCAUGCAAUGUAUCAAAAGGUAUUGUGGGGUUUCAUGCGGAAAGCCAGCAUUUGACUCGUGGCUAGACAACUUGCAUUUUUAAAUAAUUUUGACAACUUGAUUUCUCGCACACGAGUCCACUAACACCACAACAAUACACCAUCGUGGAAUCAUUCCGUCUCCAUACGGAAUUGCCGUCCACGACACUCACGGUUAUCUCACUACUAGGAAAAGGGCUAUAGAUGAAAUAGAUACUAAUGGCGCACCACACAAGCCGUGCGCCACUACUAUAUAGUAAUGGCGCACCAUGUGAGGUGUGCCAUUAGUGUGGUGGAUACUAAUGGCGCACCACACUCUCGGUGCGCCACUACUAUUUUUUUUUUGCAAAACUACUAAUGGCGCACCAGCACCUGGUGCGCCAUUAGUAACCUGGUUACUAAUGGCGCAUCUGUUAGUAGUGCGCCACUACUAUAAAAAAAAUUUGUUUUUUUUUGCAAACUACUAAUGGCGCACCAAAGCUAGUGCGCCAUUAGUAACCAGUGUUACUAAUGACGCAUCUGUUGGUGGUGCGCCACUACUAAUUUUUUUUUACAGAACUACUAAUGGCGCACCGGAGGAGGUGCGCCAUUAGUUACCAGGUUUACUAAUGGCGCAUAUGUAGGUGGUGCGCCAUUAGUAACCUCGGACCAGCUAGAUAUUUUGGACAGCCAGCUACCACACUCACUUUCCCCACUUUCAUUCUCUCCACCUCCUCCUCCAAGCUUGUCUCGGGUGCCUCCUCCUCCUCACCUCAUUUGCAUCAUAGAUUCACCCAAAUUAAGUGGUUAAAUUACCUUUUUUUGAUAAGUAAGUAAGGGGAAAGCUUUUAUGUUGUAGAUCUACUUUUUUCUCCCUCCAACAACGUGCACAUGCACUUUUUAUGGCCUAGCUAGAUCUACGUAUGUUUGUUGUGUUGCAUAUGUUUGUGGUGUUGCAUAUAUGUUUGUGUUUGCAGGUACCGGUAUUUGAAAUGCGAUAGUUGCCAAUAUUUUCCCGAAAUGUUGAUUCAUUUCCGUUUCGGCGAGAAUUUGGCACUAUGCAUUCUUUUUUGUCCUAUUUUUAGGCAAAGUCAUGCCAAUUUUUUUUUGGUUCUAAAAUAUCGUUUUGCUCUACCCCGCAGGCGACCAUGGUCCGCACGAUGACCGAAGGCAUCGUGAAUAGGUUUUUGAGCUCCGCGAAGGCCGAGAUGCUUCAAAAGAACGAGACGGAGAUAAGAUGUCCGUGUCGAAGAUGCAAGCUGAAGAGCCUUAUGGACCCGGAUUCCGUAAAGGUGCGGGACCACCUGCUCUUGCGUGGUUUCAUGGAUGGCUAUCGGUGGCAAGGUGAUGAAGAUGAUUAUGAAGUCGUCCAUGGGGGCCGGGAAAGAUAUGAGGAAGGGCAUGAGCAAGACAACCACGGCGAGGGCGGGCGAGAAGACAAAGAAUCUCCAGGACACAGUCAUCAUGUAGAAGAUGCCGGACAUGAUGAUGAGGAAGAUGCCGGAGCAGACGAAGGGCAUGAUCAUGAAGAUGAAGAUGCCGGAGCAAACGACGAUGGACCAUCGAUGGCCUGGGUGCAGGACCCUCAUAUUCAAGAGCUGCUUCUCAAGCAGACGGAUAACGCAAGAGCUGCCGCCCGAGAGAAAGCCAAGCUGGAUCAACUGGAGAUAGACGCGGUUACUCCAUUGUAUGAAGGAUGCAGGGCCGAGGAUAACCGCCUGAAAGUAACGCUCAUGGCUCUGGAGAUGAAGGUAAAACACAAAAUGACCGACGCAUGCUUCGACGAGAACAUGUCAUUCUGGCACGAACGUCUUCCCAAGGGGAACAAGUGCCCGACCAGUUUCGAGGAGGCGAAGAAAAUCGUGUGUCCUCUAGAUUUACCACACGUGAAAUACCAUGUGUGCAUGAACAAUUGCAUCAUUUAUCAGGACGAGCAUGGGGAGUCUACCAUAUGUCCGGUGUGCGGUGUCAGUCGAUACAAGAAGAGGAAGAAAGCUCCUCGAAAAGUGGUAUGGUACUUUCCGAUCACUCCUUGUCUGCAACGGUAUUUCGCGGACCCUAAGGUAGCAAAGCUCCUGCAUUGGUACGCGGAUAGGGAGGAGAAAAAGCGAGAAGAUGACGGAAAUGAUCCGGAGAUAAAUAAAAAAGACAAGAUGCUGAGUCACCCUAAGGAUGCGAGCCAGUGGCAAGCGUUGAACUAUGAAUACCCAGAAUUUGGGGACGAUCCAAGGAACAUCGUGCUGGGCGCGAGCACCGAUGGAGUCAAUCCGUUUGGCAGCCAGAGAAGCACACAUAGCACCUGGCCUGUGUUUGUGUGGAUGUACAACCUUCCCCCCUGGUUGUGCAUGAAGAGGAAGUACAUUCACAUGAGUAUGCUAAUUGAAGGGCCGAAACAACCAGGGAACGACAUCAAUCUAUAUCUAGGGCUGCUGAAAGAGGAGCUAGACACGUUGUGGAAAACGCCAGCCAAUACGUGGGACGCCGCAGAGAAAGAAUAUUUCCCUAUGGGAGCCGCACUGCUCACGAUGGUGCACGACUAUCUCGGUUACGGAUAUGUCGCGGGGCAGGUGGUCCACGGAUUUUCUGGAUGCGUCAGGUGCAUGGAUGACACAAUGUAUCGCCAGCUAGACAGAGAUCCCGGGUCUUCAAAAACCGUGUUCAUGGGACAUCGAAGGUGGCUUCGCGACGAUGACACAUGGGGAAAACGCAAGGAUCUGUUCGAUGGUGAAACCGAACCCCGAAGACGCCCCCUUAUGAGGAGCGGCGAGGAAAUAUACAAGCUGUUGAAAAAUUGGAAAGAGAGCCCACCGCCGGGAAAGGCGCCAGAGCCGGGAAAGAAGCGAAAAGCGCCAGAGCCGCUGCUGAAGGUAUGGAAAACAAGGUCUGUUUUCUGGGACUUGCCGUACUGGAAGAUCCUGUGUGUGCCUCACAGCCUUGAUGUCAUGCAUAUCAUGAAGAACGUGUGCGAGAGUCUGCUUGGUACCCUGCUCAACAUGCCAGAGAGGACCAAAGAUGGACCGAAAGCAAGGGCAGACUUGAAAUCAAUGGGCAUCAGGGAGGAGCUUCACACUAAUAAUGAUGAUGAUGAUGAUGAGGCGAAGCAGGACACAGAAAGUCGUCUCAAAGGCAAAAAGUCCAAGAAGACCGGAAAUGACUUCCCUCCCGCGUGCUUCACUCUAAGUCAGGAGGAGAUCGAUCAGUUUUUCACCUGCCUCGUAGGAGUAAAACUUCCUUACGGUUACGCGGGGAAGAUAAGCAGAUACCUAGACUCAGCGAAGCAGAAGUUUUGCGGGAUGAAGUCUCACGACUGUCACGUGCUGAUGACGCAGAUACUUCCAGUUGCAAUCCGUGGGAUCAUGGACGCGCACGUCCGUGAAACGCUAUUUGGCCUAGGCAACUUUUUCGACGUCAUCUCUCAGAAGUCGGUUGGCGUGAGGCAACUCAGAAGGUUACAGGAAGAGAUCGUGGUGAUACUAUGCGAGCUUGAGAUGUACUUCCCGCCAGCAUUCUUCGAUGUUAUGGUGCAUCUGCUGGUCCAUAUCGUGGAGGAUAUCAUCCAACUCGGGCUGACGUUCCUGCACAACCUGAUGCCGUUCGAAAGGAUGAAUGGUGUCAUCAAAGGAUACGUUCGCAACAUGUCACGUCCAGAGGGAAGCAUUGCCAGGGGCUUUCUGACCGAAGAGUGCAUCUCCUACUGCACGAAUUAUCUAGGCAUCGAGAACCCCGUUGGUCUGCCCGUCAACAGGCACCUCGGCAGGCUCGCAGGAUGGGGUCACCGUGAGGGUCGCCUCGAAAUGCAUGUCGACUUCGAGGGUCGACUCGCCGAAUUUGAAAGAGCAAAUCUAGUCGCGCUACAACACAUAGACGUGGUCGAUCCUUGGGUCGUAGAGCACAAAACCUUUAUUGAAAAGACGUACAAUGACCGAGGCCAACAGAGGACGGACGGAGAUAUAACCAAAGAGCACAACUCAUGUUUCACGCGUUGGAUAAAGCAGAAGCUUCUGUCGUACCCUUUACAUGAGGAUUCUUCCACGGAAGAACAACUCAUAUUCGCCUUGUCACACGGCGCCGAGCACAACCUCAUGACGUAUGAGGCGUACGGUACCAACGGCUACACAUUCUACACUGAGGGAAAGGACAUGAAGAGCGAUGGUUAUCAGAACUCCGGGGUAACGAUGGAAUCCUACACCGGUAACGACAAGGACAAAUACUACGGAAGGAUCGAGGAGAUCUGGGAGCUGAGCUACGCUGGAGAGAAGGUCCCGAUGUUCCGUGUCAGAUGGGCCAAGAGCGUCAUAAAAGAAGACCGGUAUUUCACCACCAUGGUUAUACCCGAAGCCAAAUCCAAGACCGCGGGCGCAAACGUCACCGCGAAAAAUGAGCCAUGGGUACUGGCUUCCCAAGUGGACCAAUGCUUCUUCAUUACCGACCCGCCAAAGCCCAGUCGUGUUGUCGUGAGGAGAGGCAAAAGGAAGAUCAUCGGAAUGGAUGGAGUCUCCAAUGAGCAAGACUUCGACAAGUACGGCGACCCGAAGAUGGAAUAUGACGACGAUGAUGAAGUACCAGCAUACACCACAAGAAGAAGCAGGACCACCCUACCUAAAGGACGUUCGUUCAAGAGAAGAACUCCAUUUACGAAAAAUAAGGGCAAGAAGAUUGUGAACAAAUAGCUAGCUAAGAUCGAUUGUAUUUAAAUUUGAUGAUAUUUUUUCAUAUUCAAUAUUGAAUAUUCAUGAGGACACUCGAUCUCGAUCCCCUCCAUCUCGAUCGCUAUCACCCCUCGCAAGAUCCCCCUCGCCGCCGAGCACCCCCGCACCCUCCCCCGCUCCACCGCCGUCGCCGUCGGCAUACUUACCACUAGAACACCUAUUCACAAGAUACUAGGCACUUCUCAAAAAAAUACUAGGCACUUCUCAAACCAAGGUGCAACCAGCACAAGAAAACAAUGCAAAAAAAAUACUAGGCACUAGAUGUUGUUGUGAGGCACUAGAUAUUCAUAGGCAUCUAAUUGCAAACAUCAAAAAAAAUACUAGACAUCUACUUGCAAACAUAAAAAAAAUACUAGGCACUUCUCAAACCAAGGUGCAACCAGCACAAGAAAACAAUGCAUAGAAAAAAAAGGAAAAAAAAAGAGGGGGGAACAGGAUUCGAACCCGCAACCUCCUGCUAGGAGGCAAAACCCACGGACCACUACGCUGCUACUUCAGAGGUUAACAACAUAGAGAAGGCGCACCUCAUAUACAUGCACCAUUACUACAUAAAAAACCAUUCUAAUGGCGCACCGCUCGGGGUGCGCCAUUCCUAAGCCGGAUCGCGCCCUCCUCUCUUCUCCCGCGGCCUCCCCCCUACCCCUUUCCACCAAAGAGCAGCUCCCCCACCUUCGUCCACGCAGCCCACGGAGCUCUGGCGGCGCUAGGGUUUGCUCCGCCUCUGCCUCCGCCGCCGCCGCCGCCUCCGCCUCCGGCACGUAGCCGCCGGCCGUCCCGUCACCGCCUCUGCCCGCCUUGCCGCCCUUUCUCGUCGCCGGACGCCCAUCUUCCCAGAUCCUCGGCACCUGCCUCUCCGUCGCGCCCUCGACCUGCACGGCGCUCGGCGCCAGCUGCGCCACCGCCCCAGGCCGUGACCCCGCUGCCCUGCCCCGCCGCGUGGCGCCCCUGCAAGCCGGCGGCAGCCACCGACCGCCCAGUCUGCACCCCGACACUUGGCUUAGUCUGAUUUGAGGUACCAUUUUACAAUUCCCCAAUUUUUUGGUUUAGGGUUAGGCGGUUAGCUUCAUUGCUCGCUGAUUUGUUGUGUUGUGCAUACUCGACUACAGUACAUGAACAUGAACUGGUUAAUUUAGCACAUCAUUUUUGUUCAAUUCUGUCAUUGAUUGAUAAAUGGUAAAUUCAUAUUCAUAUUCAUGAGGUUAUCAGGGUUUCUUGCUUUAGUUGCAGUCCUGCUAAGUUUGUAAUUAAAUAGUCCAAACAAAGUGGCAGGUGAUGCUGCAAGGUUAUAUUUUUUCUGCUGGUUUAGCUUAUAUUGGUUGGCAUGGAUGAGUGUUAAGUCACUGAAUAUUGUUUAUGUUUUGAUCUUUAGUUGGCUAUAUAUAAGUUUCACCUGCUGGCUCAAGUUUACUUUAAUGAUGCAAGUUAAAUAUAUAGCUACAAGCUAAUUUAAACAACAAACAGUGGCCCAUACUAGUGUUAGCUCGUGUGGUAUCGCACGCUUGCACAGUUUCGUGACCUCUUUUUCUCUACUUUUGAAAUGUUAGUUUGCUCAUGUGUAUUAAUCAAGGUGACAAACAGCAUGUUGGAGUAAACUUGUAAGGCACAUACUCUUUUGAUACUUAGGUGCACGUGAACUUGCAAGAGAUGCUCGAGCUACAAGACCCGAUGACCUCAUGAAUUCUGUUGUUGGAGGGCUAGCAAGUGGAGCUGUUCUUGGCCGAAUAGAAGGUUGGUCAUUAUACUCCAUGGUCAUAUGUUGACUUAUAUUUCUUUUCAUACUUAACAUCUUUCAGUGACUGUAGUGCUCAAUUCCUCCUUGUCCUUAUGAAUUUGAUCUCUAUAGUACACCAAGCAAGCUUAUAUAUCUGAAAAACUUAAGUUUAUGAUAUCACACAUACUAGCAGAUAAAGAUGCAUAUUAUAUUACAUUACGCACUGAAGCUCAGGGAAAUGUGCGAUUAUAGUCAGUCAUGUGCGUUCUGGUGGAGCUUGUGCAAAUGCUUAGAAGGUUGGUUCUGUGCCAACUAGCUGCAUUAGAGAUCAGACACGACCGAAAUAAUUUUUCACUAGGCUCGUAUUCACGCAUCUCUCUGCCUUGCCUUCUAUCCUUCCCUCCCAUUGCUCAACUGGAGGUGAGAUGCUGAUGCGUUAGAUAGAAGGAUGUUUUAUUUUCUGCUUCCAUACCAUCUACUGUAUUUCAUUCGAUCGAGAAGGGUUCAGUCCCAGUUCUUGAUUUCUGUAGUGAUUCUUAGAUCUUGCCCCCUUCCAUCCACCAAAUCUUCCAAUCAAUUUUCAGGUUAAUGUCAGGGCCCAACCACUCUGGAGAGCCGUGUUGUUCGCCGCACCUUUUAGAUCUUGGAGAUAUAGAUGGCUGGGCCAGUGCAACAAGCCUAGGUUUGAUGUCUUGGGAUCAAGAACACUCUUGACAAUGCUUGUGGUUUUCCUAGUGGCAUGAUAACUAGCAUAUGACAGGAAGAUGAGCACCAACACAAGAGCCUGACACGAUCUAAAGGAGAGAGGGCCACCGCGGAUACACUCGAAGAGCUGAAUCCCCAACGGCUUUAUGCUACCCAUUCUGCUUCUGCUCUCAUUAGAGGAGCCCAUGGGUGAGCCUGAAUUUGGUUUAUCCACUAACUGUUAAUGUAGCCGGGAAGAAGGCCGGCCGGUGUUAAUUAUUGCCUUUAUCUGAAAAAAAUGUCAAGCAUGGCAAUCGUCAGAACUAUCCAGAUAAGAUGAUAUAAAAAUGAAAGUGCUGACCGACAGCUUGGCACAAAUGUGGAACUUGGAGUUAUGAAAAUGAAAGUGACAGGUGCAAAUGCUUAAUUUUGCAACAAGGAGUAAUCAUCCUAUAACAAUGUUUGGAAGAAUUAUUGGGGCAAAGGACUAGAUGGUUCCUGAAAUAAAAUAAACAGAGCACACUAUAUUACUAUGAGUUUUUUAGCCUAGGUGGGAUGUUGCAAGCACAUCAUUGUUAAAUCACUGAAUCAGCGGCCCCUGGCAUCAGCAUACAUACGCCUACAAAUGAGCACUUUUCAUCAGAAUCAACCUCACAGGAUAGCCAAGCGCUCAGGCUCAAAAUUAAAAUCAGGGACCCUUUAUUGCAAAUACACCACCCCGGAUUGAGCAGAGAAAACAACCACUAUCUUCAUACAGUUGACAUUAACCUGAAAACAAAACUAAUUUACAAACUGUACCAACAAACAGUGUGCUCCUUGCAAUUCAACUUGAUUUUUGAGUUUGGUCAUACAAUACUCAUAUGUAGCACCCAUAUAGUUAUAUCAACUGUCAACUGUAAAUACCUCUGCUCCUUGCAAAUAAAUUUAAUAACUUAUGUAGCAGUAUGGUUUAUACUUGUCACGUGCACAUGCCGAUGUUUACAACUUGAUGAAUAAAUUUAUUCGCGGAAGAGAAGGCAAUAUUAACACUGAGCUAUGUAUGUGUAUAUGCAGCCAAGAUAAGUAGCGAUCCACUACGACGACCCCAUUCGCUGCAGGUGUUCUUUCUUUCCUUCUACAGUACAUCAGUAGUAGUACUAUCUUGUUUGUACAGUAUGAUUUUUUUGCUGUCUUUAUUCACUGCUCUCUCAAACGUUCAGCAUAUUAAUCUUCCCAAUGGGGUUGAACCAACAGCCAGUGGGUUUCCAUUUUAAGUUUCUACCAGCAACCUGUGUUUCUAUCUUGGGAUACUUCCAUUUUUCAUGCUGGACAUACGCCUGCCAUAGAAGUAUCCUAGGAGAACAUAAUCUUCAUAGUUCAUCCAUUCCUGCACUUUCUGUUGAAAUGUAGACAUUCAUAGUUCCAUAUAAAUAUUGGAAUGUAGUGCAUCCAGAUGUUAGCAUUGUGGUGCUAGUUUGCUGGGUUUUGUUUACGACCAUCGUGUCGUGAUGAUUUUGCAGGUACCCCGAGAGGCCCUUGAGUUUGCCGGAAUGUCGAUUAACUUCCGUUCCGGCAAAUUCAGGUACUCCAUAUGUCCUAUUUUCAGCAAAGGUAAUGCUGAAAUUUUCGGUGAAUUUUAGCAUGACUUUGCUAAAAAUAGGACAUAUGGGGUACCUGCGACUAAUGCAUGGGCCGAGGCAUCUUAGUACUUAAUUAAGUAGGAUCAACUGCCCCUUUAUUCUUGCUGCAUUAAACCAUAGGUGGCAAUAGAGCCAAGUGAUUAGGCCCAACUUCCCUUUUCUUGAUAGGGUAUAUUAUUAGAAGAUACCCAUAUAUAUCAGUCAACCUAGGGUGCCUCGGCAUUGAUAAACCCUAAAUGAUGAAACCAUAGGGUGCCUCGGCAUUGAUAAACCCUAAACUUUUUUCCUAUUUAGAGCGAAACAUGGCCCACAACGAUGAGGCCGGCGGUUCGGGAAAGUCAUUCUGGGAGCUGUCCCAGGAGAUGGAGGAAGAACCUCACCGCUAUGAGGACGCCGCGGUAGACACCGAUCCCGAGUACACAACCCCUAGUGGCGUCGGGGAUGACACCACUGAUGGUCCCGCCGAGAAUGCCACCACUGAUGAUAGCAGCGCACACACAGAUGGCAGCCAAUCGAAGAGGCAACGGAAGGACCGGCGCCCGAACGUGCUCAGCAUCGUAAAGGAGGAAUUUACUGAAGUGAACUCCGACGGGUAUCCAAUGGCGCCCAAAGAAAUAGUCAAGGGGUAUGCGGUUCAUAAGGGGUACACGGUUCAGCUCGGGUGCAUUCUCCGGAGCACUGUCUCGAUCAACACCGAGAACCUAAGGCAUAAGGACCGAGGGAAUUUGCGCAACCUCCUCUUCACGAAGCUGCACGAAUGAUACAAGUUCCCCUGUGACGUCGCAAACACACGCCUCUCAAGGAAUAAAGUGAACAGUGCCGCCCUCAUGAAGAUGAGCAAGGCCCUAUCUACUUGGAGAAGCGUGGUGAAGAGAAUGAUUGACAAAGGUGAUAGUUAUGAGAAGAUCAAGGCGAAAAAUCCUUCGAUCAGCGAAGAUGACUACAUGGAGUUCAAGAUCAAGUGCGAGAGCAAGGCAACCGCGGAAUCAAGUCAAUGGGGGCAAGAAAUGCGGGAGUUGAACUUAGGGGUCCACCAACUCGGUCCCGGCGGUUACAGAGUGGCGGAACCUAUAUGGGACAAGGAGGACGCGGAGCGUGCCGAGCAAGGCCUACCACUCCGCUUCGAGAAAUACGGUGACAAGCAGACCAGGAACUAUGUCAAGGCCCGGUACAAGGUGGACCCUGUAACAAAGGAGCUUACCACGGAUGCGAAGACCAGGGCGCUUGAGCGUGUUCUCGUAAGGAAUACACCCCAUGUAAUUAGCUCCAUAUGGUUGCAUUCUAAUUAAUGAAGCCAAAUUUCUAAAUGGUUCAUUCCUUCCGCGGGACACUGAAAGCAGUAGCGCGGGUCGUCUCAGAGCUCCCAUUGGGACACCAAUUUAAAUAGGGCGUUUAGCAUAAUGAAAAACAAGGAUAAGUCCAGUAAGCCGUCGUCAGCUGGUCGUGUGGCCGGCAAAGGCUUGUCCACGAAAUGGUCGUCAUACUAUAACGCUGGUGGGCGAAAGGAGAGAAAUACCAACUUCGAAAGCUAGUCGCGCGAGGUUGAAGAACUCAAGGCAAAAGUGGCGCGGAUUCCGGAGAUGGUCCAAGAGCUAGUGCAACACCAAGUGGGAGGGUGAUCACCGCCAUUGUGCCUACCUUGAUUGAGGGGCUGCAGGCGUGGAUUGCGGGCGGCCAACAGGGGCCGCCCCCGAUUCCUAGCUUCACGGCCAGCAACUCGCACAACGCGCAGGAAACACCAUUGGUAUCUCCGGCGCCGGUGCCAUUGGUGUCUCCGGCGCCGGCCGGCACCUCGGCAGCAAGCGGCCCCUCCGUCACUUGCACGCCCGCCGUUGGCGGUGCCUCGACAUUAGCCGAGCUCGACGCCAUCACAGUAACUAAGCCUCUCUCGGCCGAUGACUUCAUCUCCUUGCCUUUGACUGGGCAUCCCCUAACGCCCUAGAUGUUUUCGCAGGGCGCCGGCGCCGACGUUCCAUGCACUCUCCUGCACUUCAUGGGCGGCGAUUUGAUCGAUGUCGCCAAGGGCAGAAUCAUUCAACCGGGCAACCCCAUGUUCCACGGUAAACCGAUGCCACCCACCACGUAUAGGGUUCAACUGGUUCGGGUGCUGCCAGGCUGCGACGACUUGUUACCUCCGUUCCACCCUGCUGGGGCCGACAAAGAUGAUGUGAUGAUCCUCAGCGCCUGCUUAAGCUGGCCCUUGCUUUGGCCGAAGAGCCAGAUUCGUUUGGGGGCGGGGGACACCACCCCACAGACAACACCGCCAGUCGUGCCGGCGCCAAGCCAUGGCAAGACUGCCGCAAUGCUACCGGACAUGCAUAUGGCACAGGAUCCGGACAUGCAUAUGGCACAGGUUUCGGACGACGACGAUGAAGACGAUGGUACAUUUACCAAGGUCGAUAAGUACUUUGCCGAACAUGGGUACGGUGAGGAAUUCUUGGGGCCUCCUUCUCAAGAACCCAACCCUGCAAAAGACGACCGCGAUCUAGCUGGUACCGCGGAGAAACCCAAUUGCAACAGGCGUUGUCUGGUGUUUAGUUUUGAGGAGACGCCUCUAGCUGCUGCCUUCACCGAGCCUCAGAUAGCCGAGGUGCGAAAUAUUAUCAGCCCCAACACACUCAAGAAGGUGGUCUCUGAGCAGAUGAAUUGGAUCCCAUUACAUCAGCAGAAGAAGGGACGGAAAAGAAAUACUAACAAGGGUGCGAGCCAGCCGGCACUGAGUACGAUCCGUGCUCUGGACGGGCCACCUUCACCUAAGGAUAUCUCGAGGAGGGUGCAUGUGGCGGGUAGGCCGAUGCUACCGACUAAUCUGCUCAAUGCUGCAACCGGUGCUAUGCGGAGUCUGCAUGACAGUGUUCUUUGUUUGGAGAAGCGGCGUCUCUCCGAGAAUAAUGUGGCAUACCCGAUUUUCGUGGCCAAGGUGCCAGAGGGAAAGGGCUUUGUCGAUAGCGCCAUCGGGGGUAUGAUCGUCCUGCGGUUUGCUGACAUCUUCGCUAUGUUUAACCUUCAUCCGCUGCACUACACCUUCGUUCGGCUAUUUUUGCUGAGUAUGGAGAUGCGGAUCAUUAGAGACAAGACCCUGGACCUAGUGAUAGUCGACCCCUUUUAUAUGCGUGCCAAGAUCUUGGGCAGCGCUGGGGACCGGCAAGUCGCGAGUUCAUACCUCGAAGGCGUCAUUCUGGCAAACUCAGAAAAGGAUAACUUCCUCGUGCCUUACUUUCCCUGGUAAGUUAUCCCCUCAUCGCCACAUAACAUAUGAUUUCUUAGAUUUUGAUCGUCCUUUUUUUUCUAACAUUCCGUGUUUUGUGCAAUGACACACGUUGCACACUCAUCCUCUUAAGCCUGAAAUAUUCCACGGCCACGUAUUUCGACUCGGACCGUCAGUCAAAAAAAAGACUACACAAAUAUCAAGAAAGUUCUUGAUGAAGCUCUUCCCGGCAACGCCAUAUCUGGAGGCACCUUCAGCAGGNNNNNNNNNNNNNNNNNCAGCAGGACAAGUCUCAGGCAUGGCAAGCACGUGUUCACUCACAAUACGACGUUCGCCUGCUUCAAGCAGCCGCCUGGCAGUCAGAAGGAUGCCUACUACGCCCUACAUCACAUGCGGGCGAUCAUACGGGAUAGUAAUCACCUUCGGCUACCAAAUAAUCUCAAAGAUUGGGCCGCACGCUUGUCGGCAAUCCAGGAUGCGGACAUCAGACAAGAAUUCUUUCGCAUCCAGUCGGAGUUUGCGGAAAUCAUCCAUCAAGAUGUCCUUCGUACCUCGGGGCAGUUCUACCUCAAAUCUCUGCUGUCCAAUAGUGAGAUAGAUACAAUGCUACAAAUGCAGGCUGACAAUGACCGCAAUUUCAUGACCAUCACGAAAGACGGCGGCUUCAUCCAUGUUCCCGUGAAUCGCUACUAAUUCAUAUUGCAAUAUUAAACUUUAAUGAACUGGUAUGUCUCUUUGGUUUGGACAGUCGUUCAACUUAUAUAUAAUCGAUGCUAUUUAUUAGUAGGACCAUGAAUCAUGCUGUUAUAGUUGUAAUAUUAAACUUUAAUGAACUUGUAUGUCUCUGUGAAUUGUUACUAACGUUUUGUUUGCCUAGUGCAGAGAGAUGCCGUCGUAUGUCAUGUACAAGGGUAAGGUUCCCGGAGUCUACGACGACUGGGAGGAGUGUCGGAGACAGGUUCACCGAUUCAGCGGUAACAGUUACAAAGGGUACACCACAAGGGCGGAGGCGGAAGUUAGAUACGCGCGCUAUCUAGCGGGAGAGAGGAGGGAGCGUUGGAGGAACCGGAUGAAGAACAGUUUCAUUGCGAUUAUGCUCAUCGUGAUGACCGCCGCUCUCUUCUAUAUGUGAUGGUAGUUUAGAUGGUCGAUAUAUCGACUUGUAAUGUGAAGACAAACUCGCUACUCGCGGUCUCGAGACUUGUAAUGUUCUAACUUUGUUCAGUAUUUUAAAUUCGGAGACUAAUAUGAUGAAUUGUAUUCGGAGACUAAUCUUCUAUUGUAUUCGAUAAAUCUGUUGUUUAUAUGUUGUGCUAUCUAUAUUCUGUGCAAUAAUAUAUUUUGUAAUUUGUGCAAAUAUCAGAAAAAAUAAAAUAAAUACCUAAUAUUCAUACUAGUGGCGCAUCACUCAGCACAUUAGUAAGCCAGAGCAUAUGGGUAAAUAUGGCCCUGGGAGGCAUACUAAUGGCGCACCAUAAGCUAUACUAAUGGCGCACUAGUAUCUAUACUAAUGGCGCACUGUGAGCAAUACUAAUGGCGCACCGUGGGCAAUACCAAUGGCGCACCGUGAGCAAUACCAAUGACGCACCGUGAGCAAUACUAAUGGCGCACCGUGAGCAAUACUAAUGACACACUACCUGGUGCGCCAUUAGUAUACCAGAUACUAAUGGCGCACUUGUAGUGCGCCAUUAGUAAAAAAAUCUAAUGGUGUGAUGCUAGUGGCGCACCUAUAGUGCGCCAUUAGUAGCAAAAAAAAUGGUGCGCCAUUAGAAGGCCUUUUUCUAGUAGUGUCUUGACAAUUUUAUGAGUAUCCAUUGAAGUUAUCUAUGAACAACAUAUGUCUCCAAGUAGUCCAUAUCCGCGGACGCGGCUAUUCGAAUAGAUCAUAACCCUGCAGGGGGGUACUUCGUCGCACACGCUCUCGCCACUUAUCGCCAUGUGCACGUCAUGCACCUCAGCAACCUUCAAACGGAAGCGCGGCGAGGGAGUCGGCCACGACCGUUAACCACACUAAUACCUAGUCUAGGUUUAUCGCCUAUCUGAGGGUAACCCGCACGGAAGUCCGGCCGAGGUUUCCGCCACGGCCCCAAACGAUGUGCGCAGGGUUCUCAAGCCCACCAUCCAGGUGCCACUUGGUACACCGUGCCACUGCCUACCGCAUCACAGCCCACCUCUCAGGUCAACACCAUGCACGGCCUCUAGCAUGACUAUAAACACCAGAAACUACUUGCAACUCCUGGACCGAGUACUAAGCGAUUAAUAAGUAGAGAGGGUCAAUUAAGUAUCCCAACGUGUGGUAGUAUCUAGUCUUGGAUUACAUACACGGAACUCAGUUCCUAAGGACGGUUCCAAUGAAACAACCCACCAUGUACUCCUACACAGCCUUUCACCAGUACCUUUACCAAAUCAGGUUCAACACACAACCUUUACUUACCGAACACAUUCUCACAAUCUGUUCAUCUCCCAGAUGACAGACCAUACAUAACUCUAAGCAUAGCAUGCUAGCAGGAUAUGACACAUCAUGGCUCAAGCAACUACCAGGUAUGCUAGGUUGCAAGGUUCGGCUAUUUACUGUAACAAGGAUAGGUCAUGCAAAGGAAGUGGGUUCAACUAACGUGGCAAAGCAUUUGAAGCAUUUGAUCCUAAUGCAAAAAGUAAGUGCAGGAGCAAGAGCAUGGGAUUUAUCGGGAUGAUCAAAAUGGUUGCUUGCCUUGUUGCUCAGAGGAGUGACAAUAUUCGUAAGACGGAUAUUCGGUGGAAUCCGGGGGAGCGGAGCCUACCGAAAGGAAUGACAACAAUCAAUAUCAAUCAUAUGCAAUCAAGAUGAUGCAUGAGCAUGGCAUGAGAAUGCAAGGUGACAAACUAAUAUAGUUAGCAUAUAUUAGGUUUGAAGUUGAUUUGAAUCAAAUUCAAAUAUCACUUCAAACGAGGUAUUCUCGGAUACCAUUUUAAUUGAUUCGACUUGAUGCUCAGAUCAACUUGAUGUUAAAAUGCAUGUGAUGACAUGUUAAGUUGCUGGUUAGUAAUUAGAACAGUGUUUGAUCAUGCCAUUCAUAGUGAAAUUUAAAUAUUUGCCAAAUUUCAUUUAUAAAGUAUUUAUAAGAAUUGACUUAUUCAUUAAUCUACAUAUUUGGGUUCUGUAACAUUUUCAAACAUGUUUGAAAAUGGCAUAUUCAGAUUCCUUAGAUUUUUCUGAUACUUUUUCAUAUAUAAAUUAUUUUCAUUGGAGUUACAGAUUAAUUUCUAUGAAUUUUUGAAGUUUUGGCAUUUUUCUAGAAUUCUUUUAAAUCUAGAAAUGCAUUUACUGCAUCAGCCAUACGUCAACAUGACCUCAGCAGGUCAAAAGCGCCAGCCCAGGUCAAACCUGGCGGCUGGGCCCCACAUAUAAGUGGCUCUGGGUUACUGACUUUGUUUCUGAUUUAAUUUUUACUAAUUAAACGCGUGGGGCCUCAUGUCAGUGCCUCAUUAGGUUAACUAGACAGGGAGGUUAGUGCUAAUGACGGCCACUGCAUCCUUCCAGAGAGCUGCCGACGACCACCACAUCCGAUGGCAGCACCUCGCCGGAAUCGGCAAACGGCGACGGUUGGACGCCGGAGACCACCAGGAGGUAGCACGCGUUGGGCCGCAUCCAUUCCUGUAGGUUUGAGGGCGAGGGGGUCGCUGGAGACGACAGGAGCAACGACGGGGCGGCGGCCCGUGCUCGGCAAGAUGGGGUCGAGGCCAGGGAUGCGAGGGGGACGAAUUUGGGGGUGGCUACGGGUUGCUGGGAGCUCCCUGAGCAUGCUGAUGUGCUCAGCAGCGAUGCUCGGGGGGGGCGCUAGCCACGGGGUGCCAUGGCCGGCGGCAGGAGCUCGGGCUCCAUGGCGGGAGGGGGCUAGAGGAAGAGGGGUUCGACGGAAAGGGGGGGAAAGAAAGAAGAGCUCACAGCGGAUCAAGAGAGAUAGGCGGCUGGCUCGAGGACGACCUGUGGCCGGCGGAUCGACGUCGGCUUCCGGCGGCCUUCGGUGGUGUUGACGCGGGGAGACAGACGAGAGAGAGAGAUCUGGGGAUAAGAAUGAGGAGGAGGGGAUUGGAACGGCUCUCCCGAGCUUAUCCUAGCCACCAGGUCGGCGGGGAGGCCAGACGGGCAGGCAGGAGGUGGCCGGCUCGGCCGCCGUGCUCAUCUUCUCCCCUGCCUACUGGCAGGAGGAGGAAGAUGACCGGGGAGCCCUUGGUGGGCUGGGCCGGCGACAAAUAGAGGUGAGCCCUACCUUUCUCUUAUUUCUUUUCUAUUUUGUUUCUGUUUUGCUAAUUCAUUAACUUGCUAUUUAUUUCAGCUCCCAAAUAGUUUGUAAAACUAUUUUAAACACACCAAAAUAUUUGUUGGAAUAUUUCCAACCAUUCCCAAAGUUUUCAAUAUUUUUGAAAGUUUAAAGUUUCUGAUUUCAAAUUUAAAACUUGAAACCAGUAGCUUUUUGCAUUUAUUUAAAAUGCUUAAAGUGUCAAGAAAAAGGUUUUCUUCAUUGCUUAUUUACUUUCAUGAUUUAUCAGAAAGAUUGAACUUUUCUUGAGGCCAUUUUGGGUUCAUUGAUUUUAACUAUUUAGAAUUUUCCCUCAUUUUGAGAAGUGGCUAGGGUUUUAGCAUUUUCCUUCAUAAUUUACUUUGUUCUUGUUGAGAAAUUUCUAGAUGCAAUGCAAAGAAAACAUGAGCACAAGCUAACUUGCUUAAGGUGUCAGGGAUGUGACAACUCACCCCCACUCAAAAGAAUCUCGUCCCGAGAUUUAGAAGUCGUCGGGAAUAACGCAGGAUACUCAAGGCGGAGACGAUCCUCUCUUUCCCAAGUUGCCUCCUUUUCAGAAUGAUUUGACCAUUGAACUUUAAGAAACUUGAGGUUUCAACGUUGAGUGGUACGCUCAGCUUGAUCAAGAAUACGCACGGGGUAUUCUCGGUAUGAAAGGUUAUCUUGGAGAUCAAGCGUUUCGUGGUCCACUUCACGGAUAGGAUCCGAAAAGCAACGCCUGAGUUGCGAGAUGUGGAAGACAUCAUGAACCUUGGAAAGAUGCGGAGGAAGUUCCAACUGGUAGGCAACUUCUCCUCGUUUGGCAAGAAUGCGAAAAGGACCAAUGUAACGAGGAGCCAACUUGCCCUUGAUACCGAAUCGAUGGGUACCCUUCAAAGGUGUAACCCGAAGGUAAGCCUUCUCGUCAACUUCAAAGGUCACAGCCUUAUGAUGACGAUCAUAUUGGCUCUUUUGACGAGACUGGCUGUUUUCAACUUUUCACGAAUAAUGCGAACCUGCUCUUCUGCAUCCUGGAUCAUAUCCGGGCCAAGGAGUUGCCUCUCCCCGGUUUCUGACCAAUUAAGAGGUGUUCGACAUCUUUGUUCAUAGAGAACUUCAAAAGGAGCUUUGCCCAAGCUUGAUUGAUAACUAUUGUUAUAAGCGAAUUCGGCGAAUGGAAGCACUUCUCCCAAUUCAUACCGAACGAUAUAACACAAGCUCGGAGCAUAUCUUCUAGGAUUUGAUUCACUCUUUCUACUUGACCACUUGAUUGGGGAUGGAAAGCAGUGCUAAAAGAUAAGUGAGUCCCCAUGGCAUUCUGAAAACUUUCCCAGAAGCGAGAAGUAAAGAUACUCCCACGGUCCGAGUUAAUCUCCAGGGGAACACCAUGAAGAGACACUAUUCGAGAGAUAUAUAACUCUGCUAGCUGGCUAGCUGUUAUACUCUCACGAACGGGAAGAAAAUGAGCCACUUUGGAAAGACGGUCAAUGACCACAAAUAUAGCAUUAUUUCCUUUCUUGGUCUUGGGAAAUCCGGUAAUGAAAUCCAUACUAACUUUAUCCCACUUCCAUUCAGGAACAACUAGAGGUUGAAGGGUGCCAGCAGGCCUUUGAUGUUCUGCCUUAACUCGACGACAAACGUCGCAGUUAGCAACGAACUCAUCAAUUUCUCUCUUCAUCGUAGUCCACCAAAACCUCUGGCGUAGGUCCUGAUACAUCUUAGUACUACCAGGAUGAAUGGUGAGAGGAGAAUCAUGAGCCUCCUUAAGGAUCAAUUGCCGCAGACGUUUGCUCUUGGGAACCACUAAACGGUUCUGAAAGAACACAACACCUUUCUCAUUGAUGGCGAAAUCCCUAGCGUUACCGCUAGCAAUAUUCUCCUUGAUCCGGGAUAUACCCUUAUCAUAAGCUUGCACAACUAUGAUUUGAUCCCUAAGAGUAGGCUUCGCCACCAGGGUAGAAAGGAAUCCUUGAGGAACAAUGUGAAGAUUCAACUUCCGAAAGUCCUCAUAGAGAUGUGGUUGACCUUGUUGUAGCAUCAAAUUGUUACAAUAAGAUUUACGACUUAGUGCGUCGGCCAUAACAUUGGCCUUCCCUGGGGUGUAAGUUAUCCCUAAGUCGUAAUCCGAGAUCAACUCAACCCACCAUCUUUGCCUGAGAUUCAAAUCCGGCUGGGUGAAGAUAUAUUUCAGACUUUGGUGAUCAGUGAAUAUUUCGCAACGAUUACCUAGAAGGUAAUGUCGCCAGGGUUUUAGUGCAUGGACCACAGCUGCAAGCUCAAGGUCAUGUGUGGGAUAAUUAUCCUCAUGUGGACGCAACUGUCGAGAUGCAUAUGCGAUCACAUGACGAUCUUCCAUGAGAAUGCAACCUAAUCCUUGUCGCGAGGCGUUGCAAUAGGUAACAAAGUCCUUAGAAAAAUCUGGUGGUAGCAACACAGGUGCGGAAGUCAGGCCUCUUUUCAGUUCCUGAAAACUAUGCUCACACUGUGGUGUCCACUCGAAAUUUUUAUCCUUCUUGAGGAGUUCAGUUAGAGGCUUUGCAACCUUGGAGAAAUUCUCGACAAAGCGGCGACAAUAGCUCGCUAGACCAAGAAAACUCCUAACUUGCUUAACCGAUUCAUGUUGAGUCCAAUCAAGGACAGCUUGAACUCUCUCAGGAUUGACAGCAAUACCCUUACCAGAGAUUACGUGACCUAGAUAGGUCACUUCUGGUAACCAAAAUUCACAUUUUGAAAACAUGGCAUAAAGGCGAUGCUCUCGAAGUUUCAUCAAUACCAGCCUUAGAUGCUCAGCAUGUUCUUGUCCGUUCUUCGAGUAGAUGAGAAUAUCAUCGAGGUAUACCACGACGAAUUUAUCCAAAUACUCCAUGAAGAUUGAAUUCAUCAGACGAGAGAAGGUGGCUGGGGCAUUGGUUAAACCGAAGGACAUGACGGUGUACUCGUAUUGGCCAUAACGAGUAACAAAAGCCGUUUUUGGAAUGUCCCCGUUCUUGAUCUUGAUUUGAUGGUAACCCAACCUCAAAUCCAUUUUGGAGAAGACUGAGGAUCCAGUGAGCUGAUCGUACAGGUCGUUGAUCCUGGGAAGCGGAUACUUGUUCUUUAUGGUGACCAGAUUAACUGGUCGGUAAUCUACAACCAUCCGAUUCGUUCUGUCUUUCUUCUUGACGAAGAGGACGGGGCAAGCCCAAGGGGAAGAGCUAGGACGAAUGAAACCUUUAUUCAAGGCCUCAUCUAGUUGCUUCUUAAGUUCGGCUAGCUCCAGGGGUGCCAUCUUAUAUGGUCUUCUGGCUAUUGGGACAGUUCCCGGAACAAGAUCUAUCACAAACUCUACAUCUCUGUCAGGUGGAAUCCCUAGCAGUUCCUCUGAAAAACAUCCGGGAAGUCACAGACUACCGGAAUGUCUUCAAGUUCCGGAAGAGGGUUGGCAUUUAGGGAAUAGAGUUGGCAUUCGGCAACUCGAGUAGAGACAUUUACUAUCUCACCCGAGGGAUGGGUAAGCUGGACAUUUCUAGAAUGAGUAUCAAUCUUGACAUAGUGAGCUGACAUCCAGUCCAUGCCCCAGAUGAUAUUAAUAUCCGAAGAUUUCAAGGCUAUCAACGAGGCUAGAAAAACUAGCCUGUCUGCUAGAAUUUCAUUGUCAUAGGUUAUCCUAGAGGUUUGCCAUUUACUACCACGAGUUUGGACAACCAAUGGAAUUGGCAUAUCACAAAAAGACAUGUUAUGCAACUGUGCAUAACUUUCUGAAAUGAAGGAAUGAGAAGACCCAGUGUCAAAGAGAACAGACGCGGGGUGAUGAUUAACAAGAAGCGUACCCAGUAUGACGUCGGGAUCCUCUGCAGCUUCUUCUGCUGAGACAUAGUUCACAUGGCCACGUGCAGGAGUUGGCUUCACAUAGUAAGCUUUGCUUGACUUGCCUUGCCCGACGGACUUUCCGGGUUGCUUGGCACCCACAUUUUGAGGACACUCAUGGGAAUAGUGCCCUGGUUCUCCACACUUAUAGCAUAUCACUUGGUUGGCACGUGGUGCAGCGUUGCUUGCUGGACCACCAUAAGCUUUUGCUGGAGGGUUGGCCUGAUUCGUCUGAGGCACCACGUAGGAUGGCCUCGGAGUGUAUCUUGGCGGCAGAGAACUGUUUGGAACCCACAGCCUGCGUUUUGGAAACGCGGAACCAGAAGACGAGCCAAAAUCACGGGAGUGCUUCCUUGUGGCCUCGAAGUCAGUAUGACCAGUCUCGGCACUGAUCGCCUUGUUGACCAGGGCUUGAAAGCUUGCACACUCGUGGAGGCGCAGAUCAUGACGAAGCUCAGGGCUCAGACCCUUACGGAAUCUUGCUUGCUUCUUGGCGUUAGUAGACACCUCCUCUGUUGCAUAGCGGGCGAGGUUACUGAACUCGCGGCUAUAGGCAUCCACGGUCAACUUGCCCUGAGUGAAGGCACAUAACUCCUCUCUCUUUCUGUCCAUCAGGCCCUCUGGAAUAUGGUGCAGACGAAAGGCUGCACUGAAGUCCGCCCAUGUGGCUGCUGGUUCAGCNNNNNNNNNNNNNNNNNNNNAGCAGGACGCAUAGCUUCAAAGUUCUCCCACCACAGAUUGGCGGGUCCUUCCAAGAAAUAUGCCGCAAAGGUCACCUUGUCGGCCUCAGAAACAUUCACAGAGCGAAUCUUGCGUGAGAUGCUGCACAGCCAGUCAUCAGCAUCGAGGGGAUCGACGGAAUGAUGAAACUUUGGAGGAUUCAGCUUCACAAAGUCGUUGAGGGACACUGCAGCAUUCCUAGCUGACGAGCCAUAUUCUUCUCAAUACGCUCUAACAGUCGGUUGGUCUCCCUUUUGUUUCUCUCUGCCUCAAGCAUAACUUCCGCCAGAGAGGGCGGGUGAGGCAGGUCUUCCUGCGACGCUUGACUACCCUCGCCUUGCUCAUGAGCAGGGGCACGGUUCAACCUGGUGAACACCAUCCUAACAAACAAACUCACAGCUUAGACCAAUAUCAUAUCAAUACUAGCUAUGGAUUAAGAAUGUACUGAACACACGGAAUGCGGAAAUGAAUAUCCGAACAGCAUGGUAACAAGCAACUGCUAUAUAUACACCAUGGUUCAUACACACCCUUACAUAGUUCAGUACAACCUUAACUGAAGAGCAAACUAAUGAAAUUAUGAAACUACUCAUCAGAGGCUUACAAGCUUCCUAUACAUUAUUUAUCUAGGCCUCCGGAAUUCAUUUCACAUCACAGGCAUACUUCACAAGUCACGCAAGACUGUGAACGUACGGCUACUACCAUACUAUCCUUCCGCUCACAGCUCAGGCAUCCGCAUAGAACAUCUCAUAGAGAUUACCUCCAUGACCUGGAAGCUCAACCUGCGGAUCAGGAAACACUCUAGCUUGAGACCCCUGGGAUCCAUAAGGACACAGAUGUGGCCUUGGUCCCCUGACUGGUGGUAAGAGGGGCCCUCGAAGAGGGGUGACUCCUCCUAUAGCUGGACAGUCAACGUGGGCCGGAAGAUGGGUCCUAACAGGGUUCAGCAUCUCCAUAUCUCCGUACCCUGUCUGGACUACCGGUGCCAGCUGCGUCAAAGCCGUCCACAGACGGGCACGGGUAGCAUAAAGCUCCAUGCGGAGAGCACGAGCAUCCCUGUCUCUGUUCUCUAGCAUCUCAAUAGUGGACUGUAGUAGUGGAUCCUCCAUAGAAGAAUCAAAAUAGACUCCACUGAGAUAUCCCUCUUCACCAGGCUGAGAGGCCGGAACAUAGUAGAACUCUGAAUUCUGCAACAGUGCAUGUCUCGCUCUCAUAAUGGUCAGCAUUGAAUAGGCAGCAUCUUGUACUGCCAUGUCAACAGUGACUCCCAACCCAUAGGACCAAUGGAUUGGCUCCUCGGCUCCAAGGUAGUCUGGAAAUACCCUAACAGUGCAGAUAUACUGGCUCUGGUUGAAGUCUCGGUACUGUUCCUCCACUGUGUACUCGGGGUACCAGCGGUAACCGCACAUCGACAUCACCCACACCAGCAUGGCCGUAUGACCCGGCACAUCAAUGCACCUGGUCAGACGUACCACCUGACGAAAAGGACGGCCAGGCAUCUGUAAAUAGAGAGUAAUGCAAAAGCAUUAGAGCUCUGAAUGCAAAAUUGGGUAGCAUAACGGCUGUAAAUGCUCAAAAACAAAUUUUGAGACAACCCAAAAAUGGAAUAGCGUAACCACUCAACUAUCAAGUUCAACUCUCUGAUCAUCAAACUUACUUCCUUUUUCCUAGGAAUGAAAGAAACCCAAUAUCUCUUGACCCGUAGUCCUAUAAUCUACCGAUCAGAAACACGAGCCUAGAAGAAGAUGAGUAACCUAGUCCUUAAUUCCCGCAGAAAAGACGAGGAUGACCAGAAUAGAAUAACUUAAGAAGAGAACAAGAGUCUUACGUUCCCUUCCACAAACAAUUCCCUUAUAUAUAACUAAUGCAAUUCUAGACUCAACUUCGACCAGUUUGGCUUAGUAAUCCUACAGUCAGUCAGGCUCUGAUACCAACGCUGUCGGGACCCUGAUCCUAAGCCAUAGGAAUUCAGCCUGUAACAUAUUGCAUCCCUUUGCGGUCUCACGCACGGUUAACUCCACGGCUGCAGCCUUACCUUAGCCGGGACCGUUUGCGUCUUUUGACUCACGUAUGCAUUAGUGUUGCUAGCAUUCCAAUGUCAAAGAACCCGGAUCGACAAGUCUAGUCAUAAACCAAAGUGGCAGUACCGCACAAGGACAGGCAUACAUGACCCAGCAAAGCAGGUGUCGGUCACAGCGAGUGUAGACGAGUCGUAGCAAGCUACAAGGACUCCAUUACAUCGCGUGACAUUUCCCCAAAGGGGACAGACACAGCAGCUAAGAAGGACACAUGCCGGUCAACCAAUGUGUCCGGAGCAGUAGCAAGCUACCAUGGCUCGUUGGAUCACAAAGGGGCAUUUCCCUGUAAGGAGUGCUACUAAAAUUCACGACUAGGUAAUCGAACCCCAUACAUAUCAAUUACGACACACGCACGCAUGGCAUACUGAUAUGUAUAGAUACAUUGAUGGCAUCACAACAUAACCAUAAACAUACAAGCUUUAUUUAAGAGGCUCAGAAGACCCACACACAUAAUAUUACACAGUAAGGGUCUCACGACCCAAUAGCAGNNNNNNNNNNNNNNNNNNNNNNNNNNNNNNNNNNNNNNNNNNNNNNNNNNNNNNNNNNNNNNNNNNNNNNNNNNNNNNNNNNNNNNNNNNNNNNNNNNNNAGAUUCAAAACAAUAGUUUGCUAUUGAAAUGAAAACAAUAUUACUUCAAGCAAACUAGCAACGUAAUCAUGAUCUUUCGAAAUAACAAGGCCAAAGAAAGUUAUCCCUACAAAAUCAUAUAGUCUCGCUAUUGUCCAUCAUCCCUACACAACUAAUUUAAAUCAUGCACAACCCUGGUGUUGGCCAAGUAAUUGUUUUCGCACUCUUACUUUCUCAAACCUUUUUCAACUCUCACGCAAUACAUGAGCGUGAGCCAUGGAUAUAGCACUAUGGUGGAAUAGAGUGUGGUGGAGGUUGUGAGACAAAAAGGAGGAGAUGGUCACAUUGACUCGGCGUAUCAAAGGGCUAUGGAGAUGCCCAUUAAUAGAUAUCAAUGUGAAUGAGGAGGGAUUUCCAUACAACGGAUGCACUAGAGCUAUAAGUAUGUGAAAGAUCAAAAGGAGAACUAGUGGGUGUGCAUCCAACUUGCUUGCUCACGAAGACCUACGACAAUUUUGAGGAAGCCCAUCAUUGGAAUAUACAAGCCAAGUUAUAUAAUAAAGAUUCCCACUAGUAUAUGGUGGUGACAAAACGAGAGGCUCUCAAUCAUGAAGAACAUGGUGCUAUUAUGAAGCACAAGUGUGGAAAGAGAUAGUAGCAUUGUCCCUUCUCUCUUUUUUUGUUUGGGCUCUUUGGCCUCUUUCCAUAUCUCCUUUUUUUGUGGGCAACUUUGGCCUCUUUUUUUCCUCACAUGGGACAAUGCUCUAAUAAUGAUGAUCAUCACACUUUUAUUUACUCACAGCUCAAAGCUUAGAACGAUGAUGACUCUAUAGGAAAUGCCUCCGACAGUACCGAGAUGUGCAACGAUCUAGCUUGGCGUUUGACAUUGAAACAUCUUGCUAGCUAUCUUACGAUCAUGCAAUGGCAAUAUGGGAGUGAUGGCACAAGUCAUGAGACGGAACGGUGGGGGUUGCAUGGCAAUAUAUCUCGGAAUGGCUAUGAACAUGCCAUAGUAGGUAGGUAUGGUGGCUGUUUUGAGGAAGGCAUAUGGUGGGUUUGUGCACCGGCGAAAAUUGCGUGGUACUAGAGAGGCUAGCAAUGGUGGAAGGUGAAAGUGCAUCUAUACCAUGGACUCAAUUAGUCAUGAAGAACUCACAUACUUGUUGCGAAAGUUUUUAUUAGUAAUCGAAACAAAGUGCUAAACGCAUACUCCUAGGGGAAGGGUUGGUAGGUGUAAACCAUCGCGUGAUCCCGACCGCAACACAAAGGAUGACAAUCAAUAGAUCAAUUAUGCUCCGACCUCCUAACAUAGCGGUUCACCAUACGUACAUGUUACGGGAAUCACUAUCUUCAACACAAGUAUUUCUAGAUUCACAACACCCUACUAACAUAACUUUUAAUAUUACCAAAUCCAUGUCUCAAAACUAAUUGAGAGGAAUCAAACUUCUCUUCCUACUCAAUGCACAUGAAGAUGGAAGUUUUAUUGUAUCCUCUUUGGGUACCUAUCACCUUUGGGACUACUUUCAUAGCACAAGCCAAUUACAAAGUUACGCAACACCGUUCACUAAAAGAUCUAAGUGAAGCACAUAGAGAAAAAUUGUCUAGCUCAAAAGAUAUACGUGAAGCACAUGUGAGCUAAAUUGCCUAACUCAAAAGAUAUAAGCGAAGCUCAAAGAGUAUUCUAGCAAAUUCACGAUAAGUGCAGCAAGGACGAUUGUGACACAACAAAAAGAAAAGAAUCCUACAAUACAAGACGCUCCAAGCAAAACACAUAUCAUGUGGUGAAUAAAAAAAUAUAGCUCCAAGUAAUGUUACCGAUGGUUUGAAGACGAAAGAGGGGAUGCCUUCGUCCCAAGGCAUCCCCAAGCUUAGGCUUUUUGGUGUCCUUGAAUUUGGCUUGGAAUGCCUUGGGCGUCCCCAAGCUUGAGCUCUUUCCACUCUUUAUCCUUUUGUCCAUGAAAACAUCAACCAAAACUUGAAAACUUCACAACACAAAACUUAAACAAAAACUCGUGAUAUCAUUAGCACAAGAAAACAAACUACCACCUCUUUUAGGUACUGUAGCAAUCUUGAUUUCUAUUUAUAUUGGUGUUAAAUUACUGUAUUCUCACUUUUCCAUGGCUAGUACCCCCCGAUACGAUCCAUAGUUUCAUCAAAACAAGCAACCAACACAACAAAAACAUAAUCUGUCAAAAACAGACCAGUCUGUAGCAAUCUGUAUACUUCGUAUACUUCUGGUACCUCAAAAAAUCUGAACAAUUACUAAGGCCUGGGAAAAAAGCAUAUCAACCAGNAGCAAAAAGAAUCAACUCAAAAGCUCUUUCUGGAUAUAAAUGAAAAAUAAUUUCCUGAGCGAAAAGUUUCUGUCUUUUUCCAGCAGGAUGAAACAACCAUCACCAAAUUAGUCAUAAAGGUUUUGCUUGGAUCAAACACAAAAAGAAACACAAAAGACACAAUCAUAACAGAAUUAUGAUGGUGUGGACACAACAAAACAGAAAGAAAAGAUAAAUUCAUUGGGUUGCCUCCCAACAAGCGUUAUUGUUUAACGCCCUUAGCUAGGCAUUGAUAAUUCAAUGAUGCUCACAUAAAAGAUAGCAAUCGGACACGAACAGAGCAUCAUGAAAUAUGUGACAAACAUAUCUAAGUCUAACAUACUUCCUAUGCAUAGCCAUUUUAUAGGAAAACAGAUUGUCAGGACAACCAGUNAACCAGUAGUUACCUUAUGCAAGGAAGAAGAAAGAGACAAUAUCAAUCUCAACAUAACGAGAGGUGAUUUGGUAACAUGAAAGUUUCUACCACAACAUUUUCCUCUCUCAUAGCAAUUACAUGUGGGAUCAUAAUCAAAUUCGACAAUAUAGAUAUCACAAAGGAUAUUCUUUUCAUGAUCCACAUGCAUGCAAAGUUGANNNNNNNNNNNNNNNNNNNNNNNNNNNNNNNNNNNNNNNNNNNNNNNNNNNNNNNNNNNNNNNNNNNNNNNNNNNNNNNNNNNNNNNNNNNNNNNNNNNNGCGUGCUUCACUCUAAGUCAGAAGGAGAUAGAUCAGUUUUUCACCUGCCUCCUAGGAGUAAAACUUCCUUACGGUUACGCGGGGAAGAUAGGCAGAUACCUAGACUCAGCGAAGCAGAAGUUCAGCAGGAUGAAGUCUCAUGACUAUCACGUGCUGAUGACGUAGAUACUUCUAGUUGCAAUCCCUGGGAUCAUGGACGUGCACGUCCGUGAAACGCUAUUUGGCCUAUGCAACUUUUUAUACGUCAUCUCUCGGAAGUCGGUUGGCAUGAGGCAACACAGAAGGCUACAGGAAGAGAUCAUGGUGAUACUAUGCGAGCUUGAGAUGUACUUCCCGCCCACAUUCUUCGAUGUUAUGGUGCAUCUGCUGGUCCAUAUCGUGGAGGAUAUCAUCCAACUUGGGCCGACGUUCCUGCACAGCAUGAUGCUGUUCGAAAGGAUGAAUGGUGUCAUCAAAGGAUACGUUCGCAACAGGGCACAUCCAGAUGGAAGCAUAGCCCAGGGCUUUCUGAUCGAAGAGUGCAUCUCCUUCUGCAUGAAUUAUCUAGGCAUCGAGAACCCCGUUGGUCUGCCCGUCAACAGGCACCUCGGCAGGCUCGCUGGAUGGGGUCACCGCAAGGGUCGCCGCGAAAUGCAUGUCGACUUCAAGGGUCGACUUGCCGACUUUAAAAGAGCAAACCUAGUCGCGCUACAACACAUAGACGUGGUCGAUCCUUGGGUGGUAGAGCACAAAACCUUUAUUGAGAAGACGUACAAUGACCGAGGCCAAUAGAGGACGGACGGAGAUAUAAUCAAAGAGCACAACUCAUAAUUCACGCGUUGAUUCAAGGACAAGCUUCUAUCCUACCCUUUACAUGAGGAUUCUUCCAUCAAAGAAAAACUCAUAUUCGCCUUGUCACUGGGCGCCGAGCACGACCUGAUGACCUAUGAGGCGUACGAUAUCAACGACUACACAUUCUACACCAAGGAAAAGGACAUGAAGAGCGAUUAUCAGAACUCUGGGGUAACGAUGGAAUCCUACACCGGUAACGACAAGGAAAGAUACUACGCUGGAGAGAAGGUUCCGAUGUUCCGUGUCAGAUGGGCCAAGAGCGUCCUAAAACAAGACCGGUAUUUCACCACCAUGGUUAUACAUGAAGCUGAAUCCAAGACCGCGGGCGCAAACGUCACCGCAAAAAAUGAGCCAUGGGUACUGGCUUGCCAAGUGGACCAAUGCUUCCUCAUUACCGACCCGUCAAAGCCCAAUCGUGUUGUCGUGAGGAGAGGCAAAAGGAACAUCAUCGGAAUGGAUGGAGUCGCCAAUGAGCAAUACUUCGACAAGUACGGCGACCCGAAGAUGGAAGAUGACAACGACGAUGAAGUAGCACACACCACAAGAAGAAGCAGGACCACCCUACCUAAAGGACGUCCGUUCAAGAGAAGAAUUCAAGGGGUUCCAGGGCUAAAUUAUUCAACCACAAGAAAGAAGGGCAAGAAGAUCAUUGUGAAAAGAUAGAUAAUUGUGAAGAUCGAAUCACAAUGUGAUAUCACCUCAUAACAUGAUUUUUUGUAAGUGUCUCUCUCCGUGAGAUUUAUGGAUGGGUUAGGUGUAAACCUUUUGGCUAUUCCUUUACUUUUCGGUUAUUAAGUCAUGUGCAUGCAAUAUGUAACAAAAUUAUUACAUGGAACUAAAAAUCAAAAAUUAGUAAUAAUUUUAGUUAUUACAUGCAACUAAAAAUCCAAAAGUGAUAACCAAAAUUAUUACAUGCAAGUAAAAAGUGAUAACCAAUAUUAUUACAUGCAACUAAACAUCCAAAAAAAAGUUAGUAAUGGCGCACUAGGAGAAGGUGCGCCAUUGCUAUCCCUCCUCAUUUAUGGCGCACCACUAAAAGGUGCGCCAGUGAUAUGCCACUUAUGGCGCACCCCUAAAUGGUGCGCCAUUGCUAACCCUCCUCGUACUAUCCCCUUCUUCCCUCCCCUCACUCGCCUCUCCCCCGCAUCUCCACUCCAACCGCACCCCUCCCUCCCUCCCAUCUCCNNNNNNNNNNNNNNNNNNNNNNNNNNNNNNNNNNNNNNNNNNNNNNNNNNNNNNNNNNNNNNNNNNNNNNNNNNNNNNNNNNNNNNNNNNNNNNNNNNNNAUACUUUUGUCGACUUUGCCAGCCUUCUCAUCAGUAUCUAGGGUAGUUCCGCCUCAGUGACCAUUUCCCUCAUAACAGAAGCACUUAGUCUCGGGUUUGGGUUCAACCUUGGGUAUCUUCACUAGUGCAGCAACUGGCUUGCCGUUUCAUGAAGCAUCCCUUCUUACCCUUGCCCUUCUUGAAACUAGUAGUUUUGCUAACCAUCAACAAUUGAUGCUCCUACUUGAUUUCUACUUUCGCAGUGUCAAACAUUCCGAAUAGCUCAAGGUUCAUCAUAUGUAUCCUUGAUAGGUUAUAGUUCAUCACAAAGCUCUAGUAGCUUGGUGGCAGUGACUUUGAACAACCAUCACUAUCUCAUCUGGAAGAUUAACUCUCACUCGAUUCAAGCGAUUGUAGCACUCAGACAAUCUGAGCACAUGCUCAAUGUUUGAGCUUUUCUCCCUUACUUUGUAGACAAAGAAUCUUGUCGAAGGUCUCAUACCUCUCAACAAGGGCACGAGCAUGAAAUCCCAAUUUCAUCUCUUGGAACAUCUCAUAUGUUCCGUGACGUUCGAAACAUCUUUGGCACCUCAAUUCUAAGCCGUUAAGCAUUACACACUAAGCUAUCACGUAGUCAUCAAAAACGUGUAUGUCAGAUGUUCGCAAUAUCAAUAGACGACGCUCGAGGUUCAGCACACCGAGCAGUGCAUUAAGUACAUAAGACUUCUGCGCAGCAAUGAGGAUAAUCCUCAGUUUACGGAUCCAGUCCACAUAAUUGCUACUAUCAUCUUUCAACUAAAUUUUCUCUAGGAACAUAUCAAAAACAGUAGAGAUACAAUGCAAGAUACAACAUUAUUUGCAAAGACCUUUUGACUAUGUUCAUGAUAAUUGAGUUUAGCUAAUCAUAUUACUAAUAACUCCCACUCAAAAUAGACAUCCAUCUAGUUAUUUGAGUGGCGCAUGAUCCAAAUCCACUAACUCAAGUCCGGUCAUUACGUGAGUUGAGUAUAAUUUCAGUGGUGAACAUCUCCAUGUUGAUCAUAUCAACUAUAUGAUUCAUGCUUGACCUUUCGGUCGCUUGUGUUUCGAGGCCAUGUCUAUACAUGCUAGGCUCGUCAAGUUUAACUCGAGUGUUCCGCGUGUGCAACUCUUUUGCACCCGUUGUAUGUGAACGUUGAGUCUAUCACACCCGAUCAUCACGUGGCGUAUCGAAAUGACGAACUGUUGUAAUGGUGCUCAGUCGGGGAAAACACAAUUUUAUCUUGAAAUUUUAGUGAGGUAUCACCUUAUAAUGCUACCGUCGUUCUAAGAAAAAUAAGGCGCAUAAAAGGAUUAACAUCACAUGCAAAUCAUAAGUGACAUGAUAUGGCCAUGAUCUUGUGCUUCUUGAUCUCCAUCACCAAAGCAUCGGCCUGAUCUUCAUCGUCACCGGCGCCACACCAUGGUCUCCAUCAUCAUGAUCUCCAUCGUUGUGCCGUCAUCGAGGUUGUUAUGCUAUCUAUGCUAUUGCUACUAAAGCUACUACCUAGCAAUAUAGUAAACGCAUCUGCAAGCACAAACGUUAGUUUAAAGACAACCCUAUGGCUCCUGCCGGUUGCCGUAGCAUCGACGUGCACGUUGAUAUUUAACUAUUACAACAUGAUCAUCUCAUACAUCCAAUAUAUCAUAUCAUGUCUUUGGCCAUAUCACAUCACAUGCAUACCCUGAAAAAACACGUUAGGCGUCCUCUAAUUUGGUGUUGCAUGUUUUACGUGGCUGCUAUGGGUAUCUAGUAUGAUCGCAUCUUACUUACGCAAAGCCACAAUGGUGAUAUGAAAAUUGCUAUUUAACCUUCUCCAAGGACCGCCUCGGUCAAAUCUGAUACAACUAAAGUUGAAGAAACAGACACCCGCCAGUAAUCUUUAUGCAACAAGUUNNNNNNNNNNNNNNNNNNNNNNNNNNNNNNNNNNNNNNNNNNNNNNNNNNNNNNNNNNNNNNNNNNNNNNNNNNNNNNNNNNNNNNNNNNNNNNNNNNNNACGCUCAUCGGACCACACACAUCGGUAUGUAUGAUUUCCAACAAGUCACUUGCACGCUCCAUUGUUCCGGAGAACGGAGUUUUAGACAUCCUGUCCAUGAGGCAUGGUUCGCACGUGUCAAGUGAAUCAAAGUCAAGUGACUCCAAAAGUCCAUCGGAAUUGAGUUUAUUCAUGCGCUUUACACCAAUAUGACCUAAGCGGCAGUGCCACAAAAACAUGGCGCUAUCAUUGUUAACUCCAACUCUUUUGGUCUCAAUGUUAUGUAUAUGUGUAUUAUCAUUAUCAAGAUUCAAUAUGAACAAUCCUCUCACAUUGGGUGCAUGACCAUAAAAGAUAUUACUCAUAGAAAUAGAACAACCAUUAUUCUCUGACUUAAACGAGUAACCGUCUUGCAAUAAACAAGAUCCAGAUAUAAUGUUCAUGCUUAACACAAGCACUAAAUAACAAUUAUUUAAGUUCAUAACUAAUCCUGAUGGUAACUGAAGUGAAACUGUGCCGACGGUGAUUGCAUCAACCUUGGAACCAUUUCCCAUGCGCAUUGUCACUUCAUCUUUCGCCAGCCUUCGCCUAUUCCGCAGCUCCUGUUUCGAGUUGCAAAUAUGAGCAACAUAACCGGUAUCGAAUACCCAGGCACUACUACGAGAGCUGGUUAAGUACACAUCAAUAACAUGUAUAUCAAAUAUACCUGAUUUUUCUUUGGCCGCCUUGUUAUCAGCCAGAUACAUGGGGCAGUUGCGCUUCCAGUGACCCAUACCCUUGCAAUAAUAGCACUCCGUUUCAGGCUUAGGUCCAGCUUUGGUUUCUUCGUCGGAUUGGCAACCAGUUUGCCGCUCUUCUUUGAAUUACCCUUCUUUCAUUUGCCGUUUCUCUUGAAACUAGUGGUCUUAUUCACCAUCAACACUUGAUGCUCUUUACGGAGUUCUGACUCUGCGACUUUCAGCAUCGCGNNNNNNNNNNNNNNNNNNNNNNNNNNNNNNNNNNNNNNNNNNNNNNNNNNNNNNNNNNNNNNNNNNNNNNNNNNNNNNNNNNNNNNNNNNNNNNNNNNNNUCCAAUAUAUCACAUCACAUCGUUGGCCAUAUCACAUCACAAGCAUACCCUGCAAAAACAAGUUAGACGUACUCUAAUUGUUGUUGCACGUUUUACGUGGUGACCAUGGGUAUCUAGUAGGAUCGCAUCUUACUUACGCAAACACCACAACAGAGAUGUAUGAAUUGCUAUUUAACCUCAUCCAAGGACCUCCUCGGUCAAAUCCAAUUCAACUAAAGUUGGAGAAACCGACACUCGCCUGUCAUCUUUGAGGAACGGAGUUGCUCGUAGCGAUGAAACCAGUCUCUCAUAAGCGUACGACUAAUGUCGGUCUGAGCCGCUUCGAUCCAACAAUACAAGCGGAAUCAAAAAAAGACUAAGGAGGGCAGCAAAUCGCACAUCACCGCCCACAAAAAAAUUUGUGUUCUACUCGAGAUGACAUCUACGCAUGAACCUAGCUCAUGAUGCCACUGAUGGUGAACGUCGCAUGGGAAACAAAAAAUUUCCUACGCGCACGAAGACCUAUCAUGGUGAUGUCCAUCUACGAGGGGGAUUUCAGAGCUACGUACCCUUGUAGCUCGCACAGCAGAAGCGUUAAUAAACGCGGUUGAUGUAGUGGAACGGCCUCACGUCCCUCCAUCCGCCCCGCGAACCGUCCCACGAACCGUCCCGCGAUCCGUCCCACGAUCCGCUCCGAUCUAGUGCCGAACGGACGGCACCUCCGCGUUCAGCACACGUACAACUCGACGAUGAUCUCGGCCUUCUUGAUCCAGCAAGAUAGACGGGGAGGUAGAUGAGUUCUCCGGCAGCGUGACGGUGCUCCGGAGGUUGGUGGUGAUCUAAUCUCAGCAGGGCUAUGCCCGAGCUCCGCAGAAACGCGAUCUAGAGGAAAAACCGUGGAGGUAUGUGGUCGGGCUGCCAUGGAAAAGUUGUCUCAAAUCAGCCCUAAAACCUCCGUAUAUAUAGGUGGGACGGGAGGGGCCUAUCCUUGGGGCUCAAGGAGCCCCAAGGGGUUCGGCCGACGGGGGGGGGAGGAUUCCUCCUCCAAUCCUAGUCCAACUAGGAUUGGAAGGUGGAGUCCUUCCCUUCCUUCCCACUUCNNNNNNNNNNNNNNNNNNNNNNNNNNNNNNNNNNNNNNNNNNNNNNNNNNNNNNNNNNNNNNNNNNNNNNNNNNNNNNNNNNNNNNNNNNNNNNNNNNNNAUCCAAAGUUUGACAAGAUAAUAGCAUGAAACCAUCAAAAAUUAUAGAUACGUUGGAGACGUAUCAAGCAUCCCCAAGCUUAACUCCUGCUCGUCCUCGAGUAGGGAAGUGAUAAAGACUGAAUUUUUUAUGUAGAAUGCUACCUAGCAUAGUUGUCCUUUGUAACUUGUUUCAUGUGGCAUGAAUGUUCAGAUCCGUAAGAUUCAAAACAAUAGUUUACUAUUGACAUGAAAACAAUAGUACUUCAAGCAUACUAGCAAAGUGAUCAUGAACUCUUGAAAUAACGAGGCCAAAGAAAGUUAUCCCUACAAAAUCAUAUAGUCUGGCUAUGCUCCAUCAUCCCCACACAACGAAUUUAAAUCAUGCACCCCGGUAUUGGCCAAGUAAUUGUUUUCGCACUCUUAUUUUCUCAAACUUUUUCAACUCUCAUGCAAUACAUGAGCAUGAGUCAUGGAUAUAGCACUAUAGGUGGACUAGAGUGUGGUGGANNNNNNNNNNNNNNNNNNNNNNNNNNNNNNNNNNNNNNNNNNNNNNNNNNNNNNAGUAGAGUGUGGUGGAGGUUGUGAGGCAAAAAGGAGGAGAUGGUCACAUCGACUCGGCGUAUCAACGGGCUAUGGGGAUGCCCAUCAAUAGAUAUGAAUGUGAAUGAGUAUGGAUUACCAUGCAACGGAUGCACUUAGAGCUAUAAGUGUGUGAAAGCUCAAAAGGAGAACUAGUGGGUGUGCACCCAACUUGCUUGCUCACAAAGACCUAGGNNNNNNNNNNNNNNNNNNNNNNNNNNNNNNNNNNNNNNNNNNNNNNNNNNNNNNNNNNNNNNNNNNNNNNNNNNNNNNNNNNNNNNNNNNNNNNNNNNNNNNNNNNNNNNNNNNNNNNNNNNNNNNNNNNNNGACCACUAGUAUAUGGAAGUGUCAAAACAAGAGACUCUCUAUCAUGAAGAACAUGGUGUUAUUUUGAAGCACAAGUGUGGAAAAAGAUAGUAGCAUUNNNNNNNNNNNNNNNNNNNNNNNNNNNNNNNNNNNNNNNNNNNNNNNNNNNNNNNNNNNNNNNNNNNNNNNNNNNNNNNNNNNNNNNNNNNNNNNNNNNNGUUAUAACCAACUUGGGUUCCGCUUUUGCCGCUGUGCAGAAUACUCCAAAUUUUGCCCACAAUAAAAUCACCAAGUCUGUCUUUGUUCCUAAAAGUAGUGGUGAAUCAUCUAGUAUGAAAGAUGAAAACCUGAAGAUGGUAAGUGAUCACGCUACUUAUGGUUUGAGCACCAAAGACGACGAUACAUGAUUCUAUCGCUCCUAUGCCUAACUAAGGGCGUUAAACAAUAGCGCUUGUUGGGAGGCAACCCAAUGAAUUUAUCUUUUUCUUUCUGCUUUGUUGCGUCCACACCAUCAUAAUUCCGUUAUGAUUGUGUUUUUUGUGUUUCUUUUUGUGUUUGAGACAAGCAAAACCUUUAUGACUAGUCUUGGUGAUGGUUGUUUGAUCCUGCUGGAAAAAGACAGAAACUUUUCGCUCACGAUAUGAUUUUUCAUCUGUUGUGAUUGUGUUUUUUGUGUUUCUUUUUGUGUUUGAGCCAAACAAAACCUUUAUGACUAGUCUUGGUAAUGGUUGUUUGAUCCUGCUGGAAAAAGACAGAAACUUUUCGCUCACGAGAUGAUUUUUCAUUUUUAUUAAGAAAGAGCUUUUGAGUUGAUUCUUUUUUAUGCUGAUUUAUAUGCUUUUUCCCCAUACCUUCGUAAUGUUUCAUAUUUUUUGAGGUACCAGAAGUAUAUGAAGUAUACAGAUUGCUACAGACUGGUCUGUUUUUGACAGAUUCUGUUUUUGUUGAGUUGGUUGCUUGUUUUGAUGAAACUAUGGAUAGUANNNNNNNNNNNNNNNNNNNNNNNNNNNNNNNNNNNNNNAUAAGUAAAACAACUAACCAACGACCAAGUUGGUUGCUUGUUUUGAUGAAAUUAUGGUUAGUAUCGGGGGUACUAGCCAUGGAAAAGUGAGAAUACAGUAGCCCAUCAUCAACAUAGAUGGAAUUCAAGUUUGCCACAGUACCAAAAGAAGUGGUAGUUUGUUUUCUUGUACUAAUGUUAUCACAAGUUUCGGUUUAAGUUUUGUGUUGUGAAGUUUUCAAGUUGUGGGUGACGUUCUCAUGGACAAAGAGAUAAGGAGUGUAAAUAGCUCAAGCUUGGGGAUUCCCAAGGCAUCCCAAGCCAAAUUGAAGGACACCAAAAAAGCCUAAGCUUGGGGAUACCCCGGGAAGGCAUCCCCUCUUUCGUCUUCAAUCCAUCGGUAACAUUACUUGGAGCUAUAUUUUUAUUCACCACAUGAUAUGUGUUUUGCUUGGAGCGUCCUGUAUCUUAGGAGUCUUUUCUUUUUGUUGUGUCACAAUCAUCCUUGCUGCACACCUUUUUGAGAGAGAGAGACAUGCACUCAUCGUGAUUUUGCUAGAAUGCUCAUAGUGCUUCACUUAUAUCGUUUGAGCUAGAUACUUUUGCUCUUGUGCUUCACUUAUAUAUUUAGAGCACGGCAGUGCGUGAUUUGGUAGUUGGCUUAUGCUAUGAAGAUAGUCCCAAAUGUGCUAGGUACCCAAUGAGGAUGCAAAAACCUCCAUCUUCAUGUGCAUUGAAUAGAAAGAGAAGUUUUGAUUCCUCUCAAUUAGUUUUGAGACGUGGAUUUGGUAAUAUUAAGAGUUAUGUUAGUAGGGUGUUGUGAAUCUAGAAAUACUUGUGUUGAAGUUAGUGAUUCCCGUAACAUGCACGUAUGGUGAAUCGCUAUGUUAGGAAGUCGGAGCAUAAUUGAUCUAUUGAUUGUCAUCCUUUGUGUUGAGGUCGGGAUCGCGCGAUGGNNNNNNNNNNNNNNNNNNNNNNNNNNNNNNNNNNNNNNNNNNNNNNNNNNNNNUUGUAUUGAGGUCGGGAUCACGCGAUGGUUUACACCUACCAACCCUUCCCCUCGGAGUAUGCGUUUAGCACUUUGUUUCGAUUACUAAUAAAAACUUUCGCAAUAAGUAUAUGAGUUCUUCAUGACUAAUGUGAGCCCAUGGUNNNNNNNNNNNNNNNNNNNNNNNNNNNNNNNNNNNNNNNNNNNNNNNNNNNNNNNNNNNNNNNNNNNNNNNNNNNNNNNNNNNNNNNNNNNNNNNNNNNNAUGGCUCGCGCCCAUGUAUUGCGUGAUAGUUAUAAAAAGUUUGAGAAAUUAAGAGUGCGAAAGCAAUUACUUGGCCAAUUCCAGGGUUGUGCAGGAUUUACACUAGUUGUGUGAGGAUGAUGGAGCAUAGCCAGACUAUAUGAUUUUGUAGGGAUAACUUUCUUUGGCCUUGUUAUUUCGAAAGUUCAUGAUUACCUUGGUAGUUUUCNNNNNNNNNNNNNNNNNNNNNNNNNNNNNNNNNNNNNNNNNNNNNNNNCAUUAUUUUGAAAGUUCAUGAUUACUUUGCUAGUUAGCUUGAAGUAUUAUUGUUUUCAUGUCAAUAGCAAACUAUUGUUUUGAAUCUUACGGAUCUGAACAUUCAUGCCACGUGAAAGAAGUUGCAAAGGACAACUAUGCUAGGAAGCAUUCCACAUCAAAAAUUCAUUCUUUAUCACUUCUCUACUCGAGGACGAGCAAGAGUUAAGCUUGGGGAUGCUUGAUACGUCUCCAACGUAUCUAUAAUUUUUGAUGGUUUCAUGCUAUUAUCUUGUCAAACUUUGGAUGUUUUGCAUGAAUUUUAUUUAUUUUCUGAGACUAACUUAGUAACUCAGUGCCAAGUGCCAGUUCCUGUUUUUUCCAUGUUUUUGACCCCUUUCAGAGGAGAUUUUGAAACGGAGUCCAAACGGAAGAAAAUCCCCGAAAAGAUUUUUUCUGGAACGGAAGAAGAUCAGAGGACUUGGGAGCCAAGCCAGAAGAGCCCCAGGGGCCCCACAAGCCCCCACCCCACAGCCAGGGGGCGCGCCAUCCAGGCUUGUGGGCCCCCUGGAGGUCCCUUGACCUAGAUCUUGCACCUAUAAAUUCCCAAAUAAUCCCAAAAAACCAAGAGACGAUCGCAAUUACUUUUCCACCACGGCAAGCUUCUGUCUCCGCAAGAUCCCAUCUGGGGCACGUCCCGGUGCCCUGCCGGAGGGGGGAUUCAGACACGGAGGGCUUCUUCAUCAACACCAUGACCUCUCCGAUGAUGCGUGAGUAGUUCACCAUAGACCUACGGGUCCAUAGCUAGUAACUAGAUGGCUUCUUCUCUCUCUUGGAUCUUCAAUACAAAGUUCUCCAUGAUCUUCAUGGAGAUCUAUCCGAUGUAAUCUUCUUUUGCGGUGUGUUUGUCGAGAUCCGAUGAAUUGUGGAUUUAUGAUCAUAUUAUCUAUGAAUAUUAUUUGAGUCUCCUCUGAUCUCUUAUAUGCAUGAUUUCAUAUCCUUGUAAUUCUCUUCGAGUUGUGGGUUUUGUUUGGCCAACUUGAUCUAUGAUUCUUGCAAUGGGAGAAGUGCUUGGUUUUGGGUUCAUACCGUGUGGUGACCUCACCCAGUGACAGAAGGGGUAGCGAGGCACGCAUCGUGUUGUUGCCAUCAAGGGUAAAAAGAUGGGGUUUUUAUCAUUGGUUUGAGUUUAUCCCUCUACAUCAUGUCAUCUUGCUUAAGGCGUUACUCUGUUCGUCAUGAACUCAAUACACUAGAUGCAUGCUGGAUAGCGGUCGAUGUGUGGAGUAAUAGUAGUAGACGCAGAAAGUAUCGGUCUACUUGNNNNNNNNNNNNNNNNNNNNNNNNNNNNNNNNNNNNNNNNNNNNNNNNNNNNNNNNNNNNNNNNNNNNNNNNNNNNNNNNNNNNNNNNNNNNNNNNNNNNNNNNNNNNNNNNNNNNNNNNNNNNNNNNNNNNNNNNNNNNNNNNNNNNNNNNNNNNNNNNNNNNNNNNNNNNNNNNNNNNNNNNNNNNNNNNNNNNNNNNNNNNNNNNNNNNNNNNNNNNNNNNNNNNNNNNNNNNNNNNNNNNNNNNNNNNNNNNNNNNNNNNNNNNNNNNNNNNNNNNNNNNNNNNNNNNNNNNNNNNNNNNNNNNNNNNNNNNNNNNNNNNNNNNNNNNNNNNNNNNNNNNNNNNNNNNNNNNNNNNNNNNNNNNNNNNNNNNNNNNNNNNNNNNNNNNNNNNNNNNNNNNNNNNNNNNNNNNNNNNNNNNNNNNNNNNNNNNNNNNNNNNNNNNNNNNNNNNNNNNNNNNNNNNNNNNNNNNNNNNNNNNNNNNNNNNNNNNNNNNNNNNNNNNNNNNNNNNNNNNNNNNNNNNNNNNNNNNNNNNNNNNNNNNNNNNNNNNNNNNNNNNNNNNNNNNNNNNNNNNNNNNNNNNNNNNNNNNNNNNNNNNNNNNNNNNNNNNNNNNNNNNNNNNNNNNNNNNNNNNNNNNNNNNNNNNNNNNNNNNNNNNNNNNNNNNNNNNNNNNNNNNNNNNNNNNNNNNNNNNNNNNNNNNNNNNNNNNNNNNNNNNNNNNNNNNNNNNNNNNNNNNNNNNNNNNNNNNNNNNNNNNNNNNNNNNNNNNNNNNNNNNNNNNNNNNNNNNNNNNNNNNNNNNNNNNNNNNNNNNNNNNNNNNNNNNNNNNNNNNNNNNNNNNNNNNNNNNNNNNNNNNNNNNNNNNNNNNNNNNNNNNNNNNNNNNNNNNNNNNNNNNNNNNNNNNNNNNNNNNNNNNNNNNNNNNNNNNNNNNNNNNNNNNNNNNNNNNNNNNNNNNNNNNNNNNNNNNNNNNNNNNNNNNNNNNNNNNNNNNNNNNNNNNNNNNNNNNNNNNNNNNNNNNNNNNNNNNNNNNNNNNNNNNNNNNNNNNNNNNNNNNNNNNNNNNNNNNNNNNNNNNNNNNNNNNNNNNNNNNNNNNNNNNNNNNNNNNNNNNNNNNNNNNNNNNNNNNNNNNNNNNNNNNNNNNNNNNNNNNNNNNNNNNNNNNNNNNNNNNNNNNNNNNNNNNNNNNNNNNNNNNNNNNNNNNNNNNNNNNNNNNNNNNNNNNNNNNNNNNNNNNNNNNNNNNNNNNNNNNNNNNNNNNNNNNNNNNNNNNNNNNNNNNNNNNNNNNNNNNNNNNNNNNNNNNNNNNNNNNNNNNNNNNNNNNNNNNNNNNNNNNNNNNNNNNNNNNNNNNNNNNNNNNNNNNNNNNNNNNNNNNNNNNNNNNNNNNNNNNNNNNNNNNNNNNNNNNNNNNNNNNNNNNNNNNNNNNNNNNNNNNNNNNNNNNNNNNNNNNNNNNNNNNNNNNNNNNNNNNNNNNNNNNNNNNNNNNNNNNNNNNNNNNNNNNNNNNNNNNNNNNNNNNNNNNNNNNNNNNNNNNNNNNNNNNNNNNNNNNNNNNNNNNNNNNNNNNNNNNNNNNNNNNNNNNNNNNNNNNNNNNNNNNNNNNNNNNNNNNNNNNNNNNNNNNNNNNNNNNNNNNNNNNNNNNNNNNNNNNNNNNNNNNNNNNNNNNNNNNNNNNNNNNNNNNNNNNNNNNNNNNNNNNNNNNNNNNNNNNNNNNNNNNNNNNNNNNNNNNNNNNNNNNNNNNNNNNNNNNNNNNNNNNNNNNNNNNNNNNNNNNNNNNNNNNNNNNNNNNNNNNNNNNNNNNNNNNNNNNNNNNNNNNNNNNNNNNNNNNNNNNNNNNNNNNNNNNNNNNNNNNNNNNNNNNNNNNNNNNNNNNNNNNNNNNNNNNNNNNNNNNNNNNNNNNNNNNNNNNNNNNNNNNNNNNNNNNNNNNNNNNNNNNNNNNNNNNNNNNNNNNNNNNNNNNNNNNNNNNNNNNNNNNNNNNNNNNNNNNNNNNNNNNNNNNNNNNNNNNNNNNNNNNNNNNNNNNNNNNNNNNNNNNNNNNNNNNNNNNNNNNNNNNNNNNNNNNNNNNNNNNNNNNNNNNNNNNNNNNNNNNNNNNNNNNNNNNNNNNNNNNNNNNNNNNNNNNNNNNNNNNNNNNNNNNNNNNNNNNNNNNNNNNNNNNNNNNNNNNNNNNNNNNNNNNNNNNNNNNNNNNNNNNNNNNNNNNNNNNNNNNNNNNNNNNNNNNNNNNNNNNNNNNNNNNNNNNNNNNNNNNNNNNNNNNNNNNNNNNNNNNNNNNNNNNNNNNNNNNNNNNNNNNNNNNNNNNNNNNNNNNNNNNNNNNNNNNNNNNNNNNNNNNNNNNNNNNNNNNNNNNNNNNNNNNNNNNNNNNNNNNNNNNNNNNNNNNNNNNNNNNNNNNNNNNNNNNNNNNNNNNNNNNNNNNNNNNNNNNNNNNNNNNNNNNNNNNNNNNNNNNNNNNNNNNNNNNNNNNNNNNNNNNNNNNNNNNNNNNNNNNNNNNNNNNNNNNNNNNNNNNNNNNNNNNNNNNNNNNNNNNNNNNNNNNNNNNNNNNNNNNNNNNNNNNNNNNNNNNNNNNNNNNNNNNNNNNNNNNNNNNNNNNNNNNNNNNNNNNNNNNNNNNNNNNNNNNNNNNNNNNNNNNNNNNNNNNNNNNNNNNNNNNNNNNNNAAUGAUAUCACGAGUUUCUAUUUAAGUUUUGUGUUGUGAAGUUUUCAAGUUUUGGGUGAUGUUCUCAUGGACAAAGGGAUAAAGAGUGGAAAGAGCUCAAGCUUGGUGAUUCCCAAGGCAUCCCAAGCCAAAUUCAAGGACACCAAAAAGCCUAAGUUUGGGGAUGCCCCGGGAAGGCAUCCCCUCUUUCGUCUUCAAUCCAUCGGUAACGUUACUUGGAGCUAUAUUUUUAUUCACCACAUGAUAUGUGUUUUGCUUGGAUCGUCGUGUAUUAUAGCAGUCUUUUCUUUUUAUUGUGUCACAAUCAUCCUUGCUGCACACCUUUUUGAGAGAGACAUGCACUCAUCAUGAAUUUGCUAGAAUUCUCAUUGCGCUUCGCUUAUAUCUUUUGAGUUAGGCAAUUUAGCUCGCAUGUGCUUCACUUAUAUAUUUUGAGCUAGAUAACUUUGCUCUAGUGCUUCACUUAGAUCUUUUUGGAGCACGGCGGUGUCAUAUUUUGAAGAAAUAAAAACUCUCAAUCUUCACUUAUAUCUUUUUGAGAGUGCUCUCUCUGAGUAACUUGGUAGUUGGCUUGUGCUAUGAAAGUAGUCCUAAAGAUGAUAGGCAUCCAAAGAGGAUAUAAUAAAACUUCCNNNNNNNNNNNNNNNNNNNNNNNNNNNNNNNNNNNNNNNNNNNNNNNNNNNNNNNNNNNNNNNNNNNNNNNNNNNNNNNNNNNNNNNNNNNNNNNNNNNNNNNNNNNNNNNNNNNUUCAAGUGCAUUGAUUAUUAAGAGAAGUUUGAUUCCUCUCAAUUAGUUUUGAGACAUGGAUUUGGUGAUAUUAGAGUUAUGUUAGUAGGGUGUUGUGAAUCUAGAAAUACUUGUGUUGAAGUUAGUGAUUCCCGUAGCAUGCACGUAUGGUGAACCGCUAUGUUAGGAAGUCGGAGCAUAAUUGAUUUAUUGAUUGUCAUCCUUUGUGUUGCGGUCGGGAUCGCGCGAUGGUUAACACCUACCAACCCUUCCCCUAGGAGUAUGCAUUUAUCACUUUGUUUCGAUUACUAAUAAAACUUCCUCAAUAAGUAUAUGAGUUCUUCAUGCCUAAUGUGAGUCCAUGGUAUAGAUGCACUUUCANNNNNNNNNNNNNNNNNNNNNNNNNNNNNNNNNNNNNNNNNNNNNNNNNNNNNNNNNNNNNNNNNNNNNNNNNNNNNNNNNNNNNNNNNNNNNNNNNNNNUGUUAUUUUGAAAGUUCAUGAUUACCUUGCUAGUUUGCUUGAAGUAUUACUCUUUUCAUGUCAAUAGCAAACUAUUGUUUUGAAUCUUACGGAUCUGAACAUUCAUGCCACAUGAAACAAGUUACAAAGGACAACUAUGCUAGGUAGCAUUCUACAUAAAAAAUUCAGUCUUUAUCACUUCCCUACUCGAGGACGAGCAGGAGUUAAGCUUGGGGAUGCUUGAUACGUCUCCAACGUAUCUAUAAUUUUUGAUGGUUUCAUGCUAUUAUCUUGUCAAACUUUGGAUGUUUUGUAUGCCUUUUAUAUCUUUUUUGGGACUAACUUAUUAACUCAGUGCCAAGUGCCAGUUCCUGUUUUUUCUAUGUUUUUGACCCCUUUCAGCCGAGAUUUUGAAACGGAGUCCAAACGGAAGAAAAUCCCCGAAAAGAUUUUUUCUGGAACGGAAGAAGAUCGGAGGACUUGGGAGACAAGCCAGAAGAGCCCUAGGGGCGCCACAAGCCCCCACCCCGCGACUAGGGGGGUCGCGCCAUCCAGGCUUGUGGGCCCCCUGGAGGUCCCCUGACCUAGAUCUUGCGCCUAUAAAUUCCCAAAUAUUCCCAAAAAAAUCAAGAGACGAUCGCAAUUACUUUUCCGCCUCCACAAGCUUCUCUCUCCGCAAGAUCCCAUCUGGGGCAUNNNNNNNNNNNNNNNNNNNNNNNNNNNNNNNNNNNNNNNNNNNNNNNNNNNNNNNNNNNNNNNNNNNNNNNNNNNNNNNNNNNNNNNNNNNNNNNNNAGAGAAGCCUCUAGUGAACACUAUGGCCCCCGGGUCUACUUCACACCAUAUUUUCAGCCUUACUCUUUUACUUCGUUGCACUUUCCGCCUUCAGAUCUCACUUUGCAAUCAAUCUUGAAGGGAUUGACAAGCCCUUUAUAGCGUUGGGUGCAAGCUCUUUUGUGUUUGCGCAGGUACUCUGGACUUGACGAGAUUCUCCUACUGGAUUGAUACCUUGGUUCUCAAACUGAGGGAAAUACUUACUGCUCCUGUGCUGCAUCACCCUUUCCUCUUCAAGGGAAAAACCAACGCAAGCCAAGUCUCCGUCAACGUGCCAAUUUNNNNNNNNNNNNNNNNNNNNNNNNNNNNNNNNNNNNNNNNNNNNNNNNNNNNNNNNNNNNNNNNNNNNNNNNNNNNNNNNNNNNNNNNNNNNNNNNNNNNAAUGGGUGCAUUCAAGUAAAGCACACAAACUAUAUUAAUCUUUAUUAUAUAACUCUCACACUCGAUUACAAGGGUAGGUGGAUCUCAAAGCAAAAAUUCUAAGCAAAGCAGAUCUGAAAUUUUAUUUCUCUAAAUCAUGAAAUAGCUAAAGAUCAAACUAAGAUACAUAGCAAUGGUAAAAGUGACGGUGAUACGAUACCGAGGCACCUCCCCCGAAAUCGGAACAAGCCAAGGGUGGUGCCCAUUCCCAAGUACUCAGGCGUCCUUCUUUGGUGAUGGUGGUGAUGAUGCGACAUGCUUGUACUUUGCCUUCCAUGACAUAGGUUCCCCAUUGAAAAAGGAAGAGAUCAUCUCUGGAAUACUGAAAUCUACACCUACACUCAUCCUCUUGAAACAAGAUUCAUACUCAUGGUUUUGGUUUUGCAGAUCAUACAUUUGAGCCUGCAGGUCUUGGAGCGUGUCAUGGAGCUUGAAGAUCAUCUCCACAAUUUCAUUGUUUUCCUUAUUGUUCUUACGGAUAGAAUUCAUAAUCAUGGAGUGGUUGGCACUGCGUCAUGCUCCACAAUCCCUUGGCACUUGAAGAUCUCUUGCUCGACCACAACGAGCCUGGCCUUCACACUUCCCUCCUUGUCACCACCACCAAUCAAUCACACUCCACGACUAGCUGAAUCCUCAGGUGCCGUCCAUACCAACAACAAUCCAGGGGGAGUUUUGUUUGCAAUUAUUUUUUCGAUUUGAGCAUGGAACUGGGCAUUCCGAUUACUGGCCCCUUUCUCGUGAGUGAUAGUGAAUAAACAUGUAUCGAGGAUAACACGCCUAGCAUGGAAGAUACUGACCGCCCCUUGUCACCACAUGAGCGGUUCGGGCAUACAAAACAGAUUAUUACUUGAAGGUUUAGAGAGUGGCACAUGCAAAUUUACUUGGAACGACAGGUAGAUACCGCAUAUAGGUAGCUAUGGUGGACGCAUAUGGAAUAACUUUGGGUUUAUGGAAGUGGAUGCACAAGCAGUAUUCCCGCUUAGUACAAGUGAAGGCUAGCAAAAGACUGGGAAGCGACCAACUAGAGAGUGACAACAGUCAUUAAUAUGCAUUGAAAUUAACCAACAUUGGGUGCAAGCAUGAGUAGGAUAUAAAUCACCAUAAACAUGAAUAUCAAAGAGGUAUGUUGAUUUUGUUUCAACUACAUGCGUGAACAUGUGCCAAGUCAAGCCACUUGAAUCAUUCAAAGGAGGAUACCAUCCUAUCAUACUACAUCAUAAUCAUCUUGAAAUUCAUGUUGGCUUCCAAGACAAACCAUUAUAAGCUCCUAGCUAAUUAAGCAUGGUAUCACAAACUAUGAUCUCUAAGUCGUCAUUCAAACAUGUUUCUCUCAUAACAAUGCUGAAUUAGGAAUGAUGAGCUAGGCAUAUUUACAAAAACAAAAUAGGUCGAGUUCAUACCAUCUUUUCAAAGCUCAGUCACUUCAUCAUAUAUCGUCAUUAUUGCCUUUCACUUGCACGACCGAAUGACGUGAAUAAUAAUGAGAGUGUUCAUGCAUUGGACUAAGCUGGAAUCUGCAAGCAAACUCAGAGGAGAAGACAAAGUAAUAUGGCUCUUUAAAGGAUAAACAAUCAUGCAUGUGAGAGCCACUAAACAUUUUAAUCAUGGUCUUCUACCUUGACCCAAAGAAAAAGAAAACUAUUUACACGGGAAAGCUCCCAACAAGCAAAAGAAGAACGAGAAACCUUUUUGGGUUUUCCUUUUUAAUUACCACUAAGAAAGCUGGAAAGUAAACUCACAACUAUUUUUUUUGUUUUUCUAAAUUUAGACAAACACACGAGAAGAAAGCGAGAAAAAGAAAUAAACUAGCAUGGAUGAUACAAUGGCAAAGUAUGAACACCGACUAUCAAACCGAAUGUGUGAGCAUGAAUAUAAAGUCGGUGAGAAACACGUACCCCCCAAGCUNCUACUCCCAAGGAGGGAAGUAAGCGUCUCCGGGGUACUCCGGAGUGUACUGAGGGUGCCACUGCUGGGUGAGCUUCUUUGGCUCCCACUAAUAAACUGGCAUCUGGUACUCGACUGGUAUCUCGGGCAUGGGUGCCUGUGGUGGCGUUAUGCCCCAAUAUUCAUAGAUGUCCGAGAGCUCCUCUGGCUCCCACUGAUAAACUGGCGUCUGGAACUCGACUGGCGGCUCGGGCACAUGCGCCUGUGGUUGGGCCAAGCCCCAAUAUGCGUAGAUGUCCACGGGCAUAAUAGUGUACCUGCCUCGAUGAAGAUUGAACAAAGAAGGAGCAGGCAAAGUAAUAGUCUCACGAUUACCCUGGCUAAAUACCAAGUUAUAAAUCAUCCUCUUAUUAUUAUCAUUAUCAAGAAAGUCAUGGCGAACCAUGCUAUUAUAAUCUAAAUAUCUCUCAGGAAGAAGCAUCUCUUCUUCCUCGUACAGUCUAAUAGGUAUCUGAAAAUGUUUAGCAAGGCGGGUAGCAUAGAUACCUCCAUAAUCAGCGCCUUUAGUACGGUUCGUGUUCAACCGUUGAGCCACUAUAGCGCCCAAGCUAUAAGUUUUAUCUUUAUAAAGAGCUUCGCGCAAAACCGCAAGAUCUGGGGAGCUAAGAGCCCUAGCUUUCCCAUGGCCAAUCAAACAUUUUCCCACAAAUAAUGGGAGAUACCGAAGCACGGGAAAAUGUACACUAGCAACUCUAGCGCAAGACACUCCUCUCUCCUCUCCUACAUCAAUAGUAUCAAUGAAAGCCUCCAAGUCCCGUGGGCGAGGUUCAUGAAUAUCCCCAACAUAAGGUAAAUUGCAAACAUUGCAGAAAUAUUGAAGUGACAUGCGCUGGGGGAUAUCAUAUAACUUGAACUCAACCAUAGGAGGACUCUUCCUUGGAUAGAAAUUAAAGCUUUGCACAAAAAUAUUAGUGAGGAGGAGGUAUUGUGGACUCUUAUCUUCGACAAAGGCGGUAAGGCUUGCGUUCUCCACCAAGUAAUAAAAAUCCUCAUAAAGAUCGGCAGCGUGUAAGAACACAUCACUUGGCCACUCGCACGCUCGAACUUCUGCAACUCGGGGGACCGGAUACUUGGGUUUCUUCUUCUCAUUUUGAUCUUCCUUGGGGUCAUGGCUCGAAGAGCCUCUUAGGAACCUCCUCAUCUUUUCCUUUUUCUUUCUCUGAAAUUUUCUGAAAUUUUUAGUGACUCAAAAGUAAAGUGAACAAGGNNNNNNNNNNNNNNNNNNNNNNNNNNNNNNNNNNNNNNNNNNNNNNNNNNNNNNNNNNNNNNNNNNNNNNNNNNNNNNNNNNNNNNNNNNNNNNNNNNNNCCUUCAUUCACCAUAAAGUGGCACUCCUCCUAAUUCAAGACAAUAUUAGUUUCUUCACAUCUCUACGAAACUCGAUCGAGGUUGCUCAAGCAAUCAUCAAAAGAAGUCAUGUAAACGAAAAAAUCAUCUAUGAAAACCUCAACAAUCUUUUCACAAAAGUCAGAGAAUAUAAUAGUCAUACAUCUUUGAAAGGUAAUAGGUGCAUUGCANNNNNNNNNNNNNNNNNNNNNNNNNNNNNNNNNNNNNNNNNNNNNNNNNNNNNNNNNNNNNNNNNNNNNNNNNNNNNNNNNNNNNNNNNNNNNNNNNNNNNNNNNNNNNNNNNNNNNNNNNNNNNNNNNNNNNNNNNNNNNNNNNNNNNNNNNNNNNNNNNNNNNNNNNNNNNNNNNNNNNNNNNNNNNNNNNNNNNNNUUUGAAAAAAACGAGAAUAUCCAUCAAGAAAACAAAAGUGUGUGUGUUUGGACAGCCUCUCUAACAUUUGGUCAAUAGAAGGCAACGAGUAAUGGUCUUUUCUAGUUGAUUUACUUAAUUUCCUAAAAUCAAUCACCAUCCUAUAACCAGUUACGAUUAUUUGUGGAAUAAGCUCAUUUUUAUCAUUAGGAACAAUAGUUAUACCUGCCUUUUUAGGAACACAAUGAACAUGGCUUACCCAUCUACUAUCAGCAAUAGGAUAAAUUAUACCUGCCUCUAGAAGUUUUAGUAUCUNNNNNNNNNNNNNNNNNNNNNNNNNNNNNNNNNNNNNNNNNNNNNNNNNNNNNNNNNNNNNNNNNNNNNNNNNNNNNNNNNNNNNNNNNNNNNNNNNNNNUAAAGGGGUAAGCACAUGAGUGGGGCAACCCAACUAUUGACCCAAGACAUAAUUCUGAACUCAUGCAUAUAAAGAAAUAUCCUACAAACUGAACACUUAAAAUUAGUGACGGGUAGUGCUCAGGGCGGUAUUUUCAUCCAAGCCCCCGGUCUAUUAGCCGAUCGCACUUGAUAUUUAUUGAAGAAAUUUACCCUUCGGUGCCAAUGAGUGCUACUUCUCAAACAACAUCGCCAGAAAUUGGCACGUUGACGGAGACUUGGCUUGCGUUGGUUUUUCCCUUGAAGAGGAAAGGGUGAUGUAGCACAGGAGCAGUAAGUAUUUCCCUCAGUUUGAGAACCAAGGUAUCAAUCCAGUAGGAGAAUCGCGUCAAGUCCAGAGUACCUGCGCAAACACAAAAGAGCUUGCACCCAACGCUAUAAAGGGGUUGUCAAUCCCUUCAAGAUUGAUUGCAAAGUGAGAUCUGAAGGCGGAAAGUGCAACGAAGUAAAAGAGUAAGGCUGAAAAUAUGGUGUGAAGUACACCCGGGGGCCAUAGUGUUCACUAGAGGCUUCUCUAAAAAUAGCAAAUAUUACGGUGGGUGAACAAAUUACUGUCGAGCAAUUGAUAGAACCGCGCAAAGUCAUGACGAUAUCUAAGGCAAUGAUCAUACAUAUAGGCAUCAUGUCCGAGACAAGUAGACUGAUACUUUCUGCAUCUACUACUAUUACUCCACACAUUGACCGCUAUCCAGCAUGCAUCUAGUGUAUUGAGUUCAUGACGAACAGAGUAACGCCUUAAGCAAGAUGACAUGAUGUAGAGGGACAAACUCAAACCAAUGAUGAAAACCCCAUCUUUUUGCCCUUGAUGGCAACAACAUGAUGCAUGCCUCGCUACCCCUUCUGUCACUGGGUGAGGUCACCGCACGUUAUGAACCCAAAACCAAGCACUUCUCCCAUUGCAAGAAUCAUAGAUCAAGUUGGCCAAACAAAACCCACAACUCGAAGAGAAUUACAAGGAUAUGAAAUCAUGCAUAUAAGAGAUCAGAAGAAACUCAAAUAAGAUUCAUAGAUAAUCUAAUCAUAAAUCCACAAUUCAUCGGAUCUCGACAAACACACCGCAAAAGAAGAUUACAUCGGAUAGAUCUCCAUGAAGAUCAUGGAGAACUUUGUAUUGAAGAUCCAAGAGAGAGAAGAAUCCAUCUAGCUACUAGCUAUGGAUCCGUAGGUCUAUAGUGAACUACUCAUGCAUCAUCGGAGUUUACAUGAAGAGGGAGAAUGCGGGCAGCUGGAAUUCUAGACUUGAAAAGCAGCAAAUCUAAGAGACCCAUUCUGCACAACUCCAAAAGUCCUGAAAAUUUACGAGAAUUAUUUUGGAAUAUAUAAAAAGUAUUGGGCGAAAGAAAUACAUCAAGGGACCUGCCAGGUGGCUACAAUCCACGGGGGCGUGGCCUACCCCCUAGGCACGCCCUGCAGGCUUGUGGGCCCCCUGACAGGCCUCCGGUGCCCUUCUUCUGCUAUAUGAAGGGUUUUGAGCUGAAAAAAAUCAUAUCAGAACUUUUGGGGCAAAGCACCGCCAUCUCGAGGCGGAACUUUGGCAGAACCAAUCUAGAGCUCCGGCGGAGAUGUUCUGCCGGGGAAACUUCCCUCCCGGAGGUGAAAAUCAAAGCCAUCGUCAUCACCAACGAUCCUCUCAUCAAGAGGGGGUCANNNNNNNNNNNNNNNNNNNNNNNNNNNNNNNNNNNNNNNNNNNNNNNNNNNNNNNNNNNNNNNNNNNNNNNNNNNNNNNNNNNNNUAUUCAUCAACACCAUCUGCUCUCCAAACCCUAGUUCAUCUCUUGUAUCCGAUCUUUGUCUCAAACCUCAUAUUGGUACCUGUUGGUUGCUCGUAAUGUUGAUUACUCCUUGUAGUUGAUGCUAGUUGGUUUACAUGGUGGAACAUUAUAUGUUCAGAUCCUUAAUUAUUAUUAAUACUCNNNNNNNNNNNNNNNNNNNNNNNNNNNNNNNNNNNNNNNNNNNNNNNNNNNNNNNNNNNNNNNNNNNNNNNNNNNNNNNNNNNNNNNNNNNNNNNNNNNNNNNNNNNNNNNNNNNNNNNNNNNNNNNNNNNNNNNNNNNNNNNNNNNNNNNNNNNNNNNNNNNNNNNNNNNNNNNNNNNNNNNNNNNNNNNNNNNNNNNNNNNNNUUUGAUGAGAUGUAUGUUGUCUCUCCUCUAGUGGUGUCAUGUGAACAUCGACUACGUGACACUUCACCGUUAUUUGGGCCCAGGGGAAAGCACUGGGAAGUACUAAGUAGAUGAUGGGUUGCUAGAGUGACAAAAGCUUAAACCCUAGUUUAUGCGUUGCUUCGUAAGGGGCUGAUUUGGAUCCAUAUGUUUCAUGCCAUGGUUAGAUUUAUCUUAAUUCUUAUUUCAUAGUUGUGGAUGCUUGCAAGAGAGGUUAAUCAUAAGUGGGAGGUUUGUCCAAGUAAGGGCAGCACCCAAGCAUCAGUCCACCCACAUAUCAAAUUAUCAAAGUAACAAAUNNNNNNNNNNNNNNNNNNNNNNNNNNNNNNNNNNNNNNNNNNNNNNNNNNNNNNNNNNNNNNNNNNNNNNNNNNNNNNNNNNNNNNNNNNNNNNNNNNNNACUUUGUUAGCCGGUGUUUACACUUUGCCACUGUAUUAUCCAUGCUAGUUUAUUUUCGUUUUCUUGUUUUCUUGUUUUGUGUCCUUUUGAGAAAACCCAAAAGAUUUUUCUUUCUUCUNNNNNNNNNNNNNNNNNNNNNNNNNNNNNNNNNNNNNNNNNNNNNNNNNNNNNNNNNNNNNNNNNNNNNNNCUUUUGCUUGUUGGGAGCUUUUCCGUAUAAAUAGCUUUCCUUUUCUUUGUGUCAAGGUAGAAGAUAUUGGUUACAAUGUUUAUUGGUUCUUGCAUGCUUACCUGUUUAGCUUUCAAAGAGCCAUAUUACUUUGUCUUCUCCUUUGUGUUUGCCUGCAGACUCAGCUUAGUCCAAUGCGCUUAUUAUCGUUUUCAUCGUUCGAUCGUGCAAAUGAAAGGCAACAAUGAUGCUAUAUGNNNNNNNNNNNNNNNNNNNNNNNNNNNNNNNNNNNNNNNNNNNNNNNNNNNNNNNUUUUAUUUUUCUUCUUUUGCUUGUUGGGAGCUUUCCCGUGUAGAUAGUUUUCUUUUUCUUUGGGUCAAGGUAGAAGAUAUUGGUUACAAUGUUUAGUGGCUCUUGCAUACAUACCUGUUUAGCUUUCAAAGAGCCAUAUUACUUUGUCUUCUCCUUUGUGUUUGCCUGCAGAUUCAGCUUAGUCCAACGCGCUUAUUAUCGUUUUCAUCGUUCGAUCGUGCAAAUGAAAGGUAACAAUGAUGAUAUAUGAUGAAGUGACCGAGACUGAAAAGCUGGUAUGAACUCUAUCUAUUUUGUUUUUGUAAAUAUGACUAGCUUGUCGACCCAUAUUUAGCUUUGUUGUGAGAGAACCAUGUUUGCAAUGACAACUUAGAGAUCAUAGUUUCUGAUGCCAUGCUUAUUUAGCUGAGAGCUUAUAAUGGUUUGUCUUGAAUGCCAACAUAGAUUUUGAGAUGGCUAUGAUGUAGUAUGAUAGGAUGGUAUUCUCCUUUGAAUGUUUCAAGUGGCUUGACUUGGCGCAUGUUCAUGCAUGUAAUUGAAACAAAAUCAACAUAGCCUCUAUGAUGUUCGUGUUCAUGGUGAUUUAUAUCCUGUUCAUGCCUGCAUUCAAUGUUAGUCAAACUCAUUGCAUCUUGAUGACUGUUGUUGCUCUCUAGUUGGUCGCUUCCCAGUCUUUUGCUAGCCUUCACUUGUACUAAGCGGAAUACUGCUUGUGCAUCCACUUCCAUAAACCAAAAGUUUUUCCAUGAGAGUCCACCAUACCUACCUAUUUGUGGUAUCUACCUAUCGUUCCAAGUAAAUUUGCAUGUGUCAUUCUCUAAACCUUCAAGAAAUAAUCUGUUUUGCAUGCCCGAACCGCUCAUGUGGUGACAGAGGGCUAUUAGUAUCUUCCAUGCUAGGAGUGUUAUCCUCGACAUGUGUUUAUUCACAGUCAUUCACGAGAAACGGCCCGGUAAUUGGAAUGCCCAGUUCCACGCUUAAAUCUAAAACAUAACUGUAAAACAAGACUCCCCCCGGAUUGAUGUUAGUAUGGACGGUACCCGAGGAUUCAGCUAGCCGUGGAGUGUGAUUGAUUGGUGGUGGGGGAGUCAAAANNNNNNNNNNNNNNNNNNNNNNNNNNNNNNNNNNNNNNNNNNNNNNNNNNNNNNNNNNNNNNNNNNNNNNNNNNNNNNNNNNNGAUUGAUCCGUGGUGGGGGAGUUAAAACUUUACUUUUCUGUUUGGGAACCGCCUAUAGCAUGAGUAGCAUGGAAGAUAUUGAGAACUCUUGGUCAUUGCGUUGACAAUGAAAGCAUGCCACCCAAAAUUAUUAUCUCUGUUUUCAAAGCUUGAGCUCUGGCACCUCUGCAAAUCAAUGCUUCCCUCUGCGAAUGGCCUGUCUAUUUAUUUUCCUGUCAAGCCAUCCUCCUCUAUAUAAGCACCAAUUAGAGAGCACCUCUGUCAUUUUUAUGCUUUGCCUAUGACAGAUCUAUCAUGUAAUCGAGUUAGUUUUGAUGGGGAUUGAUCCCUAGUAUCCACUAUGUUUUGAGAUUGAUGUUGAUACUACUUUGCCAUGCUUAAUGCUUGUCACUAGGGCCCGAGUGCCAUGAUUUCAGAUCUGAAAUUAUUAUGUUGUCACCAAUAUAUGUGUGUUUUAGAUCCGAUCUUGCAAGUUGUAGUUACCUACUAUGUGUUAUGAUCCGGCAACCCCGGAGUGACAAUAACCGGAACCACUCCCGGUGAUGACCAUAGUUUGAGGAGUUCAUGUGUUCACCAAGUGCUAAUGCGUUGGUCCGGUUCUUUAUUAAAAGGAGAACCUUAAUAUCCCGUAGUUUCCUUUUGGACCCUGCUGCCACGGGAGGGAUGGACAAUAGAUGUCAUGCAAGUUCUUUUCCCUAAGCACGUAUGACGACACGCGGAAUGCAUGCCUACAUCACAUUGACGAACGGGAGCUAGCCACAUAUCUCUCCGUGUUAUAGCUGUUGCAUGAUGAAUAUCAUCCAAACAAAUCACCGACCCAUUGCCUAUGAGUUUGUCCUACUGCUGCUGCUGCUACUACUGUUACUUGUCUUGCUGUGCUGCUGCUGCUACUACUGUUGCUAUUACUGUCGCUUGCUACUGUUGCUACUUGCUACUGAUGUCACUACUGUUGUUCCUUGCCGCUGCUAUUGCUCGUUACACCGCCGUUACUCACUACUUUGAUGUUACUAUUGUGCUUGCAGAUACUAAUCUUUCAGGUGUGGUUGAAUCUGAUAAUUCAACUGCUAAUACUUGAGAGUAUUCUCUCACCUCCCGUCGUGCGAAUCAACAAAUUUGGGUCGAAUACUCUACCCUCGAAAACUGCUGCGAACCCACGCGUUGGUGGGCCAUCAACAACAUUCUUCUAGUUCCGUUGCCGGGGAGUGCUAGCAGCAUUCUUCUGGUGCCGUUGCAGGGGAAGGUUUGCUGUCAUCAACAUUCGUCUAGCCAUCGCUAGAGAUUGCAAUCAAGUGGCGGCCGGAGGAUGAACCAGCCUCAUGGUCGUGCGCCCCCUUGCGGUCGGUGCUCCACCACACCAUCGAUGCCGGCGACCGGAGAGCUCGAGGAAGGGGAGGGGAGAACUAGGGUUUGGGUGUCGGGUUUCGAGGAGGCAGCAUGACUGGAGUGGGAGCAUGGACUGUGACCGGUCCACGGUUUCCCAUUUUAGAAGGCAGCGACCACUCGCUUGGGUGGAUGAUAGGUGGGGCCGACUGCGCGUGCACAAUUAAUUUGGGCGGUGGAAGGUAGGUGCAUGCGUGCCAUGCAGCCCCGAUGCGGACGAGAGGCAUGCCCGUUCGUUGUCCGCCUAGACCCAAACCGGACGCAUGUUUGCACUUGGAAUGGGUCGGGACGGACACAAAACGGAUAAGAUGGGUCCAGGCCGUUGCGCACUGGGUUGUGGGGUUUGUCCGUUUUGCCCCAAACGGACAAGGCCAGGAGGGAUGGGGUCGUGCACUCGAGUGGGCCUAAUCCCACGAGCCCGAAACAUCAGCUGAAACUCGCUGAUGUACCUCUCGCCUCCUGAGCCUGCCGCCCGGAGCCCGCCGUGCGCCACUCUGACACCAGGCGUCCACCUCCCCACCCGCCGCUCGACACUCUGGCCGCGGCGGCCACCCCCCCUCUCUCUCUCCUCCCGCUAUGGCUGGAUCCCGCUCGCCGUCGGUGUCCUCCCGGCUGGCCNNNNNNNNNNNNNNNNNNNNNNNNNNNNCCCCCCCUCUCUCUCUCCUCCCGCUAUGGCUGGAUCCCGCUCGCCGUCGGUGUCCUCCCGGUUGGCACACGAGCGCCCUGUGAUGUCGGGUCUCGGCUUCUCUUCAUCGUCUGCCUCCUCGAGCACCCACGAGCAGGCUACGACAUCGUCGGUGCUGAGGUUGGGCGCAGACGGCCGUCGCCACGAAGCCCCUUGUGUUCAGCCGCCCCCCUCCAGGAGAUCCAAGUGNNNNNNNNNNNNNNNNNNNNNNNNNNNNNNNNNNNNNNNNNNNNNNNNNNNNNNNNNNNNNNNNNNNNNNNNNNNNNNNNNNNNNNNNNNNNNNNNNNNNUACAGAGGCAAGCAUAGAAGCGCCCUUGAAGUGAAGUAAUAGUAAUAGGUGCACGCAAGAGUCGGCCUAUUUGUUUAUGGAUGUGAUGCCUAUAUUUACAUGAACAUUGCCACGAAAAUCACAUAACUAUCCACUCAUCUAUCAAUUGCCCAACAGUAAUUUGUUUACCCGCCGUGUGCUAUUUUCAUGAGAGACGCCAUUAGGGAAAGCUAUGGCCCCGGGGUCUAUUCACAACAUAUUGCUAAAACCUCCAAUGCCAUGCUGCCAUUUAUUUCCUUUUAUUUUAUUUUGCAUUUUAAAAUUAUUUACACACCUCAUUUGCUUGCAAAAAACGAGACCAAGGGGAUUGACAACCCUCUUGCCCGCGUUGGGUGCAAGUUGUUUGUUCUUUUGUGUGCAGCCGCUGAAGAAGGUUAUGGUUGAUAUUCCUAUUGGUUUGACCUUGGUUUCGUAACUGUGGGAAAUACUUACGCAAUUUUUGUGCCGCUGAAGAAGGUUAUGGUUGAUAUUCCUAUUGGUUUGACCUUGGUUUCGUAACUGUGGGAAAUACUUACGCAAUUUUUGUUGCGAUAACCCAUUCCUCUUCAUGGAAAACCCAACGCACAUCACGAGUAUCAGAGACGUAUCACCUUCGUCUGACAGCUUUUAGUGAAAGGUCACGGCCGGUCACGACCACUGAUGAGUUAUGAAAGCUUGAUUCGUUAUUCGAAGCAAUUCCUCCAUUGGCACGUCCCGUCAAUAUGGAGACCAUGCCCCAUUUUUUAAGGGAUGUGAUCAAUGAUUUGUGCUAACCCACACGUGCACAACGACACGAUUAUAUCGGGAAGUGGCAAGGUGUNNNNNNNNNNNNNNNNNNNNNNNNNNNNNNNNNNNNNNNNNNNNNNNNNNNNNNNNNNNNNNNNNNNNNNNNNNNNNNNNNNNNNNNNNNNNNNNNNNNNGGAUUUUAAACGGAGUACAAACGGAAUAAAACUUUCGAAAAGAUUUUUUCCGGAACAGAAGAUACGCAGAAAGCUUGGGAACCAAGGCAAGGAGUCCCGGGGGAGCCAACAAGCCCUCAUGGCGUGGCCAGGGGGGCCGCGCCUCCCAGGCUUGUGGGCUCCUUGGGCCUCCCCUGCCCUAGCUCCUUCUCCUAUAAAUUCCCUAAAAUACCUAAAAAAUCAAGAGAUCCACGAAAACACUUUUCCGUCGCCGCAAGCUUCUGUCUCCGCAAGAUCCCAUCUGAGGCACGUUCUGGUGCCCUGCCGGAGGGAAGAUUCGGAUACGGAGGGCUUCUUCAUCAACACNNNNNNNNNNNNNNNNNNNNNNNNNNNNNNNNNNNNNNNNNNNNNNNNNNNNNNNNNNNNNNNNNNNNNNNNNNNNNNNNNNNNNNNNNNNNNNNNNNNNNNNNNNNNNNNNNNNNNNNNNNNNNNNNNNNNNNNNNNNNNNNNNNNNNNNNNNNNNNNNNNNNNNNNNNNNNNNNNNNNNNNNNNNNNNNNNNNNNNNNNNNNNNNNNNNNNNNNNNNNNNNNNNNNNNNNNNNNNNNNNNNNNNNNNNNNNNNNNNNNNNNNNNNNNNNNNNNNNNNNNNNNNNNNNNNNNNNNNNNNNNNNNNNNNNNNNNNNNNNNNNNNNNNNNNNNNNNNNNNNNNNNNNNNNNNNNNNNNNNNNNNNNNNNNNNNNNNNNNNNNNNNNNNNNNNNNNNNNNNNNNNNNNNNNNNNNNNNNNNNNNNNNNNNNNNNNNNNNNNNNNNNNNNNNNNNNNNNNNNNNNNNNNNNNNNNNNNNNNNNNNNNNNNNNNNNNNNNNNNNNNNNNNNNNNNNNNNNNNNNNNNNNNNNNNNNNNNNNNNNNNNNNNNNNNNNNNNNNNNNNNNNNNNNNNNNNNNNNNNNNNNNNNNNNNNNNNNNNNNNNNNNNNNNNNNNNNNNNNNNNNNNNNNNNNNNNNNNNNNNNNNNNNNNNNNNNNNNNNNNNNNNNNNNNNNNNNNNNNNNNNNNNNNNNNNNNNNNNNNNNNNNNNNNNNNNNNNNNNNNNNNNNNNNNNNNNNNNNNNNNNNNNNNNNNNNNNNNNNNNNNNNNNNNNNNNNNNNNNNNNNNNNNNNNNNNNNNNNNNNNNNNNNNNNNNNNNNNNNNNNNNNNNNNNNNNNNNNNNNNNNNNNNNNNNNNNNNNNNNNNNNNNNNNNNNNNNNNNNNNNNNNNNNNNNNNNNNNNNNNNNNNNNNNNNNNNNNNNNNNNNNNNNNNNNNNNNNNNNNNNNNNNNNNNNNNNNNNNNNNNNNNNNNNNNNNNNNNNNNNNNNNNNNNNNNNNNNNNNNNNNNNNNNNNNNNNNNNNNNNNNNNNNNNNNNNNNNNNNNNNNNNNNNNNNNNNNNNNNNNNNNNNNNNNNNNNNNNNNNNNNNNNNNNNNNNNNNNNNNNNNNNNNNNNNNNNNNNNNNNNNNNNNNNNNNNNNNNNNNNNNNNNNNNNNNNNNNNNNNNNNNNNNNNNNNNNNNNNNNNNNNNNNNNNNNNNNNNNNNNNNNNNNNNNNNNNNNNNNNNNNNNNNNNNNNNNNNNNNNNNNNNNNNNNNNNNNNNNNNNNNNNNNNNNNNNNNNNNNNNNNNNNNNNNNNNNNNNNNNNNNNNNNNNNNNNNNNNNNNNNNNNNNNNNNNNNNNNNNNNNNNNNNNNNNNNNNNNNNNNNNNNNNNNNNNNNNNNNNNNNNNNNNNNNNNNNNNNNNNNNNNNNNNNNNNNNNNNNNNNNNNNNNNNNNNNNNNNNNNNNNNNNNNNNNNNNNNNNNNNNNNNNNNNNNNNNNNNNNNNNNNNNNNNNNNNNNNNNNNNNNNNNNNNNNNNNNNNNNNNNNNCACGGAGAGCAUCUACAUCAACUUCAUUGCCUCCCCGAUAAUGCGUGAGUAGUUCACCACAGACCUACGGGUCCAUAGCUAGUAGCUAGAUGGCUUCUUCUCUCUCUUGGAUCUUCAAUACAAAGUUCUCCAUGAUCUUCAUGGAGAUCUAUCCGAUGUAAUCUUCUUUUGCGGUGUGUUUGUCGAGAUCCGAUGAAUUGUGGAUUUAUGAUUAGAUUAUCUAUGAAUCUUAUUUGAGUUUCUUCUGAUCUCUUAUAUGCAUGAUUUCAUAUCCUUGUAAUUCUCUUCGAGUUGUGGGUUUUGUUUGGCCAACUUGAUCUAUGAUUCUUGCAAUGGGAGAAGUGCUUGGUUUUGGGUUCAUACCGUGUGGUGACCUCACCCAGUGACAGAAGGGGUAGCGAGGCACGCAUCGUGUUGUUGCCAUCAAGGGUAAAAAGAUGGGGUUUUUAUCAUUGGUUUGAGUUUAUCCCUCUACAUCAUGUCAUCUUGCUUAAGGCGUUACUCUGUUCGUCAUGAACUCAAUACACUAGAUGCAUGCUGGAUAGCGGUCGAUGUGUGGUGUAAUAGUAGUAGAUGCAGAAAGUAUCGGUCUACUUGUCUCAGACGUGAUGCCUAUCUGCUAGAUCAUUGCCUUAGAUAUCAUCAUGACUUUUAGCGGUUCUAUCAAUUGCUCGACAGUAAUUUGUUUACCCACCGUGAUAUUUGCUAUUAUGAGAGAAGCCUAUAGUGAACACUAUGGCCCCCAGGGUCUACUCCACACCAUAUUUUCAGCCUUACACUUUUUGCUUCGUUGCACUUUCCGCCUUUAGAUCUCACUUUGCAAACAAUCUUGAAGGGAUUGACAACCCCUUUGAAGCGUUGGAUGCAAGCUUGUUUGUGUUUGCGCAGGUACUUUGGACUUGACGAGGCCCUCCUUCUGGAUCGAUACCUUGGUUCUCAAACUGAGGGAAAUACUUACUGCUCUUGUGCUGCAUCACCCUUUCCUCUUCAAGGGAAAAAAAAUCAGAGAAGUAACAAGAAGAAUUCCUAUGCUCCAGGGAAGGACUUAUGUUGCCGCAGCAGAAGAAUUUCUGGCGCCGUUGCCGGGGAGGAGGAUCAAGUCAAGAAUAGUCUCCCGUCAACAUGCCAGUUUCUGGCGCCGUCGCCAGGGAGGAAGAUCAAGUCAAGAACUCAUCCAAGUAGGUGUGGGAAACUCAUCUCUUGCAUUUACUUUGUUUGCCAGUUGCCUCUCGUUUUCCUCUCCCCCACUUCACCAAUUUUCCUUUUUUGUUCGCCUUUUCGUUCGCUUUUUCGUUCGCCCUUUUCUCUCGCUUGCUUUCUGCUCGUCUGUGUGGGAUAGUCUAUCGUGAUGGCUAGAUCCACCACUUCGAACGAUACUCCCAAAAGCGAAGUUCUCAAUUUCAAACAAAUUGAGGGAGAAAACUUAAAAGACGCUUGGUAUAGGAUUUGCAAUGCUUAGAGUANNNNNNNNNNNNNNNNNNNNNNNNNNNNNNNNNNNNNNNNNNNNNNNNNNNNNNNNNNNNNNNNNNNNNNNNNNNNNNNNNNNNNNNNNNNNNNNNNNNNAGGGUCACCAAGGUAGCAAGAAUACACGAAGGAUAAAGCACUAGAGCAAAAACUAAUUGGACCAAUGGAGGAGUCACUUACCAAGGAGCAAUUUCCCCAAAACAGUUCAGAGAAUGGUGCUUUGAGAAAGGAUAUCGAAAAUCACAGCCAAAUGAGCAAGAACACGGGUUUGAGCUGCGAAACAAUUUUUUCUGGAGGUGGAAGAAGAGGCUGAGAGCUGGAAUGAGUGGAGGGGGGGCNNNNNNNNNNNNNNNNNNNNNNNNNNNNNNNNNNNNNNNNNNNNNNNNNNNNNNNNNNNNNNNNNNNNNNNNNNNNNNNNNNNAUGAGUGGAGGGGGUGCCUGUGGGCCCCACAAGCUUGCACCCCGCCACCAGGGGGUAGGUGCGGUGACAGGGCUUGUGGCCCACUGGUCAGGCCCCCAGGCCAGCUCUCAGGCCCCGAAAUUUUCAAAAAUUCCAGAAAAAAUUAUACUAAAUUUUCAAGACCAUCGGAGAACUUUUAUUUUCGAGGUAUUUUUCUCAGGGACGCUAAAACAGAAAACAGGAAAAACUAAACUNNNNNNNNNNNNNNNNNNNNNNNNNNNNNNNNNNNNNNNNNNNNNNNNNNNNNNNNNNNNNNNNNNNNNNNNNNNNNNNNNNNNNNNNNNNNNNNNNNNNNNNNNNNNNNNNNNNNNNNNNNNNNNNNNNNNNNNNNNNNNNNNNNNNNNNNNNNNNNNNNNNNNNNNNNNNNNNNNNNNNNNNNNNNNNNNNNNNNNNNNNNNNNNNNNNNNNNNNNNNNNNNNNNNNNNNNNNNNNNNNNNNNNNNNNNNNNNNNNNNNNNNNNNNNNNNNNNNNNNNNNNNNNNNNNNNNNNNNNNNNNNNAAAUCAUACUUCAUCUUGACACGAGGAAUAGGGCAUUCAAAGCUCCCAAUGAGAAUCGAUGAAGUCUUUUCGAUAGCAUUGAUGCAAUGUACUGGAUAUCGUUUCUUCGGAAAGUGCACUAUGUGCUCAUUACCGUUGACAUGGAAAGUGACAUUGCCUUUGUUGCAAUCUAUAACAGCCCCCGCAGUGUUUAAAAAGGGUCUUCAGAGGAUGAUANNNNNNNNNNNNNNNNNNNNNNNNNNNNNNNNNNNNNNNNNNNNNNNNNNNNNNNNNNNNNNNNNNNNNNNNNNNNNNNNNNNNNNNNNNNNNNNNNNNNUGAGGAUAUAGCUGUGUUGGGGCACCCUCUCACGAAGUGGGAGGGGUAUAUAUAGUGGGGAGAGUAAAAUAGCCGUUGGGGACACUUUAAGUCUGACAGGGGUCGGACAUCCGGCAGUUUCUCGGAUGUCCGGACGCCCACAAGGUGUCCGACGUCCGACAGUGGUCGGUCGUCCAAGAGAUGUAUAUAUAUCUGGAAUCACUGUGUAGUUGAACAGGGACCGGACGUUCGGAGGAAGCCAGAAGUCCGAGUUAUUCGACUCAAACUUCUCUGGCGCGAGAUNNNNNNNNNNNNNNNNNNNNNNNNNNNNNNNNNNNNNNNNNNNNNNNNNNNNNNNNNNNNNNNNNNNNNNNNNNNNNNNNNNNNNNNNNNNNNNNNNNNNNNNNNNNNNNNNNNNNNNNNNNNNNNNNNNNNNNNNNNNNNNNNNNNNNNNNNNNNNNNNNNCAAACUUCUCUGGCGCGAGAUUCCGGAUUUCCGAAGGAGGUCGGACGUCCGGCCCUCGGACGUCCGGAGGGAGCCGGAAGUCCGAGUUAUAUGGCUCAAGUUUCUCUGGUAUAGGAUUCCGGAUUUCCGAAGCAGUCGGUCAUCCGGCCCUCGGACGUUCGGAGGAAGCCGGAUGUCUGAGGCAUUUGUUCUGUUUUCAGAUAACAACAGAGCAGUGGAGAUGUGGUCUGAGCAGAACAGUGGAGAUGUAGUUUGAGCAAGUUCAUCGCAAAACCUGUGAUCCCCUCUUAAUAGUGCGGGAUCCCUAAAGACUCAAGAAUUAUAAAAGGGGUACCGAUGAACCAUACUUGAGUGUAUACUUUUAUUCGCUGAUCAUCACUCCGCACCACUAACGUCAAAGGAACUGAUACCAUUGAGUUAGCCCUUUCACUUGAGCUUGAUGUUGUUGUUCCUUCUUGGCUCAAGUCGAAAGCAAGACAUGAUGAAGUCUUCAAGUAGCUCUCCCAUACACAAUGUGGAAAGCCUAGCUUAUGUAUUCAUCUUCAUUUGUCCACCAUGUGAACAUCCACAAGAAUCAAGCAUGUAGUGCUCAGGAAUGCUUAUCUUGAUCUUGUCCUUGUUAGCACACGAGCUUGUCCUUAUAAACACAUGAUCAUUCACAAUAGCUUAAAGGGGAUUAGUGAUUAGUUAUCUAUAUGUGUGUUGUCAGCAACACCAAAACACGAUUAAUGGCAUGACUGCACUUUCACACGAUACGUGCCUCGCUACCCCUUCUAUCACUGGGUGAGGUCACCGCAUGGUAUAAACCCAAAACCAAGCACUUCUCACAUUGCAAGAAUCAUAGAUCUAGUUGGCCAAACNNNNNNNNNNNNNNNNNNNNNNNNNNNNNNNNNNNNNNNNNNNNNNNNNNNNNNNNNNNNNNNNNNNNNNNNNNNNNNNNNNNNNNNNNNNNNNNNNNNNUGUCUGCUCUGUUUCAACGAGGAUCUAUCUUAGGUUUGGGUCCUGCUUCAUUAACCUACUACGGGAGCUGAUUGAUUGCUUCGGUGGUUGUUGCAACAGUGCAUGAUGUGCUGCACUGCCCUCUUGUAAAGAUCCAAACCAUUGUAUUGCAUAGUACUCGUACGAGCUACCACAUUUUUCUUUUCUUAAAAUGUUGCUCACUUGUCUUCUUUAAUUGUGGACCAGAUGAUCAAUCACGAUGACUGAUUUCGUUCCUCUCUUUAGUCUUGCAUGAUUGUGGUGGGUGUCUUUAGAUUACCAGCAGACUAUUUGAGCAUUCAUUCAAGUUGUCAGAUCAAGUCCCAUUCAUUUAAUCAGUCGUACUGUAGAAGCACAUCACAUUGCAAGUUUGCUAAUGUCAGACUGUUGAUCGUCAAAGGAUUUCCUCACCGGAAUGGAAUUUGAAUUCGAAUGCAGGGAGCCGGGGCUCCGGCCGGACGCCCAUGGACUGGGACGUCACCACAUUGGCAUCGAAGCGCUCGUCCGGUUUGAGUGUUGUGUUGACUCGCACCAGCUAUGGAGCGGCGUGACCGGCAUGAAUGCCCGGUCGGCCUACCGCGGGCUCGCGCGCCUGCACUCGCCGCACAAGCUCGCGCACGGCAACGUCAAGUCCACCAACGUCCUCCUCCGGCCGGACCACGACGCCGCCGCGCUUUCCGACUUCUGCCUCCACCCGAUCUACGCGCCGUCGUCUGUCCGCGCGGGCUCCAACGGCUACCGCGCCCCGGAGGUGGUGGACACGCGGCGGCCCACGCUGGAAGCGGACGUCUACUCCCUCGGCGUGCUCCUGCUGGAGCUCCUCACCGGCAAGUCCCCGACGCACGCGUCCCUGCAGGAGGGCGACGGCGGCACGCUCGACCUGCCGCGGUGGGUGCAGNNNNNNNNNNNNNNNNNNNNNNNNNNNNNNNNNNNNNNNNNNNNNNNNNNNNNNNNNNNNNNNNNNNNNNNNNNNNNNNNNNNNNNNGGUGGUUGCAGUCGGUGGUGCGCGAGGAGUGGACCGCCGAGGUGUUCGACGUCGAGCUCGUGCGGCUGGGCGCCAGCGCCGAGGAGGAGAUGGUGGCGCUGCUGCAGGUGGCCAUGGCCUGCGUGGCCACCGUGCCCGACGCGCGCCCGGACGCGCCGGACGUUGUCAGGAUGAUCGAGGAGAUCGGGGCCGGCCACGGGCAGACCACGACGGAGGAGAGCGCUCGGGCGACCACCUCCGAGGAGGAGCGGUCCCCGGCCGCCCAGACAUCGUAGCCCCGGACAUCUCGGCAUUGUUUUGUUGGAUGAAUUAAUUGUAUUUUCUUCUUUCUCUCUUCCCCUCUGUCAGUCUCAUCUCUUCCCCUCUGUCAGUUUCAUUAUUUUCUUUCAAGAAAAGUAAAUGUCUUUUUUGUGAUCUAUUCAGUCCCCUUUACCUUUGCGAUAAUAGAUUCACGCGCUCUCUUAACGAUCUCAUAGCCAUGCAUUUGGUCUGUCCUGCAAUAGACACAUGAAAACCAUGUAUUAAUAUUGUAUUGUUCUUGACAAAAAUUGUUGAUUACCAUGAGUGGAUAUACAGCCUUUUAAAAAAAGAAUCAAAUAUAGUGCAACUAUUAACGGAUCAGGUCUCGACUAGAAUUCAAACUACAUA